CCAUAUCCUUUCAUAGUUUUCGGUUGCCACUAUCAGCCGGGUGAUAAUCAUUUAUACAGGACUGUUCUAUCUGGAGAGAAUGGUGAUAGGGUUGAAGCUACUGCAAGAUGUCACAUGGAUACCUCCCAAUGGAGCCAUGAUCACGUUUCCUUCCGAGUGCUUGGUAUCGAACCGGGCACUGCCCCUGUUUGCCAUUUCUUCCCGGCAGAGGACUUUGUAUUGGUUCCAUCUACUUCUUCAAUCUAGUAAUAUCCAAGAGCUCAAGUGCUUUCAGCAUUUUAGUUGUUUAGCUUAAGUCGCCUUGUCUGAAUGUGUAAUACUAGAAAUCAAUAAAUUCGUGUGCCUCAUGUUUGAUUAUCUGUAUUCGAAUAAAACUCCGUGGAGUAGUAGCGCUACUUUUGACAAUCAAAGUUUUAUAUACUUCAAUUUCUUAGAGCAUCUCGAACACGUAUGUUACUAGAUUGCAGCCUACAAUUUUUUUCCCCUAUUUUCUGCUAAUGUAUCCCCUAAUGUAGAAUUUUUUUUUCUUGGAGCGGAGGUUUGUUAGGAGAGUAUCAAUUCAAACAAUUUACUUAGAAGACAAUUUUCAGGAGCCUGGAUUAGAAACUAUUUUUAAUUGGUGAACAAGUGCUUGUCUCUUCCUAAUUAGUCACUAAUUAGUUUAAGCAAGUCCUGGGAGGAUGUUGAAACAAUUGAUAAUUCUUCAUUAUAAUCUAUCAGUCACAAAAAGACAAUGAUUAAGAAUAGACAAAUACUAAAAAUGACGAACAUUGUGGAGGAUACAAAAAUGAAUGACACUUUUAGUAGGACAAAAGAAGUAAAAAUUAAUUUUGUGAUCGGCAUAGCUCUUAUUUUGAGUUAAAUUAUAUUGAUUCCACCAAUAAUGUAUCCUCUUAAAAAGUAAACAUUUUAUUCUCACUAUGGUAAAAUGGCAAACAUCCGUGCAUACAUUGAUUGAUAUGUAGACAAUUUUUGGACUAAUACAUAGCAGAGUUUUGAAAUUCAAGCUGACACAUCGACUCAAUAGAAUUUAGGGUCAGGAGUCAAGAGGUUAAAGUGAGUAAUGUGAGUAUGAAUCCUUAGUAUGUGAGUAAUGAAUCAUUAGUAUCAUGUCCUUUCACGUGUGUAGUUAUGUGAGUAAUGAAUCCUUAGAAUCACCGGUUAUAAUGAAUCCUUAUGCACAUUUAAUUGACUUCAUAUUUCGUACCCACAGAUAAUCAAAGAUAUAACUGGGUGAUUCACGAGUUGAUUUUCAAGUACAUGUUUCGUGAGACUAUGAGCCGGUUUAGAUUGUAAUUUUUGGGAAGUUUUACAGAAAAAUAUAAAUCGUAUCUACAAAAAAAAAAUUAAUCAAAGAUAUAACUGGUGAUUCAUGAGUGGAUAAAAGAAUUGAGUGUUUCCUAAUUGAUAAAGGACAGAGUUUUUCUUAUGUAGUAGCUUGACUUCUUGAUCGCAUAAUUGUGGCUGUCCAUCUCUUUGAUUUGGAUUCCGAUCUUAUUCAAAUACUUUUGGAGGGUAUCCUAUAAUUAGAGUUAGAGGUGGAAUUGUCCCAAGUCCCAAUGAGCUACCCAUGUCCAAAAGAACUUUGGGCGGGAUGGGUAUUGUAAUUUGAUAUUGGGUUUAAAAUGGGAUGCAUCCCAAUUAUACCAUUAUUUGAUGGAAAAUGUUGGGAAAUACUUGGGUACCCAUUGGGCCUAAAUAUCUUCCAAAAAAUUUCAUUUAUCCAAAAAUUCAUCUUUGAUUUUUUUUUUGGCAAAAAUCUGAUUUUUUUUCACUUCCAUUUUCUUUCUUUUCCUUUCUUCACUUUCCUACAAAAGAAAACCAGUUAAAAAAUGAUUUCAUUUAAACAACUUUAAAAAAAUAAAGAUAACAAUAACAAUAAAAUGAAUUGGUAAAAUUUUGGUGUCUACAAGAAUUAAUGCUUUACUAACAACUGUUAGCAUCCUUUAUGUUGAUUUUAUGCUAAUUGUUGAGCUAUCUAUAUAGAUUUCUAUAUGCAACCUUGUUAUCAAUUUUUAAUCAGUUUCUUCGUUUCUGUGCUAGCUUUAUUCAGCAUUUAAUGUGAAUUUCUUUUGUAUCAAAAUUUGGAAAUUUUAAGAAUGUCAGUAAGAAUGAAUUUGGUGUUAAAAAAUCUUGUUUCUAGUCCUUGUGUCAGACAACAUUAUGGGUAAGGUUGGAAUAUGGCUGUAUAUCUAUCUUUUUCUUUAUUUGUUAAUCCAAUUUUUGGUUUAAUCCAGGGAGAAGAUAUGUUCAUUCUUACCAAAAUGUUAUGUCUUUUAAAAGUAACUGUUGAUCGUUUUAGAGUGUAAAUGAAUUCAGGAAAAUAUAAAUUCACAAUAAGAUCAAAAGAAAUUUAAUAAAUAAAAAUAUUAAAGUUAUAUAAAAAAUAAAAAAGAAUUAAAGGGAAAAAAAUAUAGAAAAUAGAUUUGGGUAUUGGGCGGGAUCAAUCUAAACCUAUCUCAAUGUGAUCCCGCCCAAGUUAGUUCCAAAACACAUAUGGGCAAGGUUAGGUCCAUACCCAUAUGAUUCGGUUCCAUUUCGAAUCCAAGCAAAUUCCGCCCAUCCCGCCCAUUUUGCCACCUCUAAUUUAGAGUGUCAAUCACAAACUUAAUUAUGUUGAUUCACCCAAACUCACGCUUCAAUAACUCGUUCAAACCCACCCACUAAUUUUAAAUAAGUCUAAAUGGGCAUGAAAUUAAACUCAUUUAAUUAGUAGGCAGUGGAUUAACUCGAAUCACUUAUUUAUACCCAUUUAAAAUAAUUAUAUAUUUAAACUCAAGUAUUAAACAAAUAAAUUUGAAUUUAUUAUCAAUCUAAUAAUAAUAAAAUUAUUAUUUUUUAUCAGACAAUAUGUAAAAAAAUAAAAAAUUAAAUUAUAACCAUUUAAAUUCGUUUAAAUAACCUAUUUUGAUACCUCCACAGACCACUGUCUGCUCAUUGGACAUUCCACCACCACUUGUUCAGCUGUUCCUUUUGUCCAGGCGGUCGCCAGUGUCUAUCAUUUUCGAAUACCAGGUAAGGCUCUGACAUUAGGGUCCACCUGCCAUAGUGCCAUCCCAUUGAUUAACCAAGUUACAGCGCUGUCAUAUUUGUCAAGCCAUCCUUCAUUAUUGGAUCUUUUAUUCUAUAUAUGGGACUGUCCUUACUGUUCCCAUGAAAGACUGGUCCAGAAAUGUAUGGCAGCUGUGAAAUACGCUGGCUCUCUGAAUCUUGUCCCAUGAAGAUAUGCAGCUGAAAAUCCAACGCAUUGGUUUCACGAGUUUUCCUAUCCACCAUGCCUGCCAAUUAUCUAUCACCAUAAUAGAGUGUUUUUAAAGUAUACGGACCGACCGAUUCUAAACAUUGAACGAGGAUUUGGUGGGUAUUCGGUCUGAGUUAAUCAAUUGAGUUGAACAGACAUUGAUCAGACCUGCUCAAAAAUUGGGUUUGAAUAAAGAAAAUUGAGUUUUUAACUACAUAUUUUGUGAGACUAUGAGCGGGUUUAGAUUGUAAUUAUUGGGAAGUUUUAUAGAAAAAAUAUAAUCGUUUGGUUGUUAACGAGUGGAUAAAAGAAUUGAGUGUUACCUAAUUGAUGAAGGAUAGAGUUUUUCUUAUGUAGUGACUGCACCUCUUGAUCACAUGAUUUUGGUGAUUAUCGAUCUCUUCGAUUUGGAUUCCAAUCUUAUUCAAAUAUUUUUUAUUCUUUCAGAUUAUGUCUUUCUUGUGCAUUUCAAUCUUUGUAAUUUAACAAUUGUUUCUUAGAUUGGAUUUUGAUUCUGUUAGACUAUGUCUUUCUUGUGCAUUUCAAUCUUUGCAAUUUAAUAAUUGUUUCUUAGAUUGGAUUUACAUGUUUAGUUCUGGAGAGGCCCCCUUGAUCUGGAUUCGAGACCUGGCCAGUUGUAUUUCUACUCAAUUACAGAUAUUUAGUAAUUUCAUAUUUUAUUACACCAUUGUUUCUAAGAUUGGAUUUUGAUUCUUUUAGAUUAUGUCUUUCUUUUGCAUUUCAAUCUUUGGAAUUUAAUAAUUGUUUCUUAGAUUGGAUUUACAAGUUUAGUUCUGGAGAGGCCCCCUGAUCUCGAUUCGAGGCCUGACAAAUUGUAUUUGUACUCGAUUUCGGGUAUGUAGUAAUUUCAUAUUUUAUUACAUCAUUGUUUCUUAGAUUGGAUUUUGAUUCUUUUAGAUUAUGUCUUUCUUGUGCAUUUCAAUCUUUGCAAUUUAAUAAUUGUUUCUUAGAUUGGAUUUACAUGUUUAGUUCUGAAGAGGCCCCCUGAUCUCGAUUCGAGGUCUGACAAGUUGUAUUUCUACUCGAUUUCGGGUAUUUAGUAAUUUCAUAUUUUAUUACACCAUUUUUCAACUCAAUCAAAUCAUAUUUUAACUUUUGUCACACUAUUUUCCAACUCAGUUACAUUAAAAGGCAAACUUGUGAGAAAUAAAACUUGUGAGACCCCAUCAACCCCUCUCCUAUUAAUAUUACACAUGUAGAUUAUAUUUUAAAAGGAAAAUUGCCAAAUUGGUCCCUUAAAGUUUCGGAAAAAAAGCUUUUUUUACUCCAUCAAAAUUAGAAUUAGUCAAAAUAGUCCAUCAAAUAUAACAAAAGAAAAGUAUCCUUUUAGUCCGCGAGCUCAUUUUUUGAUCGGUCUUCUAGCCAAAAAGUGUGUGCCUUUCUUAGGUACCCACAAUUUAAAUAGCAAAAUGGGAAAACAAUUUAUUUUCUUCCAAAAAAAGCACAUGACAAUCAUAUGAUCACCUCCUGAAUAGGAAAUCGUAAUUAUUAUCCAUCAAAUUCAUAAUCGAAGAAAGAGUAAACUACAGGUGACCUUUACACUUUCUUGUUUGAUUAUGGAUCUGGUGGAUAUGAAUUAAGGUUCCUUUGCUAGAGGUGUGGUUAUGUGAUUGUGAUGUAUUUUUUAUUUAAGAGAAACAAAUUGCGUUUCAAUUUUGCCGUUGAAAUUGUGGGAACCAGAGAGAAGGUGCACUUUUAGGCUUAAAAAUUGAUUGAAAGUGAGUUUUGGGACUAAAGGAGCACAUUUUUUAUAAUUAUUUUGAUGCUUAUAUCAAAACCAUACAAAUUUACACCGAAUGUAUUAAAAAUUAUACAAACUGAUUUGAACUAGAUAGAAUUUAACUUGCUGUAUAAGACAAUUUAUUAUGCAUAAUAAUGUUUCUAGAUGUUAUUCUUACAUUUCUUCUGAGCUUUGAUUUGCAUCCUAUGUGACGGAUACAUCGAAUUCGUACCGACAGAUAAUCAAUAAUGCAACUGGGUGAUUCAUGAGUUGACAAAGAAUUCAUUGCUCUUAAGUGGUAGUUGCACCUCUUGAUCACAUGAUUCUAGUUGUCGAUCUCUUCGAUUUGGACCCCAAUAUUUUUCCAAUAGUUUUGACUAUUUCAGAUUAUGUCUUUCUUGUGCCUUUCAAUUUUUACAAUUUAAUAAUUGUUUCUUAGAUUAAUAACUGUCUUUUUUAUGCCAUUGUGCUGAAGAAAGGUACCAAUAAUGACAGACUUAAGAGUAAAUCAUAAUUGAGGACAAAAUUUGAGAGUUUUUAUAUAAAAAGUAUAUUAAAUGUUCUUAAAAUGUGAUGUAUGUAAAGUAAAAAUGUAAUUAGAAUAUAUAAUAAAAGAAUUCUCACGAAAAUUCACAAAAGUUUUUGGCAAAAAAUGCAAUCCAAAGAUUUGAUGAGCUAGCGUUGGAUGCGUCGACACUGGACCUCUAUGAUUGUCCGUCUACUUACUUUUAUAAUUAAGGUUUUCUGCUAAAAAUAAAAUAAUGUCUUAGGUGCAACGUUGUUUUCUUGAGAUUGACUCCGCAGCAACCACGUUUUCUUCUGAGCUCUAACUUGGCUCGCAUGUGGUGGGUACUGUUUCCGUAUAAAACAAUUUGUUAUGUGCAAUAAUGGUUUCUGGAUAUAGAUUCUUACAUUUCUUCUGAGUUUUGAUUUGCCUCUUACAUGGUGGAUACACCCAAUUGACCUCAUAGUUCAUACCUGCAGAAAAUAAUCAAAGAUAACUGGUGAUUCACGUGUGGAUAAAGAUUUGAGUGUGUUUUCUAAUUAAUAAAGAAUGAAGUGUUUCUUAAGUAAUAGCGGCACUCUUGAUCACAUGAUUCUGCUUGUUGAUCACUUUGAUUUGGAUUAUGAUCUUAUUCAAAUACUUUUGAUUCUUUGAGAUUACGUCUUUCUUGUGCAUUUCAAUCUUUGCAAUUUAAUAAUUUUUUUAAAAUGAGAUUUACAUGUUUAGUUCUAGAGAGGCCCCUGAUUUGUAUUCGGGGCUCUGUUUUGAAACUCGGACCGGACCGGCCGGUCGAACCGGGAACCGGCCAGGUAGCCGGUCCGAGUCAUAUUAAAAAAUCGAAAUUUAAAAGUCGGUCAAAAAUCGGGUUUGACCGGGUAAAAAUCGGUUUUUUCCGGUUCAACAGUAAAUUUUGUAAAAACAAUUUUAAACUUUUUAAUAUUAUGUUUUGACCCCUAAAUUGUUAAAACUUAUUGAUAUACCUCAAAUAUUUGAUACUUUAUAAAUAUUGUCCUAAAAUUUGAUGUUAUUUUUCAAUUAAAUUCAUAAUUUUAAUUCUAAACUUGUUAAUAUUUAUUAAAUAAUAUAAAUUGCUACUUGAUUGUUCUAAUUUCUUUGUAUUUUCUUGUUAAAUAUAUUUGAAACAUCAAAUAUAUAUGAAUAUACCUUUAUUAAUAUCAAUAUAUUAUUAGAUAUUAUAUAUAUAAUAUUUUAAUUUUUAAAUAAUUUUUAUUUAUGACGUAUCCGGUUCGCCCCUAUCGACCCCCGGUCGAACCCAUUGACCCCUGACCCCUGACUCGGCCGAGUCGCUAUCCGGUCCGGUUCUGAAAACAUAGAUUUGGGGUUGUACUUUACUCGAUUUCGGGAUAAGUUAGUAAUUUCACAUUUUAUUGCACUAUAUUUCAAAUCAAUUACAAUAUAUUUAAACUUUUGUUAUACCAUUUUCCAACCCAGUUACAUCGAAGAGCAAACUUGUGGAAAAUAAAACUUAUAAAGCCCCUGAUCCCAUUAAUAUUACACAUGCAGAUACUAUUAUAAUAAAGGAAAAAUUGUCAAAUUGAUCCCUUCCAUUUUCAAUAACUUUUUUAGUUCCUCACAAUUAGAAUUAGCUAAAAUAGUCCCUUAAAUAUAUAUAAAAAAUACAUCCUUUUGGUCACAGAGCUGAUUUUUUAUUAGUUUUUUGGCCAAAAAGUGCACGCCUCUUAGGUGCCCACAAUUUUGAUGGCAAAAUGGGAACACAAUUUAUUUUCUUCCAAAAAAAAAAAAAAACAAAGCACAAGACAAUCAUAUGACCACCUCUUGAAUAGAGAAUCCUAAUUUUUAUCCACCAACCUCAUAAUCAAACAUGAAAGAGUAACCUGCAAGUGACCUUUAUGCUUUCUUGUUCGACUAUGGGUUUGGUGGAUAAGAAUUAGGAUUCCUAGAGAAGUGAUCAUGAUUGUCAUCAGUUUUUUUUUUCUUUUUUUCAAGUGAAAUGAAUGUUCCCAUUUUGCCAUUGAAAUUGUGGGAACCUAAGACACAGUGCGCUUUUUGACAUGAAAACUAAUCAAAAGUGAGUUCUGAGACCAAAUGGGCGCAUUUUUAUUUAAUAUCUAAGAGACUAUUUUGAUUGAUUUUGAAUGUGAGUGACUGAAACUGUGUUUAUUAAAAAUAUGAGGGACUAUUUUGACAAACUUCCGUAUAAUAAAGAUUGACCACUUUUUCUAGGAGUUUGGACAUUAUCCAUUUGGAAGUAUUACUAUUUUGAUCCUUUAUUGUUAUAGUUUUACUCAAUUUACACUGUUUAGCUCGUUUCCAUAAGGAAUAUUUUUUCUGGGAUCUGCAAGGAAAAUCAAGGGAGCUAACGGAGGACUUGCAUGUGUGAACCACCAUGCACGUUGCAUAACAAAUUUUGCUCUUUUAUUAUUGGGCAAAAAAAAAAAAAUGGCGACCACUAAACUAUUUCUGGCAUCUACUUGUAGCUACCAAACUAUUUCUCGUCUCAAUUUAACCACUCAACUAAUUAAUCAACAUACCCUUGGUUAUUUCAUGGCAUUUUGCUCUUAGUUUACAAAUAAACCAAACACAAAUCAAGUGUCAAAAUUUAAGGGUAAUCAUAUCCACUAAAUUUCUCAAUACAAAUCUAAAAAGUCCAACAACCACUAAACUAUUCCCCUCGUACUCUUUUGACCAUUCAAAUAUAAUCACUAAAUUCUUAAAUCAGUAUACUAGCAGUCAUUCCGUCAAAUAUUUCUGUUAAUGCUAAAGGAAUGAGUUCUAUGUUCAUUUCACAUACCCAAAACAGGACAAUUUUGUAAGGUCAACUUUUUAGAUUGUUUAAAUUUUUUCCCAUUAAUAUUACACAUGCAAAUAAUAUUACAAUAAAGGAAAAUUUGUCAAAUUGGUUCCUUCCAUUUUUGAUAAUUUUUUAGCCCCUCGCAAUUAGAAUUAGCUAAAAUAGUCCCUUAAAUAUAAAAAAAAAAAUGCAUCCUUUUGGUCACAGAGCUCCUUUUGGUAAAUUCCUUCUUAUACCUUGACAUUAAAUUUUAUUUAAUAUGAACGACACAUAUUAUCUAGACGUCCAAAUAAAGGAGAUCAUUGUAACCUUUCAAAAACUUGAAUGGAGCAACAUGAAAUUGUUAUAAACCUCAAAGGUGUUUUACAUAAAUAUCCCCAUACAUUGGAACACAUUUACAAGCAGAUUUUAUCAUGCUAGUACCUUUAUAGUCAAUGAAAGCAAUACACUCAGUGCCACAUUGUUCCCUCUCCCUCUCUCUCGUUCUUCUCACAAGUUGUCUAGCGUGCUGCUUUGCUUCUCAGGACACGUUGAAGCUUUUGUUCUUUGCUAGCUAGGUAAUUAUUAUAUACCUGGCUCUCAAUUUCUGUGGUCCACUUCAUUAAUUGAUUUUUUUUUGUAAAAAUUUUAGGGUAUCAAUUUCAGACGUUUGUUUUUCUUCGUUAUUGGAAAAAUCCAGCAGCUGUUUGCAUGCUAAUAUAUGGGAUUUCUCUUUUGCUUAGAUCUGGAACACUUGCUGUCUAGCAGGAAAGAAUUAGUACCUGCAUAUUAUGUGACCCUGAAAAAAAAAAAACCAUCUUUCUUUCUGUCCUUCAUUAGUUUGGCACUAAAACUUGAGUAAGGUUAACAGGAUUGUGCGGUACAACCAACAAUAAUGGAGGGGAGAAGAUGGAUACAGAGGGAAAGGUGGAGACAGAGAAGAUGAACAAGGCAAUUGCGAUGGCAUAUGAUGUCCAAUCUAAAAUAGUAGAGGAUCUAGUUGGCGAUCACUUUCAUGUUGGCUUCUAUGACUCUAGCUCCGUUGUCCCUGGUUCUGAUGUCCAUUCUGCUCAGACUCGCAUGAUCGAGGCGGCCCUCCGUUUUGCCUCUGUAUCAGGUAUAUUCAACGCACCACUCUUAAGUUAUGGAUUGGCAGUUUAUCUCGAGUUUUCUUCUCUAAGUACAAAUGCUGUAGUUAUGAAACAAAACUGUAUUUUGCUGCAGAGCUAAGCUUUUUACUUGGGUGCAGAUUAAUUCCCAUUAAUUUCGAUUGUGACUUCGUUGAGUCAUCUACCCCGGCUAUCAAUUUGUAUAGUCUCCGACCCGUUUUGGACGUGAAUCUAAUUAGUAUAGAUAGUUUAAUAAAGGGCAAAUUCCACUUUACCCCCGGGAUUUAGCAUUUUUUACAUGACCCCCCUUAUAGUUUCAAAAACUAUACAUAACCCCCUCAUGAUUUGGAUUAAAGUGUCAAAGUGAUGGGAAUGAUCAUUCGCAACGGAGUCACCUAAAAUGUCAAAAAUACCCUUAUGUAAAGUUGAAAAUUAUUUAGGAUAAAUUCCACUUUACCCUCCUGUAGUUUAGCAUUUUUUUACAUAACCCCCCUAUGAUUUCAAAAGUUAUACAUAACCUCCCUAUCAUGAACUUUGAACUAAAUAAAUUGAUAAAACAUUUCUAAUAGAAAAGGCACUUAUGUAACCUUGCACCCAAAUGAUAAAAUUGAACACUAAAUAAGUGCUCUUGUCAGAAUCUCUACUACAUGAAAUACUUCGUCGUAAUCUUAAGGAUUAAUUUUAUAAAUACUGUCAGUGUAUAUACUAUUACCAUUAAAUAUAUAAUACAUGUGCAAAAUUUGAAUUUGACAGUAUAUAUACUUACAAUGUAUAUAAAUUUAUUCUAAUCUUAAACAGCCACCUAAUAUUAAAGAAUUAUCUAAGAUGGAAUAGCAUUUCUCUCAUGGUUGUUAAAAUCGCGAUCCGGAUCGUAGGAUCGUACGAUCCUAUGAUCCGGAUCGGCAAAAUCGAUCCGGAUCACACUCAGAAUCGCAAAUUCCUUGAAUCUAUAUAGGAUCGAGGUAGGAUCGGUAGGAUCGCAUAGAAUCGUACGAUCCUACGAUCCUACUUCGAUCCUACAAUUUUUUGCUAAUUUGUGGAAUACAAGGUUCAUUUUGCAAGUAAAAAUCGACAUUUGGGGUAGGCUUGUAAGUUCACACUCAAUUGCAGGCCUUAGUUGCAAUGUUUUAACAAAUUUUGCCUCAAAGUCAAAAGAUUCCGUCAAAAAGCUUCGGGCCUUCUUCAUCUCCCCUCAAGCAGAGCUUUGACGUUUCUCUUCUCCUCUCCGCUGCCCAAAUCAAAUCCCUAAUUUUAACCAUCAAACCACCUCAAGCUUCGGCUACAGCUCUUACCAAGAACCCACAAGACAAAUCGCUGCGGCUUCUACCAGGAACCCACAAGCUACAGUCGACAGCUAUUGCAGAAAAAGUUCAUCUUCUGCAUUGGGUGAAAAGCUGAGCAGCAAAAUCAUCAUCUUCCUCUCUCAUACUCAUACUACUUUGUAAGCGUUUAAACAUGAAUGCAAUAGUGACUAAUUAAUGGCGUGUGAAAUUAGGAUCGAAAUGUACAAAUUUUACCUUUUCUCAAGCUUUUUUCGUUUACAUUGUAGGAAAUUAUAUGAUACCAGGAAUUCUAUUCUGUUGGAUGGUGCUCCUAUUUUUUUUCUCAAUAAUUGAAAUUUGUAUUUGGCAACUUUAAUUAGUGAAACCACAGGAAGUUUUAAAUACUUGAAUUAAAUGAUGAAAUGAAAUCUAAUGCCAGAACUUUUUCUGCCCAUUUAAUAUUUGAGCUUUAUAUAUAUAUAUAUAUAUAUAUAUAUAUAUAUAUAUUAAGUUUUUGUAAUGAAUGUUCAAUAUUUGAUCGUUAACACAUUCAAUUCACACCUAUUAUGUAUAUGCACUUCUAACACGCAUAACCUUUUUUUAUAUUCAUAUAUAUACCUUUUUUGAUUAAUAUUACUUUUCUAAAAAUUUCAUUCUUCAACUACGUACAUAUUUUUCAUUAAUUCGAAAUUGUAAACAUAUUAUUGAUCUUUUGUGAUUGGCAAUUGGCAAUCAAAACAUUCUUGAAAUGCUGUCGGCUGUAACUUCUUCAUCUUUUUAUUACUUGUCAGAUAGUAAGUAAAAAAUGCUAUAUAUUGAUGAGUAACUUAUUUAUUUGAUAUCUUUUAGGAUGUACAAAAUGGUAUAUGAAUUUCAAUUUCAUUAAUUUAGUAAAUUUAGGAGCUUUUGGUGGGAUCUACGAUCCUACGAUCCGAUUUUGUGAAACUAAAAUCGAUCCUACGUGGAAUCCUGAUUUUACAAACCUUGAUUUCUCUGCCAAUUGCGAUAGUCAUGCAUCUUGUUCUUAACAACACAAAAUAUUGCUUACCUUCGAAAAAUCAACACAUAAUUUUAUUGGUAUCACUCAAAAUUGGGUCAAUUUCAAUCAUAUUUCCUGAGAUUUGACCUAAUUAAAAAGUAUGCCUUGUGAUUUGAUCAGAUUACAGUCGAAUCCCCCAGUAGCAAAACAUUUGUCAAAUACCUGGCCCUCACUUUAAAUACAAUAUUGGCAAUUAAACGCAGCCCUCACUUUAAUUCUAUUAUUUCCUUUCAAGUCAAAUACUUCUUCACACAUAAGAAAGAAAAUAAAACUUUUAGUUCAUGACCAAACAACACCAUUUCAACUUUUUUUUAUCAAUCAGUAAUAUCUAUACUAUCUUACCCUAUAGGGGAGAAAUCCAACUGCGUUGUAUAAAGGGCUAGAGAGCAAGCAAGUUCAUCUAAACCAAAGAGGUGCUCUGACACACUUUUUGAAAUUUUUUUAACUAUAAGUUCUGGAUGUAGGGUUUAAACUUCCGACGUACAAUCUAAAGAGGAAUUUUAAAUCCCUUAGUUUGAAUUGAAGUACCAAAUUCUACACCCAAUAGUACAUGCACAUGUAAAUGGGGAUAAUCAAUUGGGGAAGGAUAAAAACAGAAGCAACAUUUUGUUUUUCUUUUUUCUGUUGGUCUUUCCUCAUUUUAGUGGUUUUAGUUUUUCUUUGACUACAUUUGCAAUGGAUUUAGGUAUUUGGCUAUUCAAAAGGUUAGAUUACAAAUUGGUCAAAGUACAGGAUUAGUUCUAUAAUUUGGACAAGCCUGAUGCAAUGUGAAUAUAAAUUAAGCAUAGAAUUUGUUUUUUGGGGCAAUCAUAUGCAAUUUCUGUAAUUGAUACUCUGGGUUUAGGUCAUGCACACAUUGAAAAAAGAAAUGGUUUGAUUGCUUUUCAAUGUGUCUAUUUUCUUUCCUAGUGAAACAUCCUCCUCAUAAUUUCUAGUUUUUUCUCCUCUCCAACUUGGUCGUUUUUUGUUUCAUUUUUUUGUUUAGUAGUCAACCAACGGGCAUUAUUUAUCAUGAAAUAAUAUGCAGAGGAUCCAUCGAAGAAACCAAGAAACAUACUUGAUGUUGGAUGCGGUAUUGGUGGCAGCACCAGGUACCUAGCAAGUAAAUAUGGUUCUCAAUGUAAAGGCAUCACCCUUAGCCCUGUUGAGGCUGAAAGAGCUCGUGUUCUAACUGCUGCCCAAGGAUUAGAAAGCCAGGUUUGUAUGAACUCUCCGUCUUACAAUUUUGAACGAUUUGCAAGAAGUUAUCAAUUGUUAAAUCACCCUUGCCGCUCACUCUUUUUAUGCAAGUGCACAAUAAGUAAAAAUUUUCAUUCCUCCAUUUCUUAAGGAAUGAUGACAGAGUGCAUACUACUACUAUGGUUUUGAAAAAAUAAUAAAUUGUGUUCAUGAAAGCAAACCAGAUACUCAAAAGUUUCAAGAAUCCUAAUUUGUGAUAGUUUUGUUUUGAUUAUCCAUCCUCACCUUUACUUUUUAUACACUAAAAAUGCAAAAUUUUUGAAUCCUGAAUUUUAGGGGAUAAAAUUAUCUCAUAAUAGAAUUGAAUUCAAAUAUGUAUUAUCAAUAAGCUUAGGUAAUGAUGUUAACUCUUGAAUUUGGAUACAUACGUAUGUGUGUACAUAUACAUAUACAUACAUAUAUAUGUGCGUGUGUGUAUGUGUAUGUGUAUAUAUACAUACAUAUAUAUAUAUAUACAUGUACAUAUACAUAUACAUACAUACACACACACAACAUGCACACACAUGCACAUAUACAUGCAUAUAUAUAUAUAUAUAUAUAUAUAUAUAUAUAUAUAUAUAUAUAUAUAUACACAUAUAUGUGUGUAUGUAUAUAGAUGUAUGUAUGUAGAAUUAAUCUUCUAUGCAAUAACUAAUAAUUUAUACACUAUUAGAUUUAGAUGAAAUUCAAAUUAAGAUUAAUUAUUAUGCAUGUCAGUAUAGAGAAGAUUAACAAUAUAUUAUUGAUUAUGCCAAGUUUUAAAUUCAGAUCAAGUCACAUUUCAAAUAAACUUUGUAGAAUGACUCGGAACUUUACUCCAAAUUCCAAGUAAAAGCCACCACAAUGCUAGAAAGAGAAGUAAGAAAGAAAAAGAUGCAAAAUCAUUAUGCAGAUAUAUAGUAGUGCUGCUUUCUUUUCCUAACAGCUGCUAAAACGUACAUAGCAGGUUUCCUUUGAAGUGGAAGAUGCAUUGAAUCAGCCAUUUGAAGAUGGUUCAUUCGAUUUAAUUUGGUGCAUUGAAUGUGCAGAUCACAUAAGCGACAAAACAAAGGUUAUAUUUCUUGUCGCAGCUUCCUUUACAAUUACUAUUUCUCUUUUUUUGUUUUUUUGUUUUUAUCAAUCACGUGGCUGGUUGGUUCGAUUUGAGAAGUUGCUGCCUUCGUACACCAAUCCACAAAUUACCAAAAAUUUUGCAUUUUCCUAAAAUCAUCCGUCGAUUUCAAAUAACAGUACAUUGCCAGUGUUUUCAAGACUCAACUUAGUUCAUAGAGAUAUUCACAUUGUAAUUAAUGAUGAAUAAAAAGUGUCACUAUUUUGAAAAUUUACAAGUCAUUAUUUUGGUAUAAAUGCAUAGCCCGAUUUUAUUCAAUCACAUUAACAGAAGAAGUGGUGGUAAAGAACCCUAAUAGAGAUGGUUUUAUAAUUAAGCCCCUUAAUUAACCUUUAUUACCUAAAAGUAAAGGUAGUAUGGGAAUUUCAAACUUUUCUUUAUAUCAAUAUAGACGGUUUUCAUCCACCUUACCUAUCAGUUUAAACCAAUAAAGUCUUUUGGAUAUUUUUGAAUGAGAAGGGGGUUCAAUAACGUGCAAAUCAUAGGAAAGUUUUGUGCAUUUUACUCAAAAAGAAUAAAUUCCAGAUUGAUCCACCAUAUUAUCUAUAAAAAUUAGAAAAAAAAAAAAGAUUGAUCCAUAUUGAAUGCGGAUCCAUACGGAGGCCGUGGAAUUGAUGCAAUGACUCAUAGGUGUACCACUUGCUUUCUUGUGGAGGGAGGGAAGGGGAGGAAAGGAGGGAGGGAGAAGGGGAGUCAGGAGGGAAGGGGGAGGAAUGGUGGUGGCAGUGAAGAAAGGGAAGUGCUGGUGGCAGCGGAUGGUGAUAGGCAGUGAAUGGAAGAAGAAAUGGCUGGUAGUUUCUUCUUUUAUAUAUAUAUAUUUUUUGUUAGGUGUAUUUGAGAUCGUGUGUAUUUGUAGUGAUUUUGAGACUAUUUUUGGAGCUUGUUACUAUAGAUUCCAAAUAUAAAAACUAGUUUUCCAAAAAAACUCAUUUUAAAAACAUAGGCCAAGAUGAGACAUUACAUUAGAAAACAAAGAUGUAAUUUUCAAGGGGUAAAAUUGUAAUUAUAAUAUGUUAAAGAAGAAUCAGUUCCUCGAGCACGCUUCAUUGUAUCCAUAUAUAUGUAUUAUUUGCUUCUUGUCUUGUGAAAACCUUCAAAAGAGGACUUGCAAGGGAAAUAAUACCUACCAACUGAUGGAUUCCAAAGCACUUGUUUCUUGUGUUCUCCUCCUUCAUCUGUUGAUUGUCCUGGUAAGUUACUUUGACAAUAAAUUGUUUUUUGUGAUUUAUAUGCUGUGGACUUAAUUCUCGCUGUCUUACAACACUAUACAACCUGUACAGGGAGCCUGUGAUAUCAUACCCAAGGCCAAGGAUAGUGGUACUAAUGCAAUCAGGCUCCAGGGCAUGGAUGCUAAUAAUCCUCAUCGAAAUGAUAAGACACAUCAUGUUGCUCACGUCCAUGAAAAGAAGUCAAUGCACGAUCCUUCUCUUUCCUCAUCCCACAUGAUGCAUCAGAUGGAUCCAAGAGCAACCGUGUUUUUCGUUUUAGAUGAUCUCAAGUUAGGCAAAACAUUGAGUAUCCUUUUCCCUGACGGAGAUCCUAGUCCUUUGUCCUCUCCUUAUCUCUGGCCUAGAGAACAAGCCGAUGCUAUCCCCUUUUCAUUGGCAAAACUCCCACAGAUUCUUCAACACUUUUCAUUCCCUCAAGGAUCUCGCAAAGCCCAAGUGAUGGAACAUACACUCCGAGCUUGCGAGACUAAGCCUAUGAAGGGAGAAUCCAAGGCUUGUGCCACAUCCUACGAGUCAUUGGUAGAUUUUGCACGAAAGAUCUUGGGAUUGAAUACCGAUAUUGAAGUUUUAUCAACGCAUCGCCUCGUAAAAUCUAAUGCUGCUAGAUUACAGAACUAUACAAUCACAGAAGCUCCUAAACGAAUUUCAACUCUAAAGAUGGUUGGCUGUCACAGCAUGCCAUAUCCUUUCAUAGUUUUCGGUUGCCACUAUCAGCCGGGUGAUAAUCAUUUAUACAGGACUGUUCUAUCUGGAGAGAAUGGUGAUAGGGUUGAAGCUACUGCAAGAUGUCACAUGGAUACCUCCCAAUGGAGCCAUGAUCACGUUUCCUUCCGAGUGCUUGGUAUCGAACCGGGCACUGCCCCUGUUUGCCAUUUCUUCCCGGCAGAGGACUUUGUAUUGGUUCCAUCUACUUCUUCAAUCUAGUAAUAUCCAAGAGCUCAAGUGCUUUCAGCAUUUUAGUUGUUUAGCUUAAGUCGCCUUGUCUGAAUGUGUAAUACUAGAAAUCAAUAAAUUCGUGUGCCUCAUGUUUGAUUAUCUGUAUUCGAAUAAAACUCCGUGGAGUAGUAGCGCUACUUUUGACAAUCAAAGUUUUAUAUACUUCAAUUUCUUAGAGCAUCUCGAACACGUAUGUUACUAGAUUGCAGCCUACAAUUUUUUUUCCCCUAUUUUCUGCUAAUGUAUCCCCUAAUGUAGAAUUUUUUUUUUCUUGGAGCGGAGGUUUGUUAGGAGAGCAUCAAUUCAAACAAUUUACUUAGAAGACCAAUUUUCAGGAGCCUGGAUUAGAAUACUAUUUUUAAUUGGUGAACAAGUGCUUGUCUCUUCCUAAUUAGUCACUAAUUAGUCACUUUAAGCAAGUCCUGGGAGGAUGUUGAAACAAUUGAUAAUUCUUCAUUAUAAUCUAUCAGUCACAAAAAGACAAUGAUUAAGAAUAGACAAAUACUAAAAAUGACGAACAUUGUGGAGGAUACAAAAAUGAAUGACACUUUUAGUAGGACAAAAGAAGUAAAAAUUAAUUUUGUGAUCGGCAUAGCUCUUAUUUUGAGUUAAAUAUAUAUUGAUUCCACCAAUAAUGUAUCCUCUUAAAAAGUAAACAUUUUAUUCUCACUAUGGUAAAAUGGCAAACAUCCGUGCAUACAUUGAUUGAUAUGUAGACAAUUUUUGGACUAAUACAUAGCAGAGUUUUGAAAUUCAAGCUGACACAUCGACUCAAUAGAAUUUAGGGUCAGGAGUCAAGAGGUUAAAGUGAGUAAUGUGAGUAUGAAUCCUUAGUAUGUGAGUAAUGAAUCAUUAGUAUCAUGUCCUUUCACGUGUGUAGUUAUGUGAGUAAUGAAUCCUUAGAAUCACCGGUUAUAAUGAAUCCUUAUGCACAUUUAAUUGACUUCAUAUUUCGUACCCACAGAUAAUCAAAGAUAUAACUGGGUGAUUCACGAGUUGAUUUUCAAGUACAUGUUUCGUGAGACUAUGAGCCGGUUUAGAUUGUAAUUUUUGGGAAGUUUUACAGAAAAAUAUAAAUCGUAUCUACAAAAAAAAAAUUAAUCAAAGAUAUAACUGGUGAUUCAUGAGUGGAUAAAAGAAUUGAGUGUUUCCUAAUUGAUAAAGGACAGAGUUUUUCUUAUGUAGUAGCUUGACUUCUUGAUCGCAUAAUUGUGGCUGUCCAUCUCUUUGAUUUGGAUUCCGAUCUUAUUCAAAUACUUUUGGAGGGGUAUCCUAUAAUUAGAGUUAGAGGUGGGAAUUGUCCCAAGUCCCAAUGAGCUACCCAUGUCCAAAAGAACUUUGGGCGGGAUGGGUAUUGUAAUUUGAUAUUGGGUUUAAAAUGGGAUGCAUCCCAAUUAUACCAUUAUUUGAUGGAAAAUGUUGGGAAAUACUUGGGUACCCAUUGGGCCUAAAUAUCUUCCCAAAAAAUUUCAUUUAUCCAAAAAUUCAUCUUUGAUUUUUUUUUUGGCAAAAAUCUGAUUUUUUUUCACUUCCAUUUUCUUUCUUUUCCUUUCUUCACUUUCCUACAAAAGAAAACCAGUUAAGUAAAAAUGAUUUCAUUUAAACAACUUUAAAAAAAUAAAGAUAACAAUAACAAUAAAAUGAAUUGGUAAAAUUUUGGUGUCUACAAGAAUUAAUGCUUUACUAACAACUGUUAGCAUCCUUUAUGUUGAUUUUAUGCUAAUUGUUGAGCUAUCUAUAUAGAUUUCUAUAUGCAACCUUGUUAUCAAUUUUUAAUCAGUUUCUUCGUUUCUGUGCUAGCUUUAUUCAGCAUUUAAUGUGAAUUUCUUUUGUAUCAAAAUUUGGAAAUUUUAAGAAUGUCAGUAAGAAUGAAUUUGGUGUUAAAAAAUCUUGUUUCUAGUCCUUGUGUCAGACAACAUUAUGGGUAAGGUUGGAAUAUGGCUGUAUAUCUAUCUUUUUCUUUAUUUGUUAAUCCAAUUUUUGGUUUAAUCCAGGGAGAAGAUAUGUUCAUUCUUACCAAAAUGUUAUGUCUUUUAAAAGUAACUGUUGAUCGUUUUAGAGUGUAAAUGAAUUCAGGAAAAUAUAAAUUCACAAUAAGAUCAAAAGAAAUUUAAUAAAUAAAAAUAUUAAAGUUAUAUAAAAAAUAAAAAAGAAUUAAAGGGAAAAAAAUAUAGAAAAUAGAUUUGGGUAUUGGGCGGGAUCAAUCUAAACCUAUCUCAAUGUGAUCCCGCCCAAGUUAGUUCCAAAACACAUAUGGGCAAGGUUAGGUCCAUACCCAUAUGAUUCGGUUCCAUUUCGAAUCCAAGCAAAUUCCGCCCAUCCCGCCCAUUUUGCCACCUCUAAUUUAGAGUGUCAAUCACAAACUUAAUUAUGUUGAUUCACCCAAACUCACGCUUCAAUAACUCGUUCAAACCCACCCACUAAUUUUAAAUAAGUCUAAAUGGGCAUGAAAUUAAACUCAUUUAAUUAGUAGGCAGUGGAUUAACUCGAAUCACUUAUUUAUACCCAUUUAAAAUAAUUAUAUAUUUAAACUCAAGUAUUAAACAAAUAAAUUUGAAUUUAUUAUCAAUCUAAUAAUAAUAAAAUAUUAUUAUUUUUUAUCAGACAAUAUGUAAAAAAAUAAAAAAUUAAAUUAUAACCAUUUAAAUUCGUUUAAAUAACCUAUUUUGAUACCUCCACAGACCACUGUCUGCUCAUUGGACAUUCCACCACCACUUGUUCAGCUGUUCCUUUUGUCCAGGCGGUCGCCAGUGUCUAUCAUUUUCGAAUACCAGGUAAGGCUCUGACAUUAGGGUCCACCUGCCAUAGUGCCAUCCCAUUGAUUAACCAAGUUACAGCGCUGUCAUAUUUGUCAAGCCAUCCUUCAUUAUUGGAUCUUUUAUUCUAUAUAUGGGACUGUCCUUACUGUUCCCAUGAAAGACUGGUCCAGAAAUGUAUGGCAGCUGUGAAAUACGCUGGCUCUCUGAAUCUUGUCCCAUGAAGAUAUGCAGCUGAAAAUCCCAACGCAUUGGUUUCACGAGUUUUCCUAUCCACCAUGCCUGCCAAUUAUCUAUCACCAUAUAAUAGAGUGUUUUUAAAGUAUACGGACCGACCGAUUCUAAACAUUGAACCGAGGAUUUGGUGGGUAUUCGGUCUGAGUUAAUCAAUUGAGUUGAACAGACAUUGAUCAGACCUGCUCAAAAAUUGGGUUUGAAUAAAGAAAAUUGAGUUUUUAACUACAUAUUUUGUGAGACUAUGAGCGGGUUUAGAUUGUAAUUAUUGGGAAGUUUUAUAGAAAAAAUAUAAUCGUUUGGUUGUUAACGAGUGGAUAAAAGAAUUGAGUGUUACCUAAUUGAUGAAGGAUAGAGUUUUUCUUAUGUAGUGACUGCACCUCUUGAUCACAUGAUUUUGGUGAUUAUCGAUCUCUUCGAUUUGGAUUCCAAUCUUAUUCAAAUAUUUUUUAUUCUUUCAGAUUAUGUCUUUCUUGUGCAUUUCAAUCUUUGUAAUUUAACAAUUGUUUCUUAGAUUGGAUUUUGAUUCUGUUAGACUAUGUCUUUCUUGUGCAUUUCAAUCUUUGCAAUUUAAUAAUUGUUUCUUAGAUUGGAUUUACAUGUUUAGUUCUGGAGAGGCCCCUUGAUCUGGAUUCGAGACCUGGCCAGUUGUAUUUCUACUCAAUUACAGAUAUUUAGUAAUUUCAUAUUUUAUUACACCAUUGUUUCUAAGAUUGGAUUUUGAUUCUUUUAGAUUAUGUCUUUCUUUUGCAUUUCAAUCUUUGGAAUUUAAUAAUUGUUUCUUAGAUUGGAUUUACAAGUUUAGUUCUGGAGAGGCCCCCUGAUCUCGAUUCGAGGCCUGACAAAUUGUAUUUGUACUCGAUUUCGGGUAUGUAGUAAUUUCAUAUUUUAUUACAUCAUUGUUUCUUAGAUUGGAUUUUGAUUCUUUUAGAUUAUGUCUUUCUUGUGCAUUUCAAUCUUUGCAAUUUAAUAAUUGUUUCUUAGAUUGGAUUUACAUGUUUAGUUCUGAAGAGGCCCCCCUGAUCUCGAUUCGAGGUCUGACAAGUUGUAUUUCUACUCGAUUUCGGGUAUUUAGUAAUUUCAUAUUUUAUUACACCAUUUUUCAACUCAAUCAAAUCAUAUUUUAACUUUUGUCACACUAUUUUCCAACUCAGUUACAUUAAAAGGCAAACUUGUGAGAAAUAAAACUUGUGAGACCCCAUCAACCCCUGCUCCUAUUAAUAUUACACAUGUAGAUUAUAUUUUAAAAGGAAAAUUGCCAAAUUGGUCCCUUAAAGUUUCGGAAAAAAAGCUUUUUUUACUCCAUCAAAAUUAGAAUUAGUCAAAAUAGUCCAUCAAAUAUAACAAAAGAAAAGUAUCCUUUUAGUCCGCGAGCUCAUUUUUUGAUCGGUCUUCUAGCCAAAAAGUGUGUGCCUUUCUUAGGUACCCACAAUUUAAAUAGCAAAAUGGGAAAACAAUUUAUUUUCUUCCAAAAAAAGCACAUGACAAUCAUAUGAUCACCUCCUGAAUAGGAAAUCGUAAUUAUUAUCCAUCAAAUUCAUAAUCGAAGAAAGAGUAAACUACAGGUGACCUUUACACUUUCUUGUUUGAUUAUGGAUCUGGUGGAUAUGAAUUAAGGUUCCUUUGCUAGAGGUGUGGUUAUGUGAUUGUGAUGUAUUUUUUAUUUAAGAGAAACAAAUUGCGUUUCAAUUUUGCCGUUGAAAUUGUGGGAACCAGAGAGAAGGUGCACUUUUAGGCUUAAAAAUUGAUUGAAAGUGAGUUUUGGGACUAAAGGAGCACAUUUUUUAUAAUUAUUUUGAUGCUUAUAUCAAAACCAUACAAAUUUACACCGAAUGUAUUAAAAAUUAUACAAACUGAUUUGAACUAGAUAGAAUUUAACUUGCUGUAUAAGACAAUUUAUUAUGCAUAAUAAUUGUUUCUAGAUGUCUAUUCUUACAUUUCUUCUGAGCUUUGAUUUGCAUCCUAUGUGACGGAUACAUCGAAUUCGUACCGACAGAUAAUCAAUAAUGCAACUGGGUGAUUCAUGAGUUGACAAAGAAUUCAUUGCUCUUAAGUGGUAGUUGCACCUCUUGAUCACAUGAUUCUAGUUGUCGAUCUCUUCGAUUUGGACCCCAAUAUUUUUCCAAUAGUUUUGACUAUUUCAGAUUAUGUCUUUCUUGUGCCUUUCAAUUUUUACAAUUUAAUAAUUGUUUCUUAGAUUAAUAACUGUCUUUUUUAUGCCAUUGUGCUGAAGAAAGGUACCAAUAAUGACAGACUUAAGAGUAAAUCAUAAUUGAGGACAAAAUUUGAGAGUUUUUAUAUAAAAAGUAUAUUAUAAUGUAUUUCUUAAAAUGUGAUGUAUGUAAAGUAAAAAUGUAAUUAGAAUAUAUAAUAAAAGAAUUCUCACGAAAAUUCACAAAAGUUUUUGGCAAAAAAUGCAAUCCAAAGAUUUGAUGAGCUAGCGUUGGAUGCGUCGACACUGGACCUCUAUGAUUGUCCGUCUACUUACUUUUAUAAUUAAGGUUUUCUGCUAAAAAUAAAAUAAUGUCUUAGGUGCAACGUUGUUUUCUUGAGAUUGACUCCGCAGCAACCACGUAUUUCUUCUGAGCUCUAACUUGGCUCGCAUGUGGUGGGUACUGUUUCCGUAUAAAACAAUUUGUUAUGUGCAAUAAUGGUUUCUGGAUAUAGAUUCUUACAUUUCUUCUGAGUUUUGAUUUGCCUCUUACAUGGUGGAUACACCCAAUUGACCUCAUAGUUCAUACCUGCAGAAAAUAAUCAAAGACGUAAUUGGUGAUUCACGUGUGGAUAAAGAUUUGAGUGUUUUUCUAAUUAAUAAAGAAUGAAGUGUUUCUUAAGUAAUAGCGGCACUCUUGAUCACAUGAUUCUGCUUGUUGAUCACUUUGAUUUGGAUUAUGAUCUUAUUCAAAUACUUUUGAUUCUUUGAGAUUACGUCUUUCUUGUGCAUUUCAAUCUUUGCAAUUUAAUAAUUUUUUUAAAAUGAGAUUUACAUGUUUAGUUCUAGAGAGGCCCCUGAUUUGUAUUCGGGGCUCUGUUUUGAAACUCGGACCGGACCGGCCGGUCGAACCGGGAACCGGCCAGGUAGCCGGUCCGAGUCAUAUUAAAAAAUCGGAAAUUUAAAAGUCGGUCAAAAAUCGGGUUUGACCGGGUAAAAAUCGGUUUUUCCGGUUCAACAGUAAAUUUUGUAAAAACAAUUUUAAACUUUUUAAUAUUAUGUUUUGACCCCCUAAAUUGUUAAAACUUAUUGAUAUACCUCAAAUAUUUGAUACUUUAUAAAUAUUGUCCUAAAAUUUGAUGUUAUUUUUCAAUUAAAUUCAUAAUUUUAAUUCUAAACUUGUUAAUAUUUAUUAAAUAAUAUAAAUUGCUACUUGAUUGUUCUAAUUUCUUUGUAUCUUCUUGUUAAAUAUAUUUGAAACAUCAAAUAUAUAUGAAUAUACCUUUAUUAAUAUCAAUAUAUUAUUAGAUAUUAUAUAUAUAAUAUUUUAAUUUUUAAAUAAUUUUUAUUUAUGACGUCAUCCGGUUCGACCCCUAUCGACCCCCGGUCGAACCCAUUGACCCCUGACCCCUGAUCUCGGCCGAGUCGCUAUCCGGUCCGGUUUUGAAAACAUAGAUUUGGGGUUGUACUUUACUCGAUUUCGGGAUAAGUUAGUAAUUUCACAUUUUAUUGCACUAUAUUUCAAAUCAAUUACAAUAUAUUUAAACUUUUGUUAUACCAUUUUCCAACCCAGUUACAUCGAAGAGCAAACUUGUGGAAAAUAAAACUUAUAAAGCCCCUGAUCCCAUUAAUAUUACACAUGCAGAUACUAUUAUAAUAAAGGAAAAAUUGUCAAAUUGAUCCCUUCCAUUUUCGAUAACUUUUUUAGUUCCUCACAAUUAGAAUUAGCUAAAAUAGUCCCUUAAAUAUAUAUAAAAAAAUACAUCCUUUUGGUCACAGAGCUGAUUUUUUAUUAGUUUUUUGGCCAAAAAGUGCACGCCUCUUAGGUGCCCACAAUUUUGAUGGCAAAAUGGGAACACAAUUUCUUUUCUUCCAAAAAAAAAAAAAAACAAAGCACAAGACAAUCAUAUGACCACCUCUUGAAUAGAGAAUCCUAAUUUUUAUCCACCAACCUCAUAAUCAAACAUGAAAGAGUAACCUGCAAGUGACCUUUAUGCUUUCUUGUUCGACUAUGGGUUUGGUGGAUAAGAAUUAGGAUUCCUAGAGAAGUGAUCAUGCGAUUGUCAUCAGUUUUUUUUUUCUUUUUUUCAAGUGAAAUGAAUGUUCCCAUUUUGCCAUUGAAAUUGUGGGAACCUAAGACACAGUGCGCUUUUUGACAUGAAAACUAAUCAAAAGUGAGUUCUGAGACCAAAUGGGCGCAUUUUUAUUUAAUAUCUAAGAGACUAUUUUGAUUGAUUUUGAAUGUGAGUGACUGAAACUGUGUUUAUUAAAAAUAUGAGGGACUAUUUUGACAAACUUCCGUAUAAUAAAGAUUGACCACUUUUUCUAGGAGUUUGGACAUUAUCCAUUUGGAAGUAUUACUAUUUUGAUCCUUUAUUGUUAUAGUUUUACUCAAUUUACACUGUUUAGCUCGUUUCCAUAAGGAAUAUUUUUUCUGGGAUCUGCAAGGAAAAUCAAGGGAGCUAACGGAGGACUUGCAUGUGUGAACCACCAUGCACGUUGCAUAACAAAUUUUGCUCUUUUAUUAUUGGGCAAAAAAAAAAAAAAAUGGCGACCACUAAACUAUUUCUGGCAUCUACUUGUAGCUACCAAACUAUUUCUCGUCUCAAUUUAACCACUCAACUAAUUAAUCAACAUACCCUUGGUUAUUUCAUGGCAUUUUGCUCUUAGUUUACAAAUAAACCAAACACAAAUCAAGUGUCAAAAUUUAAGGGUAAUCAUAUCCACUAAAUUUCUCAAUACAAAUCUAAAAAGUCCAACAACCACUAAACUAUUCCCCUCGUACUCUUUUGAUCAUUCAAAUAUAAUCACUAAAUUCUUAAAUCAGUAUACUAGCAGUCAUUCCGUCAAAUAUUUCUGUUAAUGCUAAGGAAUGAGUUCUAUGUUCAUUUCACAUACCCAAAACAGGACAAUUUUGUAAGGUCAACUUUUUAGAUUGUUUAAAUUUUUUCCCAUUAAUAUUACACAUGCAAAUAAUAUUACAAUAAAGGAAAAUUUGUCAAAUUGUUUCCUUCCAUUUUUGAUAAUUUUUUAGCCCCUCGCAAUUAGAAUUAGCUAAAAUAGUCCCUUAAAUAUAAAAAAAAAAAUGCAUCCUUUUGGUCACAGAGCUCCUUUUGGUAAAUUCCUUCUUGUACCUUGACAUUAAAUUUUAUUUAAUAUGAAUGACACAUAUUCUCUAGACGUCCAAAUAAAGGAGAUCAUUGUAACCUUUCAAAAACUUGAAUGGAGCAACAUGAAAUUGUUAUAAACCUCAAAGGUGUUUUAAAUAAAUAUCCCCAUACAUUGGAACACAUUUACAAGCAGAUUUUGUCAUGCUAGUACCUUUAUAGUCAAUGAAAGCCAAUACACUCAGUGCCACAUUGUUCCCUCUCCCUCUCUCUCGUUCUUCUCACAAGUUGUCUAGCGUGCUGCUUUGCUUCUCAGGACACGUUGAAGCUUUUGUUCUUUGCUAGCUAGGUAAUUAUUAUAUACCUGGCUCUCAAUUUCUGUGGUCCACUUCAUUAAUUGAUUUUUUUUUUGUAAAAAUUUUAGGGUAUCAAUUUCAGACGUUUGUUUUUCUUCGUUAUUGGAAAAAUCCAGCAGCUGUUUGCAUGCUAAUAUAUGGGAUUUCUCUUUUGCUUAGAUCUGGAACACUUGCUGUCUAGCAGGAAAGAAUUAGUACCUGCAUAUUAUGUGACCCUGAAAAAAAAAAAACCAUCUUUCUUUCUGUCCUUCAUUAGUUUGGCACUAAAACUUGAGUAAGGUUAACAGGAUUGUGCGGUACAACCAACAAUAAUGGAGGGGGAGAAGAUGGAUACAGAGGGAAAGGUGGAGACAGAGAAGAUGAACAAGGCAAUUGCGAUGGCAUAUGAUGUCCAAUCUAAAAUAGUAGAGGAUCUAGUUGGCGAUCACUUUCAUGUUGGCUUCUAUGACUCUAGCUCCGUUGUCCCUGGUUCUGAUGUCCAUUCUGCUCAGACUCGCAUGAUCGAGGCGGCCCUCCGUUUUGCCUCUGUAUCAGGUAUAUUCAACGCACCACUCUUAAGAUAUGGAUUGGCAGUUUAUCUCGAGUUUUCUUCUCUAAGUACAAAUGCUGUAGUUAUGAAACAAAACUGUAUUUUGCUGCAGAGCUAAGCUUUUUACUUGGGUGCAGAUUAAUUCCCAUUAAUUUCGAUUGUGACUUCGUUGAGUCAUCUACCCCGGCUAUCAAUUUGUAUAGUCUCCGACCCGUUUUGGACGUGAAUCUAAUUAGUAUAGAUAGUUUAAUAAAGGGCAAAUUCCACUUUACCCCCGGGAUUUAGCAUUUUUUACAUGACCCCCCUUAUGGUUUCAAAAACUAUACAUAACCCCCUCAUGGUUUGGAUUAAAGUGCCAAAGUGAUGGGAAUGAUCAUUCGCAACGGAGUCACCUAAAAUGUCAAAAAUACCCUUAUGUAAAGUUGAAAAUUAUUUAGGAUAAAUUCCACUUUACCCUCCUAUAGUUUAGCAUUUUUUUACAUAACCCCCCUAUGAUUUCAAAAGCUAUACAUAACCUCCCUAUCAUGAACUUUGAACUAAAUAAAUUGAUAAAAUAUUUCUAAUAGAAAAGGCACUUAUGUAACCUUGCACCCAAAUGAUAAAAUUGAACACUAAAUAAGUGCUCUUGUCAGAAUCUCUACUACAUGAAAUACUUCGUCGUAAUCUUAAGGAUUAAUUUUAUAAAUACUGUCAGUGUAUAUACUAUUACCAUUAAAUAUAUAAUACAUGUGCAAAAUUUGAAUUUGACAGUAUAUAUACUUACAAUGUAUAUACAAUUUAUUCUAAUCUUAAACAGCCACCUAAUAUUAAAGAAUUAUCUAAGAUGGAAUAGCAUUUCUCUCAUGGUUGUUAAAAUCGCGAUCCGGAUCGUAGGAUCGUACGAUCCUAUGAUCCGGAUCGGCAAAAUCGAUCCGGAUCACACUCAGAAUCGCAAAUUCCUUGAAUCUAUAUAGGAUCGAGGUAGGAUCGGUAGGAUCGCAUAGAAUCGUACGAUCCUACGAUCCUACUUCGAUCCUACAAUUUUUUGCUAAUUUGUGGAAUACAAGGUUCAUUUUGCAAGUAAAAAUCGACAUUUGGGGUAGGCUUGUAAGUUCACACUCAAUUGCAGGCCUUAGUUGCAAUGUUUUAACAAAUUUUGCCUCAAAGUCAAAAGAUUCCGUCAAAAAGCUUCGGGCCUUCUUCAUCUUCCCCUCAAGCAGAGCUUUGACGUUUCUCUUCUCCUCUCCGCUGCCCAAAUCAAAUCCCUAAUUUUAACCAUCAAACCACCUCAAGCUUCGGCUACAGCUCUUACCAAGAACCCACAAGACAAAUCGCUGCGGCUUCUACCAGGAACCCACAAGCUACAGUCGACAGCUAUUGCAGAAAAAGUUCAUCUUCUGCAUUGGGUGAAAAGCUGAGCAGCAAAAUCAUCAUCUUCCUCUCUCAUACUCAUACUACUUUGUAAGCGUUUAAACAUGAAUGCAAUAGUGACUAAUUAAUGGCGUGUGAAAUUAGGAUCGAAAUGUACAAAUUUUACCUUUUCUCAAGCUUUUUUCGUUUACAUUGUAGGAAAUUAUAUGAUACCAGGAAUUCUAUUCUGUUGGAUGGUGCUCCUAUUUUUUUUCUCAAUAAUUGAAAUUUGUAUUUGGCAACUUUAAUUAGUGAAACCACAGGAAGUUUUAAAUACUUGAAUUAAAUGAUGAAAUGAAAUCUAAUGCCAGAACUUUUUCUGCCCAUUUAAUAUUUGAGCUUUAUAUAUAUAUAUAUAUAUAUAUAUAUAUAUAUAUAUUAAGUUUUUGUAAUGAAUGUUCAAUAUUUGAUCGUUAACACAUUCAAUUCACACCUAUUAUGUAUAUGCACUUCUAACACGCAUAACCUUUUUUUAUAUUCAUAUAUAUACCUUUUUUGAUUAAUAUUACUUUUCUAAAAAUUUCAUUCUUCAACUACGUACAUAUUUUUCAUUAAUUCGAAAUUGUAAACAUAUUAUUGAUCUUUUGUGAUUGGCAAUUGGCAAUCAAAACAUUCUUGAAAUGCUGUCGGCUGUAACUUCUUCAUCUUUUUAUUACUUGUCAGAUAGUAAGUAAAAAAUGCUAUAUAUUGAUGAGUAACUUAUUUAUUUGAUAUCUUUUAGGAUGUACAAAAUGGUAUAUGAAUUUCAAUUUCAUUAAUUUAGUAAAUUUAGGAGCUUUUGGUGGGAUCUUACGAUCCUACGAUCCGAUUUUGUGAAACUAAAAUCGAUCCUACGUGGAAUCCUGAUUUUACAAACCUUGAUUUCUCUGCCAAUUGCGAUAGUCAUGCAUCUUGUUCUUAACAACACAAAAUAUUGCUUACCUUCGAAAAAUCAACACAUAAUUUUAUUGGUAUCACUCAAAAUUGGGUCAAUUUCAAUCAUAUUUCCUGAGAUUUGACCUAAUUAAAAAGUAUGCCUUGUGAUUUGAUCAGAUUACAGUCGAAUCCCCCAGUAGCAAAACAUUUGUCAAAUACCUGGCCCUCACUUUAAAUACAAUAUUGGCAAUUAAACGCAGCCCUCACUUUAAUUCUAUUAUUUCCUUUCAAGUCAAAUACUUCUUCACACAUAAGAAAGAAAAUAAAACUUUUAGUUCAUGACCAAACAACACCAUUUCAACUUUUUUUUAUCAAUCAGUAAUAUCUAUACUAUCUUACCCUAUAGGGGAGAAAUCCAACUGCGUUGUAUAAAGGGCUAGAGAGCAAGCAAGUUCAUCUAAACCAAAGAGGUGCUCUGACACACUUUUUGAAAUUUUUUUAACUAUAAGUUCUGGAUGUAGGGUUUAAACUUCCGACGUACAAUCUAAAGAGGAAUUUUAAAUCCCUUAGUUUGAAUUGAAGUACCAAAUUCUACACCCAAUAGUACAUGCACAUGUAAAUGGGGAUAAUCAAUUGGGGAAGGAUAAAAACAGAAGCAACAUUUUGUUUUUCUUUUUUCUGUUGGUCUUUCCUCAUUUUAGUGGUUUUAGUUUUUCUUUGACUACAUUUGCAAUGGAUUUAGGUAUUUGGCUAUUCAAAAGGUUAGAUUACAAAUUGGUCAAAGUACAGGAUUAGUUCUAUAAUUUGGACAAGCCUGAUGCAAUGUGAAUAUAAAUUAAGCAUAGAAUUUGUUUUUUGGGGCAAUCAUAUGCAAUUUCUGUAAUUGAUACUCUGGGUUUAGGUCAUGCACACAUUGAAAAAAGAAAUGGUUUGAUUGCUUUUCAAUGUGUCUAUUUUCUUUCCUAGUGAAACAUCCUCCUCAUAAUUUCUAGUUUUUUCUCCUCUCCAACUUGGUCGUUUUUUGUUUCAUUUUUUUGUUUAGUAGUCAACCAACGGGCAUUAUUUAUCAUGAAAUAAUAUGCAGAGGAUCCAUCGAAGAAACCAAGAAACAUACUUGAUGUUGGAUGCGGUAUUGGUGGCAGCACCAGGUACCUAGCAAGUAAAUAUGGUUCUCAAUGUAAAGGCAUCACCCUUAGCCCUGUUGAGGCUGAAAGAGCUCGUGUUCUAACUGCUGCCCAAGGAUUAGAAAGCCAGGUUUGUAUGAACUCUCCGUCUUACAAUUUUGAACGAUUUGCAAGAAGUUAUCAAUUGUUAAAUCACCCUUGCUGCUCACUCUUUUUAUGCAAGUGCACAAUAAGUAAAAAUUUUCAUUCCUCCAUUUCUUAAGGAAUGAUGACAGAGUGCAUACUACUACUAUGGUUUUGAAAAAGUAAUAAAUUGUGUUCAUGAAAGCAAACCAGAUACUCAAAAGUUUCAAGAAUCCUAAUUUGUGAUAGUUUUGUUUUGAUUAUCCAUCCUCACCUUUACUUUUUAUACACUAAAAAUGCAAAAUUUUUGAAUCCUGAAUUUUAGGGGAUAAAAUUAUCUCAUAAUAGAAUUGAAUUCAAAUAUGUAUUAUCAAUAAGCUUAGGUAAUGAUGUUAACUCUUGAAUUUGGAUACAUACGUAUGUGUGUACAUAUACAUAUACAUACAUAUAUAUGUGCGUGUGUGUAUGUGUAUGUGUAUAUAUACAUACAUAUAUAUAUAUACAUGUACAUAUACAUAUACAUACAUACACACACACAACAUGCACACACAUGCACAUAUACAUGCAUAUAUAUAUAUAUAUACAUAUAUGUGUGUAUGUAUAUAGAUGUAUGUAUGUAGAAUUAAUCUUCUAUGCAAUAACUAAUAAUUUAUACACUAUUAGAUUUAGAUGAAAUUCAAAUUAAGAUUAAUUAUUAUGCAUGUCAGUAUAGAGAAGAUUAACAAUAUAUUAUUGAUUAUGCCAAGUUUUAAAUUCAGAUCAAGUCACAUUUCAAAUAAACUUUGUAGAAUGACUCGGAACUUUACUCCAAAUUCCAAGUAAAAGCCACCACAAUGCUAGAAAGAGAAGUAAGAAAGAAAAAGAUGCAAAAUCAUUAUGCAGAUAUAUAGUAGUGCUGCUUUCUUUUCCUAACAGCUGCUAAAACGUACAUAGCAGGUUUCCUUUGAAGUGGAAGAUGCAUUGAAUCAGCCAUUUGAAGAUGGUUCAUUCGAUUUAAUUUGGUGCAUUGAAUGUGCAGAUCACAUAAGCGACAAAACAAAGGUUAUAUUUCUUGUCGCAGCUUCCUUUACAAUUACUAUUUCUCUUUUUUUGUUUUUUUGUUUUUAUCAUUCUUUAAAAAUGAUUAUCUACCCUACUUGUUGAACGUAGGUAUCACAUAAAUGUCAAUAAUGUAAAAUUCUGCUGAUGUUAUUUUCUUCUUGAUGAAGUUUGUUCAUGAGUUGAAUCGGGUGGCUGCCCCUGGUGCUACUAUCAUUUUAGUUACUUGGUGUCAUAGGGAUCUUUCGCCCCUUGAACAAGAUUUGCAUCCGGAUGAGAAAAAGUUACUGACCCAAGUGGUGAGCGGAAGUCGUGCUAAGUGGAUUUCUGCUGCUGAUUAUAUGAAUUUAUUCAAGUCAUGCUCUUUUCAGGUAUUCAAUUGCGUUUACUUUUUGCGGCUCAUUUAUUCGACCAGAAUCAUUAUUUUUCUUCAUCACAAAGUUUUCCUUUUCCCGAUUAUCUAAGCCUCCUGUUGUUAAUUAGGAGAUCAAGUAUGCAGACUGGUCUCCACACGUUGCUCCACAUUAUGCAGAAAUGAGGAAGAUAACGUUGUCAUGGAAGGGAAUCAUGUCGUAUGUUAGACAUGUUGGUAAGCAUUGUGUAUUUCACUGGCAUAUAUAGCCAAUUCAUUACCAUUAUCUACCUUGUAAUUGUAUGCUAUAAUUCUUAACCAUUUCUCCAUCUUUUCUCAAUUUCAAUUAAUAGGAUGGAGGCAAAUGAGCAUCAAGUUUCUGAUGAUGCCGUCAGUGUUCGACACAUUCAAAAAUGGUCUGCUUAAGUAUUGCAUUCUUACGUGCCAGAAACCUCAGUAGUUCAGUUCCAGUGAUGUUUAAUGUGCAUGCAAAAAUAUCACUCCACAGUCGAUAAUUCCUUGUUUUUCUUUCUCAAAAGCUAAUUUGUACUUGUAUUGUUCCUCAAAACUUGAGAAUCUUUCUGAUUUUGAGAUUUACCAUUAGAAUUGAGAUCUACUAUAUUCUGCAUAUGCGUUGCACAAGAUCUUGAUAUUUGAAAUUGGAGUUUCGAAUAUCAAAACUCAUGUCAUUUCACCCAUAAUUUGUAAGUACUUUUAAGUUCAGGAGAGUAAGAGGAGCCCUAUUUUCCAUCCACUUUAAGGACAAAAGAAAGAACUAAAAAAAAAUAAAAAACUGGUCAUUGGUCAAAAAGUUUAAAAUGAAAAAAAAGAAAAGAAAAACUAAUAGUUGGUCUAGUCUCUAGUAUGUUAAAAAAUGCUUGAUUAAACCCAUUCGCUGUAUACCUGUCCUUAGACCUUCCGGUGAAUACUUGGUUGCAGUCAAAAGCAUAAAAAUUUACUAUUUCUUCUUUUUUUUUGGGGGCUGGGACCACAACUGAGCGCUUUGACUCAACUUGUAAUACAUGUUAUACCGAGAACUAGCAGACUUGGUCCACCUAAAAUUGAAAUAAAAAGAAAAAGUUCCAGUCGAGUUGUCAAAGCUGAGGUGGAACUUUUAGUUGCAUAUUAAUCCAAGUUUUUUUACUUUUCUUUUAAGAAAAGCAAAUUAGUCUAAGUUGAACUCUCUUAAUUAAAUGCUUAAAUUUGCAUGUCUCAUUCUUGACAAGUCUCUUAGUGCCUGAAGCAAGUAUAACUUUGAGAAAAGUCAAAAUUUAGUCUCCAACGGCUGGAGAUGAGAAAACCAAAUAAAAAUGUAGAAAAAUUAAGAUGCCAAGAUAAAUGAAAAGAGGCGUACCCACGGCCACGGAUGGUACACUGCAGUUUCCAAAAGAGACAUCCAAUAAAAAGUUUAAUUCUAACAAUUUGAUAUCUAAGUGAAAGAUGUCUUUCUUUUUCAAUACUUGGAAUAGUCUCUUUUUUUUUUUUUUUGAAUAAUGGCAAACCCCAUACAUGGGGGAGGGAUGUCACCUCUAAAUUUUAUUAAAAAUUUAAAUUUGAAAAGAAAGUAUUGAUUAUUCAAUACUUGGAAUAAUCAAUACCACGUAUAAUAGACAUACUGAAAUUCGUCCGGUUUAGAUUGUAAUUUUUGGGAAGUUUUAUAGAAAAAUAUAAUCGUAUUGAGUGUUUCCUAAUUGAUGAAGGAUAGAGUUUUUCUUAUGCAGUGGCGGCACCUCUUGAUCACAUGAUUCUGAUUAUCGAUCUCUUUGAUUUGGAUUCCAAUCUUAUUUAAAUAUUUUUUAUUCUUUCAGAUUAUGUCUUUCUUGUGCACUUCAAUCUUUGCAAUUUAAUAAUUGUUUCUUAAAUUGGAUUUUGAUUAUUUUAGAUUGUGUCUUUCUUGUGUCUUUCAAUCUUUGCAAUUUAAUAAUUAUUUUUGAGAUUGGAUUUACAUGUUUAGUUCUGGAGAGGCCCCUGAUCUAGACUCAAGGCCUGACAAGUUGUAUUUCUACUCGGUUUUGGGUAUUUAAUAAUUUCAUAUUUUAUUACACCAUUGUUUCUUAGAUUGGAUUUACAUAUUUAGUUCUAGAGAGGCCCCAUGAUCUGGAUUUGAGACCUGACAAGUUGUAUUUCUUCUUGAUUUUGGGUAUUUAUAAUUUCAUAUGUUAUUACAUCAUUUUUUAAUUCAACCACAUCAUAUUUCAACUUUUGUCACACUAUUUUCCAACUCAAUUACAUUAAGGGUCUGUUUGUUUGGGCGAAAAUGUUUUCUGGAAAACAUUUUCCACAUUGUCCAAUGUUUGGUUGUUAAUUAAUUUGGGAAAAUGAUUUCCAAUGGAAAAGAACUUACACCUAGAGAAGGAAAAUAACUUCCUUGUCUAUCAUUCUGAAGUUAUUUUCCUUUCACACAGCUUUCACCGAAAGAUGGAAAAUCACGGCCUCACUCCACCUCCCAUUGAGACAAUUGAAGACCCACUCCACCACCCAGCUUCCCCCCCUCUCUCUCUCUCUCUCUGGGAUAUCAAAACACUUAUAAUUAUCUUUUCUUGGCCCCUAGCAAUUCCAAACUUGAAUAAUAUUUUGAAGAGUUAAGAACUCUGGUUUCCAUAUAUCAAGAAAACAGAGUAGUGUUACUUUGAGUUCGGUCAACUUUGAUUAGUUUUCAUGAGGUACUAACUACAUAGUGGCAGCGACUUCUGGUAUCAUGUACCUUUAAUUUACUACCUUUAGUUGCCACAGUUCACUUAAUUAACGAUUAUAUGCAUGCAGUCAAUUAAUAAUUAUAUUAAAUUUUCAUUGAUGGAUCUCGGUAGUGAUCAUCAAUUAAACUUUCAAAUUUUCAUAAAAGAGACUCUUCUCCCCUUAAUGAUUUUUUUAAAAGGAAGAUAAAAAGUCAAUUAGUUAGUAUCAUUAAUAAUUCCAUUUAAGAAUUCAUGGUGUAAUAUGAAUAAAUAUUUUAUAAAAAUGAUAAUAUGAUUAUAAUGGAUAGAAACUAAAAAUAACUUGUAAUAAAUUGAAUGUUUUGAAAAUAGAAAACAUUUGCAACAUAUCAACAAACACAUCAGAAAAUAUUUUACUGACAAACCAAACACCGGAAAAUAAUGAAAAAAGGGAAUUUGGAAAAUAUUUUCACUAAAUAACCAAACACUGGAAAAAUAUGGGGAAGGAAGUGAUUUUCCAGGAAAAUGACUUCUAUCGAAAAUAUUUUCCUCAAUCCAACCAAACGGACCCUAAAAGGCAAACUUGUGAGACCCCAUCAGCCCCUGAUCCUAUUAAUAUUACACAUGCGGAUUAUAUUAUAAUAAAAGAAAGUUGCCAAAUUGGUUUCUUAAAUUUUUGGUAAAACUUUUUUUAGUCCAUCAAAUAUAAAAAAGAAAAGCAUCCUUUUAGUCCGCGAGCUCAUUUUUUGAUCGGUUUUCUAGCCAAAAAGUGCGUGCCUUUCUUAGGUACCCACCAUUUAAAUAGCAAAAUGUGAACACAAUUUAUUUUCUUCCAAAAAAAGCACAUGACAAUCAGAUGACCACCACCUGAAUAGGGAAUCCAACUUAUUAUCCACCAAAUUCAUAAUCGAAGAAAGAGUAAACUACAGGUGACCUUUACACUUUCUUGUUCGAUUAUGGAUCUAGUGGAUAUAAUUAAGGUUCCUUUCCUAGAGGAGUGGUUAUGUGAUUGUCAUGUAUUUUUUUUUUAAGAGAAACAAAUUGUGUUUCAAUUUUGCCGUUGAAAUUGUGGGAACUAGAGAGAAGGUGCAUUUUAGGCUUAAAAAUUGAUUGAAAGUGAGUUUUGGGACUAAAGGAGCAUAUUUUUUAUAAUUAUUUUGAUGCUUAUAUCAAAACCAUACAAAUUUACACCGAAUGUAUUAAAAAUUAUACAAACUGAUUUGAACUAGAUAGAAGUUAACUUGCUGUAUAAGACAAUUUAUUAUGCACAAUACUGGUUUCUGGAUAUCGAUUCUUACAUUUCUUCUGAGCUUUGAUUUGCAUCUUAUGUGACGGAUACAUCGAAUUGACUUCAUAAUUCGUACCGACAGAUAAUCAAUAAUGCAACUGGGUGAUUCAUGAGUUGAUAAAGAAUUCAGUGUUUCUUACGUGGUAGUUGCACCUCUUGAUCACAUGAUUCUAGCAAUAGUUUUGAUUAUUUCAGAUUAUGUCUUUCUUGUGCCUUUCAAUUUUUACAAUUUAAUAAUUGUUUUUUUGGAUUAAUAACUGUCUUUCUGAUGCCAUUGUGCUGAAUAAACGGAACCAAUAAUGACAUUUUUAAGAGUAAGGUUCCAUUUGAUAAAACUGAAUCUGAAUUCUGAAGUCUGAAUUCUGAAAUCUGAAUACUAAAAUAAUUAAUUUGCUGAAUUUUAAGCACUGAAAAGAAAUAUAUGAAUGUUUGAAUUUUAAUGUUAAACUAUUUAUACUGUUUGAUAAAUAUUUAUAACUGAAUGCUUAAUAAAUUAAAUUUGACAAAUUUGCCCUUAUGUCUUUUCAUCCAAAAAAGAAAUAGAACCUAUGAUUUAAUUAGCUAAAAAUGUUUGGUAUGAAAAUGACAAUAUUUAUUUUUAAAUCAAAUUAAUAUAAAAGAUGAAAUAUAUUAUAUGAGGAGUAUGGAGAAGAUGUGAAAAUCAUUCAAAAGGGAGAAAAAAGAAAUAAAAAAUCAUUAGAUAGAGAAUAUUAGAUUGUUUAAUUAGAUAAGAAUUUUGAACAUAAUUAACAAAUAAGGGUAGAUUUGGUAGAUAAGAUAAGGUAAUUGAAGUAUUUCUAUUGAUUCUUAUCAGAAUUAAGCAUUCAGUUAGGAUUUUUGUGCUGAAAAAAUUACACACAAGUUCAGCAUCACUUAACAAGUUCAGCAAAUGGAUUUUCAUUUAUCAAACUCUCAAAACAUCUGAAUGUCUGCAAAAAUUCAGAUUCAACACUUUUUUAUGUUAUCAAACAGACCCUAAAUCAUAACUAAGGACAAAAUUUUACUUCCUCAAGUACCAAUUCAAAUAAAAACAUUCAAAUUUACCUAGUAGAUGUAUGCUUUCAACCAAAAAAAAAAAAAAAACUGUAUACUUUAAUGCAAAAAAAAAAAAAAAAAACACUUACAACUGCCUUGUUGAGGCUUCACAUCAUUAAUAAGGCUCCAAAAAGUGUGUUUGGAUAGUAGAUUAUUUGGAAUAUUUUGUGAAAAAAAAUACUAUAAUACUUUUCGAUGUGAUGCAUGUGAGAUAAAAAAAUAAUUAAAAAAUAUAUUGAUGAUACAAGUAAAUAAAAUUUGGCAAAAAUUUACUAUCCAAACAAGUAUCUAUUAAUUUAUGGGAUCUUAAUUUGGCCAGGUCACAUGAAAUCACUACGUUCUCAAUUUCAACUAUAUAUUUAGUGAGACUAAGAGUUGGUUUAGAUUGUAAUUUUUAAAAGUUAUUAUAGAAAAAUAUAUUGUAGUACUUUUUUUAAAGAUGUAUAUUAUAAUUUUUGAGAGUUUUUAUAUAAAAAAUAUUAUAAUACUUUUCUUAAAAUGUGAUGUAUGUAAAGUAAAAAGGUAAUUAGAAUACAUAAUAAAAAAAUUCUCACGAAAAUUCACAAAAGUUUUUGGUAAAAAAAGCAAUCCAAACAUGGCUGAUUUGGUGAGCUAGUGUUGGAUGCGUCGACACUGGAACUCUAUGAUUGUCCGUCUACUUACUUUUAUAAUUAAGGUUUUCUGCUAAAAAUAAAAUAAUGUCUUAGGUACAGCAUUGGUUUCUUGAGAUUGACUCGGCAGCAACCACAUAUUUCUUCUGAGCUCUAAGUUGGCUCGCAUGUGGUGGGUAUUGUUUCCGAAUAAAACAAUAUGUUAUGCGCAAUAAUGGUUUCUGGAUAUAGAUUCUUACAUUUCUUCUGAGUUUUGAUUUGCCUCUUACAUGAUGGAUACACCCAAUUGACCUCAUAGUUCAUACCUGCAGAAAAUAAUCAAAGGUAUAACUGGUGAUUCACGUGUGGAUAAAGAUUUGAGUGGUUUUCUAAGUAAUAAAGAAUCAAGUGUUUCUUAAGUAAUAGCGGCACUCUUGAUCACAUGAUUCUGGUUGUUGAUCACUUUGAUUUGGAUUAUGAUCUUAUUCAAAUACUUUCGAUUCUUUGAGAUUACAUCUUUCUUGUGCAUUUCAAUCUUUGCAAUUUAACAAUUUUUUUAAAAUGAGAUUUACAUGUUUAGUUCUAGAGAGGACCCUGAUUUGGAUUUGGGGUUGUACUUUACUCGAUUUCAGGAUGAGUUAGUAAUUUCACAUAUUAUUGCACUAUAUUUCAAAUCAAUUACAAUAUUUAAACCUUUGUUAUACCAAUGUCCAAACCUUACAUCAAAGAGCAAACUUGUGGAAAAUAAAACUUGUAAAGCCCCUGAUCCCAUUAAUAUUACACAUGCAGAUAAUAUUAUAAUAAAGGAAAAAUUCUCAAAUUGGUCCUUUCUAUUUUCGAUAAUUUUUUUAGCCCAUCACAAUUAGAAUUAGCUAAAAUAGUCCCUUAAAUAUAUAUAUAAAAAAAUGCAUCCUUUUGGUCACAGAGCUGAUUUUUUAUUAGUUUUUUGGCCAAAAAGUGCACACCUCUUAGGUGCCCACAAUUUUGAUGGCAAAAUGGGAACACAAUUUAUUUUCUUCCAAAAAAAAAAAAACAAGGCACAAGCCAAUCAUAUGACCACCUAUUGAAUAGAGAAUCCUAAUUUUUAUCCACCAACCUCAUAAUCAAACAUGAAAGAGUAACCUGCAAGUGACCUUUAUGCUUUCUUUUCUUUUUUUUUUAAAUUUAACUUUUUGUUCUUUAUUUGCAAGGCAAAUGAAAAAGGAGGGGGGACAUGGACCUUACCUCCGAAUAACUCCAGGUUGUAAAGAAAAAGCUAGAAAAGAAGGCGAUACUAUUCCCUUUACAUCAUUUGCACUUACAUUUCCUAAUUGAAGGCAAGCCUAUUCUAUCUAAACGAAACGCCCCACGAGCUCUAAUAGGGAGGUCCAAAAGCUGAAGGUACGUUGUAUUGAAACCCUGAUCACACCCUACGUUUGAUAAACAAUCAGCAACUUGAUUACUUUCCCGAAAGCAAUGAGAAAUUUCAAGAAAAUUAGACAAACUUUAAAAGGUGCUUAACCUCUGUAAGAAUACUCCAUGGACAAUUAGAUCUCUUUUUUAGGAUGUGAACAAGUACCAAAGAAUCCACUUCAAUGUGUAAGUUAACAUAACCACGAGAAAGACACAACUUAACCCCAAAGAGAAGAGCGCGCGCCUCAGCUUGAAUGCUGGUUCCAUUCCCAAAAAACGAGGAGAAAGCGAGCAGGAAAUUUCCUCCAUCAUCACGCAAAACCCCACCACCACCUGCCCUCCCUGGGUUACCUCUUGAGCAGCCAUCCGUAUUAAGUUUAAACACACCCAAAGGUGGCCGACACCACCUUACAAUCUUAAAUGAAACUGUUUUAUAAAGAGAAGAGAGCGCAGAAUAAAACUCCAUCCACGUUGAGGAAAUGAACGGGUGCCUAGGGAAUUGCAACCUGAAGAGAUAUUUCACAUCCUCAAAAACAAACUCACAAAUAGCAACAUGAGAAAGAAUUUUCCCUUAGAAACGGGCUAAAUUUCUAGACUUCCAAAUAUUCCAGCAAAUCAAAGAAGGUAUAAUAAAAUGAACAAAUGCAAGGAAACCAUUCCUUCGUGCGCUAUACCACCAACCAGCAAUAUAUGCCCGAACAGAACCACCUAAAUUAAGCACGCCUGAAGCAGAGCCAAAGAAAUUCCAAACAAAUACCGCUACCUGUCCACUACAAAAAACAUGAUCCAAACACUCAACAUUUGCCUGGACACAACAAAAACACUUCGAUGGUCCAGAAAUACCAAGUUUGCGUAUCGUCAAAUCCAGGGGUAAUCGAUUUCGCAACAAGCAAAGAAGAAAAAUAGACACCUUUAGAGGAAGUCUUGGAUGCCAGAUUUUUGUAAACAUAAAUGACCUUUGCAUAUGUGGUCGCACCAGGUUAAACGCUGAGCUUAGUGUGACAACUCCUGAUUGAGACGGAGCCCAAAUCAUCAAAUCUUCCACCCCGUACUCAAAUUGAGGGAGAGAGAGCAGUCGGAUCUCGUUGAUAAUAGAUGGAGGGACCCAUAAUCCCAUUAACCGAAAAUUCCACCCGCCAUCAAUUAAAAAAUCAGACACCUUAUGAUCCGAAACACUGCCUAACCGCAAAGCCAAAGGUCCUGAACCUAACCAAUUAUCGAACCAUAAAUUAGAGCUCCCAGAAUAGACAAUGAAAGUUAUAUGUUGUUUAGCAAUUUCCCGCACGUGUAACAUCCUAUGCCACGUAUAAGAGGCCCCUUCCGAGCAAACAACCAUACCUGGAUGGGCAUUGCAGCAAUAUUUGGCCAUCAUAAACUUAGCCCAAAGAGACGCAUUUUGUCGAACCCUCUACCAUAACUUAAUGGAAAAGGCAUGAAAAACAUCAUCCAGCAACCUAACGCCAAGCCCACCCUCCUCUUUUGGAGCACAAAGAUCCUUCCAACGAAUCCAAUGGUAUUUUAAACCACCCUCAACUGAACCCCAAAAGAAAUUAGCAAACAAACGCUCAAGGGUAGCAAAAACAGAUUUUGGAGGUGAUACAAUAGCCAGCAAAUGCAAUGGAAUCGAGGACAGUACAUUUUUAAUAAGUAUAACCUUACCUCCUGGUGACAACAAACAAUUUUCCCAAGAAGUAAUCCUAGCAGCCACAGCCGUCACUAAAUCCUGGAAGUAGGUCUUCUUAUGCCUCCCCACGAUUAGAGGACAACCAAGAUAGCGAGUAGGAAAUUUCUUUGGAGAAAAACCCGUUAUGCUCUGAAUUGACGCCUUCCUACUCUGGGAUAGUUGCGGGUGAACCAAGAAACAACUCUUUGAGGCAUUUAUCCUCUGCCCCGACGAAACAUUUUCAUACUUUUCUAGCAUUUCCAUUAACAGCUUGAGGGAUACUAUUGAUGCAAUAGAAAAAAUAAGAAUAUCAUCUGCAUACCCUAGGUGACUAACUAGGGGACACCCUUGAGGAACCUUGAAACCAUUAAACCGUGGAUGCAACAGAAGUUGAUUCAAUAGCCGUGACAGAACCUCUGCGCCUACAAUAAACAAAGAAGGAGACAAAGGAUCCCCUUGACGAAGACCUCGAGAGGAUGAGAAAAAACCAAACGGCAUCCCAUUAAUCAAAACAGAAAACCAUGGAUUAGAUAUAAGACGCCAAACCAUAUCAAUACACCUUUCGCCAAACCCAAAAGCACGUAACACAUUGAUCAAAAAAAUACAAGAAACCCUAUCAUAAGCUUUAGUCAUAUCCAAUUUGAGAGCAACAUUCCCUCCCCUAUUCUUCUUACCAAUACCCAUAAUAAUUUCUUGAGCAAAUAAGAAAUUAUCAGAAAUUAACCUCCCAUGAACAAAUCCACUUUGAUUUGGAGAGAUAAUUUGAGGAAGCAACUGAGACAACCUAUCAGCUAGGAGCCGCGAAAAUACCUUAUUUAUAAAAUUGCAUAAACUAAUUGGACGAAACUGAGAAAAAUCCUUUGGAUUCUUCACCUUGGGAAUUAAGACCAGUAGCAUAGAUGCCACAUUUUUCGGCAACUCAGCACCACAAAAAAAACUAACAACAGCCUUAUACAAAUCUUGAGCAACUAUAUCCCAAGCAAAAGUGAAAAACUUUCCAGUAUACCCAUCAGGACCUGCCGCACUAUCACCAUCCAUAUCAGAAACCAUCCGCCGCACCUCCUCCAUUAUAGGAAUUUGUUCUAACUUAGCAUUAUCUGCUGGCUGAAUUAAUUUUGGGAUAAUGGCAGAUAAAUCCCAACAAGAUGUAACCUCGGCUGAAAAUAAAGAAUGAAAAAACCUGACAGCUUCAUGCCCUAUAUCAGCUUCAGAACAUAACCAGUUCCCUCUCUCAUCUUGGACUCGGUGAAUAACCGAUUGUAAUCUCCUCUUCUUUACCACUAAAUGAAAAAACAUAGUAUUUUUAUCUCCUAAAUCUAACCAACGAACCCUUGCUUUUUGCUUCCAGAAGCUUUCUUCCACUAGCAAGCUCUGAUGAAACUUCGCCUGGGCUCUUCGUAAGGAUUCCUGAGCACCAACCGAGAUAUUCCCCUCCACACGUUUCUCAGCUACAAACACCUCCUCCUCAGCUCUUUGCACAUUAUUAAAAAUAUUACCAAAACAAUGUUUGUUCCAACGACUAUGGGUUUGGUGGAUAAGAAUUAGGAUUCCUAGCGAAGUGAUCAUGCGAUUGUCAUCUGUUUUUUUUUUUUUCGUUUUUUCAAGUGAAAUGAAUGUUCCCAUUUUACCACUGAAAUUGUGGGAACCUAAGAUAGUGGCGCUUUUUGACAUGAAAACUAAUCAAAAAUGAGUUCUGAGACUAAAUGGGCACAUUUUUAUUUAAUAUCUAAGAGACUAUUUUGAUUGAUUUUGAACGUGAGUGACUGAAACAGUGUUUAUUAAAAAUAUGAGGAACUAUUUUGACGAACUUCCGUAUAAUAAAGAUUGACCACUUUUUCUAGGAGUUUGGACAUUAUCCAUUUGGAAGUAUUACUAUUUUGAUCCUUUUUUGUUAUAGUUUUACUCAAUUUACACUGUUUAGGUCGUUUCCAUGAGGAAUAUUCUUUCUGGGAUCUGCAAGGAAAAUCAAGGGAGCUAAUGGAGGACUUGUGAUGACCCAGAAAAUUAUUUUUCUCACCUCCCAACUAUUUGCAUCUCUAUUUAAAUUAAAUUUUUGUAAAAUUUGCAUUCAUUAAGUGAUUUACUUGUUAAUUGAUAAAUGAGUUUCUUUUACUUGCUUCUUUUAACUUUCGAGUGAUUAAUUUCUUAAAAAUUGUUAAUUCGUGACUUAUUAGUGAAUUUGGCUAAAAUCUUAGAAAGAUGUGAGGGCUCUAAAAUUUCAUUAUUUUUUAAAGGUAAAUAAUAAUGAUAGAAAUAUUUAUAUUAUGUGAUUUUUUCAAAUUUUUGGUAUUCUCAUUUAUUAAAAUGUCAUUUUUCAACUUAGUUGAAUUUUUAUUAUUAAUUUCCCGAUUAUUGUGUAGAGACUUUAAAGAAAUAGAAAAAUGAUAGGAUAAUGUUGGAUGUAGGAAAUUUAGUUAUAGAUAAGAUGUCGUAUGAGAAUGCGACACAUAAGCGAGUAGGUGAGAUGGUUCCUUACCACACUUUAAAGGAAGAAACUAGACUUGAGAGUUCAUUCUCUCUUUUCCCCUUUGAGCCAACCGAAAUUUUAGAAAGAGAGAGAGACUUGAGAGCUCUCAAUUUCCUCCUUCAUCUUACUCUUGAAGAUCACUUGAAAAUCCAUCACCCACCACAAUUUUUCCUCUUCUUUUUCUUCUUCUCUUGUUGAGGGAGAGAGAGAAAAUUGAGAGAGAGAGAGAGUGAGACCAAGAAAGAAGGGACACCAUCUAUCUUGCUCCUUGUGGAUUUGUGGAAGAAAUCACCCAAUCAACCUAGAAGAUUUGACCUUUCUUGAGGAAACUUGAAGGGUGAAACUUGGAAGGAAAUUUUGAGAUUGAAUCACACUAGAUCUAAUUAGAUCUUGAGGUAAGAAGCUAAAAUCACCCUUAAUCUUUAAUUUCUAACCAUGGGUAUGUUAGAUCCACUUGAUUUAAGUAAGAUCUAUGGUAGAUCAAGUAAAUCUCUUAACGUUAUAUCUCUAGAUGUCUAGUGGUUAAAAUGCUAGUUUAGCUCUUAAUUUGUUAGUUGGAUUUGCUUGAAAAUUAUCUUUUGAUGACCAAGGGCUAAUGAUUGAUGAAACCCAUAUGGAUUUGAGUGAGUUUUGUUGACUAGAUGGUUGUUUUGUUGAUGAAAAUGGAAGAAAACCCCAUGCCCACCAAGUGUUUGAUCUUUUGUUAAGGGUUGUUUAUAUGCAAAUUUUCAUGGUUCUUUUUGUUAGUAAUCUUGGCUAUAUAUUAUUUGAUAUGUUCAUGGCUUUGUUAUGGAAAAAAAUUGGGAAGAUUUGAUGGGAAAAGUAUUUGGAAAGUUCUUGUUAGAAAGUUUGCAAAAUGGACUGAAACUUUGAGUGCAUUUUCAGUCAACUUGUCAGAUUUUUUGGUAUUGAUUGAAAACAAAUUAGAGCCUAAAUUUUAUACCGUUGGAAAGCCCUUUGAGCCUAGUUUCAACGCUACCAACGGAUUUUUCUACGUUGAGUUAUAACCGUUUUCCCAAAACUGCUCAAAUGCCCUGUUAUGACGCGAUAGCUUUCUUGUGCCUCUGUGAUUGCUAUUUUUGACCAUGAAAAUGCGUAAACUGAAUUUCGAUGUAUUCAUAAGAAACAUAGAGCUAUGUCUUAGUUUCGAAACACCAUAAACCAUUUCCAAUUUUGACUUGUGUAACGUUAGUUAUAGCCCGAUUUCAAAACUGUGACAAAGCUUUAUGACUGAGAAUCUGCGAAACAGGUUGCCAAAAAACUAGUUUUCUUAAAGCCGUUGUAUCUUGGUGUUGGAAAAUCCGAAUUGACUUCUGCUUUUUACAUUUGAAACUUGACUUGAAUUUCUUUCUAUGUUAUAAAUUUCAAAGGCUAAUUCAAUUCCUGUGAAUUUUGCCGUAUUUUCAAACUUUACUAAAAAUCAAGACUGUUUCUGCCCUGUUUUAAUAAAACAGCAAGUUUGAGCUGAGAAACGAAUGAUUUCUGAUUAGAAUCUGAGAAAAGUGUCUUCUCAAAAAUUUUAGUACUUUGAAUCCAGUUCCAACGGUGUAAAGUUUCCAAUUUUUGAAGUUACUGAACUCAAGAUAUGAAUUUUCAAGUGUUGUCGCAUAAAGUUGAAAAUUUCCGAUUUCCAACAAAAUGAACUUUUUUGAACUUCCGACUUUCUUUUGAGAUUGAUAGUUCAUUUCAAACUUGAUUUCAUGGAUGAUACCAAUUCUCUUGUGACUUUAAACCUUCAUUUUGAAUCUCGGUUUUCGAUGGAGUAAAACAUUUUUGAGGCGUUGUCCUAAGUUCUGAACUUUCUUCUUUGUAUGAUCAAUGAUCUAGGGUAUCAUGAAUGAUGAUUGAUUAUAUUUCUUCAGGUGCUCAAGAGGGUUUCAAAAAGAAUCCCGGCGAGGAAAUGUAAAGGAAUUUCUUGCUCACUUGCUUUUGAAAUUGGUGAGUGUCAAGUGUAUGACUUGUUGCAUAAUACUUGAACUACUUCUGGUUGAAUAUGUGAAUUGGACUUGUUCAGACGAGUGUGUAAUUUAUCGCACUCGUUCUCUUUUACUUGACUUGAUAAUUGACCUGCUCGUACUUGACAAUUAUACUUGUGAUUGAUUUGGUGUCGAUUUGAGAGCAAUCUCUUCGACUUAUACUUGAACUUGUGGGGACGUCCAAAACCAAUGGCUAGCCAUUCAACUCAAGCCAACAAGGGCUUGGUUGAGGAGUUUGGUGAACCUUGAACACUUACUUGACUUGGAUAUACUUGAGCAAUAUCAAAAACUUGUUUGACGUGCGGGCCAGAUAGGGGGUGUAACGGUGGACGAAAUUUUGGUGAAAAGUGGGGUUCUACGGACUUGAUACUUGCUCGGUUGACGGAAUAUCAAUAUUUGAAAUUUUGGAUCAAGAUCUUGGCAAAACAGUGUGGAGUUAGCUCCUGAGAGCUUCUGUAUCCUUUAAUGAUUGUGUCUUGGUUUCUUUUGUGAAUUACAUGAAUAUUAUGUUACUGCCUUUCUAUUAUAAGUUUAAUACUUGCUGUACUUGCUUGCUUGCCUGUUUUCUUUCUUGGCCUUACUGAGCGUUAGCUCACCCCUAUAGACACAAAAAUUUCAUUUAUUUGAUUUUUAGCUUUAUUUCUUAUUUAAUUCAAUGUUAGCAUUAUUUUUUAUUAUUAUUCCUAUUAUUCUUAUUUUAUUUUAUUUUAUUGAUUAAAUGAUAGUUAGUAUUCAUUUUUGCUUAUUUUUAUAAAAUAGGUUCAUAAUUUUUAUUUUUAAGAUAUUUUUGUAUUAAAAUUUUGAAAAGAAAAAUUUUCACAAAAAUAUGUUUUAAUCAUCUUAAAUUCAAUUUCUUUAAAAUAAAUGAAAAUCUUGCAAUGCAAUUUCAAUUAGGAAUUAGCAUUUUCUUUUUUUAUCUAAAUUGAUUUUGGAAAAUAAAAAUAUAAUAAAUAAAUAAAAAUAAGAAGAUAGGUGGAGGGUUUGCAUGUUGAACAACUGGGCUAAAGGAGUAUUAAACAAGUGUAUUAGGGAAGUAUUGGACAAGUGUUAGUGAAUGCAAAUAGGAUAAGUGUCCCCAUUUUAUUGAUACCACUUGUAAAGGGAGGGAGGUAGGUGGAAGACACUUGGGAAGCUUAGGAAAAUUGGAAGAAAAAAAGAAACACAAAAAAAGGGAAAACAAUAGAACCUACGGGCAAGAGCAAAACUAAGGGGGGGGGGAGAGAGAGAAACCAAGGGGGAAUGGAUUGAUAGUUUGGCGGCUAGGGUUGAGAGAAGGGCAGCGGGAAAGAAACUAGAAGAAGAAAGGCAGGAGUGAAAAAACAAGGAUUUUGGGGAGAAGAAAAAAGGAAACCGAGGGAGAAAGGGAGGAGCUUCGGGAAAGUAGGAGAAAAAGGAAAAAACCAGAAAGCAAGGGAGAAGGAAGGGCUGCGGAAAAGGAACAAACAGCAAGAAAGAAGGAAAAAGAGGAAGGAAAAAAGCGUUUUGUGGGAGGAGGUAUAGGGACGGCGACUGGGGAACCAGAAAAGAGAAGAACAAAGCAACAAAAACUAGAGAGAAUAGGAAGAUCGAGGGAGAUUCAAAGGGAGUGAAGGGAGUCUUUGAAAUCUGGGACAUCUCACGUUCAUUUUACUUCGUCAGGGUCGAAAGGUAACUAUCGUUUCUUCCUUGUUGAUCUAACAAGAUUUUAUGAGAACCCAAGCCCGGGGACAUGAAUCUUGGACUGUUUGUUGAUGGUUUGAACUUUCGUUGGUGUCAAAACUUUGCCAUGCUUGUGUGUUUGAUAACCUCUGAUUCGGUAGAAGGUCAUGGGAUGAUUGCAGGUUUGGGGUUUGGCAGGCUUGAACUUUACCAUGCUUGAACUUUUGAAAGGAAACGGGUUUGGAGUUUUCUAUAGUUUUUUUAUCUGAUGAAUCCGUGGGGUUUUGCCUGAGACAUGGCUGGUUUUUGUGUUUGAAAACGAUAAACCCAGAAGAUUGCAAAAUUUUCUUUUCUCGCAAAAGAUUUGCCUGUUUGUAUGAUGAGUUUCUGUAAUUUUGAUGCAUUCGAAAAUUUUGCAUUUCCUCUUCGUGGUUGAGCUUGUCCUUGUCUUUUCUCUGAUUAACUAUCAUGUUUAUGGUUGUUUGGUUUAGAAAAUGUCCAGUCAAAGUUUUCCUAGAAGGAUGGAGUCUUGUUUAAGUCAGUUUUUCGAACCUGUGGGUUACCCAUGAAGAUAGAUAGCAAACCAUCCGCUAGUUUGUAUGCACCGCUUUCUCUUGUCUAUUUCUAUUGUUUCAUGGGUUCUCUUUGUUUCAUGCCUUGCUCUGACUAACCUGCUGAAUGUUAAGAUUCUCUUUGAUGAAUGUGAGUCAUGCCCAGAAUGCAUACAACAAAAGUUUGCUGGUCUGCACUUGCAUUCGCUGAUGUGUUUCCCCAUUCCUUCUUUGAUUACUUGCAUGUCCACGUUUCUGUCCUUGUUCUCCUGGCUCGCAUUUGUUUGCAUUGAAGUUUACCAUUUGGUUGAUGAUUGUUUCACCAUGUCGGUUUCCAGUUCUCUAAGAGUAUAAAAAAUUUCGCUGUUCAUUUUUGCUCACUUGCUGUUUUUAUGCUCGCUCGAUAGUGUUGUUUUUUGCCCUCACUUUCCUCUUGCUGUGAGCAAGUUACCUUGAGCCCAUAAAGCAAAAACUUGGUCAAAAGUUGGGGGGAGCUUCCUGACUUGUUGCAGCAGUAGACAUUGUCCUGCAAUGCUGAAACGUUAGCUGCUCCAAGUUCAGGUCCCUUUGCUGAAUUUUAUGUUCAGCUUCCUUGUUGGAUUUUUUGGGGGGUAGACAAUUGCAUUUGGGCGAUGUUAACAACAUGGGUUGGAAGUUAUAGCAGUGGGGUUUGGUAAAUAAAUCGAUAGGCUUUACAUGAGCAUGUUUCGGCUGCAUAAGAGAAGUUGCAGAACGAAUGGUGGCUGGAAUCUGCAGAAAGCAUAAGCUUCUUCGUGGGUUUGCAUGGAAAAUUUUCAAAAAAAAAAUACAUUCUAAACCCUCAAGUUUCCCCCUGUUUCACUACGGCCCAAAAUUUGGAAAAACAUGAUCAAUUUUGUCACUUCAAAAUCUUAAUUGCUUUUGGCAUGUUUUAUUAUGAUCUUUGAGUAUUACGGCCCAAAAUUUGGAAAAACAUGAUCAAUUUUGUCACUUCAAAAUCUUAAUUGCUUUUGGCAUGUUUUAUUAUGAUCUUUGAGUACAUUAUUUGUAACUUUUAGGAUGAAUUUUAAAGGCUUAAUAACUUUUGAUAAAUUUAUAGUUUGAUUUGUUUUAGUAAAAUAAUUAGGAAUUUUGGGUAAUUUUCUUGUUUAACUUUUUUGUGAAUUUUAGCAUUUGGGUUUUGGUAGGUUUCAUCUUAAGCCAUAAAUUUUGUUUAAAUCCUUAAUUUUUGUAAUAAUAAUGAGUUAAUCCCUCAAACUUCUUUAAUUCUUUCAAUUGGGUCAUUGCUUGUCUUAAUUUGAUGAAUAUGGGUUGUUUACUUUCGUUUGAAUGCUUUAAUUGGUUCAAUCUCAUGUUUAUUUUCAUUUCUUGUGAUUAUUUGUUAAUUAAAGUGAUGCUUUGACCUUUUUCUUUGUUUUGGAGGGUACACAAGAAAAAUUUCAUUUUAUUAGGUCACCAAUUCAAGGGAGGUACACUCUAUUCCUUUAUUUUGAUUUUACUUUAUCCUAUGUGCUACUAUGUGAUUUUAUGUUUGUAAUUGCAUGUUUUUUUUAAUGUUUUUUAUUUCAUCUAUUUAUUUAUUCAUUUCAUUUGUUUUAAUUUUGUAUAUUUAUUUUAAUUUAAUUUUUAGUUAUUUGAGAGGCAUUUAAAUGCCAAAUUGUAAUAGUUAGGUUGUUAUUUCAUUUCAUUUCAUUCUUUCUCCUUUUAGAUUGUAGUUAGGGCCCCCAAAAUAGUUAGGUCUUUAUUCGCUUUAUUUGCUUUGUGUGUUUUGCGUGCUUGUGUGUUACGUGUUACUCGAUUUUUUAGGGUCUUGCAUCUAGAUAUCAUGCUUAUGUGCUACGUGUUUAUGUGAUCUUAUGUGUUUACUUGCUUUGGUUAUGUUUUAUAUGAUUGGUUUAGUUAUAAUCAAUGUGUGACGUCACCACACUAGUCCAACGCUAGUUGUGGCCCUAUUUCCCUUUUUUCUCACUAGUCCAAUACUAGUGAGAACUCAUAAACAUGGACUAGUCCAACGCUAGACUCUUAGGGACCGUUCACACGUUAGACCAUGUUUGUGUGAUAAAAUCACUACAUUUUCAUGCAUAUUUUUACUUUUUAGGUUUUUUUUUUCAUUUGGCAUGAUAUUUCCCCCAUAUGUAUGACCCUUAUCCCUUAUAUUCCCCAUAUGUAUAUCCCUUAUUCCAUAUUCCCCCUAUAUAUAUAUCUCUUAUCCCCAUAUGCGAUAGAUGACGUUAGACUUGCAUUUCAUUUAAGAAUUAGAACUAGGUUAGUACAUUUGCAUGAUUAGAUAGGAGAAAUACCCCUCGAAUAUGGGAUAUGGACGAGUUAAUUGGCUUUCUAACUUUAGCAUGCUCGUAUUCCCUCUAUAAAAAGGGAAAAUCUAGUCACGAAUCUUAGUUCCCCGCACCCGUACGUUAUGAUGUAUUCCUUUAGGUCAUGUAUAUGUGUAUAUUAUUAUUUUCCUUUCUUUUCUUAGAAUCUCAUAUUUUUGCAUAUUCGUGAUCUCUUCGAAGACUCAUUCUUGGGUAUCACAAUUAAUGUGAUUUGCACCAAUUAAGCUUUGAAGAGAUAUUUCGACUCCCCGAUAUCCUUCUAGGUUUAGGUUUUGUAUCCAUAUGUGAUAAAUUUUUAGGUUAAAAAUAAGAAAAUCUUUGACUAAAUCACGCAACUAGCUUUGGCUAGGUUGAAAGGGUGUUUUGGAUUUUAUCCUUGCCUUCCAUUUCUUCAAAUGUGACUCCCGAACACUUUUCUCUGAUUUUCGAAGACUUGGAAUCGUUUAAAAAAGGGUUUUCUCUACUUUUCAUUUUAAAAUUUAUUUUAGAUGACUUGGUACACCUUAACUCAAUAUCAAGUGACGACUCCUUUUUUUUAUUAAAAAUCCUUUUUAAACUAUUAUUUUGGGGCCAAAACCGUCGCACUUUUAAGUCCCAUUUUGCUUUAUUUAUUUUUCUAAAAAUAAAAAACUCAUUUAACUCAUUUUCACUUAAAACAAACCAAAAUUCAUUUUAUAAAUUCGUAAUUUAAUUUUUUCAAAAAAAAUGGGGGCGCGACAACCCUCUUAAGUUUAUUUUUCUUAACAGGAAUUUGAAGUGGAAAGAUUUUGGAGAAGCUGGCUUUGAUUGUCCUUUGGUCCAUUUGGGGAUGUAAAUGAUUUAGUCAACUUUUGGUGGUUGUAUUUUGGAAAAAUUGAUGUAACUUUUGAAAAUAUUAUGAUGUAGAACUGGAUGACUAUUGAAUGAAGCGACUUUUCUUUAUAUUAGUUUUCGUAUUGCUUGAUUAGUUCUAAGUUAUACUCUUAGCUUGUAUCGAGUCCUGGUGAGAGUUAGGCAGGCGGCCCGCCGAAACCCUAGAGUUCGCCCUAAAGUGAAGUGGGGUCGUCACAGUUGGUAUCAGAGCUUUAGGCUUCAGAUCUUUGUAAUAUAUCCUAAACUUGAAAUUUAGGAUGUCGGACUGUGGGAUUAACUUGAAUAUUACAUGAAUUGGAGAACCUACUAUAUCCUAGUGGUUAAAGAGAAUUGUUACGUGAGAGUUUCUUAUAUGGAAUUGGUGAAAACAAAACUGAGAAAUUAUGUGGUGCUACAUCGAAAGAAAACAUUAUGUGAGAGAUUAGUAGUGAAAGAUUGAAUGAGAUUCAAAAUAUCUUUGUACUUGUAGGAAUGGAAGGAAUUGAUGCAAAUAUUGGUAUUAGUUAUAGGAGAUAAGAAACCGAGAUUUGCUAGUUAAUUCCAUAUAUGAUGGUUUUGAACCAAAACAAAAGCGUUUUCAAGGGAAUAAAAUGCAUUUUUCAUUUGUUUACCUACUAGAAAAUUUCCACUUUACUAAGAUGUAUUAGUUUUAUUUUCAAACGGUAGUUGGAAAUAACACCUAUGUGCUCCAAGUACUUUAUAACAUACCAAUCUUGACAAGUAUGUGAAUUCCACUUAAUUUACAAAACUAGAAAUUGGUGAGCAAUUGAUGAGUUUUGUUGGAUUUUUAUAUAUGCUGAACCCGAGAAAGAGGUUGAAGUUUUCUAACCAAAUCUUCCAAUUCUUGAAUGACACUGAUAUAUUCUCGCACCUGAAUUUCCCUAUGCUUUGAACAAGAAAUCCUUGAGUUUUUGGAAGAAUUGGGAACUCGGGCUCUGGUAAUGUAAAUCUUGAACUUGAUGAGAUUUUAUUACUUUGAUUGCUCUUCUUAGCAUUUUCAAAAAACUUAUCCAAGAUUUGAAUAUGAAAUUCUUGGUUUUCAAGGAGAGAGCUUAUCUUCAAGUGUAAGAACUGAGGGAGCUUUGAAGAUGUAGAGUGAUUGCAUCUGAGAGCCUGAAGUUAGUGUGACCGAGGAGUAAGAGAGUACUAAUGAUUUCGUAGAUAGUUCUAGGAGUUCCAUAACUGCAUUGACUAAAGGGAAAGACAACUAAGAGAUAAAAUGGAGAGGCUAAAGUUUGAUAAAAUGUAAUGACGAAGGUUAGGACAUGAAGGAUCUGAGUGCUAGAUCUAAAGCUGAACAAAUUGAAGAGAUUGGAAUUAUGAAGAUUGUCGUAGCCUAGGCGAGUAAAUCCCUGGUUAAGGUUUCUAUCGAUGGUUGUUCGAUUUGAAAUUUAAUAUUUAUCUUGAAUGUGUAUUGUGCUAGUACUGCAGACUUGCUUAAUUUCUGAUAUCUUUGGAUAUUUCUUGUUAUAUGUUUACUUGUACUUGUUGUGAUCGUAUACAUCAAUCUUGUGAAAUCUGAUAAUUGUACUUUGAAUUAUGAUUGACUUUGCAUCUAUGAUUACGUGAUCCUUGCCCUUUUAUACCUAUAUGGCCUUAGACUUGUGUGAGAAAUGGAAACCGGAGAAUGGCAUUGAGAAUAUAGGUAGUAUAGAGUACGGUUUAAAGAUAUAUGUUGAAGAUAUUGGUGUCUGAUCAUGAUUUGAGUUAGUCAUUGUUUGGGGUGCAAAGUAACUUGAUAAUUCACUUUAGUCAAUGGGACGAAUGAAUGUUAGUAUUGAUGAUUUAGUACUCUAUUUACGCUUGAACAUAAUGGUCUGUGUAUGAAGAUGAUCCAGGUUUAAGAGUUGUAAACUUUCACUUAUGUGUUGGUGAAAGACUUUUGUCCUAUGAGUAGUAGUUAAGUUUCAAUGAUCCAUGAGUAAACGGGAAUGUAAAUUGGUUCUUCGAGUCUUAGAUAUAAGCUAGAUAGUUUAUGAGAAGAAAUUUAAUCUAUCUUUUGACAAUGGAACCUGUUAUACCUGACUUUAAAAUAAUAAUAAUAAUAAUAAUAAUAAUGAUAUAUUCAAAAAUUUUCAAUUUGAUAAUAUAUUUCUUUGCCUUUCUACGUCUUUUAGAUACUGAUAUUUAAAUUUGCUAUAAAUGAGCUUGUAAAAGUAAUUUAAAAUUUUUGAUCUUGUUUUUUCUUGUUUAAGUUAUUUGGGUAAUUCUUUUGUACAGUAUUUUCAUGAAAUUUGAGUUAUAAAGAUCAUAUCUUUUAUAAAAGAAAAUGUUUUAUCCAAGUAUUUUAUGUCCUUCCCAUCUUAACUUUUCACUUUAGAGUUAACUAAGAGAGUCUCUUUGCAAACAACCAAGAAUUUAAGAAUUUAUUCUUAUGAGUGUUAUUUUGAAAAUUUUAUAUCUUUCUCUUAAAAACUUCAAACAUUUUUAUUUUUGUUAUAAAGUAUAUUUUCUUUGUGGAGAGGAAUGAACUCAAGAGCCUUAUUAUAUCUUAAGUAAGGUUUGAAUGUAUUGGAGUAAUUGACUAGAGGAGUAUGAUAAGAUAUUAUUGAGUUUAAGGUUUAUCCUUUAGUGUUUUGAUAUUUGUAUAUAUUUGUAUGGAACUGGAUGUGAUUUUUUUUAAGUUAUUGAUUACUUGAGAUUUCUUUCUAACCGUUUUGAAAGAUUAAUAGGGUUAAGACCCAGUAGGACAAAAUUACUGUGUUGUUAAGAUCUUAUAGAAUUUGAUAUACGAGACAUUAAAGUUCAUUGAGAGUACUUAGGGACCAUUGGAAUAUUGAGAUAAGGAUUACAUGAUUUGUUCUUGGAUUGGAAUACGUAGAUUGACAAAUUUCUUGAGGUGAUUUUUAUCACUUAUGAUUGGCUUAUUAAUGAGGUAAUUGAAUUUGCGAAAACUCAUGAAAAGAUUUAAGGAUACAUGACUUACGUGAUAUCUAGUAUAGAAUAGGUUUUACAAUUCUUAAGAACGGGACGCAGAAGAGAUAUCUGGAGUCUUCGAGCUAAGGUGAGAAUUUCGAGGACGAAAUUCUUUAAAAGGGGAGAGGAUGUGAUGAUCCAGAAAAUUAUUUUUCUCACCUCCCAACUAUUUGCAUCUCUAUUUAAAUUAAAUUUUUGUAAAAUUUUCAUUCAUUAAGUGAUUUACUUGUUAAUUGAUAAAUGAUUUUCUUUUACUUGCUUCUUUUAACUUUCGAGUGAUUAAUUUCGUGACUUAUUAGUGAAUUUGGCCAAAAUCCGAGAAAGAUGUGAGGGCUCUAAAAUUUUAUUAUUUUUGAAAGGUAAAUAACAAUGAUAGAAAUAUUUAUAUUAUGUGAUUUUUUCAAAUUUUUGGUAUUCUCAUUUAUUAAAAUGUCAUUUUUCAACUUAGUCGAAUUUUUAUUAUUAAUUUCCCGAUUAUUGUUGGGCUAGCAUUAAGUGCGAAAUUUUGGAGUGGUGACAUGGAAUUUAGUUUUAAGAUGAAAUUUAGAGCAUGUAGAGAUUUUAAAGAAAUAGAAAAAUGAUAGGAUAAUGUUGGAUGGAGGAAAUCUAGUUAUAGAUAAGAUGUCGCACGAGAAUGCGACACAUAAGCGAGUAGGUGAGAUGGUUCCCUACCACACUUUAAAGGAAGAAACUAGACUUGAGAGUUCAUUCUCUCUUUUCCCCUUCGAGCCAACCGAAAUUUUAGAAAGAGAGAGAGACUUGAGAGAUCUCCAUUUCCUCCUUCAUCUUACUCUUGAAGAUCACUUAAAAACCCAUCACCCACCACAAUUUUUCCUCUUUUUUUUCUUCUUCUCUUGUUGAGGGAGAGAGAGAAAGCUGAGAGAGAGAGAGAGAGAGAGAGAGACCAAGAAAGAAGGGACACCAUCUCUUAAAGUUAUAUCUCUAGAUGUUCUAGUGGUUAAAAUGCUAGUUUAGCUCUUAAUUUGUUGGUUGGAUUUGUUUGAAAAUUAACUUUUGAUGACCAAGGGUAAUUGAUUGAUGAAGCCCAUAUGGAUUUGAGUGAGUUUUGUUGACUAGAUGGUUGUUUUGUUGAUGAAAAUGGAAAAAAACCCCAUGCCCACCAAGUGUUUGAUCUUUUGUUAAGGGUUGUUUACAUGCAAAUUUUCAUGGUUCUUUUUGUUAGUAAUCUUGGCUAUAUAUUAUUUGAUAUGUUCAGGGAUUUGUUAUGGAAAAAAAUUGGGAAGAUUUGAUGGGAAAAAUAUUUGGAAAGUUCUUGUUAGAAAGUUUGCAAAAUGGACUGAAACUUUGAGUGCAUUUUCAAUCAACUUGUCAGAUUUUCUGGUACUGAUUGAAAACGAAUUAGAGUCUAAAUUUAUACCGUUGGAAAGCCCUUUGAGUGUAGUUUCAAUGCCACCAACGGAUUUUUCUACGUUGAGUUAUAGCCGUUUUCCCGAGAUUGCUCAAAUGCCCUAUUAUGACGCGACAGCUUUCUUGUGCCUCUGUGAUUGCCAUUUUUGACCAUGAAAAUGUGUAAACUGAAUUUUGAUGUUUUCAUAAGAAACGUAGAGCUAUGUUUGAGUUUCGAAACGCCAUAAACCAUUUCCAAUUUUGACUUGUGUAGCGUUAGUUAUAGCCUGAUUUCAAAACUGUGCCAAAGCUUUAUGACUGAGAAUCCGCGGAACAGGUUGCUAAAAAACCACUUUUCUUAAAUCCGUUGUAUCUUGGUGUUGGAAAAUCCGAAUUGACUUCUGCUUAUUGCAUUUGAAACUUGACUUGAAUUUCUUUCUGAAUUAUAAAUUUCAAAGGCUAAUUCAAUUCUUGUGAAUUUUUCCGUAUUUUCAAACUUUACUAAAAAUCAAGACUGUUUCUGCCCUGUUUUAAUAAAACGGCAAGUUUGAGCUGAGAAUCGAAUGAUUUUUGAUUGGAAUCUGAGAAAAGUGUCUUAUGGAAAAUUUUAGUACUUUGAAUCUAGUUUCCAACGGUGUAAGGUUUCCAAUUUUUGGACUUACCAAACUCAAGAUAUGAAUUUUCAAGUAUUUUCACAAAAAGCUGGAAAUUUUUGAUUUCCAACAAAAUAAACUUUUUUGAACUUCCGACUUUCUUUUGAGAUUGAUAGUUCAUUUUCAAACUUGAUUUCAUGGAUGAUACAAGUUCUCUUGUGACUUUAAACCUUCAUUUUGAAUCUUGAUUUUCGAUGGAGUAAAACACUUUUGAGGCAUUGUCCUAAGUUCUAAGCAAAUGAACUUUCUUCUUUGUAUGCUCAAUGACCUAGGGUAUCGUGAGUGAUGGUUGGUUAUAUUUCUUCAGGUGCUCAAGAGGGUUUCGAAAGAAAUCCCGGUGAGGAAAUUUAAAGAAAUUUCUUACUCACUUGCUUUUGAAAUUGGUGAGUUUCAAGUGCAUGACUUGUUCCACAAUACUUGAAUUGCUUCUUGUUGAAUAUGUGAAUUGGACGUGUUGAGACGAGUGUGUGCUUUAUCGCACCCGUUCUCUUUUACUUGACUUGAUAAUUGACCUGCUCGUACUUGACAAUUAUACUUGUGAUUGACUUAGCGUCGAUUUGAAAGCAAUCUCGUCGACUUAUACUUGAACUUGUGGGGACGCCCAAAACUAAUGGCUAGCCAUUCAACUCAAGCUAGCAUGGGUUUGGUUGAAGAGUUUGGUAAACCUUGGACACAUACUUGACUUGGAUAUACUCGAAUAAUAUUAAAAACUUGUGAAGACUUGCAGGCCCGGUAGGGGGUGUAACGGUGGACAGAAAUUUGGUGAAAAGUGGGGUUCUACGGACUUGAUACUUGCUCGGUUGACGAAGUGUCAACAUUUGAAAUUUUGGAUCAAGACCUUGGCAAAGCAGUGUGGAGUUAGCUCCUAAGAGCUUCUGUAUCCUUUAAUGAUUGUGUCUUGAUUUCUUUUGUGAAUUACAUGAAUAUUAUGUGACUGCCUUUCUGUUAUAAGUUUAAUACUUGUUAUACUUGCUUGCUUGUCUGUUUUCUUUUUUGGCCUCACUGAGCAUUAGAAUACCCCCGUAAGUUUGUUUUCUUUAGCAAGAACUUGAAGUGAAAAGAUUUUGGAGAAGCUGGCUUUGAUCGUCUUUUGGUCCAUUUGGGGAUGUAAAUGAUUUAGUCAACUUUUGGUGGUUAAAUUUUGGGAAAAUUGAUGUAACUUUUGAAAAUAUUAUGAUGUAGAACUGGAUGACUAUUGAAGGAAGCGACUUUUCUUUAUAUUAGUUUUCGUAUUGCUUAAUUAGUUCUAAGUUAUAAUCUUGACUUGUAUUGAGUCCGGGCAAGAGUUAGGCAGGCGGCCCGCCGAAACCCUAUGGUUCGCCCUAAGGCGAAGUGGGGUCGUCACAGGACUUGCAUGUGUGAACCACCAUGCACGUUGCAUAACAAAUUUUGCUCUUUUAUUAUUGGGAAAUAAAUGGCGACCACUAAACUAUUUCUGGCAUCUACUUCUAGCUACCAAACUAUUUUUCGUCUCAAUUUAAUCACUCAACUAAUUAAUCAAUAUACCCUUGGUUAUUUCAUUGGAUUUUGCUCUUAGUUUACAAAUAAACCAAACACAUGCAAAUCUAAGUGUCAAAAUUUAAGGGUAAUCAUAUCCGCUAAGUUUCUCAAUCCAAAUCUAGAAAAUCCAACAGCCACUAAACUAUUCCCCUCGUACUCUUUUGGCCAUUCAAAUAUUUUUCAUUUCAAUAUAAUCACUAAACUCUUAAAUCAGUACACUAGCAAUCAUUUCGUUAAAUAUUUCUGUUAAUGCUAAAGGAAUGAGUUCUAUGUGCAUUUCACAUACCCAAAACAGGACAAUUUCGUAAGGUCAAUUUUUUAGAUUUUUUCCCGUCUAGAGUUUUAGAUUUUUAAUUAACAAAAAAAAUUAGAAUGUUUAAUAGUUGAAAUUAGUAGAUUUAAUGAUAAAAUUUGAAUGAAAGAUCGGUAAUAUAAAAUUUAAUGUUAAAUUUAAUAUAGUAGAAGACGGGUUUUUACUUUAAGUGCAAGUUUAAUUCCGAAUUAUACCCGUUUUACUGCAAGCAUAUAGGCCAAAAUCGUAAUAUUGGGUAUGUAUCGGGUCGAUUCCACGAGGAGCAAUUAAAACAAUUAUUAGAUACUAAUUUACUCUAUUAUUUAGACUCACAAUAAAUUUGAGCAGAAAAUUCAGAAUUUAAUUCAACUACAAAAAUUCUUAACUAGAUAAAUGCAAUUUCACAAUAGGAGUAGAAUUCACUAAAUAUUAAGAUCUAGGGAUGUAGAUUCCACAUAUGACACAAAAGAUCUAAAACGAAUGAAUUUAACACUUGUUACUACUCUUGUUUAACCAAGGAUUCAUUUCCAACAAUACCAAAAUCACAUUCUCAUGAUAAUAAUGGGUUAAAACAGAUUAGUUUUUCCUAAUCUCUUGGUAAAUACUAAAUCUGUUUUGUGCGUACAUGAAAUGUAGAUUUCAUCCACUUGAAUGUAUUUCUAUUCUCAUGAAUAUACUACUCAAGCUCUACUUAUGUCAUUCCAUUAUUGUUACCAUUUCUCAAUGAGUAAAAACAACUAUAAACCUGCUAUCGGUGAUCAAACAACAACAAGUAAUCCCACAUACACAAGUAGAUAAGUUAAUACAAGAUAUAACAAGUAUAAAUCACAAUCACUUCAUAUCACUUGGCCAUAAGUUUCAUCUACUCCCUGGAUAAAGGAAAUUAGCUACUCAUGAAUGAUGAAACACUCAUAACUUCAUUAAUGUAAAUCAUCAUGAAUUACAAAUACAAAAAGAGUAAAGAAAGUCUUAGCCAAGAUAUGGUGAAGCCUUCCAAAAAUCUCCUUUGUCUUGAACUUAGAUGAUUACAAGAUGAAACCUCAAUUGCCCCUUGCAAGUUUCCAGCUAGAGAGAAUAUGUUUGUUAGUAAGAAUACUAGCUACCGAUGGAUGUCAGACCUCUCCCAAAGUCUUUGCAUAAAAACUGCUCAAAGGCUCCAUUUUUCCAAGUCAAAUUCCAACCCUUGAUUCCCAAAUCUCCACUUUGUUAUCAUAGUCAAUAACCAAUGUUUUUGACUUGAAAAUAUGCCACCUUUCUUGCCCUAUUGUCUUCUAAAGCAUGUGCACCGAAUUCCCUUGCAUCUUAUAGCUGGAAAGUGGUAUGAACACAAGAGAAAUGGCUGAGCAAAUUGCAGAAUUUCGGCUACAAAACGCUGCAUCAACUCGCAUUUUGUCUACUCGCGUUUUCACUCUGGCCUUAUUUCAACUACAAAUUUCUCCAUGAUAAAGGCCGAACUAACUUUUGUACAAAACAAGAAAGUUGUAGCCCUUUGAGUUAGCUUUCCAAAUCUUUAAGAAUCAUCCUAAUCGGAGUUUUGUAGCCUGAGAUAUGAUUGAAAUACUAUGACCUGGUCAAACCUCUGUUUUAACUUUCGACCACAGAAUGCAGCUUCUGUAUUCUGACUUUUUUUCCAUGAAAAUGGCAGAAUUUGAUUUCGAUGUCUUCAUACGAAUUGUAGGUCUCUUUCUUACCUUUAAAAUGGUAUAAAGAACACCUCAAUCGGCUAAGUGUAGCUCCAUAUAUGGUCGAAAUACCGAAGAGUGUCAAAACUGACUUGUAUUGCAUUUCCUCACUUGAACGUUUUUCACUUCAUUCUUCUUGUUACCACUUAAAUUCAUCACCAAAUAUCUAUUUUUCACCUCAUUUGACAUCCUUUGGUGAUUGAAUCAUCAUUCCUGCAUAAAAAUGAAAUUUUUACCAUUAAAAUCAAUAGAAAUGCAAUAUUAUCCACUUUAACCAAAAAUAUAUAGUUUUACCAAAAACCUCUUUAUUUUAAUUAUAAAACUAAAUAAUCAACUCAAAAUUAACUAAUAAAAUGCACUUAAAAAUACGUAAAAUAAACUCUUAUCAGUAGAUUUAAUGAUAGUAGAUUUAAUAUAGUAAAUUUAAUAUAGUAGAUCGCUAAUUUAAUAGAUUUAAUGAUAAAAUUUAAUAGUUGAAAGGUCGCUUAUUUGGUGAGUUAAGUGACCAAUUUGAAUGAAAGAUCACUAAGAAUAUAUUAUCUGUAUAGUUCAAUAGCUAUUUAAGAUUUUUGUCUCAUAUCUUUGGAUGAACUCGCCUAUAGUUUUUAGUGUGUGCAGAGCACCUGCAACUCAUUCCAUUAGGUUUAACAUCGAAGCUGGACAAAACGGCCACUAAUAUACAUAUUUGUGAGUUGAGUGGUCAUUUUGAUUAAAAAAAAAUAAAUGAGUGGUUUAAAGUAUACUAUUAGAGCAGUUUAGUGGCUGUUGAAAUUUUUUAUCUUCAAGUCGAGAAACUUAGUAGAUAUAUUUACCCUUAGAUUUUGACACAUGAUUUGCACAUGUUAGGUUUAUUUUGUAUAUUAAGAGCAAAAUCUAAUGAAAUGGCUACAGUGUACUGAUUAAUUAGUUGAGUAGCUAAAUUGAGACAAAAAAUACUUUGAUGGUAAAAAGUAGAUGCAGGAAAUAGUUUAAUGGCCAUCGAGAUUUUUGGCCCUUUAUUAUUUGCCUUUUAGCAAUAUUUUUCAAAUUAUAUAGUUAGGAAAACAGAAUGAUAACUGGAUACAAAAAGGAGUUUGCAUACUCUUUAGAAUAUAAUAACCAACCGUAAAUUAAAUGUAAAAUGCCUUACUUUUUUUUUAUAUACGAUACGCUUUAUGUUGUAAUAGAAAGUUCAGGGUUUGACUUAUUAAGAAGGAAGAAUAGUUUAAAGAAUAGAGUAAAUCUUAUAUAUACACUAAUAAAAUAUACAUCAUCAUUGUUCGAUCCAUAACAUAUAUAUAAAAAUUGAAUUUCAAAUUCAAAUUUUUCUUAAUUAUCACUCAUCCAAUACUGACAGUGUAUACAAUAUCAGUAUAUGAAAGAUUAAUUCUAAAAACUAAGGUAUAAUUCCAUUUUCACCCUCUAAUUAUUUCUCAAAUCUCUUUUUGGUCCCUAGAUUAUUAACUAGGACAUUUUGUCUUUAAACCUAAGCAAAAUCAUUAACAAAUCUCCGAAACUAAUAGGAUAGUAGUCAAGUGAGAAGCAUGUUUGCAUGUUGUGAGGGUAUAAAAAAAAUAAAAUUAAACAAGCCAAAAAAGAAUUCUAGAAUUAGAGGGAAAAAAUAAAUUUACAAACCAAAGUAGGAGUCUGAGCAUAGCCAAGAACUAAAGUGUCUCAAUUUAGAACUUAGGGGCCCAAAAAAAUUUAUAGCUUAGGGAUCAAAGUAGAAAUCAUGGUAUGGAUUAGGGAUUAAAGAAUUAAGGAACAAGUAGGAAUCAAAAUACAGUUGAAGAGUGCAAUAUGAAAUCAACCAAAAAAAAAAAAACUCUUAAGAGCAUAACAAGGUUGAUUUUGUAAUUAAAAUCCAACUUGUACCUUCGGGAUUAAUGUUUAUUUAGUAUGAACCCAUUCAAUGAAGGACGUAAGUAUAAACUUUCAAAAACUCGAAGGGUGCUACAUGGAAGGUAGUAAAAGAUUGUAUCGUGUUACUACCUUUACAGUCUGAGAAGACAAUAUACUCGGCACCACAUUGUUCUCUUUCUCUCUCUUGCUUCAUCGUUCUUCUCUCAAGUUUUCUUGCCUGCUGCUUUGCAUCUCGAGGAGCAUAGAAGCUUUGUUCUUUGCUAGGUACUUAUGAUGCACCUGUUUCUCAAUUCCUGUAGUCCACUUUAUCAUUACUUGAUUUUAUCCUAAAAAUGUUGUGGGCUAUCAGUUUCAAAGGUUUGUUUUUCAUAGUUUUGGGAGAAUCCUGUGCUGUUUGCUUACAUGUUACUAUCCUCCAAAUAUUCAAUCUCGGUUUGGUAGAGUAAGCUGAUAAUACGUGAGAUUUCUCUUUUGCUUAGAUCUGCAAUAAAAAUUCCAGGUUACAUCCAUUUGGUAAUGUCAUACUAAUGCAAAUUUUGUUAUUCUUUCCUUUGGGGAAAGAGCGGGAAUUGUUCCCUGAAAUGAGAACAUUUCCUUGCAGAAAUACUCUUUAAGAUUCCACACCUAAGACUCUCCCAAAAGUAUUCCCAAAGUAACACUUGGUGUCUUGCAGCAGGAAAUUAGUAUCUCCACAAGGAGCAACUAGAAAAAAAACUUUUGUGCCCAAUAAUUCAUAUUGCUUUAGAAAUUGUAUAUGCUUCUGAAGAAAGUUCUUAAGGUAAUCUUGUGCAUGACAUUUCCUGUUUGACAGUCUUAAAAUUAAAAAUUCAAGUUUUAUACAUAUUCUUACCUUAAAAUAAGCAAAUAAACGUAGGUUUUAGUCCACCAAAAAAAAAAAAAAAAUUGUGCCGGGCUUUGUGGAUCAAGGGAGUACUUCACCAUAAAAGCAAUUAUGAGUCCUGUAAAAAGCUCAUCUUUUGUUCAGCUCUUCAUUAGUUUGGCACUAAAAAGUUGUUGAGGAAUGAACGUCAACAGGAUUGUGCGAUACAACCAACAAUAGUGGGAGGGAAGAACAUGGAUACAGAGGGAAAGACGGAGAGUGAGAAGAUGAAUAAGGCAAUCGCGACGGCAUAUGAUGUCCAUUCCAAAAUACUGGAGGAAAUAGCUGGGGAUCACUUUCACAUCGGCUUCUAUGACUCUAGCACCAUUAUCCCAGGUACUGAUGUCCAUUCUGCUCAGACUCGUACAAUUGAGGCGGCCCUUCGUUUUGCCUCUGUAUCAGGUAACUCCACCCCUCCCUCCUCUGCUAAAGUAUAUGCAUUGACAGCUGAAAUUACGAAAUGUAACUGUACUUUGCACAGCUAAGCUUUUCACUGGGUUGGAGAUGCCCAUUAAGUUUCGAUUCUUGACUUCGUUUUGUCAUUUCCCAUGACAAUCAACUUGUUUUAGGCCGAAGAUGUAGGGAGUCAGACCGGUAGGCAAGGCGAUGAAGCUUUGGAUAGAAUCUUUCAUUCAUGAAGUCAACAUAUUCAAAGUCCUAAAGAAUUAAGACUGAGGGUAAUCCGACGCUUUUAAUAAAGAAACUUUUGGGCAAUAGAAGAAAUUUAGGGGCAGAGGUUUUGAUCUCAAAGCACUUUUAGCCAAGUUCAAAAUAGUGAUUUUGAAAUAACUUUUGUGUCUUGAAAAAAAUAAAAUUUGACCACCUUAUCAUGAAUUUUGAACCAAAUAAAGUGAUAAAUAUAUUUCAAAUAAAAAAGACACUUGUAUAAUUAUGCACUCGCGCAAUAUAAUUAGAAACUUAAUAAGUACUUUUUUCAAAAAAUCUACCAUGUGAAAUAUUUUUUAGUAAGCUUCCGUAAUCCCAAAUAGGAACCUUACAUUGCAGAAUUAUCUAAGAUGAAAUAUUAUUCCUCGGCCAAUAGCAUUAGUCAUGAAUCUUAUUUGAAACAAGAAAAUCCUAUACCAUGUGAUAAACGGCUUAUAUGAUAAACGCAAACUAAAUUAUGGUUCAUCUUCUUUAUUUUAGAAAUUCUCAUAUUUAUAUCCGUCACUUAUAUAUAUCGUGAUUUUCAAUAGCUUUUUGUAAGUAAACUCUUUAAAAUAUUAUUCCUUCACCAAUUCCAUUAGUCAUGUAUCUUAUUUUUCGUAUCACAAAAUAUUUGUUACCUUUGAAAAAUCAACACAUAAUUACAGUGGUAUCACUCAAAAUUGGGUUAAUUACAAUUACCUUCAAUGAGAUUUGUCCUAAUUAAAAAAUAUAUAUCUUGUGAUUUUAUCAUAUCACAGCCGAGUCCCGUGAUAGCAAAACAUUUGUCAAAUACGCGGCCUCCUCACAUAAGAGUUGUUAGAAUUGCUUCUCAAAAUCAGAUAUUUCCAAAAGAUCCUAAGUACUCAUUUGCAAUUCAAGCCAAUUACAAAAUUUUGCCGUUGAAGUUUGUUCAGUUUUCUAAACUAACGUUAUGGUAUGUGCAAAGCACAAUCCAACAUUUUGAAUACAUGUAAUUUUGUCAAGUAGCCCUCUUCCCCACCCCACCUAACCCCUGACCGGCCCCGCCGCAAAAAAAUGAAAAAAAUUAGUUAGUUGCUGUUAACUUGAAGUUAUGUCCACAAUUAUUAAAUCUAAUGAAGCCAUCCAGCUUGGGGUAAGGGCUAAGUCAGUGGGAUCGUGGUUGAACUAGUAAGUCACUUAUUGAAUUGAUGGAAUUCUAUAAAGUAAUAAAAUAGUAUAAUGAAGUUAUUGGAAAUUAAAAAUAUGAAAAAGUAAAAAGAUAAAAGCUAAUAUCUUUACAAUAAUAAAGGUUGUGUAGAUAGUUAAUUUGGUGUUAAUUUUAUGCAUUUUCAAAUUUACCCUUAUAUCUAUUAUUCAUUAACCCUUAUUUCUAUUAUCAACUGACACAUAAAUCUUAUUCAACCAAAGUUACCUGUCUCCAAUUUUCACGUUCUCUCUAAUCAACAGUUUUUAUUACUUCCCAAACCAUCUUCUAAAGAUAUCCAUUCUUCUCUAGUCAAUCAACCAUUUCUCCCAAAUCUUAAUGCCGCUUCAUAUGGUACAUUGCUGUAUAAUACACUUUUGAUUAUAUAUUACAUAAAAUAGUUAUAUUUACUUGAGCUAUUUAUGUGAUUCUUUCAAUUAAAUUUUUUUUUGAUAAAUUGCACACACAUCGAAUGUGUCUCGAUAGCUACUAUGGAUAACUCUAACUUGUAUUAGCUUGAAUAGUUUAACUUUUAAAUCACAUUAUACUUGUCCCAAUAAUGUCAUAUUUGUGCUUUUAUAUUAUAAUAGGUACAAACUAUAGUGUAGUAGAAGCAUGUUUGGCAGUUCUAAUAAAUCUAUCGAAAAUUUUGAAAUAAUGUGUAAAUAUAUAGAAAAGGCCAUAGCAUUCUCGCUUGAAAGAAAAUUUUUUGCUUAUAAUAGUAUUUUGGGAUUACCUCUCAAAUAAAAUUUUUUUCAUUUUUCCCCCCAAAAAUGCCCAGAUUUUUGGCCUUCCAAUUUAACCGCAAGCCUUCACCGAGCUUAAACGAAUGCCUGCCUUAUCCAGCUAAUCGGUUUAAUUAGACCAGCCUAGUCCCAUGGCUGGUAGUGGCUGUCAAACUACCAAAAAUAAAAUUUAUAAUGAGACCUACUUCCAAAACUGAAUGAGUAUAGUGAUGAGUAGGGUCGUCUCCUCAAGCAACUGAUAAAUUUAUCACACACAGAGAAUUUCGGGGAUUUUAGGAAGGAAAAUAAAAAUAACAAAUUAAAGAUUUAAGGUACUGAAUUUAAAUUCGCAAGAGUGCAGUAGUUAAAGAAUAUAAUAAACAACUAAUUGACAUGACCUAGUCAAGAAAAUAAUUUCGGCAUCGAUUCACGCAAUUGAUCAUAGAUAUCAAGAAUAAUUCACAUGCUUGCAAAUAAAUUGGUUCUAGCAAUUUAGCAAUCGCCAAACUACCAAUCUCUCCUUAAUUUUACAGUAGUCCAGAGACGCUCUUAAACUACUCCCUUGUAAAAUAGCUAACCCUAGAGACGUUCGAAAGAUUUAAUCUAUUCACAUCCUUACGAAUUAGAGAGACCCAAUUCUAGUUAACAAAUACACAUGCGGGUUCAUUUAAACUAGAUUAACUAUUCCUAUGACCCAGAUUAGACUGCUUACGAGGCAAUGAAAUUGUGUCGUUUACCACUAAUUUAAGACAAUCAAGUGAUACGCACCCUUGUCCUAAUUGGCAGUAUACUAUUCAGAUAAUUGAACAACUGGUCACAUUGAUCCAAUAAAUCCAAACAAUAAUAGACUAUUAAAACAAGGAAUAAUCAAAUACUCACAAAUGCAGAAUUUAAAAUAAUUAAAAAAUCUCACAAUUGUCCGUGCACCGGGUGUUGUUUGUUCCUCAACUAGAUAAAGGAACUAGCCUUGCCUCAUAACGAUGAAGCAAUUGAAAACUUUCAUGGAGUUUUGUUGAUUGAAAAACAAAGAAGUUAAAAAGACGCGGCCGCUAGUUUUCUAACUUAGGUUUAGGAGGAAAAAAAAACCAAAUAAAGACUCCAGUUACCAGAUAAGAUACUAAUCUAUCGCUUGUCCUAUUUAUAGUGUCUCCGCCGCUGCCAAAUUCGUUAAUCGAGGUGCUUGUUCCUAUAAGGAUUCCCUUUCUUUAUUUCUCUUCUUUAGUUGUUGCCAAAAGGGACUCUGAAGAUAUUUCCUAAUUCCACGCAACUUCAAAAUACGUCUCCCAAGAGUAGCGGCAGCAUCCAGGAAUAGGUCACAAGGUCCGUCUUUUUAACGUAAUUCUACGGUCUUUGGCGUGGGCACGCUCUGGAAUGACUAGUCUUCUAGAAAUUUGUCUCUUUUUACCACUUUUGACACCAAUUGCCUGCAAUAGACGCAUAUACCAAUUAUGAGCAGAAACCUAUUACUCUUGGACAAUAAGUGGCCAAAAUCAAGAUUAAACAUCAACAAAUAAAAUGCACAAUUAUCUCACUAUCACUGGAUCACCUUGUUAAUUGAUUUAUUUAGCAAUGUUGAUCAAGUUUAAUAACUAUGCUUUUUAAACAAAGUCAGUAAAAUUGGCAAAAUAGCUAUUACCUUAGUCCAUUCUCCCUUCUAUUAUUGCGGUUGACUAUAAUUAGAGUCGGUUUUAGCAAAACCAAAGCCACAUGAUUUCACUAGCAAUAUCCGUCGGUCAUUGAUGUCUGGUUGCAUGGACCACCAUUUAAUUGUCCUCGAUAUUAACAAUUUUUCUUCAUGUUUAUUUACAGGUAAACAAAAUUCUUUUUUAAAUUAAAAUAUUUGAGUUUAAAUCCCAAAAGAGAGUGAUGCAUCCAAAUUACUCUAUUGGUAUAUUACACAUAAAUUUUAACGCUUCUAUGCCAAAAAAGCGUUCUAAUUGGAGACCGAAGUAGAAAUUCAAGAUAAAUACUUAUUUAGAGCUAAGAAAGAAAAUAAAACUUUCAGUUCAUGAUAAAAUGGACCAUUUUCAAUUAAAGCACCAAAUUCGACACCCAAAAGGAUAUGCAGAUGUAGAUGAGGAUAGUAAACUUGGGAAGGAUCUGAGCAAUAGCUGUUGUAGGCCUAUAGGCAUAAGAAAAAGAAAAAAAAAACAGAGAGCAAAUUUUUUUUUUUGGUCUUUCCUUUUCUUUCUCAUUUUUAAGUAGUUUUAAUUAUACUUUAGGGCAAAAUACACUUUACCUCCCUCUGAUUUAACAAGUUUUCACAUAAUCCUCCUAAAGUUUCAAAAGUUAUAUAUAACCUCUCAUAGUUUGAAUUAAAGUAUCAAAAUGACGGAAAUGAUAAUUUAUAACAGAAUCCAUAAAAAAUGUUGAAAUUACUCUUUUUUAAAAAUUAAAAUAGUUGAAGUAACUAAAAUAUAUAAAUAUAAUAUGCAUAACACUCUAACCCUACAUGAUUUUAUGUUUUAUUAUAAAACCCCCUUAUGGUUUAGUACUUUACCGUAUUAUCCCCUUAUAGUUUUCAAAAUAUAUGCAUAAUCUCCCGUAGUUAAUAAAUAAUUUUCAAAUUUACAUAGUGGUUCUUUUAACAUUUUAGUUGACUCCAUUGUGGAAUGUAAAUUCUAUCAUCAUUUUGACACUUUAAUCAAAAUUAUGAGGGAUUAUGUAUAACUUUUGAAUCAUAGGAGGUUUUGUAAAAAAUGCUAAACCCCAGGGGGUAAAAUGUAUUUUGCCCUUUAACUUUCUUCACAAAUAUUUGGCUAUUUAAAAAGGUUAGAUCACAAAUUGGUCAAAUUACAAGAUUAGUAUUGUAAAUUGUACAAGCCAGAAGCAAUGUGAAUAUAUAUUAAGCAUAGACUUUUUUUUUUGAGCAAUUAUAGGCUAUUUCUGCAGUUGAUACUCUAGGUUUAGUUCAUGAACACCUUGGAAAAAAAAGUGGUUUGAUUCUUUUUCAACGCGUUUAUUUUCUUUCCUAGUGAAACAUGCUCCUUAUAAUUUCUAGUUUUUCUCCUCUCCAACUUGGCUAUUUUUUUGUUUCAUUCCUUUGUAGUGGUUAACUAACCGCCAUUGUUUAUCAUGGGAUAAUAUGUAGAGGAUCCAUCUAAGAAACCAAGAAACAUACUUGAUGUUGGAUGCGGUAUUGGUGGCAGCACCAGGUACCUAGCAAGUAAAUAUGAUGCUCAAGUUAAAGGCAUCACCCUAAGCCCUGUUGAGGCCGAAAGAGCUCGUGUUCUAACUGCUUCCCAAGGAUUAGAAAGCCAGGUUUGUAUGAAUAUAUGCAUUACAAUUUCCAAUCUAGUCUACUUCCUACUAGAAUAUGAUUUUCUUAUUGUUUCUCACUUUGCAUUCUUACUUUUGUUUUGAACGAUUAGCGUGCUAAAAUUGUUGAAUUGCCAAACCACCCUAGCCGCUUACACUUUUAUGUAAGUACAUAUUCUGAUUUUUCCAAUUAUUAAGGAAUAAUGACAGAAUAUAUGAAUACCACCACUAUGAUUUUGGAAAAAUUGGUGAGUGUAUAUAUUUAUGAAAAGGACGCACUUUUUAGAUUUUGACUAUGUAUAAAAGAUACUUGUAUUCACUUUUGUAUAUCAUGCGGACUUGUUUGUGCACAUUUACCAGUAAAUUUUGUGAAAAAGUUGCUACAAUCAUUUUUCUUAAAUUCCCCAAUAUUUUCUUUAAUAGAAAGCAAGACUUGUAUCUUCAUGGAAUUUAUGCCAAGUCUUAAAUUUAGAUCAAGCUGUACUUCAAUUAAAUUUAGUAAAAUAACUGGGAACUAGGUUCCUUUACACAUGAUUACCAUUGGUUUCCCUUCCAAAUUCCAAGUAACUGCCACCAUGACACUAGCUAGAAAGAAAAAUUAAGAAGAAAAUUUUUAAUCGUGAUCAAGAUAUAUCAGUAGUGUUUCUUUCUUUCCCUAACAACUGCUGAAACAUACGUAUCAGGUCUCUUUUGAGGUGGCAGAUGCCUUGAAUCAGCAAUUUGAAGAUGGUGCAUUCGAUUUAAUUUGGUGUAUUGAAUGUGCAGAUCACAUAAACGACAAAACCAAGGUUUUCUUUUUCUUUUUCUUUUUUCCUUCUCGCAGCUUCGUUAAUUUACAAUUACUAUUCCUCUUUAUUUUGGUUCUUUUCAUUCUUUUCCAAAAGAUAUAUAUAUAUAUAUAUCUUCUUGUUGAAUGUACGUAUCACAUAAAGGUCAGUAACAUUAAAUUCUGCUGAUGCUAUUUCCUGUUGAUGUAGUUUGUUCAUGAGAUGAGUCGGUUGGCUGCCCCUGGUGCUACUAUUAUUUUACUCACUUGGUGCCACAGGGAUCUUUCACCCCUUGAACAGGAUUUGCAUCCAGAUGAGAAAAAGUUACUGAACCAAACGGAGAGUGGAAACCGUGUUAAGUGGAUUUCUGCUGCCGAUUAUAUAAAUUUAUUCAAGUCAUGCUCUCUUCAGGUAUUAAUGGCAGUUGACUUUUGCUGCUCAUUUAUUCGAUCACUAUCAUUAUCUUUCUUCAUUUCCGCAUUUUCUUGAUUUUUUAAGUCUCCUGUUGUUAAUUAGGAUAUCAAGUAUGCAGACUGGUCUCCACACGUUGCUCCACAUUAUGCAGAAAUGAGGAAGUCAACGUUGUCAUGGAAGGGAAUCAUGUCGUAUAUUAGACAUGUUGGUAAGCAAUGUCUAUUUCACUCGCAUAUAUAGCCGAUUCAGUACCAUUAUCUAUCUUGUAAUCAAUGCAUACCAUAUUUCUUAACCAUUUCUUCAUCUUUUCUCAAUUUCAAUUAAUAGGAUGGAGGCAAUUGAGCAUCAGGGCGCUGAUGAUGCCGUCAUUGUUCGACAGAUUCAAAAAUGGUCAGCUUAAGUAUUGCAUUCUUACGUGCCAGAAGCCUAGGUAAUUCUAGGGAUGUUUAAUGUCCUUGUAUAAAUAUCACUCCACAGUCGAUAAUUUGCACUUAUGCUUUUCUUCCUCGAAAGCUAAUUUGUCUUGGAAUUGGAUUCUGAUUUGUGCUUAUUUGAACAGUUUUCAACAAUGUUUUGAAACUCGGAUCAUUAAUUGAACCGGCGAAGUGAUCAAGUCAAUAUUCAAUCAUUUGGAUCGGUUCAAUCCUAAUUCGAUGAUUUUAUACACACACUUAUGCGAAGAAUAACUGUGACAGUCCCACCUCACCCUAAGGCGAACCAAAGGAUUCGGCGGGCCGCCUGCCCAACUCUCGUCGGGACUCAGUCGUUCCUCAAGCAAAAUCGAAAUAAAACCACAGGAAUAACUAUAGCAACAAUCCAAAACUUAAAGCAACUUAUGUACAUCCAUCUCAAAAGAAGUACAACCACCACUAUACAAAGGUUCUCAAUUCCUCAUACAUCCAGCCCGGGCCAAACACUAGGGCGAGAACCAUUAUAAAAGAAAUUUCAAAGAACUAGACCAAGCUAGUCUAUACAGAGCUCUCGUCCUUGCUCGCCUUCCCCUGUUAAGGAAAACAAAACUAAAGGCAUGAGCUAAAAGCUCAGUGAGCUUCCGAACACAUAAGCAACAAUAAAGCCAAUGUAUUAACCAUAGAUAACUAAUAAUUCAAGAAACAAGUACAAUGGAAAGCGAUAAACAUUCAUUAAAAGGAUACGGGCUCACAGGGAGCCAUAUAUUCGUUCGUUCGUUCAUUCUCCUGUCAUUCCUCUUAUUCCUCCAGUCAAUUAAAUAAAAUACAUUUUUGGUAAAUAAAACCCUCGUUCGUUCUUUUGUUUCGUUCACCCCCUCCUGGAAAUUGGCCAGGCCCCACCAGACUACAAGGUAAUACUCGAGUAUACCAAAUUCACCCAGGGUCACCAUAUCGCUCGACCGAGUCCACUUCUGUCUCGAGUCGAUCGGUAACGAAGGGCAGGGCCCAAUUCAGCCAAAAGGUUUACAUCAUGCGCAACUAAUGUAGCAAUCAUUAAAUCAUUGAAAAUUUCACGUUUCAUUUAGGUCGAGAGCGGUAAAGUACACGCUCGCCUAGAAAACUCGUUUUGAAAAUUCUUGAAAGCACUUAACACAUUAUCAAACAAGAACACAAGUCAUGAAGUCAAGAAAAAUAUAGCAAACAAGAAACACUCACCUAAUUAUGCAAAAUAACGGGUAAAAUAUCCUUCCGGAUAUGACCCUCAGUCACCGAGAAAACCUAAAAUUAAACGAGAGAGAAUAUUACAGUUCAUCGAGCAAACAAGUAAAUGAAAUCAAAGAAAAACCGGCAAAUGAUAAGUAAAACGUAUAAAGACGCCUUUAUAGUGAAAAGGGGAUAUUUGGACCGGAGGACGGAAAUAACUAGAGUUUCAUAAACCAAACGCAAAACUAACUCAAACGGGUUAUAAAAUGUCAGGCGGAAAACACUUGGACCAAAGACAACUCGGACUCCAACGAGAUAGGCUAAAAAUAUUGUUUUCGGAAUCGUUUAGAUAGUUCAAAAUCAACUCAUACCCAAGCAGCUAGUAUAGACUAAACGUCAUGGUAAAAAUCAUGUGAAAAGGAGGACAAUACUACCUUACGUUCACACUUAAAACCUCACUUAAAAGUGGUUCACUUAUGGCCGAGAAAACCCUAAAUCAUACCUCUAUAUUUUGGGAAGGAGUAAGUAGCAUUUGAAGUUUUAAACUAAAGAGGUAUCAUGUUUUAAAAUGGAAAACCGGUCAUGGUAUUGGCCAAACAAAAGUAUACAAGUUCAAAUAGAAACUUAGCCCUCGAGCGAAAAUUUGGGCAACACGCCCUUUGUAUUUACCUAUUUCCCAACCAUUUAUGACUUCAUUAUUUUCUCUAUCAAUUCCAAAGUCAUACACAAUAUAAACUCAUUAUAAUAGCCGUUCCAUAGGCUCCAGAUCAUACAAGUACAAAAUCAAGCUAAUGACAUGUGCGGAAAUGAAGUUUAGUUUGGAAAACAAAAGACAGUUUUAACGUUACUUAGCGGAACAGACGUAACAGGAGCUACACUUAUCGGAUUGAGGUGUAAUUUAUACCGUUUCGAAGCUAAGAUAAAGGGCUACAAUUUUUAUGAAGACCACUCAGUCUAGUUCGUGGUGUAGCUAGGUCAAAAUUCCAAUGUACCAAACCAGAAUCGCAUAAACAGGUCAGCUAACCGCAUUAUGGUUAAAUGAUCAUAUCUUAGGCUACCAAAGUCCAAUUGAGGUGUUUCUAGGGCCGUUGGAAAGCUAAGACCUAGUACUACAACUUUCAUGUUUUGGUCAAGAUCCAAUUCGGUAAGGAUCAGAGUGAAAAGGCACGGUCAGACUGGGAGAAAUGUCCACCCUGUCCAGCCAACUAUUCUUGUGGCAGUUUGCGGUAUUUCUGACUUUUCUCAGGCUACACAGCUCGGAUUGGGCUGAAAUUUUAAGGCAACUAUAAAACACCAUUUCCUACAACUUUCAUGUUUUGACCCAAAGCUAAUUCGGCCUCUAACCUAGCCAAACAGAAACGGGCAGAACAGGGUCAUAUGGAACCCUAAUCUGGAAUUUGAGUUUCAAACCAACAAUUUUGCACAAUCAAUCAUUUCCAACACAUACCAACUCCAUCUUACACUAUAACAAACCAUUAAUCCAUGGUUAACCAACACUAAUCAUAUGAAAUCAGAAAAAUCAUGAACAAAAGAAAAAUCCAUCAAUCUCAACCAUAGGUCAUGGAAUCAUCCAUAAAAUCACUUAUUCAACCACUACAAAUCACUAAUUGAACAUUAUCAAGAUUAAAGGAAAGGUUCCUUAGUCACUUACCUUGCAAACCCAAGAAAAGACCCAACUUAGCACCUUUGCUUCUCAAACCACUUCACCACACACUUUAAUCCUACCAAGAGAAAGGUUUUUAUGGAGCAAAUCAAGGUUUUAACGGUUAGUUUGUGAGAUUGAGCAAGAAAUAGAAGGAAGAAAUUGGAAGCUUUUCCUCUUUUUUUUUCUCCAAGAAGUUCGGCCAAGAGAGCAUAAGAAAUGGAAAAGUUUUGGUCAAAAUUAGCUUUAAGAAGGAAACAAAUAUCUUGGUCGACAGUUCACCCUCGAAUAGAAACGCGACAUGUGGCACCUUUUAUGUUUAAGCUUAUCUUCUAGUCUCUCCAUACUAAUUAAUCUAGCAAACCUCUAAUUAUCUCCUAGCAUCUUGUAAAUUAAUCCCAUAACGCAAAACUUAAGUUAGUUGUCCGAAUAAUACGCACUUAACGCACUAGAGGUCCCACGUCAAACUACACUUCAAAUUUAACGUACACUAAAUUAUAUCAAGAAAAUGAUUUGAAAACUAUAUUCACUUAUAAAAAUGUAUAGAAAAUUAAUAUAUUGAAGAAAAGUAUAAAUUUAUAAACAAGGAAAUAAAAUAAUGUUUAGAAAACAUAUAAAAUUUUUUUUUCGGGUUCUCAAACUCUCUCCCCCUUAAGAAAUUUUGUCCUCGAAAUUUUUACCUUCAUUUGUCUCAGACGAGUCCGGAACUGUUUGGUUGCCUAACGCAUACACUUUUGCCGGUACACUUGUUCGGUUUCCUCUUUCAUUCACUUGUCUUGAUUUGGCUCCAUCCAGUUGCGGAGUAUUACCUUCACGUGGCUGUCUCCUCGGACAAUUGCUCACCUGGUGGUCACCACUUCCGCAUAUCAAACACUUCCGCCAUUUCCGCCAACAAGCAUCCUCGGUGUGAUUAGCCUUUCCACAGUAGCCACAAGUCAAGCGAGAAGCCAUCUUUUGGUUGUCUUGAGUAAUCUCCUCAGGUCUGAUUUGGCUUCCUUUAGUAGACCUUUCAUCUACCGCCCCUAACGUCCAUGGUGGGCGGAGUAACGGGUUCAUUUUCUGCACUUUAGGAGGCGCUAUCGUUUCGCUCAAUUCACCCACUAUACUAUCCGAUGCACCCCUUUUCUGGGUCUGGGAGGCCUUUAACUGUGCCUUUGCAUUCUCGAUUCUUUGAGCUUUCUCAAGGGCUUCCGUAAACGUAUUCACUUGUACCGCUGCUAAUGCUUCUUGAAUUUUCAAAUUCAAUCCUUGUAUAAAUCGUCUCACUCUUCUCGGUUCUGUGGCUACUAAUUCGGAAGCAAACUUGGAUAGUUUGGUGAAUUUCGUUUCGUAUUCAGCCACACUUAAGGUCCCUUGGCGUAGCCCAAUAAAUUCGUCCUCCCUCCUUUCCUAGACUAAAGGUGGGAGGUACUUCUCGUUAAAUUCUCUUAGGAAGUUAGCCCACGUCCAUAUGGUCCGUUCUCUUUUCCACUUUGCUCUAAUUACGUUCCACCACGCUCGGGCUGGUCCUUCAAAUUGAAACACUGCAAAGUUUACUUGCCUUUGCUCAGUAUAGUUCAAAACUGUGAAAAUAUUCACCAUGGCCUCUAACCAUUGUUCAGCGAUAUCCAGAUCAGGCCCUCCAGCGAAUUUUGGAGGUGCAAACUUUUGAAACCUCUCAAGAGCCCGAUCUUCUCUUAUUUCCGGGUUUUGGGGUUGAUUUACAGGCAUUUGAUCUUGUUGGUCCACCAACCUUGCUAAGAUGUUUGUCAUUUGUUGAAUUGCCGUCGCCAUUUGGUCCCCAGCUUCAACCCUCGGUCCUUGCUCUUGUGCAGCUGUUGUUUCCCUUUUUUCUCUUGGCUCUUGAGCUCGUUUAUUCCCACGGUCACGUCCACGUCCACGACUACGUCUCCCGUCCAUCUAUAUGUUUUCCCUCUCUCUUUUCUUUUCCUUUCCCCCCCAAAAGGUAAUUUAGUGCAUAAACACAGUAAAUUGACUAAAGUAACAAAUUCCAGCAUACCAAAUACACAAUUAAACAUAGACACACAUAACACACCAUAUAUCAAGAAGACAGAUGAUCAAAUUACACAGAGGCAUAUCAAAUUAGACUAAAUAACCCCGUCCUAGUUUCAGUUGAGUAACCCCGUCCAGUCUCUCACGUCACUUUCUAUCCAAACCAGAUAUCCGUCGACCUCUUAUACUCAUUCUCGCCGAACAAAACCUAUUCAUGUUCCCAAAAAUGUAAAUCUCACAUACUUAGCAUCCUCAACUCUAGAGUACUCGGGCACGAGAAUCCGAGAUAAGACAAUUCACAUCUCGAGCUGGCCAGUCCCAAGAGUAAACCAUCUACAAUCAAAAUUCCUACCAGACGUACCUAUCUAUGGUUCUCAAAUACCACAAGAAAAUUUAAGGCCUAUAACAUCCACAAUUCAUAACUCAUGCUCGAACGAGCACUUACUUCUUCAUACCCAUUCACCACUCAGUCCAGGCUCACUCCGCGCAGAGACCACGCGAAACAGACUCUGAUACCAACUGUGACAGCCCCACCUCAACUUAAGGCGAACCAAAGGGCUCGACGGGCCGCCUGCCUAACUCUCGCCGGGACUCAGUUGUUCUUCAAGUAAAAUCGAAAUAAAACCACAGGAAUAACUAUAGCAACAAUCCAAAACUUAAAGCAACUUAUGUACAUCCAUCUCAAAAGAAGUACAACCACCACUAUACAAAGGUUCUCAAUUCCUCAUACAUCCAACCCGGACCAAGCACUAGGGCGAGAACCAUUACAAAAGAAAUUUCAAAGAACUAGACCAAGCUAGUCUAUACAGAGCUCUUGUCCUUGCUCGCCUUCCCCUGUUAAGAAAAACAAAACUAAAGGCAUGAGCUAAAAGCUCAGUGAGGUUCCGAACACAUAAGCAACAAUAAAGCCAAUGUAUUAACCAUAGAUAACCAAUAAUUCAAGAAACAAGUACAAUGGAAAGCGAUAAACAUUCAUUAAAAGGAUACGGACUCACAGGGAGCCAUAUAUUCGUUCGUUCGUUCAUUCUCCUGUCAUUCCCCUUAUUCCUCCGGUCAAUUAAAUAAAAUGCAAUUUUGGUAAAUAAAACCCUCGUUCGUUCUUUCGUUUCGUUCACCCCCUCCUGGAAAUUGGUCAGGCUCCACCAGACUACAAGGUAAUACUCGAGCAUACCAAAUUCACCCAGGGUCACCAUAUCGCUCGACCGAGUCCGCUUCUGACUCGUGUCGAUCAGUAACGAAGGGCAGAGCCCAAUUCAGCCAAAAAGCUUACAUCAUGCACAACUAAUGUAGCAAUCAUUAAAUCAUUGAAAAUUUCACGUUUCAUUUAGGUUGAGCACGGUAAAGUACACGCUCGCCUAGAAAACUCGUUUUGAAAAUCCUUGAAAGCACUUAACACAUUAUCAAACAAGAACACAAGUCAUGAAGUCAAGAAAAAUAUAGCAAACAAGAAACACUCACCUAAUUAUGCAAAAUACCAUGCAAAAUAUCCUUCCGGAUAUGACCCUCAGUCACCUAGAAAACCUAAGAUUAAACGAGAGAGAAUAUUACAGUUCAUCGAGCAAACAAGUAAGUGAAAUCAAAGAAAAACCAGCAAAUGAUAAGUAAAAUGUAUAAAGACGCCUUUAUAGUGAAAAGGGGAUAUUUGGAUCAGAGGACGGAAAUAACUAGGGUUUCAUAAACCAAACGCAAAACUAACUCAAACGGGUUAUAAAAUGUCCGGCGGAAAACACUUGGACCAAAGACAACUCGGACUCCAACGAGAUAGGCUAAAAAUAUUGUUUUCGGAAUCGUUUAGAUAGUUCAAAAUCAACUCAUACCCAAGCAGCUAGUAUAGACUAAAUGUCAUGAUAAAAAUCAUGUGAAAAGGAGGACAAUACUACCUUACGUUCAUACUUAAAAUCUCACUUAAAAGUGGUUAACUUAUGGCCGAGAAAAUCCUAAAUCAUACCUCUAUAUUUUGGGAAGGAGUAAGUAGCAUUUCAAAUUUUAAAUUAAAGAGGUAUCAUGUUUUAAAAUGAAAAACCGGUCAUGGUAUUGGCCAAACAAAAGUAUACAAGUUCAAAUAGAAACUUAGCACUCGAGCGAAAAUUUGGGCAACACGCCCUUUGUAUUUACCUAUUUCCCAACCAUUUAUGACUUCAUUAUUUUCUCUAUCAAUUCCAAAGUCAUACACAAUAUAAACUCAUUAUAAUAGCCGUUCCAUAGGCUCCAGAUCAUACAAGUACAAAAUCAAUCUAAUGACAUGUGCGGAAAUGAAGUUUAGUUUGGAAAACAAAAGACAGUUUUAACGUUACUUAGCGGAACAGACGUAACAGGAGCUACACUUAUCGGAUUGAGGUGUAAUUUAUACCGUUUCGAAGCUAAGAUAAAGGGCUACAAUUUUUAUGAAGACCACUCAGUCUAGUUCGUGGUGUAGCUAGGUCAAAAUUCCAAUGUACCAAACCAGAAUCGCAUAAACAGGUCAGCUAACCGCAUUAUGGUUAAAUGAUCAUAUCUUAGGCUACCAAAGUCCAAUUGAGGUGUUUCUAGGGCCGUUGGAAAGCUAAGACCUAGUACUACAACUUUCAUGUUUUGGUCAAGAUCCAAUUCGGUAAGGAUCAGAGUGAAAAGGCACGGUCAGACUGGGAGAAAUGUCCACCCUGUCCAGCCAACUAUUCUUGUGGCAGUUUGCGGUAUUUCUGACUUUUCUCAGGCUACACAGCUCGGAUUGGGCUGAAAUUUUAAGGCAACUAUAAAACACCAUUUCCUACAACUUUCAUGUUUUGACCCAAAGCUAAUUCGGCCUCUAACCUAGCCAAACAGAAACGGGCAGAACAGGGUCAUAUGGAACCCUAAUCUGGAAUUUGAGUUUCAAACCAACAAUUUUGCACAAUCAAUCAUUUCCAACACAUACCAACUCCAUCUUACACUAUAACAAACCAUUAAUCCAUGGUUAACCAACACUAAUCAUAUGAAAUCAGAAAAAUCAUGAACAAAAUAAAAAUCCAUCAAUCUCAACCAUAGGUCAUGGAAUCAUCCAUAAAAUCACUUAUUCAACCACUACAAAUCACUAAUUGAACAUUAUCAAGAUUAAAGGAAAGGUUCCUUAGUCACUUACCUUGCAAACCCAAGAAAAGACCCAACUUAGCACCUUUGCUUCUCAAACCACUUCACCACACACUUUAAUCCUACCAAGAGAAAGGUUUUUAUGGAGCAAAUCAAGGUUUUAACGGUUAGUUUGUGAGAUUGAGCAAGAAAUAGAAGGAAGAAAUUGGAAGCUUUUCCUCUUUUUUUUUCUCCAAGAAGUUCGGCCAAGAGAGCAUAAGAAAUGGAAAAGUUUUGGUCAAAAUUAGCUUUAAGAAGGAAACAAAUAUCUUGGUCGAAAGUUCACCCUCGAAUAGAAACGCGACUGUGGCACCUUUUAUGUUUAAGCUUAUCUUCUAGUCUCUCCAUACUAAUUAAUCUAGCAAACCUCUAAUUAUCUCCUAGCAUCUUGUAAAUUAAUCCCAUAACGCAAAACUUAAGUUAGUUGUCCGAAUAAUACGCACUUAACGCACUAGAGGUCCCACGUCAAACUACACUUCAAAUUUAACGUACACUAAAUUAUAUCAAGAAAAUGAUUUGAAAACUAUAUUCACUUAUAAAAAUGUAUAGAAAAUUAAUAUAUUGAAGAAAAGUAUAAAUUUAUAAACAAGGAAAUAAAAUAAUGUUUAGAAAACAUAUAAAAUUUUUUUUUCGGGUUCUCAAACUUUCUCCCCCUUAAGAAAUUUUGUCCUCGAAAUUUUUACCUUCAUUUGUCUCAGACGAGUCCGGAACUGUUUGGUUGCCUAACGCAUACACUUUUGCCGGUACACUUGUUCGGUUUCCUCUUUCAUUCACUUGUCUUGAUUUGGCUCCAUCCAGUUGCGGAGUAUUACCUUCACGUGGCUGUCUCCUCGGACAAUUGCUCACCUGGUGGUCACCACUUCCGCAUAUCAAACACUUCCGCCAUUUCCGCCAACAAGCAUCCUCGGUGUGAUUAGCCUUUCCACAGUAGCCACAAGUCAAGCGAGAAGCCAUCUUUUGGUUGUCUUGAGUAAUCUCCUCAGGUCUGAUUUGGCUUCCUUUAGUAGACCUUUCAUCUACCGCCCCUAACGUCCAUGGUGGGCGGAGUAACGGGUUCAUUUUCUGCACUUUAGGAGGCGCUAUCGUUUCGCUCAAUUCACCCACUAUACUAUCCGAUGCACCCCUUUUCUGGGUCUGGGAGGCCUUUAACUGUGCCUUUGCAUUCUCGAUUCUUUGAGCUUUCUCAAGGGCUUCCGUAAACGUAUUCACUUGUACCGCUGCUAAUGCUUCUUGAAUUUUCAAAUUCAAUCCUUGUAUAAAUCGUCUCACUCUUCUCGGUUCUGUGGCUACUAAUUCGGAAGCAAACUUGGAUAGUUUGGUGAAUUUCGUUUCGUAUUCAGCCACACUUAAGGUCCCUUGGCGUAGCCCAAUAAAUUCGUCCUCCCUCCUUUCCUAGACUAAAGGUGGGAGGUACUUCUCGUUAAAUUCUCUUAGGAAGUUAGCCCACGUCCAUAUGGUCCAUUCUCUUUUCCACUUUGCUCUAAUUACGUUCCACCACGCUCGGGCUGGUCCUUCAAAUUGAAACACUGCAAAGUUUACUUGCCUUUGCUCAGUAUAGUUCAAAACUGUGAAAAUAUUCACCAUGGCCUCUAACCAUUGUUCAGCGAUAUCCAGAUCAGGCCCUCCAGCGAAUUUUGGAGGUGCAAACUUUUGAAACCUCUCAAGAGCCCGAUCUUCUCUUAUUUCCGGGUUUUGGGGUUGAUUUACAGGCAUUUGAUCUUGUUGGUCCACCAACCUUGCUAAGAUGUUUGUCAUUUGUUGAAUUGCCGUCGCCAUUUGGUCCCCAGCUUCAACCCUCGGUCCUUGCUCUUGUGCAGCUGUUGUUUCCCUUUUUUCUCUUGGCUCUUGAGCUCGUUUAUUCCCACGGUCACGUCCACGUCCACGACUACGUCUCCCGUCCAUCUAUAUGUUUUCCCUCUCUCUUUUCUUUUCCUUUCCCCCCCAAAAGGUAAUUUAGUGCAUAAACACAGUAAAUUGACUAAAGUAACAAAUUCCAGCAUACCAAAUACACAAUUAAACAUAGACACACAUAACACACCAUAUAUCAAGAAGACAGAUGAUCAAAUUACACAGAGGCAUAUCAAAUUAGACUAAAUAACCCCGUCCUAGUUUCAGUUGAGUAACCCCGUCCAGUCUCUCACGUCACUUUCUAUCCAAACCAGAUAUCCGUCGACCUCUUAUACUCAUUCUCGCCGAACAAAACCUAUUCAUGUUCCCAAAAAUGUAAAUCUCACAUACUUAGCAUCCUCAACUCUAGAGUACUCGGGCACGAGAAUCCGAGAUAAGACAAUUCACAUCUCGAGCUGGCCAGUCCCAAGAGUAAACCAUCUACAAUCAAAAUUCCUACCAGACGUACCUAUCUAUGGUUCUCAAAUACCACAAGAAAAUUUAAGGCCUAUAACAUCCACAAUUCAUAACUCAUGCUCGAACGAGCACUUACUUCUUCAUACCCAUUCACCACUCAGUCCAGGCUCACUCCGCGCAGAGACCACGCGAAACAGACUCUGAUACCAACUGUGACAGCCCCACCUCAACUUAAGGCGAACCAAAGGGUUCGACGGGCCGCCUGCCUAACUCUCGCCGGGACUCAGUUGUUCUUCAAGUAAAAUCGAAAUAAAACCACAGGAAUAACUAUAGCAACAAUCCAAAACUUAAAGCAACUUAUGUACAUCCAUCUCAAAAGAAGUACAACCACCACUAUACAAAGGUUCUCAAUUCCUCAUACAUCCAACCCGGACCAAGCACUAGGGCGAGAACCAUUACAAAAGAAAUUUCAAAGAACUAGACCAAGCUAGUCUAUACAGAGCUCUUGUCCUUGCUCGCCUUCCCCUGUUAAGAAAAACAAAACUAAAGGCAUGAGCUAAAAGCUCAGUGAGGUUCCGAACACAUAAGCAACAAUAAAGCCAAUGUAUUAACCAUAGAUAACCAAUAAUUCAAGAAACAAGUACAAUGGAAAGCGAUAAACAUUCAUUAAAAGGAUACGGACUCACAGGGAGCCAUAUAUUCGUUCGUUCGUUCAUUCUCCUGUCAUUCCCCUUAUUCCUCCGGUCAAUUAAAUAAAAUGCAAUUUUGGUAAAUAAAACCCUCGUUCGUUCUUUCGUUUCGUUCACCCCCUCCUGGAAAUUGGCCAGGCUCCACCAGACUACAAGGUAAUACUCGAGCAUACCAAAUUCACCCAGGGUCACCAUAUCGCUCGACCGAGUCCGCUUCUGACUCGUGUCGAUCAGUAACGAAGGGCAGAGCCCAAUUCAGCCAAAAAGCUUACAUCAUGCACAACUAAUGUAGCAAUCAUUAAAUCAUUGAAAAUUUCACGUUUCAUUUAGGUUGAGCACGGUAAAGUACACGCUCGCCUAGAAAACUCGUUUUGAAAAUCCUUGAAAGCACUUAACACAUUAUCAAACAAGAACACAAGUCAUGAAGUCAAGAAAAAUAUAGCAAACAAGAAACACUCACCUAAUUAUGCAAAAUACCAUGCAAAAUAUCCUUCCGGAUAUGACCCUCAGUCACCUAGAAAACCUAAGAUUAAACGAGAGAGAAUAUUACAGUUCAUCGAGCAAACAAGUAAGUGAAAUCAAAGAAAAACCAGCAAAUGAUAAGUAAAAUGUAUAAAGACGCCUUUAUAGUGAAAAGGGGAUAUUUGGAUCAGAGGACGGAAAUAACUAGGGUUUCAUAAACCAAACGCAAAACUAACUCAAACGGGUUAUAAAAUGUCCGGCGGAAAACACUUGGACCAAAGACAACUCGGACUCCAACGAGAUAGGCUAAAAAUAUUGUUUUCGGAAUCGUUUAGAUAGUUCAAAAUCAACUCAUACCCAAGCAGCUAGUAUAGACUAAAUGUCAUGAUAAAAAUCAUGUGAAAAGGAGGACAAUACUACCUUACGUUCAUACUUAAAAUCUCACUUAAAAGUGGUUAACUUAUGGCCGAGAAAAUCCUAAAUCAUACCUCUAUAUUUUGGGAAGGAGUAAGUAGCAUUUCAAAUUUUAAAUUAAAGAGGUAUCAUGUUUUAAAAUGAAAAACCGGUCAUGGUAUUGGCCAAACAAAAGUAUACAAGUUCAAAUAGAAACUUAGCCCUCGAGCGAAAAUUUGGGCAACACGCCCUUUGUAUUUACCUAUUUCCCAACCAUUUAUGACUUCAUUAUUUUCUCUAUCAAUUCCAAAGUCAUACACAAUAUAAACUCAUUAUAAUAGCCGUUCCAUAGGCUCCAGAUCAUACAAGUACAAAAUCAAGCUAAUGACAUGUGCGGAAAUGAAGUUUAGUUUGGAAAACAAAAGACAGUUUUAACGUUACUUAGCGGAACAGACGUAACAGGAGCUACACUUAUCGGAUUGAGGUGUAAUUUAUACCGUUUCGAAGCUAAGAUAAAGGGCUACAAUUUUUAUGAAGACCACUCAGUCUAGUUCGUGGUGUAGCUAGGUCAAAAUUCCAAUGUACCAAACCAGAAUCGCAUAAACAGGUCAGCUAACCGCAUUAUGGUUAAAUGAUCAUAUCUUAGGCUACCAAAGUCCAAUUGAGGUGUUUCUAGGGCCGUUGGAAAGCUAAGACCUAGUACUACAACUUUCAUGUUUUGGUCAAGAUCCAAUUCGGUAAGGAUCAGAGUGAAAAGGCACGGUCAGACUGGGAGAAAUGUCCACCCUGUCCAGCCAACUAUUCUUGUGGCAGUUUGCGGUAUUUCUGACUUUUCUCAGGCUACACAGCUCGGAUUGGGCUGAAAUUUUAAAGCAACUAUAAAACACCAUUUCCUACAACUUUCAUGUUUUGACCCAAAGCUAAUUCGGCCUCUAACCUAGCCAAACAGAAACGGGCAGAACAGGGUCAUAUGGAACCCUAAUCUGGAAUUUGAGUUUCAAACCAACAAUUUUGCACAAUCAAUCAUUUCCAACACAUACCAACUCCAUCUUACACUAUAACAAACCAUUAAUCCAUGGUUAACCAACACUAAUCAUAUGAAAUCAGAAAAAUCAUGAACAAAAGAAAAAUCCAUCAAUCUCAACCAUAGGUCAUGGAAUCAUCCAUAAAAUCACUUAUUCAACCACUACAAAUCACUAAUUGAACAUUAUCAAGAUUAAAGGAAAGGUUCCUUAGUCACUUACCUUGCAAACCCAAGAAAAGACCCAACUUAGCACCUUUGCUUCUCAAACCACUUCACCACACACUUUAAUCCUACCAAGAGAAAGGUUUUUAUGGAGCAAAUCAAGGUUUUAACGGUUAGUUUGUGAGAUUGAGCAAGAAAUAGAAGGAAGAAAUUGGAAGCUUUUCCUCUUUUUUUUCUCCAAGAAGUUCGGCCAAGAGAGCAUAAGAAAUGGAAAAGUUUUGGUCAAAAUUAGCUUUAAGAAGGAAACAAAUAUCUUGGUCGAAGUUCACCCUCGAAUAGAAACGCGACAUGUGGCACCUUUUAUGUUUAAGCUUAUCUUCUAGUCUCUCCAUACUAAUUAAUCUAGCAAAUCUCUAAUUAUCUCCUAACAUCUUGUAAAUUAAUCCCAUAACGUAAAACUUAAGCUAGUUGUCAGAAUAAUACGCACUUAACGCACUAGCGGUCUCACGUCAAACUACACUUCAAAUUUAACGUACACUAACUUAUAUCAAGAAAAUGAUUUGAAAACUAUAUUCACUUAUAAAAAUGUAUAGAAAAUUAAUAUAUUGAAGAAAAGUAUCAAUUUAUAAACAAGGAAAUAAAAUAAUGUUUAGAAAACAUAUAAAUUUUUUUUUCGGCUUCUCACAAUAAAAUAUCUCAUGGACGAAUUUAAGACAUCGUCUGAAACUUUCGGUGUUCUCAACAUCCUUUCUCUCAACUUUCGGUGUAAAGCUGUGCAAAGUUGUGUAAAAAGACAAUAUAACUUUCGGUGCUCUUGAGGUUGAUGGCAAGUCAAGCUGCCCUCCAGCCGGAUCCGUUUCUUCUCCCACAUUCCAAAAGAAAUCUUUUUCUGAACUCUUUGGUAAUGGAGCUUCUCAGCCCAUUUUGAAUAUCAAUGCAGUGUCUUCGACUCAUUGGGGGGAACCUGCGAUUCUUUUUUCUCAAACUGAUCUGGCCACACUUGCUGCUCCAUACAAAUUUGCUUUGGUUGGUAAAUUUUCUAAGGGUCGUCCUUCUAUGGAGGAUCUCAGGAAAUUCUUCCUAUCUCUUGAUCUAAAAGAGGCUGCUAAGGUAGGUCUUUUAGACUCCAGACAUGUAGUGAUUAACUUGGGGAAUGAGGUGGAUUUCCAUCGGAUUUGGGCUAGAGGUAUAUGGUAUGUUUAUGGUGCUCCUAUGCGUGUCUUUAAAUGGUCUCCUGCUUUCCAUGUGGACAAGGUGCCUUCGGUGGUUCCAGUUUGGUUUAAGUUACCAAAAUUGCCGCUGCAUUACUUUAACAAAGAAUGCUUGUUCCAGAUUGCAGGCGUUUUGGGGAAUCCUUUGUUUGUAGAUUCUGCAACCAUGGUGGUUUCCAGGCCAAGUGUUGCUAGGGUGUGUGUAGAAGUAGACUUGUUAAAACUUCUUACUCCUAGGGUGUGGAUUGGUAAUGGUGAUCAUGAGGGCUUUUGGCAAGCUUUAAUUCCAGAAAAUCCGCCUAAAUAUUGUGCCCAUUGUUUUAAGCAGGGACAUAUCCAAGACGAUUGUCAUAUGCUAUAUCCGAUCUUAAAAUUCAGAGACCGUUAGCUUCCAAAAAACAGGAAGGUCAUACACGCUUUCAACCUAUUUCUUCACCGGGCUUGGGCAUAAUAGGCAAACAGGAUGAUUGUUUUGGAAAAGAGGUGGAUCCAAUCAUUGUAGCUAGCAAACAAAAUGAUCAAUCUGGGAAAGAGGUGGAUCCAAUCAUUGUAGCUAGCAAACAAAAUGAUCAAUCUGGGAAAGAGGGCCUGCUACUACGGAGGAGGAGGUGGGUGUGGUUGAUAAGGAGGGACCUUCAAAAACUCCUAAAGUCACAACUCCUUUUGUUGAAGAUGCAAAUAUUUGUACUGGGAUUUUCACAGAACCUGCUACAUGUUCACGUUCUGAUACUCAGGCGGUGGUGUCUCAGCAUGAUCUUGAUGGGCUGGAAGAUACUAUAAUGGUGGCUCCCACUGUUGAUCCCUCAAACAGGCAACUUGACAAUUUGGAACUUAUGGCUGGAAAGGAAAACCAGCAAGCCCGUUCUGCUUGUCAGCUGGAGUAGAAUGCGCUUGUCAUUGAUAUAUCUCAUUGUGGUGUGCAGGAGAAUUUGUAGGCAAAACAAUCAUCUGCGGUUGCGGAUAUCUUUAAUCUUGACCCGAUCAUUCAACAAGUCAGUGAAAAGCUCCAGCAUGAGGAAGGUUUACAGGUGGUUACGCAUGGCAAACCGAAAGGUAUCAGGGCUAAAUUUUCAUCUGAUCGUUCGCUGCGAUCAAAAGCCAAGGUUUCCUGAAACUCUUCCUCUUCCUUGUCUCAAUGAUUAAGUUUUUGUUUUGGAAUAUUAAGGGUAUAUCUCGCACCCCAAAUAUUCGAAGAUUGAGGUAUUUGGUAAAACAAUAUUCCAUUCAACUAGUAGCUAUUUGUGAACCGAAAACUCAAGUUGCAGAGAUCCAUUCGAUCAGGAUGAGACUUAAUAUGGAUCACGCUGUAUUUAGUAGUACGGGUGAUAUUUGGAUUUUUUAUAAAGCCUCUAUUUUUUGUCGUAUAGUUGGAGAAUCUAAUCAACAUUUGUCAUUACAAAUUGAUUCUGCAAUAUUUGCUGUUCCUAUUAUUUUUUCAUUUGUCCAUGCCAAGUGUACUGCCCUUCAAUGAGUGGAAUUAUGGAAUAGCCUUCUUGUGGACAAACCGACUCAGUCUGCCUGGUUUCUUGUGGGAGAUUUUAAUGUCAUUGUCUCGGAGGAGGAGAAAAGGGGUGGGGUGCCGUUUAGACCAGAGGAAGGUUGGGAUUUUUUGAACUUUAUGUCUCAAGCUGGGAUUUCUGAUGUGGGGUAUUCAGGGUCUAUUUUCACAUGGUGUAACAAUAGAUAUGGUCGGGCACGUAUUUGGAAGAGAUUAGACAGGUUACUUAUGAAUCAGGUUUCUUCCAAUUUAGGCUUAGGUUUUGCCGUACAACAUUUGUGUAGAGACCCAUCAGAUCACGCUCCAUUGUUAUUGUCGGCUCUUACAAAAUUGGAUAACAAGCCAAAGCCAUUUCGUUUUUUGAAUUUCUGGACAUCUAAACCAGAACUGUUGGAUGUGGUUAGGUGCAAUUGGAGCGGAAAUUUUUCAGGCCCACCAUUAAAGGUCCUUGCAGCCAAGCUUCGGAAUGUAAAGGUGGCAUUACGAACGUGGUCGCGCGAGGUUUUCGGUGACAUCUUUGAAGCUGUAAAGGUGGCGGAACAACGUGCUCUCAAUGCUGAGUUUAGUUAUGAUGCUGAUCCGUCUGAGGCAAAUUUAGUUGUAUUAAACGAAGCACAAGCCCAGCUAAGGCGUUCACAUGCACUUGAGAAUAUGUUCUGGCAACAAAAAUCCAGGAUUAAGUGGUUAAAGGAUGGCGAUAGGAACUCCAAGUAUUUUCAUUCUGUGGUGGUGGAACGACAAAGUACAUCAUUAAUCCAUUGCAUCAAGUCGUCUGUUGGGAAGUGGUUGGACAGUACAUCUAAUAUUGAGGGAGAGGCUGAAUCAUUUUUUAGACGUCUGUUCAUGGCAGAAUCAUAUGCUCAAUCCUUUGAAACUCUUGAGGUUAUCCCUAAAUUAAUUACUUCACAAGAUAAUGUGAUGUUGGAGAAAAUCCCAUCCAAGGAAGAAGUUAAGUUAGUGGUGUUUUCUAUGGAUGGUGAUAGCUCGGCUGGUCCGGAUGGCUUCUUGGGUAAGUUUUUUACGUUUGCAUGGGACAUUGUGGCUGAGGAUGUAUAUGCGGCAGUUAUUAGUUUUUUUUUGUGGGGAGGUUUUGCCUAGAAGUAUCUCUUCAACUUCAAUAGUGUUGAUUCCAAAGUUGACUUUACACAAUUUCGUCCUAUAAGUUUGUGUAACUUUAUCAACAAGGUGAUCUCAAAGGUUUUAUCGGAUAGAUUGUCUUGUCUCCUUCCUAAGAUUAUUUCGCCUCAGCAAAGUGGAUUUGUCAGAGGAAGGCAAAUUUCAGAUAAUUUUUUGCUGGCUCAAGAGCUGAUUUCUGGAAUUCGGCAGUCUAAUCAGGGGGGGAAUGUGGUUUGAAGUUGGAUAUGGCCAAAGCUUACGACAGAGUCUCAUGGCUUUUUUUGUUGCAAGUACUGCGACGCUUUGGUUUUGGUGAGCGGUGGAUCGAUAUGAUUUGGCGAUUAAUUUCCAAUGUCUGGUUUUCGGUUCUUAUUAAUGGCUCCCCAUGUGGUUUUUUCCAGUCAACUUGGGGACUGCACCAAGGAGAUCCCAUUUCGCCGGCUCUUUUUGUUAUUGGGGAAGAGGUUUUAUCUAGAUUGCUGAAUUCUUUGGUAGGAUAGAGAGGUUUCCUUCCCUUUAAAGUCCCUCUUUCAUGCCCUAUUGUCACGCAUCUAGCUUAUGCAGAUGACGUGAUUAUUUUUUGUAGUGGAGUUAAGCGUACUUUGAAGAAAGUCAUGAGUGUUUUGAAGACUUAUUGUAGUGUAUCUGGUCAGCAACUUAACUGUCAAAAAAGCUGCUUUAUUAAUCAUGAUGCUUUGACUUUACCUCGUAAGCAUGUCAUUUCACAAAUCUCUGGUUUUCACGCCAAGUCACUUCCUCUUAGAUAUCUUGGCUGUACUCUCUACUCAGGGAGAAGGAAAAGCAGUUAUUUUUCAGAUAUCUGCAUUUCAGUUGCUAAGAGAGUUUUGUCUUGGAAGGAGAAGCUUUUGUCGUCUGGAAGGAGGUUAGUGUUACUCAAAAGUGUAUUAUCAUCUUUGCCUAUACAUGUCUUAGCUGCUUCGACUCCUCCGAAGGGUGUUCUCCGCACCCUUGAGAAAGCAUUUGCAAAUUUUCUAUGGGGUACAACUGAAAAAAGGUCUCGGUAUCAUUGGAUUGCAUGUGAUUCAUUGUUAAACCCGUAUGCCGAAGGGGGUGUGGGAGUGAGGGCUUUGACUGAUGUGUUUGAUGCCUUUUCAUUGAAGUUAUGGUGGUCUUUAAGGCAAUGUCAGUCCCUUUGGGCUGAAUUUAUGCACACUAAAUAUUUACAUAAAUUGCAUGCUUGCGAAGCGGAAUUUCAGCCAUUACAAUCGGUAACUUGGAAGAGAUUGGUUACAUAUCAGUCUUUGGCAAAUUUCCAUAUUCAAUGGGUGUUGCAGAAUGGCUUGUUAAACUUUUGGCAUGAGAAUUGGACUGAUACAGGUCCUUUGUGUCAGCAGAUCGAGAUUUUUGGAGAUCACACAGUGGUGGACUUUGUUUUAAAUGGUCACUGGAACAUUCCAAUGCUUCAUCAAUGGCUCCUAGAAAAUAUUGUAUCUACGAUUCUACAAAUAACUCUCUCUGAUGUUUUUUUCUAAUCAACCGGAUACGAUGGUAUGGGAUUUAGAAAUUUCUGGUUCAUUUUCCUUUUCCUCAGCAUAUAAGGUGGUCCGCAACAUUGCUAACAUUGCUAACACGUCAAUCUUUUCAUCUAACAUUUGGGUGACGGCCUUGCCAGUAAAAAUCUCAUUCUUUAUGAUGAGGAUGCUAUCUUGGAGACUGCCGGUGCAGGAUGUGUUGCAACGCUUUGGUGUGUGCGGUCCAUCUCGUUGUGUUUGCUGCCAAAAUCCUGGGUUGGAUUCAAUUGAUCAUGUUUUCUGUAUAGGUGAAGUCCCUCGCCAAGUUUGGCAAUCGUUUCAAGUAGAGAUUGGCGAGUUUUCCACGCCUUCAACGGUAAAGCAUGUAGUCAUUCAAUGGUGGUUACGGCCAGCUAAAAACAUGAAGCUUAAAUUGGUUUAUCAGCUGCUGCCAUCGCUGAUUUGCUGGCAUCUUUGGAAAGCUAGGAAUGCUGCAGUUUGGGAAGGCAAGGUUUUGUCGGUCAUGCAGAUUCAUACUUUUGUUCUUUCUGAUCUCUAUGAUAUUUUCCAAUUACAUUUUCCAGACAUGGGAGUGGGAAGGUACUCGUGGCCAUGUUUUUACUCUUCACUGGUGAGUUGGAAAAAAACAUUUAAGUUCAUCCUGCUUAAGUGGAUCCCUCCAUUCUUGUCGAUAUGUAAACUGAAUACUGAUGGUUGUUCUCUAGGUAAUCCGGGAAGGAGUGGUGGUGGGGGGGUUUUGAGGAAUAGCUCGGGAUGUUUUUGUUAGGUUUUGCGUGUUAUUGGGGGGUCAUGUCGAGUUUACAUUCAGAGCUGAAGGCCUUGUUAUUUGGAGUUAAGCUUUGUGUUAUGUGAGGUUUCUUUUGCUUGUAUUUGGAAUUUGCUUGUAUUUGGAAUCAGAUUCUUUACUUCUAGUCCAAAUGGUUAAGGGGGUUAGUUGAUAUCCAUGGGGUUUGCAACGAGAGCUGGAUCAAUUGCUCACUUUUAGGCAUUUCUUUCAAUCCGUCACUCAUUGUUAUCGUCAAGCGAAUGUGCCUGCAGACCGCUUAUCUAAGGUUGGAACUGAGUUACAGUCCAAUAUAGUGUAUGAUUCAUGGUUGCAAUUGCCACGUUUGAUUCGUGGAGACCUCAAGUUGGAUAGGUUAGGUUAUCCUAAUUUUCGGGUUUACUAAGCAUUUGGAUUUCUGGAAUGGAAUCUAGGACGUCCACAAUCAUUCAAGCGCUGUUGCUGCUGCUAUUGUUUCACUGUUGCUGCUGUUGUUGUUUGGCUCUCCGGUUGAGCAAUUCUCUCUUUUGCUGUUUGGAUGUUUUUGCACCACUGUUUGGCAUCUGCUGAUGUAAUGUGAAAUUUAUUUCUCAAUAAAAGCUAUAAUAUUUUGCAUAAAAAAAAAGACAUCGUCUGAUAAAAAGUUAAAUAUUUUUAAAUGCCAAUAAAUUUUAAAAUUAUAAAUUUAAACAAGUAAAUUCAUCUCAAGUAUACCUACUAGGAAAAAAAUCUUAAAACCUAUGCAAACCACAACCGUAUUAUGAAAUUAAACAAAAUGCAUUGGAAUUUCUAAAAUUAAACAAAAUCUAAUAGAACUACACAAGAAAAUGGCGACUUUGAGUUUGACGGUGAGAAAUAGAGAGAGUUUGGUUAAUCUUUUAGAAAUCAAAGUUGGGAACAAAAGAUUCGAUAGCUAAGUUUUAUGUUUAAAACUUUAGGUUCAUUUUUUAAAAAAAAAAGAUGAGAAAAAUGAAAAUCUGCUAUUCAUGGAUCGAUCCAGUUUGAUUGGUUCGAUCGUUUUUUUUGUGAUUUUGACCGAUUUUUAUGAUAAAUCAACACUAGUAGUGAACCGGACUUGAGACUUGGAUGGUUAGCGGUCUGACCAAUUGAACCGGCCAGUCCGAUCUGGUUUUCAAAACUUGCUCCAUUUGAAUUAGUUGUUUUUCAAAGUGUUUUUGAAAUAUUUUACUAUAGUAAUGUAUGCAAAAAAAAUUUAUUGUAGAUGUUUUUAAUGAUAUUUCUGAAAAUAUAUUUUAGAAUAUUUUUAAAAUUUAAAAUUUUAAUGGGGUAUUUUUAAAAUUUUAUAAAACCUUACAACCACCUACCACUCACACGGGAUCCUCAGUGCCACUUCUAUAUUUAUGCCAAGUGUCCUGUUUAUUUAAAUUUCUUCUACUAUCACGUGAUAUGUGGGAUUGACACUCGAUCUAGCACCGAGUAAAGGCACAGAAGAUCCCAAUUGCCUAUCACUACCCCUUCCCUCCUCCUCCCCCUCCUUCCUCUUCCCCUUCCUUUUCUCCUCUCUUUCUUCCUCCUCCCUCGUCCUCUCCUCCCAAUUGACUUGUUCAAAGAGAUGAAAUGGCAACCUCCUAUUUUACCAAAUGUUGUAUUUUUGACAUAUAAACUAAAUAAACAAUACAACAAAACUUGGUUUAACAGAAACCCUAACGGGGUAGAAGACGUUUACUGCCAGUAUCUGGAUACAUUUCUUCUGCCAGGAUGCUAGGCAUAGGAUUCUUAUAGUGGCAUAUUACCGAAAAUUUGCCUUUUGAAUGAGGAAAAUUGAAUCAUUUUUUUCUCAUGUGUUCUGAAUUUUUACAGGAGUUCGACUUUAUAGAACUCUUUGUUAGAUUAUUAAGGUAAAGUGAUUCGCUCACUCUAUUAUUCUUGUCAUGCUCGAAUAUUGCUCAGUUUUGUACGCUUCCUACAUAUGGUAAUUACACGGUAAAAACAAAAAAAAAAGAAAGAAACAGAAAACGCACUCAACGCUGCUGACUUUCAUUUACCUAAAUCACAGAAUACUUGCUUGAAAGAAGAACGGCGUACAUUACAUAUCAGAUAUUUCGACGCAAACAAAGAAAAUGGAGAAAAACAGACCAGCUAGCUAUAUGAGAUAUAUGUCCGUACACGCAUCAAGAGGGGGCUUCCAUGGACAUUAGUUAUUUGAUUUUGAUACACACAAAUUCAGUGUCUAAGGUGGGACCAACACCAUUACUAUGGCACGUACAAAAGAAGCGAUCCAAGCUUUCACCAUGAAUCUUUCAAACUGGUUACUCAUCCGCUGGCUUUUCGUCCUUCGACUAAGCUUGAUAAAAAAGAAAGGAUUCUGGCUUUGCCUCAAAAUCUUUAACAAGAGGUUUCUCCUCUUUCGAUUUAGCAUCAUCACCAUGGUAAAAGAGAAAGGACCCAGACUUUGAGUCAAAGUCUUUCACAAGGUGCCUUUCCUCCUUAUCCUCCUUUGAUUUAGUGUCAUCACUAUAAUAAAAAAAAAGGGAAAGAUUCAGGUUUUGAUUCGAAAUCAUUCACAAGCGGUUUCUCUUUUUUAGACUUAGCAUUGUUGCCAUGGUAAAAGAGAAAGGAUUCGGGCUUUGCUUAUAAUCUUUAACAAAUGGUUUCUCCUCGUUAGAUUUAGCAUCGUUGCCAUGAUAAAAUAGAAAGGAUCCAUACUUUGCCUCAAAGUCUUUCAUGAGAGGUUUCUCCUCCUUGGCAUCCUUGCCAUCAUAAAUGACGGGUAUUUUACAUAUAUACAAGUUAAAAAAUACCGAAUUACACCCGUUCACUGCAAGUAUACAGGUCAACUAGUAGUUUAGGGUAUAUAUCGAGUCGAUCCCACAGGGAAGAGUGAACAAUUAUCGAUAUUACUAAAGCUUCUCUAUUAUUUAGACUAUCAAUGAAUCAUAACAAAUUUAACCUACUGAAAUUAUACAAAAUAACAAAUGAAAGCUCCUUGGGUUGUGGUAUCCCUAACUACUCAUGCAAGUGCUAUAUUUGGAUCAUUGAGUACUACAUCUAGGCUAGUUAUGGUGUAAUUUCCUUAUGCAUUUGAAUCCUACUUUCGUAGUGAAUCAACUAUACUUAUAACUAAUCCAUACCUAUUCUCAUGGUUAUGAAAUUAGCUACAAGUUCAUUUAUUCAAUGAAAUUACAUGAAAUGAAUCACUAAAACCACAUAAGUGCACCUCUACUUUCGUGAGUGUACUCCCUAUGUUUAGCACUUCUUGAACCAGUGUUAAAUCUCAAUUUUCAUUGCAGAAACAACACCUUAGAUAAUCACAAUUAAUGGUACCAGAUUAAUCAUGAUUUAAAGAGGCAAAGUGCUAAAUAACUUGCUCAAAUCGUAGCAAUCAAAUAACCAAACAAUUAACACUAACAAUCAUAGAAAGUUCAACCAAACCCAAGGCUUAAACUUUAAACACACAUAUUGAACACAAAAUCCAGAACUUGUAUAUUAACUAAACUUGGAAUCAAAUACAAAAGAUAAAGAGUUUGGAAGGAAUACAACCCUUGUCAUAUGAGCUUUCUUCCUUGCCUUCUUCAUCCUCCAUCUUCAUCCUAAUCUAGAUAAUAAACAAGAAUGGAAAAGCUACACUACUCUAUACUAAGCUAAACUAACACUAGGGAGAUGAAAGAGCUACAUUUCUGCAGCUUCAAGCUUUCUCCCGUAGCUCACUCUCUAUUUUUCUGCUAUGGACUCCAAUCUCUUCCUCCUUUUUCUCUUGCAAUGAAUUUGGCUAUUUAAUGAUGAAAGUUGGUCAAGAAAUGAGGCCUCCACCUUCCUUUUACAGCUGGGAAUGUUUCUCACAUGUCUAGCAUCGCAUGUGAGUUGGUGGGACUGAAAUUGAGUUUUACGCGUACAGAGCAGCCUUUUCUGACCACAAUCCGACCAUAAAUCCGGCCAAAUUCCUGCCGGAUUGCUACAGUAAUUUUGGAUGCUACAGUGAUCCGAGCUGCUACAGUACUCGGAUCCGUAUGGAUCCGAGCUCGGUUCCACUUACCCAGAAACAGCCGAGGGUUCGGAUGAAUAGUGGAUCCGAGUGCGGAUCACUUGCUCUGUUUUUUUGCCCAACUUCAACCGAUCUUUUCUUGAUGUUAGAAGCUGUACCAGCUCAUGUCUAAAACAUAAAAGUUGUAGCCUUUUGAGUUAUCUUUCCAAUGCAUCAAGAAUCACCUCAUUUGGAUCUGUGUAGGCUGAGAUAUGACGGAAAUACCCUUGCCUGCUUCAUGCCUUGUUCCAGUUUCGACCAAAUGAAAUUGGCUACUGUACUUCGGAUUUUUGACUUGGAAAACCUUCAAACUGGAUUCAGAUGUCUUCACCAAAGUUGUAGAUCUAUCUCUUAUCUUCAAAUGGGUUCAAGAAUCAUCCCAAUCCGAUCAUUGUAACUCAAGUUAUAGCCGAAAUACGAAAAUGUGUCAAAACUGUCAAAAUACACAAAAUCCAAGUAAAAAGUGAUAAAAACCUCAUUUAACCACUUAAAAGCAUUUUUCACCAAUUAUAGCCAAAAUGAUUCAUAUUCUUCCAAUAAUAUAACCAAAGUGACUAAAAAUAAUAUAAAAUGUCAUACAAUUAUUACGUAAAUUAGUCACUUAUCAAACUCCCCCACACUUAAAUCAUUGCUUGUCCUCAAGCAAUUCACACAUAAUCAAAUGCAAUGAUUCAAGAGGUGAAAUAAUAUAUGCACUUUGUCCAAUUUAAUUCCUCAAGACUUGGAAAAUAAUCAUUAUACAAUUAUUCAAUUUACACUAAAUACUCAUAAUAUCAAGUAAAGGAAAGAUAAUUAUACCCUAAAUUCAACAAGUUAAACUUAAUCUCUUACCCUAACUUAAUUUUACAAAUAAGCAAAUCACAUAGUCAAUUUAUAGCUUUCCUCCUCCUAUAAUCAUCUUUUUCUCAAAAUUCUAUAACUAAGAGGGAUUUAUUCACACAAAUUUUACUUAAAUAGUGAGAAUGCCUUUUUACGCGAAAAUCGACACUUUUAGGUGAAGAUCUCCGGUUACUCAACAUUUCACUUAUUCAAGUUGCUAUGCAUACUCUUAAUUCAAGUACCUUUUUACGCGAAUGUCGACAUUUGUUGAUGCCAACCCCCGGUUACUCGGUACAUGAAUCAUUGGAGUAGAACAAUUUUUAUUUACUUUCUUUUUUUUUCUUUUUUUUUACUUUUUUUUUCUUUUUCAGAAAUAAAGGACAAUAAAUAGAUAACCCCUCUUAGAAAAUAUAUAAGAAUAAUCAAAGGAGGAAUAUAACCUUUAUCGACUAUAUCAAUCACUUACUUGCAAAAUUAAGUAAAGAGAAGAAAUCUCAUUAAACAUGUAAAAUUAUAGGCAUAAUUUUCCUCACUUUACCAAAUAUACUUUCUAAAAUGUAAAUAUUCUAAUUGCAUAAUAUUAUUUCCAAGUUAAAUGAGGACUAAACCUUCCAAAAUACAUAUAACAUUUCAACAAUUGGAAGAAUAAGGUUGGAUCAAUUAGCCCUUUUUGAAUGAAAAUGCAAAAUUUGAAGAACUUUUGGGCCAUAGUGAAAUAUUGGAAAAGAUUUUAGAAAAAAUUUCACAGAGUUUCUCCUUAUAAAUGGAUGAAAACUCCCUGCCAACAAACCCAAUUUCAAGCAAAUUAUCCACAUGGCAAACAUUUCAAACACAAUUCCAACAUUUCUAAGCAUUUAAAUCCACAAAAUAUCAUCACAUAGGCUUAAAAUGCAAGUUCAAAUAUUUUCCUCCCCCACACUUAAACUUCACAUUGUCCUCAAUGUGAGAAAAGGAAAAUAAAUAAAGAGUAAAAGAAAAUACUGCUCAAUUGAACUUGCGCAAUCCGAAUCCAUGUCCAAGUGAUGAAUUUCCAACUGUAUUUAAGAAAGAGUGGAGAGUUCACUUAUUGCACCCUGAAAAAGACAAAAUAAAAACAAAUAAAUUUCUUAAAAAUAAAAGGUUGCAAUCAACAAAAUCAUUCAAUUUAAGGAAAAAGGAAAAAUGAUCAAGCAUGUGGAACCAUACAAUGUUCAAGGGAUAAAAACAUGAAAUGAGCUAAUCUUUGCUAAUCAAAUAUAUGCAUUAGUAUCCAAAGCAAAGGGAAGCUAAUUUCACACAAAAAAUCCACAAUCAUGAACAAAAUAAGUUCCAUUUAUACAUUUUGUCAUCAAUGAUCAAAUCCCUUCAAGUACAAAAGUAAUCUCAAAAUGGAGGCAAACACACCAAACCAAAAUAUAAAUGACCUUCGUGAAAAUUCAUGAAAUACUAAAAACUAUUGAACCACAAAAAUUAUAAGUGCAUUUAUGAAUUUCAUCAAUUAAGGCCAUCUUCAAUUCACAUCUUCUUUUAGAAUUACCUAAGAAUUCAAGAAAUCAUUCAAUCAAGCACCUUUUCAUUCAUUAGGUAAUCUAAAUUACUCACAUAACUACCAAAAACUCCCACUAAACUAAUUAAAAUGCUACAUUGGCCACUUAAUAUGCAACUUCGUCAUCAAGCCAAAUUAAGCAUAAAACUAGCAAGAAUUCACCAAUUAAGUACAAUAAAUGCAAAUCACAAAAUUUAUUCAUCACUAACAAUCACCAAUAGCAUCAAUAAGCUCAAAUAAAUGCACCUAACUUCACAUAUUAAAAAUUGCCUAAAAAUAGAAAAUAUUCAAUCAUGGCAAAAUUCAAAUAACAAAGUUAGGUGAAGAUUUGUUACCUCAAGGUGGUUUGGUGAUGUUUAGAGAUGAAUAUGAUGUGAAAACCCCCAAGAAACUUACUCCAAUUUGACCUCAAUUUAGUGAUUCAAGAAAGUACAAUCCUAACUAUUAGUAAGGUUGAAACCACUUUAGAGUUGUUUUUUGAAAAAAUAUGAACUAUGAAAUUCACUCUAGAGGAUAGGAGAAAGUGAUUUGGUGAAGGUUAUUUGAAGAUUAAAUGGUGAAAAGUGGUGUUUUAGUGAGUGAUGUGUGUUUGAGGUGUUAGUGUGUGAGUUGGGUUGAAGAAGAGAGGAAGAAGAAGCUGAGGAAGAAGAAGAAGAGAGAAAGUGCGCGGAUUCCCCUCUUGUGCGCAAAAGUGGCCAGAAUCCGGCCAGUUUCCGGCCGGAUUCUUGGCCGGAUUCUGCUGCGAAAAAUUUUCUGAUUGCAGAAGUGGAUCCGAGGCCUCGGAUCCAUUGAAUCUGCACUUAUUGCAGAAUUUUUGCAAUUUUCAGUUUGACCCCAAUUCUUCAAAAUACACCCUAGAUCAUUUCUAUGUCAAAAUAAUCGUUCACGCACAUGUAAAAUGUUCUAAACAUGCAUUCUAAACCUCUUUAAUGCAUCAAAAAUCACAAUUACUGAAUUUGAGGUAUUGAGAUCUUUGAUCAAACUUCGCCUUUUUCACCUCAUUUGGUCACUUUUGCAUCUUUUUCCAAAACCUACAAAUGAAAAAAUAACAAAAUAACUCAAACUCAUACUUUAAACAUAAAAUCACUCCAAAGUAACACCAACUUAAACAAGCAUUGGGUUGCUUCCCAAUAAGCGCUUCUUUAAAGUCAAUAGCUUGACUAUUUCUCCUCAUUUUUCAAGGAGGUUUAGUUAACGAAUAAUCCACCAUUUUAGGCCUUGGUGGAUCAUUAAAUGGUGACUUUAUAGCCAAAGCCACAUGAUCUAAUGAUGUGAGAAAUGAAAGUGACUUACCUAUCCCAAAUGUUUCAUAGAUAUUACCUUGAAUAUACACCACUUGAGAACUUACCAAAGGAAAUGUCAUGAGAGUAUCUUGGGCAGGAAUACCUUUAGAACCUAUACUUUCACUGCACUCCUCAAGAGGGGUGAAAAAUGAGUCAUUAAAACUCACCUCUUGAGGCUCAAAGUUAGUUUCAAAGGUAUUAUCAUGUGAAAUGGAUAUUUGCUCAUUGAAAUAUAAUUGAGAUUCAUCAUUUUCAUCCAAAUGCAAUCCAUUUUCACAUACAACAUUUCCACCAUUCAUGCUAGGAUCAUUUUGCAAAUUAUUAGAAGAAAUAACUUCACACAAUACAUUCAAUUGCUCAUGUAUAUCACCAAAGUGAGAAGCUAAUUCAUCUAACCUUUCUUCAAUCCUAUCAAAACGGUCAGAAGUUGCAUUUGCUAACUUUUCUAUUGCUGAAUCAAAUUGAUUAGAAUAAUUUUUUGAAGCUAGCUCCCAAAAUGCAUUAGAAUCAUUAGCUAAUGGUUCACUUUCUAACUCCCAAGGCAGAGGUGCAUUAGCUAACUUCUCUAUUGCCAACUCCCAAGAUGGUUUUGAUUCACAUUGGACACUUUCAAGUUGGUAAUCAUAAAAAUUUUCAAAAUCACUAUAUGCACAUUGAUUAUUCCAACCAUAAGCAGGAGAAUUGCUCCAAUUAGCACUAUAUUGAUCAAAACAAGGAUUGUAAUGCUCUAAUUCAUCAUAAUAAUCCACAUUUUGUGCUUGCAUACAUGUAUUAGUAGCAUGAUAACCUCCACACAAGUCACAAAUCACAUGAUAAGAAUUAAAAGCAUUAGCAUUCCUCCCUUGCUCAAUUUCAUGCAUCAUGGUGUCCAUUUGAACUUGUAACUUAAUUACAUCAAAUUUUGCCUUUAAGCACCUUAAACCAUCUUCAAAAGACAUACAUUCAGUAAAUUCUUGGUUACCUCUGUUGAAGGAGCUUUGCACUUGGUAACCAUCCAUUGCCAAACCUCCAUUUCUCAAGCAUUGUCCUCCCCUGUUUUCUACUCUCCUUGAUCCCCUAAACAUGCUCUCAAAGUAGCUCAAAAACAAGUUUAGUCAAGAAGAAUAGAUGACUUUAAACAUACAAAAACAAGACAUUAAACAUAAAAGACUCAACAAGACUCAAAACAAACAAGACACUUAACCAACAAAAACAAGUGAAAUUGUCUAAAUUAAUAAAGUUGCUUUUCACACCGAUAUUGCCAAAUCUUCCCCGGCAACGGCGCCAAAAACUUGACGGGUAUUUUACAUACGUGCAAGCUAAAAAAUACCGAAUUACACCCGUUCACUGCAAGUAUACAGAUCAACUAGUAGUUUAGGGUAUAUAUCGGGUCGAUCCCACAGGGAAGAGUGAACAAUUACCGGUAUUACUAAAGCUUCUCUAUUAUUUAGACUAUCAAUUAAUGAUAAGAAAUUUAACCUACUGCACUUAUACAAGAAAUUAACAAAUGAAAGCUCCUUAGGUUGUGGUAUCCCUAACUACUCAUGCAAGUGUUAUAUUUGGAUCAUUGAGUACUACAUCUAGGCUAGUUAUGGUGUAAUUUCCUUAUGCAUUUGAAUCCUACUUUCGUAGUGAAUCAAUUAUACUUAUAACUAAUCCAUACCUAUUCUCAUGGUUAUGAAAUUAGCUACAAGUUCAUUUCUUCAAUGAAAUUACAUGAAAUGAAUCACUAAAAACCACAUAAGUGCACCUCUACUUUCGUGAGUGUACUCCCUAUGUUUAGCACUUCUUGAACUAGUGUUAAAUCUCAAUUUUCAUUGCAGAAACAACACCUUAGAUAAUCACAAUUAAUGGUACCAGAUUAAUCAUGAUUUCAAGAGCUAAAGUGCUAAAUAACUUGCUCAAAUCAUGGCAGUCAAAUAACCAAAUAAUAAACACUAACAAUUAUAGAAAGUUCAACCAAACCCAAGGUAUAAACUUUAGAAACACAUAAUGAACACAAAAUCCAGAACUUGUAUAUUAACUAAACUUGGAAUCAAAUACAAAAGAUAAAGAGUUUGGAAGGAAUACAACCCUUGUCACAUGAGCUUUCUUCCUUGCCUUCUUCAUCCUCCAUCUUCAUCCUAAUCUAGAUAAUAAACAAGAAUGGAAAAGCUACACUACUCUAUACUAAGCUAAACUAACACUAGAGAGAUGAAAGAGCUACAUUUCUGCAGUUUCAAGCUUUCUCCCGUAGCUCACUCUCUAUUCUUUUGCUAUGGAUUCCCAAUCUCUUCCUCCUUUUCUCUUGCAAUGAAUUCGGCUAUUUAAUGAUGAAAGUUGGUCAAGAAAUGAGGUCUCCACCUUCCUUUUACAGCUGGGAAUGUUUCUCACAUGCCUAGCAUCGCAUGUGAGUUGGUGGGAUUGAAAUUGAGUUUUACGCGUACAGAGCAGCCUUUUCUGACCACAAUCCGGCCAUAAAUCCGGCUAUAAAUCCGGCCAAAUUCCGGCCGGAUUGCUACAGUAAAUUUGGGCUGCUACAGUGAUCCGAGCUGCUACAGUACUCGGAUCCGUAUGGAUCCGAACUCGGUUCCACUUACCCAGAAACAGCCGAGGGUUCGGAUGAAUAGUGGAUCCGAGUGCGGAUCACUUGCUUUGUUUUUCUGCCCAACUUCAACCGAUCUUUUCUUGAUGUUAGAAGCUGAACCAGCUCAUGUCUAAAACACAAAGGUUGUAGCCUUUUGAGUUAUAUUUCCAAUGCAUCAAGAAUCACCUCAUUUGGAUCUGUGUAGGCUGAGAUAUGACCGAAAUACCCUUGCCUGCUUCAUGCCUUGUUCCAGUUUCGACUAAAUGAAAUUGGCUGCUGUACUUUGGCUUUUUGACUUGGAAAACCUUCAAACUGGAUUCAGAUGUCUUCACCAAAGUUGUAGAUCUAUCUCUUAUCUUCAAAUGGGUUCAAGAAUCAUCCCAAUCCGAUCAUUGUAACUCAAGUUAUAGCCGAAAUACGAAAAUGUGUCAAAACUGUCAAAAUACACAAAAUCCAAGUAAAAAGUGAUAAAAGCCUCAUUUAACCACUUAAAAGCAUUUUUCACCAAUUAUAGCCAAAAUGAUUCAUAUUCUUCCAAUAAUAUAACCAAAGUGACUAAAAAUAAUAUAAAAUGUCAUACAAUUAUUACGUAAAUUAGUCACUUAUCAAUAAAAUAGAAAGGAUCCAGGCUUUCCGUCGAAAUCUUUCUCAAGUGGUUUCUCCUCCUUAGACUCUGAAAUCUUUCUCAAGUGGUUUCUUUUCCUUAAUAUCAGUGCCAUGAUAAAAGAGAAAGGAUCCAGACUUUUCCUCAAAGUCUUUCAUAAGAGCUUCUCCUCCUUAGACUUAGUAUCGUUGCCAUGAUAAAAGAGAAAGGAUCCAGGCUUCAAGUCAAAGUUCUUCACAAGGUGCUUUUCAUCCUUUUCCUCCUUUGAUUUAGUGUCAUCAGUAUGAUAAAAAAAGGAAGGAUCCAGGUUUCGAAUCAAAAUCUUGCACAAAGGUUUCUACUCAUAGUCCGUAGGGUCCUUCCUUGCUUCCGUGAUGCAUGCAAACUGCACAGUAGCGCAAAUAACAACAUAAAAUUAGAAACCAGAGUCAAUAUGGUAGCACACUAAAAGGUGACCCCUCGUAUGGAAAGAUAAUAAAUGUCGAAAGACAACUAGCUUAACUGGUUGGAAUAUUAAUUAGGUGUUCUAAAAUUCUUGAUUUUACUUUUAAGUCCUCGUCAGACGAAUUCCUCUAACUAAGAAAGUAAAUAUUGUAAAACAAUGCCAAAACUCAAGUUACAAUGAAGUUUAAGUAUCGCACUCACAUUGGGAAUAUUUGGAAGUCAAGCAUUUAUGAUAAUAGAACUAAAGAGCCAUCUAAAGAGCUUCUAUUCCCUUAGUGGUGAUGGUUAGAGCUAGAUGAGGAUAAACGUGCAGAAAGGAAGAAGAAUGUUUUUUCUCAGGUAGGCUUAAUUAAUUGACGGGUUUAAUAUUUCCUAUACAGUCGAGCAAUUAUCUCUUAUUGAUAAGUGACUAAUUUACGUAAUAAUUGUAUGACAUUUUAUAUUAUUUUUAAUCACUUUGGGUAUAUUAUUGAAAGAAAAUGAAUCAUUUUGGCUAUAAUUGGUGAAAAAUGCUUUUUAAGUGGUUAAAUGAAGUUUUUAUCACUUUUCACUUCACCUAAAAGUGUCGAUUUUCGCGUCAAAAGGCAUUUUCACUAUUUAAAUAAAAUUAGUGUGAUUAAAUCGCUCUUAGUUGUAAAAUAAUAAUAAAAAAAAAAAGGGAUGAUUAUAGGAGGAGGAAUGCUAUAAAUUGACUAUGUGAUUUGCUUAUUUGUGAAAUUAGGUUAGGGUGAGAGAUUAAAUUUAACUUGUUAAAUUAGGGUAUAAUUAUCUUUCCUUUACUUGAUGUUAUGAGUAUUUAGUGUAAUUUGAACAAUUGUAUAAUGAUUAUUUUUCAAGUCUUGAGGAAUUAAAUUUGACAAAAGUGCGUAUAUUGUUUCACCUCUUGAAUCAUUGUAGUUGAUUAUGUGUGGAUUGCUUGAGAACAAGCAAUGAUUUAAGUGUGGGAGAGUUUGAUAAGUGACUAAUUUACAUAAUAAUUGUAUAACAUUUUAUAUUAUUUUUAGUCACUUUGGGUAUAUUAUUGAAAGAAAAUGAAUUAUUUUUGCUAUAAUUGGUGAAAAAUGCUUUUAAGUGGUUAAAUGAGGUUUUUAUCACUUUUUACUUGGAUUUUGUGUAUUUUGACAGUUUUGACACAUUUUCGUAUUUCGGCUAUAACUUGAGCUAUAGUGAUCGGAUUGAGAUGAUUCUUGAACCAAUUUGAAGAUAAGAGAUAGAUCUACAACUUUGGUGAAGACAUAUGAAUCCGGUUUGAAGGUUUUCUAGGUCAAAAAGCCGAAUUACAGUAGCUAAUUUCUAUUGGUCGAUGCUGAAACAGGGCAAUUAGCAGUCAAGGGUAUUUCUAUCAUUUAUCAGCUUACACAGAUCCAAAUGAGGUGAUUCUUGAUGCAUUGGAAAGCUAACUCAAGAGCUAAAUCAGUAUUUAUCAUCAAGAAAAGUUCAGUUGAAGUUGACACAAAAUCGGAGCAGAGCUGGAAAUUGAACAAAAGUGCACAAAAUGUCACUGUAGCAAUCCGGCUGGAACUUGGCCGGAUUGUGGUCAGAGAAGGCUGCUCUUUACGUGGAAAACUUAUUUUAGCCUUCAAUAAGUCACAUGCAAUGCCAGACAUGUGAGAACUACUUUGCAGCUGUAAAAGGGUGGUGUAGGCCUCAUUUUCUUGACUUCUUUCAUCUUUAUAUAGCCAAAACUUGCAAGUUUGAAGGGAGAAUAGAGAGACAUACGGGAGACAGCUUGGAGUGCAGAAAUGUAGCUCUUGCAUUUUCUGAGUAUUAGGUUAGCUUAGUGUAGACUAGUAUAGUUCAUCCAUUCUUGUAUGUUGGCUAGAUUAGGACGAAGAUGGGGAUGAAGAAAGACGAGUUGAAGCUCAAGUGACAUGGGUUAUCUCUUCUCCAACUCUUUAUCUUUUGUACUUGAUUCUAAGUUCAGUUAAUAUGCAAGUUCUGGAUUUUGUGUUUAUUAUGUGUUUUUAAAGUUUAUGCCUUGGGUUUGGUUGAACUUUCUAUGAUUGUUAGUAUUUAUUAUUUGGUUAUUUGAUUGCUAUGAUUUGAGCAAGUUAUUUAGCACUUUAGCUCUUUCAAUCAUGAUUAAUUUGGUACCAUUAACUGUGAUUAUCUAAGGUGUUGUUUCUGCAAUGAAAAUUGAGAUUUAACACUGGUUCAAGAAGUGCUAAACAUAGGGAGUACACUCACGAGAGUAGAGGUGCACCUAUGUGGUUUUAGUGAUUCAUUUCAUGUCAUUUCAUUGAAGAAAUGAACUUGUAGCUAAUUUCAUAGCCAUGAGAAUAGGUAUGGAUUAGUUAUAAGUAUAGUUGAUUCACUACGAAAGUAGGUUUUAUAUGCAUAAGGAAAUUACACCAUAACUAGCCUAGAUAGUAGUUCUCAAUGAUCCAAAAAUAGCACUUGCAUGAGUAGUUAGGGAUACCAUAACCUAAGGAGCUUUCAUUUGUUAUUUUGCAUAAGUUCAGUAGGUUUCAUUUCUUGUAAUACAUUGAUAGUCUAAAUAAUAGAGAAGCUUUAGUAGUGCCGAUAAUUGCAAUCUUCCUUGUGGGAUCGACCCUUAAUACCCUAUACUCGCUCACGAUUCGUAUACUUGCGAUAAACUGCAUGUGGGGUAUUUAGGAGUUUAUAAAUAUAAAACUUGAUUAGGAUGAGCUUAAUGUUAUAUGUAUACCCUACGCCCGUCACUUAUGAACUACUACUUCAAGUAGAGUAUUGAUGUUUGAGAAACCUUUGCAGGGCAAUUGAAAAGAAUGCGAUGCGAGCGAUAGAUGAAGCCAUGUCCUGCCUUUGAACACACUCGAACUGUAACUUUGGUGGCGUAAACAUUGUUGGGGGACACGGCUUUUUAUACAGGAUGAUAGCCAACUGAAGCUAGCAUGAUUUUCCCCAGUCAUCCGUCCAUGUAAUAAUACAUAAAUAUUGUUUUCAAUAUUCAGGUAAACGUGAAAUUCUUAAUUCAACUUUUAAACCUUCUCCUUUUUUUCAUUCUUCUUACUAGAGAAGUCCCCUUAAACAAACGAAAAAAAAAUUAAUGAACUUUUUGGAAGUUUACAGGGCAGCAUUUAAGUAUUAAUGCGUAUCGUGUUUUAUUCAAUCACAUUAUCUUGCAUUUGUCAUCACCAUCAUUCAAUCAUGAUAAGUGACUAAUUUAUGUAAUAAUUGAAUGAUAUUUUAUGUAAUUUUUAGUCACUUUGGUUAUAUUAUUAGAAAAAAAUGAAUCAUUUUGACUAUAAUUGCUGAAAAAAUGUUCUUAAGUGAUUAAAUAUGGUUUUGCUCACUUUUUACUUAUAUUUUGUGCAUUUUUGAUAGUUUUGACACAUUUUCGUAUUUCAACUAUAACUUGAGCUACAGUGAUCGGAUUGAGAUGAUUCUUGAACCAAUUUAAAGGACCUACAACUUUGGUGAAGACAUCGAAAUCCAGUUCUAAAGUUUUCCAGGUCAAAAAGCUGAAUUACAUUAACCAAUUUCUAUUGGUCGAAGCUGAAACAGAGUAUUGUGCAGUCAAGGGUAUUUCAGUCAUUUCUCAGCCUACACAAAUCCAAAUGAGGUGAUUCUUGAUGCAUUGGAAAGCUAACUCAAAGAGAUACAAGUUUUAUGUUUUGGUCAAGAGUUAAAUCAGCUUCUAUGAUCAAGAAAAGUUCAGUUGAAAUUGAGGCAAAAUCGGAGCAGAGCUGGAAAUUGCACAAAAGGUCACUGUAGCAAUCCGGCCGGAACUUGGCCGGAUUGUGGUCAGAAAAGGCUGUUCUCUACGCAGACAACUUGUUUUCAACUCAAAAAAGUCAUAGCUAAUGCUAGACAUGUGAGAACCACUUUGCAACUGUAAAAGGGAGGUGAAAACCUCAUUCCUUGACCACCUUUGUCUUGAAAUAGCCAAAAACUUGCAAGAUUGAAGGGGAGAGACAUAUGGGAGAAAGCUUGGAGUCUGCAGAAAUAUAGCUCUUCCAUUUUCUGAGUGUUAGGUUAGUAUAGUAUAGGAUAGUUAGCUAGUUAGUUCAUCCAUCUUGUUUAUUAGCUAGAUGAAGAAGAGGUUGAAGGAUGAAGAAGGCAAGGAAAGAGCUCAUGUGACAAGGGUUGCUUUUCCUUUCCAACUCUUUAUCUUUUGUACUUGAUUCCAAGUUUAAUUAAGAUACAAGUUAUGGAUUUAUAUGUUAUUAUGUGUUUAUAAAGUUUAUGCCUUAGGUUUGGUUGAACUUUCUAUGAUUGUUAGUGUUUAUUAUUUGGUUAUUUGAAGUUAUGAUUUGAGCAAGUUAUUUAGCACUUUAACUCUUUAAAAUCAUAAUUAAUCUGGUACCAUUAAUUGUGAUUAUCUAAGGUGUUGUUUCUGCAAUGAAAAUUGAGAUUUAACACUGGUUCAAGAAGUGCUAAACAUAGGGAGUACACUCACGAGAGUAGAGGUACACCUAUGUGGUUUUAGUGAUUCAUUUCAUGUAAUUUCAUUGAAGAAAUGAACUUGUAGCUAAUUUCAUAGCCAUGAAAAUAGGUAUGGAUUAGUUAUAAGUAUAGUUAAUUCACUACGAAAGUAGGUUUUAUAUGCAUAAGGAAAUUACACCAUAACUAGCCUAGAUAGUAGUUCUCAAUGAUCCAAAAAUAGCACUUGUAUAAGUAGUUAGGGAUACUAUAACCUAAGGAGCUUUCAUUUGAUAUAUUCUUGUAUAAGUUUUGUAGGUUUUACUUGUUAUAAUUCAUUGAUAGUCUAAAUAAUAGAGAAGUUUUAGUAACACCGAUAAUUGUUUAAUCUUUCUCGUAGGAUCGAUCUGAUAUAUACCCUAAACUACUAGUUGACCUGUAUACUUGCAGUGAAAUGGGUGUAUUUCGAAUUUUUUAACUCUUACGUGUAACAAAAACCCGUCAAAUCAUAACGGGUUCUCUAAUAUGUUCGCAAGCAGAAUUCUCUUUGCCGGACUAAAUGGGUGUGUUUUAUAAGCCAUGGGAAUAUUGACGUGUUUGCUCAUCAUAGCAUGAAUUGAGAGUACUUAUACGUUUGAUAUUGGUCGUGCACUAAAAGUAGUAAUUCUUCUUAGAGACAUUACUCUGAAGGAAGAAUGUGCUCUUUGCUAGAAAUGCCUAAAUUUAGACGACUUUUAAGAAAACAACUGUUUUUAUUUUAUUUUUUUAUUUUUUUGAAUAAGCUUACGGGAAUUUAGCGCCAUUAGGUGCCCAUAACUAUAGGUGGCAAAUCAACUCAUUUAACUAAAUGUACCCAUACCCGCCCAUGAAUAUCUUAAAUUUUUGUAUAUGGGUAUAAAUGAGUUACCCAAUAAUACCCAUUUAGUAAAUGGGUAUCAUUGGGUAACCCAUCAAACCCAAUUAACCCAUUUAAAUUUUUCUUCUCCCAAGUCACCUCUCUUCCCCCACCCUUUUUUUUUUCAAAAUUUUCAUUUUGUCAAGAUGUUAACUACUUUUGUUUCAUUUUUAUUAUUAUUUGUUGGUUUUAUCUUAUCAUUUUAUUUUCUCUUAAUUUGUUAACUUGCUCAUUUUUCAGCAUUACCAAUUUAUGAUAAGUUUUAACCUCUUUUCUUAUCUUUUCAAAAUGAAAUUUUAAAUUUAUAUAUGAAAAAAAUGUUUAAGGGUUCAAAAUUUUUGGAUUAACUUUUAUAGUACCUAGUUCAAAUUUUUAUAUUCUUAUUAUUCAAUUAUUAAAUAAUAUGUAAUUUUGUGACAUAGAGUAUGGAUGGAAAAAAAUUGGUAAUUAGGCUUAUUGAGCAUUAUAAGUAAAUAUUUAAAACUAAUGAUGGGUCCAAAGAGCGGUAUAAAUUGAUAACUUAAUUUACAAAAAUGAAUUUACAAAAAAAAUAAAAUAAAUGGGCUAUAAAUGGGUAUUUGGGUUACCCAAUUCAUUUUUUGAUUUACCCAUUUAUACCCAUCUAAUUAAAUGGGUAUAAAUGGAUUGACUCACUUAUACCUAUUAUCCAUUUUACCCAACCUAAACCCGUUCAAAUCACCCAUUUUGACACCUCUACCCAUAACUGAUGCUUCAGCAAUUGAAAUGUUGUUUGGGUGGUUAUGUCCAUCUGAUUGAUUUUAAAAUUCGGGCUGGACCGAAUGGUCUAAUCACUUGAACCAAUACAGUUCGAGUUAUUCUUCCUUUUUUUAAAUUUUAUCCACCACAUUUUUUGGACCGUUUUUUUUUCAUAGUUUUUUGAGCUGUCGUAUCACUCAUGUUCUCUUGACCUGAGUUUGAUACUUAAAAAUUUUAAUUGCGCCAUGAUCUUAUGAGAAUAAAAAAUCAAUUACAUAUGCAUUUAAAAAUGGGCCAGAAAAUGUAAAACAGUCUACAAAAAGAGAAGCAACAAAAAAAACUCGGAUUUUUGGUUCAAAUUAAUGAUGCCACGAUGAGAAUAACAUAUCAAUUAGAUAUAAAUUUAAAAAUAGGCAAAAAAAAGUGAAAAACAGUCUACAAAAAGAGAAAAACAAAAACAAAAUAAAAACUCAGUUUUUCGAUUCAAACCCGAUUUUUGACUUAGUUUAAUCAAUGGCUGUCCAACUCAAUCCAUUAACAAGAACCAAAUAGAAUUUCUGAUUCAGUUGUUGGAAUCGGUUGGUCUCGUUUAAUUCAACAACACUGCUAUAUGGUGAUAGAUAAUAGGUUGUUAUAAAAUAUUAAUUAGAUUAAUUCAAAUUUAGUUAAUGUACUAGGGUUUGGUCAAUCCAAUUAAGGUUAGUCAAUCAGUAAGAAUAAGACCAUGGUCCCCCUGAUAUAUUAAUUAAUUUAAAAUCAAAAAGUUGUUUGAUAAUUUAAUUCAAUAUUUAAACUUAUAAUAAUAAUAAUAAUAAUAAAACACGGUAAGACGGACUUGUUAAAUUAUUAUGCUAUAGUGGUAUCAGUAGUAAACCUGCAGGAAUCAAUACGCCACGGAUGGUAAAUGUACCUGUCAAACAAAAAUUGUAUCUUUUUUUGAAAUAAAAAAUAAAAAAACCACACACACACACACACACACGUGUUACGGUCUUGGUGAGGCUUCGGAUCACUAGUAAGGCUCCAAAAUGCCUGACUUGGGAUAGAGCGCAAAAAGAUACAGCACUUUUAGUAUUCAUUUGGCCCGAUCAGGUGAAACCACUAGGUUUAGAUUUUCAACUACAUAUUUUGGGAGACAAGCUUAAUUUGGAGAGCCAGCGUGUGAUGAGUGGAGAUUGGAAAACUUUGAUUUAUUAACUCUAUGAUUGUCUGCCUACUUAAUUUUUAUAGUAAUUUUUCUGCUAAAUAAUUUUAUAUUAUAUUUUGGGUCGAGUUUACCCGAUACGCACUUUUUUGAGUAAUGACUAUGGUUCCUUAUAUAAAAAAAAUGUCUUGGAUGCAACGAUGGUUUCUUGAGAUUGAUUCCUCAUCAAGCACUUAUAUCUUUUGAGUGGUGGGUACUGUUUCUGCAUAAAACAAUUUAUUAUGCAUAAUAAUAGUUUCUGGAUAUCAAUGAUCUAGAGUGUUUGGAUAGGAGAUUACACGGAAUAAUUUUUUUAAAAAAAAUACUAUAAUAUUUUUUUAAUAUACUGUAUGUGAGAUAAAAAAAUAAUUAAAAAAAAAAUAUUAAUUAUGCAAUUAAAUCAGUAUGUAUAAAUAAAAUAUAAAUAAAGUACAAUCCAAACGUACUUAAUUUGCCGCUAUGUAGGGGCGUCCUCUUGACUUUGUACUUCGUACCCACAGAAAACAAUUAAAGAUAUAACUGCUUGAUUCCCGAGUUGAUAAACGAUUGAGUGUGUUGUAAGUGGUAAUUGCACCGCUUGAUCACAUUACUCUGGUUGUCGAUCUCUUUGAUUGAGAUUGCAAUCUUAUUCGAAUGGCUUUCAUUCUUUGAGAAUAUAUCUUCCUUGUGCAUUUCAAUCUUUACAGUUUCAUAAUUGUUUGGGUUAAUUUCACUUACCUCCCCUGAGGUUUUUGACAAUUCAGAAAGCUCCUUUCAAAUUCUAAAAAUUACAUCUAACUCUCCUAUUUUCACUCUUUAGAUAACAUUCUAGGCCCAAAAGGCUAUGCUUUUUCUCAAAAUUCCUAUAGUGCCCUUGAGUUAUAAUACACAACAAAAAUAUAAAUGAAAAAAAUGAUUUACAAUUUCUAUUUCAUUUUUCUUUACUUGCUAUCACUGUUACCUACCCAUCACAUCUAAACCACCAUUAAAUAAACACUUAUCUUUGUUCUAAUAUUUCUCUUUUACCUAAAAAUUUCUGAUGCAAACCAUUGUAUCAACCAUAAAUGCUACAUCAGAUACUCAAAAGUUUAUCUAUAAUCUUAUAUCAAUAUCAGCUGAUUUUACUUAAUACACAACAAUAUUCAUCAAUAUCCCUAAAUUUCAAUUCCAUGACUACCACCAUUUUAAUACAAAAGAAUCUAAACAAUCACUACUAAUAUCAAUAUCCAAUAUACUUCAUUGGCACAGAGUCCAAAAUCAUUCAAAUUCUCUUUAUAGGAAUAACAUUGAUAAUUGUAAAUAAAAAAUAGAAACACAAUGUAGUUAUAAAUAUAUACCGAGACCACCUUUUUUCAUGACAACCAUAACAGUAUAACCUAUAUUUAGUUCCUAUUCCACUUCUUAUCCUUAAUUUUAUUUUUUAUCAUUGUCACUCUCUUCAUCUCCAUCUAGUUUGAUAUGCAAUCAGCACUCAAUUUGUCAUUUGACAAUUUCAAUUUGUUAAUGCCUAUCAAAAAUUGGAAACAAAAAUGGGCACAAGGAAACUAUUUAAUAAUAAUGAAAAAUCUAGAAUUGAGAAUAGAUACCAAGAUAUGUAAGUAUUGGUGCUUUGGUAUGUAUGGUGAUUUUAUUAGUGGCAAUAAUACAUAUUUGGUUGGUAAUAAUAAAUAAAUGAGUUUGAAAAGACAAUAGAUGUAGAAAAAAGACGAUAGAUAGUUAAAUGGGAAAGAUUAUAGUUUGUAUUAUUGGUUGAUAAUAGAUGAGAGAACUUUAAUAUUUGGUAGAGUUUUUCAAUGAGUUAACAAUUAAUGGAGGGCAUUGUUAUCUUUUUAUCAUACCAAGAGAGGUCUCUGUAAUUAUGUAAAUCUCUAGGGAGUCGAGUGAAAUUGUCAAAAACCUCAGGGAAGGUUUCUGAAAUUAUCCCUAAUUGUUUUGUAGAUUGGAUUUACUAGUUAUGGUCCUAACAUGUUGGUUUUCUCAAGUGAUAGGUCCAAAUUAAAAUCUACAAAUAACACUCACAACCUUAAUAUAAAAUUUUGCAUGAAGUCGCUAUAACCGUGGGACACAUUGCCUGAUAUCUUGCUUACGGUUAUAUUUAAUUUAAGGGUUAAUCACAUUUUAUCCCCUUAAAGAAUACUCUAUUUUUCAGUUUACCUCCUAACAUUUAAUUUUGCUCACUUAACCCCCUUUAGGACAAAAUUGCCCUUGCAUUAUUUUGACUUUUCAUUUACCUUGUUUUCCUUUCUUUUAUUUCUUUUUCUCUUUCUUCUUUAUUUAAUUCUUCCUCUUUCCCACAAAAAUCUUCACCUUAAUGAUUGAAAUUAAAAAAAAGAAAUUGUAGAGAUCUAUCUUCUCCUUAAAUGAUUAAAAAAAAUAUUCAAAUCACUUUCCUAAAAUACAAUUUUUUAGCCUUUCAAUUCUUUUAAUUUUGGGUUUUCCUUUUUCCUUUAUAGUUUCUCAUUUUAUUCCCAAGAAAAUAUCUUAAGAUAAAAUUGUGACCUGAUUAAUAACCAUUAAUUGAAAUUUGUGACAUAUGGCAUCAUACAAAAAAUCAAAAUUAGUUUUUGAUGCCUUUUAAACCUUCACCCAGAUAUAUGCAAUUAAAAACUCAAAACAAAAAUUUUCGUUGAAAUUGAAUUUCUAUUGGGAAGGAUGAAAGAGAGAAGAAAGAGAAAAAGAAAUAAAAGAAAGGAAAACAAUUUCAUCUUAUGAUAUUUUCUUGAGAAUAAAAUGAGAAACUAGAAAGGAAAGAGAAAAACCCAAAAUUAAAAGAAUUGAAAGGCUAAAAAAAUUUUAUUUUAGGAAAGUAAUUUGAAUAUUUUUUAAUCAUUUAAGGAGAAGUAGAUCUCUGCAAUUCCUCUUUUUUAAUUUCAAUCACUAAGGUGAAGAUUUUUGUGGGAAAGAGGAAGAAUUAAAUAAAGAAGAAAAAGAAAAAGAAAGGAAAGAAAGGAAAAUAAGGUAAAUGAAAAGUCAAAAUAAUGCAAGGGCAAUUUUGUCCUAAAGGGGGUUAAGUGAGCAAAAUUAAAUAUUAGGGGGUAAACUGAGAAAUGGAAUAUUCUUUAAGGGGGUAAAAUGUGAAAAUCUCUUAACAUUGUUGUGCACGCAAGGGGAUAAAAUCUCUUAAUUUAAUGGUUAUUGAUUUGCAACGUUGUUGUGCACGCACAAAUUUUCAAGAGAUGUAAAAAGAGAUACUUGAGUUACAAAUUUCGUUUUAUAGCAAAAAACAUGGAAAAAUAAAUGAAUAAUUAGUGUGUAGUUAGCUAAUUUGGUUUAUUUUUUCUUAACUAGCUAUAUUUUCUAAGGAAAACAUUCUGGUAAAUAAAGUUAUGCGUACUGGUGUUAUGCAUAAAUUGAGUUAUAGAAACACUUCAGAAAACCAAAAUAAAGUUAUGGCUAUGUUAUAGAUGCUAUGCGCAUAUUAGGUUGGAUCUUAUUUCUCUUGAUUUCAUAUUAUUGAAAAUGACAAAGAAUAUUAGCAGAAAUGAUUUUGUAGGAUCGAGAUUUUAUUAUGAUUUAACAGUUUCUCGAGGUGAAGGAUGGGCGGGGUGGCACUGGUGAAGAAAGUAUAAGUGAGAAUUCUCAAGAAAUCUAGAGUUCGAGAAUUCUCACUAACAUUCAAAAACAAAAAAAAAUCUCGAGUAAAUAUAUGAUUAAAAAAUUAAUAUUCUCAUGUUAAUCUACUUGUUUAAUCUUGUUUUAGAUUUUAGUCUUUGAUCUGUUUUGUGAGACAAUGUUACUCAUUUUGUAACUUGCAUCCAUCAAAUGUAAUUGUAUUUUUAAUUAGAUAUUCAUUCCAUAAUCCCAAGAGGCAUGUUAAAACUGUACAAUGAAAAGAACUAAACAUUAUUUUUGUUAGAAGUCAUACAUUAAAAAUUUAGAUGUCAAACUGUAGGUCAUAUCAACUUAUAAGUUAGGGUAUUAAAAGACAUUUUUUUCGUAUACCAUUAUUUGUAGGAGAUUAAAAGAUAUUUCUUCUUUUUCUUUCUUCAGUUUUUUUAUUCUUCGUUAAUUAAAAAGUACAGCUAGAUACAAUAACGUGUCAGAUUUUACCCAAAUUGAAUUUAGACUCAAUGUCCUUACCAAGUUCAAUCUACUAAAUACCCAUUUUUUACUUUUAUUCAAUACGUUGAUUGUUGAUAAAUUUUACUAUCAAGUUUAAUUCCCUUAGCCUAAACAAUAUUGACUCAUUUAAGAAUCCUUAAAAAAAUUCAGUGUGGUUCAUUAAGGAAUUGAGAAUAACUUGAAACACUUUCAGAUCUUACUCCAUCACCACCGAAACCUCAGCUCCACCGACACCUCCAUCACCACCGACUGGAAUUCUCCUCUUCUUCCCUCUCAAGUGCGAAGUGUCCUUGUCGAUAAUGUUUUACCUCCCUCUUCAGUUUUACACUUCGCGGUAGCAGUUUUCCGCGACCUGGGUUCGGUGGCAGCAAAAGAGAAACCCAGCAACCAGUAAUGUUGCAGUGAAAGGAAACCAGUCCACCACCACUUGAUCAGCCGUUCCUUUCUUCCACGCCGUUGCCAGUGUCUAUCAUUUCCGAUUACCAGGUAAGGCUCGGACAUUAGGGUCCACCUACCAUAGUGCCAGUCAACAUAAUACUAAAGGACAGCUAAGAUCUCGUGAGAAAAGUUGGAGAAAAGCCAACACUGACGGAAAAGUAGUAAACCUUUGCGGAAAGUGCCCGACAAAUUAAUUGGAUUUGGUCGCCCUGCUUUGGCCAUCAGUCACGACUGAUGGCUGCGGUGGCUGCCCAUCCCUCGAGUGAGGGUGGGCGGCAUCCCUCCACGAUUCCAGCGUUCCGCUCCAAGUCCUUCUCGGAGCUUUUCUCUCCUCAGCAACGAACACAAGUUUUAGCGUCGCACUCAACUCACCGUGGGGAACCAGCGGUCUCCUUCCCCCAUGAUGUCAUUGAAGCUGUCGUGCAACCAUUCCGUUACGCGUUGGUGGGCAAGUUCUCCCGCGGCAGGCCCUGCAUGGAAGAUAUCCGUAAGUUUUCCUGUUCUCUGGACUUGAAAGACACCUUCACUGUUGGCUUGAUGAAUGCUCGGCACGUCCUCAUUCGGCUGCACAAUGAGGCAGAUUUACAUAUCCAGUUCACCUAAUUCUCGAAAGCCCGAUGCGAGUGUUUAAAUGGACACCCACAUUUCAUGUUGAUAGGGAGUCAUCCCUUGUGCCCGUAUGGUUCAGCCUGCCCAAACUUCUAGUUCAUUUGUUCGACAAGCAAUGCUUGUUCCCGAUAGUUUCUUGUCUAGGCCAUCCGUUGUUCAUUGAUUCUGCAACUGCUACGAUGUCUAGACCCAGUGUUGCUCGGGUCUGUGUCGAGAUAGACCUUUUGAAGGAGAUGCCAUUACGGGUGCGGAUCCAACUAGGGGAAGGCCACGGUUUUUUGCAGCCGCUUAAUCUAGAAAGUUUACCGAAAUAUUGCACCCAUUGUCAUCGUCAGGGCCACGAGCAGUCGGGUUGCUGCGUUAAACAUCCUGAACUUCGUGAGGAGAAGGUAGGAUCAAAGAGGGACACUCAACUAGCUGCGAGACCUUCACGGGAGAGUAAAGAUCAAGCAUUUGGCCUGGAGGGUGGAGGAGCCGUUGCUCUCACGAAUGUCGCAAGGGUCGAGCCAUUUCGCGUGGGAGGAGAGCAACCUGGUGCAGGUUGGGAGAGCGUGUUGGAGGUCGGACAGGCUCUUGGUGACGCUGACACGGGCCGUGGACAAAUGACGUCAGGAGUUGAGUGCCCUAUUGUGGGUGUGGAGGUCUAUUUGGAGGGUGGCAGGGGAGAUGGGCUUUUUCCACAGAGCCGGGAGGAGGGAGAAGGAGUACGGUAAGAUGCUGACCUUAGGGUAGUUGCGACCAUGGUGGUGGAGAGCGCUGUCCACGCUACUGCCGACGCCAUUAUCACCGAGCUGGCCACGUGGGUUGCAGAUGAAAAUGACUCCAUGGCUGGUGAAGAGGAUGAUGCGGCGGCGGUUGGGGAGGAUAAAGCUGACGAAGUACCGGAUGGUGUGGCUUUAGACACCACUACUUGUGCUAGUUCGUUAUCUCUACGGGGAUACAAUGGGAGAUGCAAUGGGGGAAAUGGAGGGCAUGGGGUUGCGGAGGCACUACACCUGGAUCAGGUGGCACUCCUACAACAAGGCGGCCAUCGUGUUAGAGGGCGGGGUGUCCGUGGCUCGGUCCCUUCAGAUAGAGAACUCAGGUCGAUAUCUAAUAAACCUCAAACUUCAUUCCAGCUUUUAUCUCAUGAUUAAUGCAUGUUUUUGGAAUAUUCGGGGAGUUUCCAAGCCUCCAAACCUUAGGAGACUCAAAAAAUUAGUUUGCAUGCACAAAUUAGCAGUGGUGGGGAUUUGCGAGCCCAAGUUACUUGUGGCUGAAAUUGAGUCGAUUCAUAUUCGGUUAAACUUCGAUUCUGUAGUGUAUAAUUCCUCAGGAGAGGUCUGGGUGUUCCUUCGGGCCCCCUUUGUUGGUCGAGUAAUAGGAGAAUCUGAUCAGCAUAUCUCUCUGCUCUUGGGACACCCUCGGUUUCCUAUUGAGGUUCUUGUUUCCUUUGUUCAUGCUAAAUGCCAGUUAGCCGAACGUGAAUGGCUCUGGGAGGGUUUGCUGCAAGAUAAGCCAUAGCAAGGGCUUUGGUAUGUGGUGGGGGAUUUUAAUCUUACCUUAUCGGCAGAUGAAAAGAGAGGGGGGAGGCGUUUUCAGCCGAUGGAGGGGUUAGAGUUUUCUCGCUUUAUGUGAUAAGUGCAUAGUUUACGUAUUUUUAGUGUAUUUUAUUAGUUAGUUUUGGUGUGUUUUAAUUAGUUUUAUAGCUAAUUAACUAAGAUUCUAGUGAAAAUAUGUAUUUAGAGGUUUAAGUGUUAAAAAUUGCAUUUCUAUGGAUUUUUAUGGUGAAAACUUCAUGUUUUUGUAGGUUUAAUGAUUCAAUCAUCAAAUGGCAUAAAUUGAGAAGAGAAUUGGAUGAUUGAUAAUGGUUUUAAGUGAUAAAAAGAGAAUAUGAAGUGCAAGAGAUGAAAUGCAAUCAAGUUCUAAAGAAAAGGAGUUUCACAGCUUUGACAUCUUGUGGUAUUUUGGUAAUAUCUCAAGCGACAAUGGUCGGAUUGAGGUGAUUCUUGUACCAUUUUGAAGCCAAGAGAUAGAUCUAUAUUUGGUUGAAGACAUUGAAGUCCAAUUCGGUGGUUUUCACAGUCAAAAAGUCGAAAAACUGAAGUACAUUUUCUAUGGUCGAAGCUGAAACAAGUUUCUGACCAGUCAAGGGUAAUUUGGUUAUUUCUCAGUCCACAGAGUUUGAAAUUAGAUGAUUCUUGAUGCAUUGGAAAGCUAACUCAAAGGGUUACAACUUUUGUGUUUUACACAAAAGCUAGUUCAGCCUCUAACAUCGAGAAAAUAUCAGUUGAACUGGACCAAAAACAGAGCAAGCGAUCCGAACCCAAAUCCAAUAUGAACCGAGCCCUCGUCUGAUCUUCUGGACAAGUGGAUCUGAGACCAUAGGAUCCGUGCUCGGAUCCACUGUAGCAGGCCUCGGAUCCCAAUGAACAGUGAAGGUAAAAAAUGAAGAAAAAUGCGAGGGGUAAUUUGAGUGAUCCGGGCUCGGAUCUAUCCCUCGGAUCACUACUUUUGGUGCACCAACUUGUGUUCUGUUCACACAAACUUUUUGACCAACCUUUCCUGCAAGAUUAUCGGUGGAAACAGCCCAAGACAGCUGCAAAAGAAGCUUUACAAUGCCAUUUUAGCUUAUUUAUGGGCUCAAGACAUGAAAAAACACUUGUCCAUUACAAGAAAUUCCUCUCUAAAUAUAAAGCCUUGAAGAACAUUUUCAUAAUUUUAGGGAGGCUAGAGAAACUCCACAAAAAUGUAGUUCUCACUAGUUUUUCUUAGUUGAAUUAGUUUAGUAGUUGAGUAUAGAGUAGUGUAGUUCAUCCUACUUGUUUAUUAGCUAGGCAAAGAUGAAAAUGGAGAUGAAGAAGGCAAGGAAAAGCUCAUGUGACAAGGGUUACUUUUCCUUUCCAACUCUUUAUCUUUUGUACUUGAUUCUAGGCUUAGUUAAUAUACAAGUUCUGGAUUUUGUGUUUAUGAUGUGUCUUUAAAGUUUAUGCCUUGGGUUUGGUUGAACUUCCUAUGAUUGUUAGUCUUUAUUAUUUGUCUAUUUGAUUGCUAGUAUUUCAGCAAGUUAUUUAGCACUUUAGCCCUUUAAAUCAUGAUUAAUCUGGUACCAUUAAUUGUGAUUAUCUAAGGUGUUGUUUCUGCAAUGAAAAUUGAGAUUUAACACCAGUUCAAGAAGUACUAAACAUAGGGAGUACACUCACGAGAGUAGAGGUGCACUUAUGUGAUUUUAGUGAUUAAUUUCAUGUAAUUUCAUUGAAGAAAUGAACUUGUAACUAAAUUCAUAACCAUGAGAAUAGGUAUGGAUUAGUUAUGAGUAUAGUUGAUUCACUACGAAAGUAGGUUUCAAAUGUUCAAGGAAAGUACACCAUAACUAGCCUAAAUAGUAGUACUCAAUGAUCCAAAAAUGGCAAUUGCAUGAGUAGUUAGGGAUACCACAACCUAAGGAGCUUUCAUUUGUUAUUUUCUUGCAUAAGUUCAGUAGGUUUUACUUGUUAUAAUUUAUUGAUAGUCUAAAUAAUAGAGAAGCUUUAGUAGUACCGGUAAUUGCAAUCUUCCUUGUGGGAUCGACCCUUAAUACCCUAUACUCGCUCACGAUUCGUAUACUUGCGAUAAAUCGCGUGUGGGGUAUUUAGGAGUUUAUAAAUGUAAAACUUGAUUAGAAUGAGGUUAAUGUUAUAUGUAUAACCUGCGCACAUCAUUAUGUAUGAUGGAGAGGUGUUUGACGCAGGAUUCACUGGUCCCACGUUCACCUGGUGUAAUAAUAGGUUAGGGCGAGCACGAAUCUAGAAACGUCUGGAAAGAGUAUUGGUUAAUAUGGCCUGCUUGAACUUUUCCUUAUCAAUCUCAGUCUCACAUUUAGUCCGUGCACCAUCGGACCAUGCCCCGCUCCUGAUAUCCUUUACUCCUAGGGCCAACAUUCGGUGUCGCUCAUUUCGUUUCUUAAACAUCUGGCCGGCCAGGAGGGAUUUUCUUGAUGUGGUCAGGUUGGCGAGUGUCUCUCGGGCCCUACAUCUGUGGAAUAAGGAGACGUUGGGGGAUGUUUUUGAGAAUGUGAAAAAAGGAGAAGCUGCGGUGGCGGCGGCUGAUCUCAAGGUACAAUCUGAUCCAUUCGUCGAGGCCUUUACUGAACUACAGCGGGCAAAAAGCCACUUGAAUAAGCAGUUAGCAAUUGAAGAUCUUUUUUGGAGACAAAAGGCUAGGAUCAAGUGGCUACAACAUGGUGAUCUUAAUUCAAAAUAUUUUCAUUCAGUUGUCAAGCAGCGGAGGAUCCAAUCUUUUACUCACAGGAUUAGGGAUUCUCGGGGAAGUGGGUGACGGACGAUGCAGAGACAGGGAAGGAAGCUAUCGGGUACUUUGGUGACUUAUUCACGGCCGGUCCUAUUGCUGAUUAUCAUCUCCUCCAUGUUAUCCCUAAUGAGUUCAGAUAUUGAUAAUACCAGAUUGGAGGAGGUCCCCUCCUUCGAAGAGGUAUGCAAGGUGAUUUUCGAGAUGGAUGGUGAUAGUGCAGCUGGUCCAGAUUGUUUCACUGGUCGAUUCUUUGUGGCUGCCUGGGAGGUUGUGGGUCAGGAUAUGUAUAGGGCAGUCGUUAGCUUCUUCUGCGGCGCGGAGUUGCCUCGUUUCGUCACGGCGACAUCUAUAGUCCUUCUGCCCAAAACUAUGAAUCCAAAUGACUUUAUGCAAUUUCGGCCCAUUAGUGUAUGUAACUUUCUUAAUAAAGUGAUUUCUCGAAUCUUGGUGGGUAAGCUCUCAGGUGUAUUGCCACGUCUCAUCUCACCGCAGCAAAGUGGAUUUGUCCAAGGUCGAUCUAUUUCAGAUAACUAUUUGCUUGCUCAGGAGCUAAUGUCCGAAAUAGGAAAGAAGUGCAGGGGGCAACCUAGCGUUUAAGUUAGAUAUGGCUAAGGUGUACGACCGGGUCUCUUGGGGGUUUUUUAUUGCCGUGUUGUGACGGUUUGGCUUCGGCGAAAGGUUCAUCAACAUGGUGUGGAGGUUGAUUUCCAAAGUUUGAUUUUCUGUGAUUAUUAAUGGCGUGCCCUAUGGAUUCUUUAAAUCCUCUAGGGGUCUCCGUCAGGGUGAUCCGUUAUCACCGGCAUUAUUUAUCAUCAGUUCGGAGGUUCUGUUCCGAGGCUUGAAUUUUCUUGUCAAUCAAUCCAGUUUCGCGGCGUUUAAGAUUCCUAGGCACUGCUUCCCUAUCACUCAUUUGGCAUUUGCAGACGAUGUCAUCAUUUUUGCUAAUGGGGGUGCGGCUUCCCUAAAGAGAGUGAUGCAGAUACUGGAGUGGUACCAGAAUGAUCCGGGGCAGUUGGUUAACGUGCACAAAAGUGGUUACUUUGUUCACCCUUGUCUUUCCCCGGCUCGGCAAGGGGUCAUUGAGCGGAUCACUAGAUUCCAAAAGAAAGAGCUCCCAGUUCGGUACUUAGGAGCACUGCUGUUUGUUGGUCGCGCAAAGGUUAGUUACUUCUCUGGCCUAUGUCAGAAGAUGCUUGACAAGGUUUUGUCUUGGAAGUCCUGACUUUUGUCGUUCGGGGGAAAAAUUGUGUUGAUUAAACAUGUCAUGUCUAGUAUCCCGAUCCACCUCUUGGGGUUGGGUGUGAUGCCUAAGGGAGUCUUCAAGGUUAUUGAGAGGGUUUGUGCGAACUUCCUUUGGGGAUCAGGUCGGGAAUCCAACAAAUUCCAUUGGCUCCGGUGGAAGGACUUGUGCUUUCCCACUGAUGAGGAUGGGGUGGGGUUGCGGUCGAUUAGUGAUACUUAUAGGGCCUUCUCCUGCAAGCUCUGGUGGAACUUCAAGUAUGGGCUUUCCUUGUGGGCAAGAUUCAUGCGAGCGAAAUACUGUCAUGGGCUUCAUCCUUGUCAAGUCUCCAUAUCUACAUUGGGAUCAGCAACCUAGAGGCGGAUGCUGGACAUUAGGGGAUUUGCGGAGCUACUGAUUGGUUGGAGGCUCUCCGUGGGUCAAUGCGACUUCUGGUAUGAUAACUGGAGGGGGCACGGGGCCUUCCAUCUACGCGUGUAGGUCCAGGAGGGUAUCUCAUUUCAGCAUGUUAUGGAUAAUGGGGGUUGGAUCCAAGGAAGGCUUGCGGAGCUUUUUCCUGCUGACAUGGUGCAACAAGUCCUGGCGGUGGUUUGUCCAGUCGGGGAUUCUCCGGAUAGAAUGGUAUGGACUGCAUCGUCUUCGGGUCAAUUUUCGCUGGCUUCGGCAUACAGUGAGCUCCGCGAAUGCAAGGCAUCCUCUUUUUUGUAUCGACAGCCUUGGCAUCCAAGGGUUCCCCAGAAGGUGUCCUUUUUUGUACUUCGGUUACUGCGGAAUCGUCUCCCCUUGGAUGACGUCCUAGCGUUAUACGGUUUCCACCUGCCCUUGAAGUGUUCUUGUUGCUUAAUUCCACAGAUUGAGUCAGUGGGACAUUUGUUCUCAGAGGUGGGUUUGGCGGUUGUAGUUUGAAAGUUUUUUGGUUCAGUUUGUGGGGUUUUCCCUAAUGCAGGUAAUGUUCGAGGGGUCUUCGGGAGUUGGUGGUUCAAGCGGGUCAAAUCGGAGAGGCUCAAAUUCAUCUUCCGACUCUUGCGUAGUCUUAUCUGCUGGUACAUCUAGAAGGCUAGGAACAAGGCGCGAUUCCAAGGGAUCGAGAUGAACCCGGUUAUUGUUUGUCGGGCUGUUUUUCGGGAUCUUAAAGAUGCCUAUGGCCUGGAGUUCAUGGAGUUGCAGCAGGUGUGGGAUUGGCCUACGUUCUUCGACAGGGUGGAGCAACGGCCUGUUGUCUUUCGAAUGAAGUUGAUUCGUUGGUACUCUCCUCCGCCUCGGUUUGUCAAGAUGAACAUAGAUAGAUGCUCAAAAGGUAACCCUGGGGUGAGUGGUGGAGGUGGGAUCCUUCGGAGCUCUGAGGGUAGAUUGCUAUUUGCGUUCUCGGGGUUCUUGGGGCAAUGUACCAGCUUACAGGCAGAGGCCAAGGCUUUGCUGCUUGGGCUGCAGUUAUGUGUACAAUGAGGCUUCUUGGAGAAUCUAAUUGUUGAAUCAGAUUCGUUGAUGCUAGUACAAACUCUCUAGCAAGAGUCCCAUUGUCCUUGGUCCAUCGAUGGGGAGGUGGAGAAGAUUUUACAUCUAACUCGUAGAGGGGUUCAGGUCGUGCACUGCUACAGAGAAGCUAAUACGGUGGCGGAUGUGCUGUCUAAUGUGGGCUGUGCCCAUAUCGAUAAGAGGAUUUGUGUGUAUGACACCUUCGCGGGCCUCCCAUUCUUAGCUAGGGGUGCUUAUCGUUUAGACAGAUUGGCUUUUCCUUCCUUUCGCAGAUGUAGGCCCUUGCGUCGGAAUUCCAAUGUGUAACACUCCUUUUUAAUUGAAUAAAAGUCCGAGAUUUUUUGGAAAAAAAAAAGGAAUUGAGAGUUUCUUACUUUGAUCUGAGUGGUCCAUUUUUCUUUAAAUAUCCUUUUUUUUCUCAUUAUUCUUUUGUCAUGACUAUACUAUUGCUAAAUAAAUGCUAUUGGUUUGCACUAAUAGCUAGUUGCCCAUGUUCUAAUAGAAACAACUUUUAUAUUUCAUACUUAUAAUUUGAUAAAGUAUUUGGGCUUACUAAUAUUUGUUGCGAAAUUAGAUUGAAACAUAAUUUUCAGUGCUUGUCAAGCCAAAAUUUUCAAACAUGGAGAGAUGUUUAUAGGGAUUAUUCUUACUAAUUUCUUUAUUUUGCUUGAUGUUUGGAGCUUGAUUUUUUUAUUUGUUAUAGAAUGAAAACUGAAAAAUAGUUAACUUAUUCUUACGGGAAUUUUGUCUCAUUUUACCGCUUAAUUUCUAUUGUUUGUAGCAAGAAAUUACUUUUCAUAAUUUUUUUUUGUUUUCAAAAGUCGUUAUAUUUGAAAUUUAUCCAAAAUCGAUUUUCUUAAUUAUUUAUUAAGAUUCUCCGUUUCUCUGAAUCCAUAAAGAUAUGUAUGUAUUUUUAAGUAAAUAUAUGAAUAUAAUUAUAGUAGUACAAGAAUCAAUUUAUUUAUUGUACAUAUCUGAGAUCUUGGCCACUUCGAUUCGAUGCAAUCAAAAUUGAUCCAAACAAAUAUAUCUCUUCACAACGAUUUCUUUGGCACCCAUAAUUUUUUUGUCUGAGCUUUUAGUUAUUGUGGGUACUCAUAAUUAAUUUCGUACCAAGUAGAAAUGAUCAAAAGGGCCUAACAAAUGUAUCACUUCGUUUCAUGAAUUGUCAAUUCUAUAUCUUGGAUUUGGAUUACGAUCUUUGCUUACUUGAGUGGUUUUCGGAUUGACGCGUACUGAACGUCCGCCCAUGAUGAGACUGGAACUAUUGCAAUGGCUCAUGGUUAUAUCACCAAAAGCCAUCUUUCUUUUGGUUAAUCUAUGAGUUUGUGUAAUAUACAUAGCCUUGAUCUACUGUAAAGGAAGGGUAAACUAGAGGUUAAGUUACCUCUUGUGGUUAGUGUCGCGGUGUCGCCCCACACAUCAUAUCCCUCUUAUUACACACACACAUAUAUAUAUACAUUAUUAUUAUUAUUAUUAUUAUUAUUAUUAUUAUUAUUAUUUUGUUAAAAUUAUAAGUAAUUCAAGAAUCAUAAAAUCAGUUAUCAGAUUUCAACUCAAGAAUGUCACAAAAUAAUGCACUAUUGGUGGGGUAAAGAUUAAUAUAUAGCUUACAUAUAGUCUGACUAAUAUAUAGCUUACAUAUAGUCAGACCAAACUCACCAUUGCAUGAGUUGGCUUGGGCGAAUUCAAGUAUUGCUAGUUUAUGAGUUGGAAAGACGUUGAGGAAAAGAAGAGUUCAUAUAUUGGUUUUGGCCAAAGGCAGGGUUUGGACCUAUGGUCAGGAGAUCCAACGGAAUAAAGAUUUUUUUGUAAAGUUUUAACUUAUUGUCAAUACGAGUUAGAGUAUAUAUUGCCGUAGGCUUUAAUUAUUAUGAUGACUAUAUUAUUUAUGAUAAAAAAAAGUUGAAUCUUCUUUUAUUUCACCACGAAGCGAUGUCUAUGUUUGACCUAAAAUAGAUCUAAUACUCUUGCAGAAAUUAUUUACCACAAAACUUGUUAUGAAGAAGAAAAUUUGAUGUAAUUUAAAAAGGAAGGAAUGAACAUUUUAAAAUUUAAAGGGGCAUAAUGUUGUAAAGGAAAGAAACUCUCUAAAAUUCAGGGGGGCAAACAAGGUACAAAACUGAAAAUAUCAUUUUAUAUCAAGCUUAUUGUGUAAUUUUUCAAAACCUGAGGGGGGCAAUUGCCUACCUUCAAGCGUGAAUGGCUCCGCAGUGGUUUUGGUAGGAAUGAACAUUUUAAUAUUUAAAGGUGGGAAAAUCAUUCAAAACGUUCUUCACAUUUUACCAAAUAAUUUUUUUCGACCCUCACUUUUAAAAAUGUAAUUUUACAUCCCUUAUAAAUUCACAAUGGUCAAUUUUGGUCCCUACUUAGGUUUUCAACUAGUUUUUUAUCAGAAUCCACCACGUGCCUUGCACGUGAUUAUAUUUUAAGGGAAAAAUUGUCAAAUCAAAUUUUAUAUAAUUCGAUUCAUAAUCCCUCACAUUUCACAAAAUGAAUUUUUUCGUCCCUUUCAUUUUAUAAAAUGAAUUUUUUCCUCCUUCACAUUUUUCAAAGUGAAUUUUUUCAUCUGUUAUUGAUCAUGUGUGUGAAUAAAUUUUUUUAAAAUUCAUGUAUAUAUCUAUUUGAUUUCACUUGAACAGUACGAAUAGCAUGUGAAAUCAAAUAGAGAUAUAUUACAUACUAUUUAUAUUGCUCAAGUGAAAUCAAAUAGAUAUAUACAUGGGUUUAAAAAAAUUGUUAAUUUUUCACUCAUAUUCAUUUUCUUUUACUUGAAAUUUGAAAAUAAAGAAGACAUUUAAUCCUAAAUAUUAUGAGUAUUUGUAUCGAAUUAAAUUUGGACAGAAAAAAUAAACAAAAGAAAAGUAUGACAAAAAGAAAUAAGUGAUUGGCGCUUUCAAAUUUUAAAACAAUCACAAGGCAAGUAAUUCAUCUGUUGGUCUCAAAAGUGGCGAGUAGAAAUUUCAUAUUUAAACUAAAUAGUAAAAAGUCAGGGAGGUAAUUGAAAAUUUGAAACCUUUGGGUUUUACAUAAUAUUGUUAGAAAUCUCAGGGAAGACUUCUGUGAUUAUCCCAAUUGCGUAUGCCUCCAAUUGUAAAUCUCUUUUUCUUGACUGGCAAACUUUAUAUCCAUGUAAUAUAGGGACUUUCAAGUCAUAUCCUAACCAAGACGAUGCACGAUUGCACAUAAUAUAAUUGAACUUUCACUUUGGGCAGAAUUUAUGCGAGCAAAAUACUGCAGGGGACUUCAUCCUUGUCAGGUGGAAUUGAAGCGGUAUGACUCGGUGGCGUGGAAAAGAAUGUUAAACAUAAAUCGACAAGUGGAACUAUCUAUGGUAUGGUUGGUUAACGCGGGUUCCUGUAACUUUUGGUAUGACAACUGGUUGGGUAGUGGUGCUCUAUAUCUUAAAACUACGGUGUAUCCAGCCCUAACUUUCAAGGAAUUCAUAUCAAAUGGGGACUGGAACAUUAACUUGCUCGGCCAAUAUCUAUCGCAAGAGUUUAUCCAUCCAAUAUUACAACAUCCGAUUCCAGAGGGAGAUUGCCGCGAUGAACUUAUAUGGAGGCAAACAGCAUCGGGAAGGUUCACAUUAUCAUCGGCCUUUCAGGAGGUUCAUCAAGCUCGUAAUUACUCUGUGAUUCAUUCUCAGCUAUGGCAUACUCGGAUUCCAUUGAAAAUAUCUUUCUUCAUGCUGAAAUUGUUAUUGAAUAAAUUGCCGUUAGCAAAUGUUUUGUGGAGGGUGGGUGUCCAAUUGGCAUCAAAAUGCUUGUGCUGCCAAGAGGAAUCAAAUGAGACAUUGGAGCAUGUUUUCUCGGAUGGUCAGGUUGCGAAGGGAGUCUGGAAUUAUUUUGGUAGGAUGUGUGGGGUAACAGGCUCAUCACUACGGACAUGGAUAAUGGUUUGGUGGAUGUCUUCACCUAGGUCUGAGAAAAGACGGUUCCUUUACUCAGUUCUCCCAAGUUUUAUAUGCUGGCAUAUCUGGAAGGCUCGGAAUAAAACAUACUACGAAGGGACUCAGAUGCGAGUUGCAAGAAUUUGUCAUGAUAUUUUGCUAGAUGUGAAAGCGGUAGUAGAAUUUCAGUUAACCAGAGGCUUGCGGUGCAAACGUUUCCUCAAUUAAACGAGUGGACAGCUCAACCGCCAACUUGUUAUACUUUUCAACUGGUGGGGUGGAGGGCGAAAGAGGCUGGAAUGUUAACAUUGAAUACGGAUGGAUGCUCCAAGGGCAAUCCAGGAUUGAGUGGUGGUGGGGGAAUACUAUGUGAUUCAUCGGGAACUCCAUUAUUGGCUUUCUCGGCUUAUUUUGGAGAAACUUCUAGUUUGCGGGCAGAAGCGAUGGCCUUGUUAACGAGUCUCCGAUUGUGCAAUCAAAAGGGAUUUACCAAUGUAAGUAUACAAGUUGAUUCACUAAUUUUGGUUGAAAUUCUUCAAAGACGACUCCAGUGCCCAUGGAUGAUACGAAGAGAGGUCAAACAAAUUUGGGACAUAGUUGAGGAUGCGACGCAUUUUGCUCAUUGCUGUAGAGAAGCUAACAAGGUGGCGGACAGACUGGCAAAUGUGGGUGCUUCUACCAGUGACCAUGACGUCAGCAUUUAGGAUCAUUUCAGUGCAAUUCCAAGAUUGGCGCGUGGGGAAAUUUGAGUAGAUAGGUUAGGCAUUUCGUCUAUCAGGAGGAGAAAAGUAGACUAACCUAUGGGAGGGUUUAGUCGAGAGUUUUAAUUUUAAUUCUUCUGGCAUUUGGGUUUGUUGGCAAUAUGUUUUUCAUCCAUUUGUAAGGGGAAACUCUGUCAAAAGUUUCUAAAAAUAAAAUAAAAUAAAAUAAAAAUAAAAAAAUACUAUAUAUGGGCGAUUGAUCUUCUGUGCAAAAAAAAAAAACUUUCAAAAUUUAGCUUUUUGUAUACUGUAAUCAAAAUUUAGUUUGCUCGUAGACUGUAAUUUAUCGUUCUUCCUCCAUGGGAGGGAGAUCUUCCUUUUCCUUUGUUUCUAUUUUAUAUUUAAUAAAGUCUGUCUUAAGCUAUUCUAGUAAGAGUUUUGUCUCCUCUAAUAUUUUGCUAGUGAGAGUUUUGUUUGUUUUUUUUUUUUUUACUUUUUCCUCAAAUCUAAGAGAUUUUUUAGAUCUAUAUGUUAAAUCUGAAAUUUCUUGAAUCUUCUCAUCAGAUCUUAACAUUGAUUUUGAGUUUGAAUCAGUAGAAUAAAAGAUAUGAGGGAAUAGACAUGCACAGAUAUCUAUUGGAGCAAUUCGUGCAAUUAGUCAGAUCCGAUGGUUUAUGAUUCAUAAUGUAAACUUUUAUAUUUUGUAACUCUGUUAAAUCUAAUGAUUUUUUAGAUCAAAUAUAUCUGUGACAUGUUUUAUAUAUUUUCUACCAUUAGUGUAGAUUGCUUUGUCAAACAAAUUGUGCUGGAUGAUUUUCAACUACUUUAUUAAUAAUAUUGGCUUCUAUUUUAUAUAAAAAAAAAUUAACCUACAUUGGUAUGCUCAUUUUGGAACAUUGACUAGCUUACUCCUACAUGUUCUUGCCACUUUUAGUCGAUUGUCCUAAUUUGCCACUUUAUCGAGAGUUUAAGGAACUUUAUCGAGAGUUAAAGGAACUAAGGGAAAAAUAAUAGUUAAACAGUACUAGUACCAGUCAAAAGUUACCAAGUAAUGUGGUAGGUCACUCUUUGUCUAGUAUUAAGUAGAUAAUGACCGACCCAUCACUAUAAUUUGAUUAUGAGCAAUUUUUUUUUUUUUUUUAGCAACGAGUGAUUGAAAUUAGUACACUGCGUGGCAUAUCAUAUAGCGUACAUGGUGUACCUAAUACCUUCCCAAACUAAGUUAGUUUGCUAAGCGACCAAAUAUUUGGGUUAAUCAUACUUUGCACUCUUUAAUUAUACUCGAAUUCUCAUUUUGAUCCCUAAACUUCAAAAUGGGAUACUUUAAUUCUUAAAUUAUAAAAUUUGUUGUACUAAAGUCACUAAAAUAUAGAAUUUGUCCAUUUUAGUUCCUCAAAUAUGCCCACUUAGGCAUAAAGUCUAUCUCACUUAAUGAUGUUAUUUAAGUGGGACAAAUUUUAUAGUUUAGAGAUUAAAAUGCUCCAUUUCAAGUUUAAGGACUAAAGUAGAAUUUAAGUAUAAUUAAAGAGUGUGAAGUGGAUUUAACCCCAAAUAUAUUUUGGGAAAGUUUGGGUAAGCGUAAUAGUAAGUUUUGAAAAUCAUUAAGAGGGUAUAAUUUUCACCUAGUUCGCAAGAAGGGAGUUGAUUGCUAUAUAUGAAUAUCAAAGAAUUAGGAGUUUUAACAAAAUUACCACCUUACUCUUCAAGGAUGGAAAAGAGAGCAGAUCCUCUGUCCAAUUUUUUGUGUCCAAUUUCCUGUCCAAUGUGAAACUACGUAGUUUCACUUAUUACACUGCUGGUGUGGCAACUAAAAAUAGGUGGCUGUUUGGCUGCCUUAUACUUCUUUUUCUUUCUAACGCCCUGUCAAAUAAUUUCCAUUCACCGUGAAUUCCUCCAAAGCAAAACCACUACAUAUUUCUUGUUGCCAACGUCACCACUACAUGAAAGCGAAGUUUGUUCGACUAACAUCAAUCUUUAGUGUAUGAUGGGGGAUGAACGUUGAGUGCAUCUAAAAAUUCUCACCGUGAGUGUUUCAAUGUCCUAAUGCAUUCCAUUUCUUCCUUGUUAAAAAUUGCUUUGUUGAAGAACUUCCUUUGUCUUCUAGGCGGAAAAUGGUGGCAACAGGUUUUGGGAAUUAUAACAGUAGCAAUAGGAUUUUGGGAAUUGUAACAAAGUUGUGUAAACAAAGGAAACCCAAAAAAGAAGAAAGAAAAAGAAGUAUAAGGCAGCCAAACAGCCACCUAUUUUUAGUUGCCACAUCAGCAGAUGUAAUAAGUAAAACUACAUAGUUUCACAUUGGACAGGAAAUUGGACACAAAAAAUUGGACAGAGGAUCUGCUCUCGAUGGGAAAUGUGUACCAUGGGCGGGCCCAUGAUGAGGUGGAUGAUCACACGUCAUGCCAGAUAACUAUAUGGGACCUACCAUUGAAUUUAACUACGCCUUCUAAUGAUUUAUUACUAAUAAAAAAUAGUGAAGUAGUUUGAAAUUAUUAAAGUUUUUAUAUAUUAUAAAUUUCCAAAAGCACAACUCAAUUUGCAUAACCACAAAAACAUUGAUAGGAAUCUACACUAACUCAUACAUCAACAUGUAUUUUUUGCCUAUUUAUAACCUAACAUAAACAAUCAUGUUAUUUUAAAAAUAAUCAAAUGUAUGUAAAAUAAUGUAAAAUAAACAGUUUUUUAAAAUCAAAAUAUUGUCACAUAAACUUUAAACCGAUGUUUCAUAAUUUUCGUACUCUGAAAAUUCCAUACAUAUUCAUUGGGUUCCAAAAUCAACGUGGGGUAGGUCUGGAUUUUGGUCCAUUAUUUUUCUUCCAAACUCAGUAUAGUUAUGAUCUAGAGCUGAAGAAAUUUAGUGAUUUUGGGGUUAGAUUCACUAGAUUGAGCCUAGUCUCACGCCUGUCCAUUGAUGUGAUUACAAAGCGCGCAAGAAAUAUGGGCGUAAACAAGCUUUAAUAAGCCAAACACCUUGAAGUAAUUUAGUGAUUUUGGGUCUAGAUCUACUAGAUUAAGCCUAGCCUCAUGUCUAUCCAUCGAUGUGAUUACAAAGCGCGCAAGAAAUACAGGUGUAAACGAGGUUUAAUAAGCCGAACACUCUAAAGUUUGUUUAAUUAUUUUAACAAGUUUGAAACUAUAUUUAAGCUUGAUUUGUUUAUUUAUUGAACCGAACUCAAACGAGCUUUUAUUAAGCUAAGCACGAGUCAAGUUUGAGUAGUUUGAAUUAUUUAUAUAUAAAUUCUAAUUUAUGAUAAUCGAGUUAAGUUCAAGUCGAAUUUGAAUGUUGAUAGAUUACAAAAUAUUGUUUAAACUUGGCUUGAUUAGUUGACAAAUUAAUUUCACGAGAAAUCUUAUUGAACGGAACUCAAUUUGACUAUCGAAUAGUUUGGUUCAAGUCUAAUUUAUGAUAAUUGAGUUAAGUUCAAGUCGAAUUUGAAUGUUGACAGAUUACAAAAUGUUGUUUAAACUUCACUUGAUUAGUUGAUAAAUUAAUUUCACAAGAAAUCUUAUUGAACGGAAUUCGAUUUGAGUAUCGAAUAGUUUGGUUUGUAUUUUAACCGUGACAAGAAACAUGCAUCUUUCAAUGGGUCAUAUUCUAGUUAUAGUAUGUUGAAAAACAACCUUCAAAGCAAGUACACUUUAUUUUUGCUCUUGCAAACACCUUCAAAGAGGAGUUGCGAGCUAGAUAAAUAAUAUCUACGAACUGAUGCAUUCCAAAGGACCUGCUUGUUGGAACGUCCUCUUUCAUCUGUUAAUUGUUCUGGUAAGUUGCUUUCCCUCUAUUUCUUUUUUGUGAUAUAUGGUGGAUUGAAUUCUCACUUUCUCACAACACUGCACAACCAUUACAGGGAACUUGUGAUUUUGUCCCCGUUGAUGGUACUAAUGCAAUCAGGCUUCAGCGCAUGGAUAUCAAUAAUCCUCAGAGAAAUAGCAAGAGAGAUCAUGUUGGUGAGGUCCAAGAAAAGAUGUCAAUGCAUGAUCAUUCUCACUCCUUAGCCCACAUGAUGCAUCAGAUGGAUCCACGAACAGCUGUAUUUUUCGUUUUGGAUGAUCUCAAGAUAGGCAAAGUAAUGACGAUCGUUUUCCCUGAUGGAGAUCCUAGUCCUUUGUCCUCUCCUUAUCUCUGGCCUAGAGAAAAAGCUGAUGCUAUCCCCUUUUCAUUGGCAAAACUUCCAGAAAUUCUUCAACACUUUUCAUUUUCUCAAGGAUCUCGAAAGGCCUAGGUGAUGGAAGAUACACUCCGAGCAUGCGAGACUAAGCCUAUCAAGGGAGAAUCCAAGGUUUGUGCAAUUGUGCCACAUCCUACGAGUCAUUGGUAGAUUUUGCACGAAAGAUCUUGGGAUUGAAUACCAAUAUUGAAGUUUUGCCAACGCAUCACCUCGCAAAACCUAAUGCUGCUAGAUUACAGAACUAUACAAUCACAGAAGCUCCUGAACGAAUUUCAACUCUAAAGAUGGUUGGCUGUCACACCAUGCCAUAUCCUUUCAUAGUUUUAUAUUGCCACUAUCAGCAGGGUGAUAAUCGUUUAUACAGGACUGUUCUAUCUGGAGAGAAUGGUGAUAGGGUUGAAGCUAUUGCAAUAUGUCACAUGGAUACCUCCCAAUGGAGCCAUGAUCACGUUUCCUUCCGAGUGCUUGGUAUCGAACCGGGCACUGCCCCUGUUUGCCAUUUCUUCCCAGCAGAGAACUUUGUAUUGGUUCCAUUUACUUCUUCAAUCUAGUAAUAUCCAAGGGCUCAAGUGCUUUCAGCAUUUUAGUUGUUUAGCUCAAGUCACCUUGUCUGAAUGUGUAAUACUAGAAAUCACUAAAUUCGUGUGCCUCGUGUUUGAUCGUCAGUAUUCGAAUAAAACUCCGUGGUGUAGUGGCGCUACUUUUGACGAUCAAAGUUUUAUAUGCUUCAAUUUCUUAGAGCAUCUAGAACACGUAUGCUACUAGAUUGCAGCCUACAUUUUUUUCCCCAAUUUUCUGCUAAUGUAUCCCCUAACGUAGAAUGUUUUUUCUUGGGGCGGAGGCUUGUUAGGAGAGUAUCAAUUCAAACAAUUUACUCAGAGGACUAAUUUUCAGGAGCCUGGAUUAGAAUGUUAUUUUCAAUUGGUGAACAAGUGCUUAUCUCUUCCUAAUCAGUCACAUUAAGUAAGUCCUGGGAGGAUGCUGAAGCAAUUGAUAAUUCUUCGUUAUAAUCUCUCAGUCACACAAAAAAUUUCUAAUGAAAAUCUCGCUUGUUAAGUACAGUAUACUAAUUCUUGUCUUCUCAACUUAUCUUGCAAAUUCUACAUCUGAAUGGUUACUACAUGUCAUCCACAAAAAGACAAUGAUUAAGAAUAGACACAUAGUAAAAAUAACAUGCAUGUGAACCUUUCUAAAAUGAUAAACAUUGUGGAGGAUACAAAAAUGAAUGACACUUUUAGUGGGACGAGAGAAUUUGUGACCGGCAUAGCUCUUAUUUUGAGUUAAAUAUAUGUUGAUUCCUGACGGGCUUUUCUUAUCAAAGCAAGUUUAUUUCUGAAUUUUACCCGUUGGACUGCAAGUAUACAGGUCACUUAGUAGUUUUGGGCAAAUAUCAGGUCGAUCCCACAAGGAACAAGCUAAACAAGUACUAGCUAGGCCUUUAUUUUCUCUAUUAUUUAGAUUUAAAAUGAAUCUGAACAAGAAGAUUAUAAUGCUACUGUCUACAAAUCCAAUUUAAUAAAUGCUAAAUACAAACGGAGAAAUUUCACUCAAAAUUGAAUCUAGGGAUGUAGAUUUCACUUAUGACAUAAACAACACAAAUGAAUAGAUUUACCUCUUGUUAUUAUUCUUGUUUAACCAGGGAUUCAUUUCCAAUAUUACCAAAUCUCAUUCUCAUGAUAAAAUGGCCUAGAGCAGUCCAGUUUUCCCUAUUUUCAUGGUGAAAUACUAGUUCUACUCUGUUUUCCUUCAUGAAAUGCUAGAUAAUCCACUUAAGUGUACCUCUAUUUUCAUGAACAUACAACUCAAGUUCUACUCAUGUUUUUCCAUUGUUACUACCAAUUCUCAUUGACUAAUAACAACUAUAAACAUGUUAUUGGUGAUCAAACAACAAGAAGUAAUUACAACUGCACAAAUAGACAAGUUAAUACAAGAUACAAUAAUUGUAAAUCACAUUCCAUUCAUAUCAUUUAGUCAUAAAUUUCAUCUACUCCCUAAAUAAAGAAAUUUAGCUACUCAUGAAUGAUAUAACAAUCAAACUCACAAGUUUAUUAAUAUAAUACAUCGUAAAGUACAAGUACAAGAAAGAUAAAGAAAAGUUUAGCCAAUUAAUGGUGAAACCCUCCAAAUUCUGCUAUGUCUCGUACAAAAUGAUUACAAGUGAAGUCUCCAAGUGUUUCCUCCAAGGACUUCUAGCUAGAGAGAAAAUGUUACAAGAAGAAAACUAGCUACGUCUGUUCCUCUCUGGCUUCUCCUUGUUUCUCAGCAUAAAAGGUGGUGGAAAGCACCUUUUUCUCCUUCAUGAUUCCAACAACUAAGAUUUUGUUAAAGAAAGUCAAAAGAUAUGUUGUUUUGAUUUGUCAAUACUCAUUUUGUCUUCCCUUUUGUUGCAGAAGCAUGUGCCAUCGAAUUCUCUCACCCAAGAUAGCUGGAAAAUUGUGUGAAAAGUAAGAAAAACGGCUGUGCCACUUGCAGAAGAAAGAGGCAGAUCUGAACCAUGGAUCCGAGGGGUGCAAAUCGAUCCGAGCUCGGAUCAGAGGCCUUUUUCAUGUGGAUCUGAGCUCGGAUCGACUGACCUCGGAUCCAUUGCUCCAGAAGUAUAGGCGAGGGUUCGGAUCUCUUCUUGUUGCACACAGAUCCGAGCUCGGAUCCGUGUGAUCAAUUUCCAGAUUUUUGAUUCCUUCCUUUUUUUUCUUUAUUUUUGCUCCUAGUUUCUUUUGUACUUUAUCCUCCAAAUGAUCCUUUGCUUUGUCUUUAUCUUGUACAUGAAGUUCAUCUAUCAAUAUCCUUCCAAAUAUCACAGAUUAAAGCAUUAAUCCACUCAUUUAACAUGUUUUGAUUACUCAAACAACACUUAAGCAAUUUACACCAAAAAGAGUUCAAAUAUGGCUUUAAUCUUCUCAAAACAUAACAACAGUUCAUGCCAAACUUGUACAAAAUGUACGUUAAAUAUUCACUUAUCAAAUUCCCCCACACUUGAAUCAUUGCUUGUCCUUAAGUAAUUCACUCAUAAUCAGCUUGAAUGAUUCAAAAAGGUGAAACAAUACAUGUACUUUUUGUCCAAUUUAAUUCCUCAUGACUUGGAAAUCAAUCAUUAAUUAUGCUAUUGUUUAAAUUGCACUAAAUACUCAUAAUAUCAAGUAAAGAAAAGAUAAUUAUGACCUAAUUUUAACAAAUUCAACUUAAUCUCUCAUCCUAACCUAAUUCACAAAUAAGCAACUUACAUAGUCAAUUUAUAGCUUUCUUCCUCUUAUAAUCAUCUUUUUUUCAAAAUUUAAUAACUAAGAGGGACUUAUUCUUACUUGAUUUUACUUAAAUAGUGAAAAUGUCUUUUGACGCGAAAAUCGACACUUUUAGGUGAAGAUCCCCGAUUACUCAACAUUUCACUUAUUCAAAUUGCUAUGCAUACUCUUAAUUCAAGUACCUUUUGACGCGAAAAUCGACAUUUGUAGAUGCCAAUCCCCGGUUACUUGGCACAAGAAUUAUUGGAGUAGAACAAAUAUAUAUUUUUUCUAUUUAUUUAUUUAUAUAUAUAUUAUAUAUAUUUUUUGAACAAUCAAACAAUAACUAGAUAUUCCCUCAUUGAAAAUGUAUAAGAAUAAUUAAAGGAAGAGUAUGGCUUUUUAUUGACUAGAUCAAUCACUUACUUGUAAAAUUAAGUAAAAAGGAGAAAUCUUAUUAAAUAUGUAAAAUUAUAGGCAUAAUUUUCCUUACUUAAUCGGAUAUAUUUUCUAAAAUGCAAAAAUCCUAAUUGCAUAAUAACCAAUUCCAAGUUAACUGUGGAUUAAAUCUUCCCAAAAUACAUAUAACAUUUCAACAAAUGGAAGAAUUAGAUGCUUCAGGUUGGAACAAUUUGGCACAUAAAAGUGCAAAUAUUUGAGAUAUUUUGGCUAUAAUGAAAUAUUUGAAAAUUUUUGGAAACAUUUUGACAGACCCCUUAUAAGUGGACAAAACUCCCUGUCAACAUUCCCAAUUUCAAGAAAAUUAUCCACAUGUCAAUAUUUCAACAUAUAAUUCCAACAUUUCUAAACCACAAUGAACUGAAAACAUGCACUUCACGACACAAUCAAGGCAUAAGGUAAUCAAAACACAAAAUACCCUCCCCCACACUUAAAAUUCUCAAUGUCCUCAUUGGGAAAGAAGGGAAAAGAAACUAGUACUCCCCUAUAAAGAAGUGGUGAUGCAAUUUGAAGCCACGAACAUCACGAACAACCCAAUUCUGUUCAAACUGAAACAAGGGAUAAGGUGAAACAUAAGUAGCACAAGAUUAACAAAAGAGAUAAAGACUUCGAGUUUUAAACAUAAGAAAAGCAAGAAAAACAAAAGACUUGAAAGUUGUUAUGUUCACAACAAAAGAAACAUCAUGAGAGGGAUCUUCAUCAAGGCAGUGUAGAAUCAGGAUCAAUGCUCUCAACAGCACCUUGUGGCCCUGGGAUGUACCAAUGUGACCCUCCUCAGUGGUAGGAAUCGGAGAAGGGGAACAGCGAAUGUGGAAAUGGUCUUCCAACGUCCAAAGGCGCCGAUCAUGUCUCUCCAGCCGCUGUGUGAGGACUCGCUCCUGUUGGUCAAUUCGCUCCAUAACUCUGGUCUCCAUACAACAAAUAGCACUAAGGACUUCUUGCCACUUGGAGCGGGGAGGAGGUGGGGGUCGUGGAAUGGGUGGAGGUGGAGUCGGCUGUGCCUCCAUUUCUUGAGCUUCCUAUUCUAGUUGAGGGUGAGGUGGAAGCUGAGUAGAGGUCGACGCUUCUCCAACAUCAUGAACCAAGGAGGCUCCAAAUUCUGUAGGGAUACCCAAGGAUCUUAAUAAAGCAACAUUUACCUCAUCGACUGCCUUGGUAGUGAUGGCUCUCUCUGCACCCAAUGGAACCUUGAACUUCUCAAACAGAAGAGAGAGGAAACGAGGAAAUCCAAAGCAAGUCUCACCGGCUCGCAUGCGUGCUGUAGUACGCAUGUAGCUAAUGAUAAUGCUUGUUAAAGAGAUCCCUGUCAACUGCCGACCUAGUCCAUGUAUCAUCUUGUCCAAAAAAUAAAGGUCGCUAUUUCAUACUUCCCUCUUGCCACUCCUCUUAGGUACCACAUUAAAAGCAAAGAGAUAGAAAAUAAGGUGGUACCUAGGCUCAAAGGAAUCUGCAUAAACAAGGAGCUUCCUUGAACUUCCUCUUUCACGGUAUUGACCCUUAAGACGUGCUACAGCUUCUCCUACUUGCCAUGGAUCACGCGCCUUGAAUUCUUUGGUCAAUUUCACGUCCUCCCCUGAAUCCUUGAUCUGGAAAUACCUCUCAAUUGUCCCGUGAUUGAUGGCAAUCCGCUUUCCGCUAAACCAUGAGACAAUGAGAUUCCCACUGUGGUCUUGUUUUCCUUCCACAUUGGCAUAAAAUUCUCGCACCAGAUUGGGAUAUUAAUGCUUCGGCAAUUUGAGUAUAUUCUCCCAUCCAAGUCGCUUGAAUGCCGUGGAAAUCUUGUAGUGGUCAUCCACCUCCGGUGCCAAUUGCUUUUCAAUAAUGAUCUCCUUGGCUAAUCCUGCCUCGUACCGCUGUUGGUUUUUGAGUGAAGUGAAUCGCAUGGUAUCAUAGUCAGGAGGUGGCUCCUCAUGGCUAGUAGAUGCUCUUUUUCAUCGUGAGCGAGGCGGCGACUCGGGUGAGGGAGAUUCUUCCACGGGGGAAAGGGACUCCUCAGGUACCGAAGGAGUACGCUCUUCACUUGAAAAAGGUGAAGGAGUGCGAAACGAACCCGUCUUGUGCGAGCCAUGGUGCCUAUAUCAAAAACAAGAUCGAUAUUCUUUAGAAGCAAUAUAAACCCUUCAAACAUGUUGGAAAGUAGUUGAAGAAAAUUUCGGCAGAUUUUCCCUUUAUAAAAGGAACAAACUCCCUGCCAACAAUCAACAAUUUCAAGCAAAUAAUCUUUCUAGCACUUUUUCAUAUCCAAUUCCCACAUGUAGAAUGUAUAUUACCAAUAAGGAUAUCAUUACAUGCAUGAUAAGUCCAAACACUUGAGAAUUAUACCCAUUUGCAAGUAUAGAAGAACAUCUCAAAGGAAGUUGGAUUAUUAAAGAUAAUGUGCUACAAAUUCAGAUUUUAACCAUCCUUAUAAAGCAACAUUUUCACAUGCAUUAUCAAAACAUCCUUAAUUUAAACCAUUCUCAACGUCUAGCAAUUCCCCAACGAAAUACAUAACACUCCAUUAUACUAAAUACACAUUAUCACCAAAUCACAUACAACUGAGUUCCAUUUCUUCAAAAUAAGUGCAAAUUAUUUCAAAGGAAAAAAAAUUGCAAGCAAAAGGUUCAAUGUGCUUAAAUUUAGUAAUUGAGAAAAAAAAUAUUCAAAAAUAUCACCAAAUCCACAAUUGUCUUAAUACUAAGCAUGAAAUGAGUGGUAUCAACGCAUAUUAACACAAUGUAGCACAAAUUCAACAAGAAAUUUCAACAAAGGUACAAUUCCUCAAAAUAUAAAAAAAACCAUGAAAGUUGGAAAUUGAGAAAUGGAAAAUAUCAAAGCAAGUUAAGAAUUGUUACCUCAAGUGUGUAGAGUGAUGCUAAAAGGGGGUAACUAUGCCAAAUGUAAUGAGAAACAAGCCCAAAUUCGACCAAGAAUUGCAGAAUUUCAGUUUGGCUGAAAAUUCUCUAAGAGGAUUAAAAUCCUUCUUUGAUGUUGUUUUGAUGCGAAACAAGUUGGGGUUAAUGAUCACAAGAAGUUUGGGGAGGUUUUUAUGGUGAAAGAUUGGAAGAUAAUGGAGAAAAUGGAAGAUUGGAUGAGGGGCUAGGGUUUCGGUGAAGAAGAAGAAGAGAAAGUGGAAAAAUAUAGAACCGAGCCUGCGGUUCUACUCUUAUCACGAACCGAUACGAGCUCGGAUCUGUUCCAACAGCUCUCGGAUCCGACUGGGCUCGGAUCUGUCACUCCAGAUGAUCAGCCGAGCCCUCGGAUCCAACUGGAUUUUGUUGGAUCCAAGCUCGGAUCCCCCAAUUUUGAAAUUUCGAAUAUGGAUCGAUCCAUGGUCGGAUCAAUUCAAACAAGGCUCGGAUCCAGUGGGCUCGGAUCCGACCCUUCAGAAACACAGACGAGCCCUCGGAUUCGAGUGAACAACUACGGAUCCAAGGUCGAAUCACCCAAUUUCUUCUUUGAUUCCUAACCGAUCUGAGGUCGGAUCCGUCUGAAUUUUUCGGAUCCGGGCUCGGAUCUGUACAUUUCUGCACCAAUUGUAGAAACUGCAAUUCUUUCAAUUUUUUACCCUUUUCCAGCCAAUACCAAAUUACACCUUGGAUGAAAUUUCUAUCAAUUCUAACCCUUCACACAAGUGUAAUAUACCAUAAACACAAUAUCUAAUCUCUCAAAAUACAUCAAACACAUCUACAUUGCAAAUCAAGGGGUGAAGUUCUUUGAUCAUUUUGGCACUUUUACACUAAGAGGGUCCCUUAGGUAUGAGAUGCACAUCAAAUGAGUCAAUGAGCAUGUAUAAACAUGUUAUCACCGAAACUCAUUUGAAUACAAUGGAAAUGCAACAUAUUAUUCAUGAAAGGGAAUUUUAAACACUUAAAACAGAAUUUGCUAAGAAAACUUCCCUUUUUACUAUUGUUCUUCAAGUGCACCUCCAAGAUGGAUGUUGAAAUGCCAGCACCCCUUACAAACAAGUGAAAUACAUAUAAUUAGUCAAUCAAAUAACACCAAAAGUUAAGAAACACAUAAAAUCACACAACUACAAUAUUAUUAUUGGGUUGCCUCCCAAAAAGCGGUUUGUUUAAAGUCGUUAAGUUUGACUCUCCUACAACUUCUUUAACUUUCCAUUGUGUUUCCUAAGGAGUAAAUCACUCCUUUAGGAACCCUUUCUCCGGCCAUAUAGGGCUUCAAUCGUUGACCAUUUUACUUUGAAUGGGGCACUGUUUUCCCCCUUUAUUUCCACCGCUCCAUAAGGAAAUGUGCGAACUAUUUCAAAUGUUCCGGACCAUCGAAACUUAAGCUUACCAGGGAACAAUUUAAGUUUUGAGUUAAACAAUAACACCUUUUACCUUUCUUCAAAAUGCUUAGGAAGAAUAUGUUUAUCAUGCCAAAGUUUCACUUUUUCUUUGUAAAUUUUGACAUUCUCAUAUGAAGUUAACCGCAUUUCUUCCAAUUCGCUUAACUCGAGCAUUCUCUUUUCACCUGUAGAUUUAAAAUCAAAAUUAAUAGCCUUAAUAGCCCAAUACGCUUUAUGUUCUAUUUCUACAAGUAAAUGACACGCUUUCUCAUGAACAAGCUUAUAUGGAGACAUUCCCAACGGCGUUUUAAAUUCCGUUCUAUAAGCCCACAAAACAUCUUCGAACUUGUUUGACCAAUCUUUUCUCGAACGAUUGACAUUUUUCUCUAGGAUGAUUUUAAUCUCACGGUUGGCCAUUGGCUUGAGGAUGAUAGGGAAAUGAUUUUUUAUGUCUACAUCCAUAUUUAAACAACAAAGUAUCAAUAGUUUUAUUGCAAAAAUGCUUACCUUCAUCGCUUAUAAUUGCCUUUAGAACUCCAAAUCUACAAAAUAUGUUUCGUUUAAGUUAAGCACAACCUUAGCAUCAUUAGUUUGUGAAGAAAUGGCCUCCACCCAUUUAGAAACAUAAUCGACUGCUAAAAGAAUGUACUUAUUAGUAAAUGAAUUAGGAAAUGGUCCCAUAAAAUCAAUGCCCCAAACAUCAAAUAACUCAACUUUCAAAUAUGUAGUUAGAGGCAUUUCAUUCUUUCUUGAGAUAUGACCGGUUCUUUGGCAUUGAUCACAGUUUUUAACUCAAUUUCUAGCAUUUCGAUACAUAGUAGGCCAAUAAAAUCCUGAUUGCCAUAUCUUUGCUACGGUUUUAAUUGUACUAAAAUGACCUCUCAUUUCAAGAGUAUGACAAUGCAUUAAAAUACUGUGUAUCUCUUCUUCCAGAAUACAUCUUCUAAUUAUUCAAUCCGCAUAAUGUUUAUAAAAGAACAGUUCCUCCCAAAAAUAAUGUUUAGUAUCAUUUAAGAAUUUUUUCCUUUGGUGGAAAUUCAAAUCACCUAGUAUCACUCCACUAACUACAAAAUUAACUAAAUCAGUAUACCAUGGUGACUUUUGAAUUGCCAUUAAAAACUCAUCUAGAAAUUCUUCUUUAAUGGAUGAAUGACCUUCUUGAGGCAUGUUUUCCAGUCUAGAAAAAUGAUCAGCGACUAAGUUCUCAGAUCCUUUUUUAUCUUUGAUCUCCAAAUCAAAUUCCUGCAAUAAUAAAAUCCAUCGAAUUAGUUUAGGUUUUACAUUUUUCUUAUUUAAGAGAUAUUUGAAUGCUGCAUGGUCGGUAUAAAUGAUGACUUUAGAUCCUACUAAGUACGAUCUAAACUUAUCUAAUGCAAAUAUCACUGCUAGCAACUCAUUCUCUGUUGUUGCAUAAUUGACUUGAGUUUCAUUUAGCAUUUUAUUUACAUAAUAAAUGACAUGAAGUCGCUCAUCAUGCUUUUGCCCAAGAACAACUCCAACUGCAAAAUCACUCGCAUCAUACAUCAAUUCGAAUGGGAAGCUCCAAUCCGGUGGUGCUAUUAUGGGUGCGGAGACAAGUUCCUUCUUCAACCUAUUAAAAGCAAAUAAACACUCAUCAUUAAAGUGAAAAGGAACAUCUUUUGCAAGUAAUUCACAUAACGGUUUAGCAAUCUUGGAGAAAUCCUUAAUAAACCGCCGAUAAAAUUUCACAUGUCCAAGAAAAUUUCGAAUGCCUUUCAUAUUGAUAGUUGGAGGCAUUCUCUCAAUAACCUCUAUUUUGGCUUGAUCUACCUCAAUAUCUUAUGAAGAAAUUUUGUAUCCUAGAACAAUACCCUCACAAAUCAAUGAAGUGACAUUUUUUCCAAUUGAGUACAAGGUUUGUUUCUUCACAUCUCUGCAAAAUUAGAUCUAAAUUGUUAAAACAAUGAUCAUAAGUAGAUCCAAAUACAGAAAAGUCAUCCAUGAAGAUUUUCAUGAUUUUCUCAUUAAAAUCAGAGAAAAUUGCCAUCAUGCAACGUUGGAAAGUGGCCGGUGCAUUGCACAGUCCAAAAGGCAUUCUUCGAAAUGCAAAAUUGCCAUAAGGACAAGUGAAUGUAGUUUUCUCUUGAUCUUCCGGUGCAAUGACUAAUUGAUUGUAUCCUGAAAAAUCAUCCAAAAAUAAUAAAAUUCAUAUCUAGCCAAUCUUUCUAUCAUUUGAUCAAGAAAAGGAAGAGGAAAAUGAUCAUUUCUAAUAGUUGCAUUCAGUUUUCUAUAAUCAAUACAGACUCGCCACCCAACCACAACUCUAGAGGGAAUCAUUUGAUCAUUUUUACCACGUAUUAUGGUUAUCCCCCUUUUUUUGGCACUACAUGAAUAGGAGAAAUUCAAACACUAUCAGAAAUUCAAAAAAUUAUACCUGCAUCCAGUCAUUUAAGGAUUUCUACUCUUACCACUUCUUUCAUGUUUUGAUUUAACCUUUUUUGAGUUUCAACCACUGGUUUAGAAUUUUCUUCUAACAAAAUCCGGUGCAUACAAAUAGUUGAAUUAAUUCUCUUGAUAUCAGAAAUCGUCCAUCCUAUAGCCUUUAAAUGCUUUCUCAAAACACGUAAGAGCUUUCAUAGUUGUUCCUCAUCUAGUGCAGCAUUGACAAUCACCGGUAAUGUCUCAAUUUCUCCAAGAAAUACAUAUUUGAGGUGUUUAAGAAGUGGUUUAAACUCAAACCGUGGAUCUUGCUCACACGAUAGUGGAGGUAGCCCUUUGCUCAGCCCUAACUCCUCAUACACAUCACUCCUUUUGUAAGGAACCUGUACCUGCAAAAAUUUAGUCAUUUUUUCAACUUGUUCCUCUUGUAAGCCUACACCAUUAAGACAAAGUUCAAGAGAAUCAUCAUCAAGAUUAACUUGACUCAUCUCUAAUGCCAGUUCAUCACAUAUAUCAACAGAAUAAACAUAGUCGGUAAAAGAGGGAUACUUCUCCACUUUACUCAAAUCAAACUCCACUUCCUCUUCACCAAUUUGGAACUUGAACUUACCCCGUUUAACCUCUAUUAUAGUACCUGCAGUGGUCAAAAAUGGUCUGCCAAGAAUAAUAGGUACAUUAACAUCUUCCUCCAUAUCUAAAACAACAAAAUCAACAGGAAUAAUGAAUUUCUGCACUUUAAUAAGUACAUUCUCCAAUAUCUCCAUUGGAUGUCUAAUAGACCUGUCAGCCAAUUGCAAGGAAAUGUUAGUUUAUUUUAACUCUUUCAACCCCAAUUGCCUAGUUACAGAUAAAGGGAUCAAUGAAACACUCACACCAAGGUCACAUAGUACUUUAGAGAAUUCUACAUUACCAAUAGUAUAAGGAACUGUGAAACUCCUUGGAUCUUUCAACUUUGGUGGCAAUUUAUUUUGUAUGAUGGUGCUAUAUUCUUCCGUUAAUGCAAUUGUUUCACAAUCUACUAACCUCCUUUUCUUAGUCAUUAUCUCCUUGAGAAACUUUGCGUAUGAAGGAAUCUAUAAAAUAGCAUCAACAAAAGGAAUGUUAAUAUGUAAUUGUUUGAAAAUGUUGAUAAACUUCUCAAAUUCUUUGUCAUUUCUCGAAGGCUUCAAUCUUUGUGGAAAUGGCACCGGUGGAGGAAUUGGUGUUGUCUCUUCAAUUUGUGGCUCACACUCUUCCACCUUUUCUUCCCCGUUAAUUUUCUUGCUAUCCUCUCCUAACUCACUCAACUGCUUGUUUUCGCUUUUUUCAUAUUCUCUCUCACUUUCAACUACAGGCGGCUUACCUACUUUCUUACCACUAUGGAGGGUUAUGACUUUCACAUGCUCUCUUGGGUUCACCUCAGUCUUCUUAGGUAAAUCUCCUUGGUUGCGAUUGUUAACUGCAUUUGCUAUUUGCCCUAAUUGGACCUCAACAUUCCUGUACAUAUUAGUGAGUUGGUCCAUCCUUCGCUCAAUUCUUUCAAACCGUUGAGUAGUGGCACUGGUUAAAUUUUUAAUUUUAUCAUUUGAUACAUUUGCCAGCUUCUCAAUUGCCAAUUUCCAAACCUGUUUGGACUCCGGAAGUGGUUGCUUCGAUUGAAAAUUCGGUGGAUUAACUGGUCUUUGUUGGUUCCCUUGAUCCUUCCCUCCAAAAUUCAGGUGAUUACGCCAUCUUGAAUUGUAGGUAUUGGAGUAUGGAUUAUUUUGGGGUGGACGGUUGUAAUUGUUGAGAUAUUGAACUUGUUCACUAUUAGAACGCAUAAAAUCAUCAUGAUCUCCGCCGCAAGUAGUACAACAUGCAACCAUUACUCCUUGAUUAGAGUUAGAACCAACAUGCCUAUUAAGCAUCUAAACCAUAUUAUCCAUCUUUACAUUUAACAUAUUCAAGGUAUCUACUUCAAACAUACAUGCGGUUCUCCUUGUAUUACCUCGUUCGUUAGCCCAUUGGUAGUUAUUAGCAGCCAUUUUUUCAAUCAAUUGUUGAGAUUCUUCGGCUAACUUUCCCAUCAAUGUUCCUCCCGCUGCCGCAUCUACAUGCGUCUUUGUUGGAUAGGUGACACUAUUGUAAAAUGUUUAGACUAUUAACUAAUCUGGUAAAUCAUGAUGAGGACAUCUUCGUUGUAAUUCCUGAUAGCGCUCCCAAAUUUUGUACAAUGUCUCUCCUUCCUGUUGAGAGAAACUAUUUAUAUCCAUUCUAAGUUUAGCAGUUUUUCCAGGUGGAAAGAAUUUAUUAAGAAAAGUCUUAACUAAUUCAACCCAAGUAGUAAAAGUAUUUGGAGGAUGAUAUUGUAACCAAACCUUGGCCUUGUUCCUUAGCGAAAAUGGAAACAAUCGAAGUUUAAUUGCAUCAUCACUAACACCAUUAAAUUUAAUUGUAUCACAGAUUUCAAGAAAUGUUGAUAAAUGAGAAUUUGGAUCUUCAGUAGCAUUACCUCCAUAUUGAGAUUGUUGAACCAUUUGAAUCAGUGAUAGUUUAAUCUCAAAAUUAUUAGCAUUUACUGUUGGCCUAGCGAUGUUAGUUUGAGAUUCUUGUGUUCCUGGUAAAGCAAAAUCUCGUAGAGCUCGCCUAUUUGGUUCAUUUUUCGCCAUUUCUUCCUCAAACGGUAGCUCUAUCAAAAUUUCCUCUAUCAGCUACCAAACCUCUUUUUACUCUUGAUGCGGUAUAUGCCUCCUUUGUUUCCGUAGUGUCCUCUCAAUUUUUGGAUCGAAAGGUACAACUUCUCAAUAUGUUCGGUGCAUACACUAUAAAUAGAAAUAAGAGAAAUUAUGCAACUUUAAUUGUCAAAAACUAAAUUAAUGCAAAAUCAACUAUAAAAAACUUAAAUAAAAACAAUGAAAAUAUAUAAAUUAAUAGAGAUGAUUAGACCCUAAUAUUACCGCUCUCCGGCAACGGCGCCAAAAACUUGACGGAUUUUUUUUUAUCAAAGCAAGUUUAUUUCUGAAUUUUACCCGUUGGACUGCAAGUAUACAGGUGACUUAGUAGUUUUGGGCAAAUAUCAGGUCGAUCCCACAAGGAGCAAGUUAAACAAGUACUAGACCUUUAUUUUCUCUAUUAUUUAGAUUUAAAAUGAAUCUAAACAAGAAGAUUAUAAUGCUACUGUCUACAAAUCCAGUUUAAUAAAUGCUAAAUACAAAUGAAAAAAUUUCACUCAAGAUUGAAUCUAGUGAUGUAGAUUUUACUUAUGGCAUAAACAACAUAAAUGAAUAGAUUAACCUCUUGUUAUUAUUCUUGUUUAACCAGGGUUUCACAAAUACAGUCCAGUUUUCCCUAUUUUCAUGGUGAAAUACUAGUUCUACUCUGUUUUCCUUCAUGAAAUGCUAGAUAAUCCACUUAAGUGUACCUCUAUUUUCAUGAACAUACAACUCAAGUUCUACUAAUGUUUUUCCAUUGUUACUACCAAUUCUCAUUGACUAAUAACAACUAUAAACAUGCUAUUGAUGAUCAAACAAUAACAAGCAAUUACAACAGCACAAAUAGACAAGUUAAUACAAGAUACAACAAUUGUAAAUCACAUUCCAUUCAUAUCAUUUAGCCAUUAGUUUCAUCUACUCCCUAGAUAAAGAAAUUUAGCUACUCAUGAAUGAUAUAACAAUCAAAUUCACAAGUUUAUUAAUAUUAAACAUCAUAAAGUACAAGUACAAGAAAGAUAAAGAAAAGCCUAGCCAAUUAAUGGUGAAGCCCUCCAAAUUCUACUAUGUCUUGUACAAAAUGAUUACAAGUGAAGUCUUCAAGUGCUUCCUCCAAGAACUUCUAGCUAGAGAGAAAAUGUUACAAGAAGAAAACUAGCUACGUCUAGUCCUCUCUGGCUUCUCCUUGUUUCUCAGCAUAAAAGGUGGUGGAAAACACCUUUUCCUCCUUCAUGAUUCCAACAACUAAGAUUUUGUUAAAGAAAGUCAAAAGAUAUGUUGUUUUGACUUGUCAAUACUCAUUUUGUCUUCCCUUUUGUUGCAGAAGCAUGUGCCAUCGAAUUCUCUCACCCAAGAUAGCUGAAAAGUUGUGUGAAAAGUGAGAAAAACGGCUGUGCCACUUGCAGAAGAGAGAGGCAAAUUCGAGUCAUGGAUCCGAGGGGUGCAAAGCGAUCCGAACUCGGAUCAUGGCUGAUCCGAGGACUUUUUCAUGUGGAUCCGAACUCGGAUCGAUUGACCUCGGAUCCAUUACUCCAGAAGUAUAGACGAGGGUUCGGAUCUCUUCUUGUUGCACACAAAUCCGAGUUUGGAUCCUUGUGAUCAAUUUCCAGAUUUUUGAUUCAUUCCUUUUUUCUUCAUUUUUGCUCCUAGUUUCUUUUGUACUUUAUCCUCCAAAUGAAGUUCAUCUAUCAAUAUCUUUCAAAAUAUCACAGAUUAAAGCAUUAAUCCACUCAUUUAACAAGUUUUGAUUACUCAAACAACACUUAAACAAUUUGCACCAAAAAGAGUUCAAAUAUGGCUUUAAUUUUCUCAAAACAUAACAAAAGUUCAUGCCAAACUUAUACAAAAUGUACGUUAAAUAUUCACUUAUCAAUUCCACCAAUAAUGUAUCCUCUUAAAAGUAAACAGUUUAUUCUUACUAUGGUAAAAUGGCAAACUUCCGCGUAUACAUUGAUUGAUAUGUAGACAAUUUUUAGGACUAAUAAAUAGCAGAGUUUUGAAAUUCAAGCUGAGACAUCGACUCAAUCGAAUUUAGGGUCAGGAGUCAAAAGGUUUAAGUGAGUAAUGCGAGUAUGAAUUCUUAGUAUGUGAGUAAUGAAUCCUUAGUAUCAUGCCCUUUCACAUGUGUGGUUAUGUGAGUAAUGAAUCCUUAGUAUCAUGAUUUUUUUUUUGGGCAAGGAUCAUGUUGAAAAUUUUAAAAAAAAAAAAAAUCGGUCAUGUAUCUUAAAUGUGCUUCAAAUUUAAAAUAUUAGGGACCAGAUUUACUUUAAUUAAACCUUUGAAGACUAAAAUCGCUCUUAUACUAAAUUUUAGAGACCAAAAUUGCAUUUUCUUUUUCCAAUUUUGUGAGACAAGAUUUGGAGAGUGACAGGGUGUCGAAACCUGCGUAAUAAUAAAAAUAAACCUAAUUGCCGUUUAAAGUAACCAAAACCUGAUUCUAAGUACUGGAGCAGGGACUCUAGGUGUGCAAUGGGUUACUUGAUUCACCUUAUUCCCGAAGAGUUUGUUUGAUCCGAUAUACCCGAAUGGGAUGGCUUUUUUUCACAAAUAAUUAUGAAUUUAUAGACAAGGCAAGUAGGGUCGUAUCUUCAGGAAUUGGGGAUAUUUGUCUGUUAAGAAAUCCAAAGUAACACAGGGGGUGAUUUUGUAUAAACGACGACAAUCAAAAAAAUUCAAAUAAGAAAAUAAAAAUAAAUAACUAACUAGAAAUUAAAUGACAAUUCACUAAACUUAGAAUAACAAUAAUUAAAGGUCUAAAACAAUUAAAACAAGAAAAUAAUUUAAAAUAAAAUAAAAUAGACAACUAAAAAUUAAAUGACAAUUCACUAAAAUCAAAGUAAUAAUAAUUAAAGUUCCAGUCAAGAAAUAACUUCAGCAAUGGUUCACCUAAUUGAUCAUCGAUGCAUAAGCAGUUUCAAUUAUGUAUUAAUAAAUAGGUUAUAACUGCCAAACAAGCGAUAACAGUCAAUCCCUCCUUACUGUGUCGGUGAUUAAGGUACGCCCAUUAAUCACUGCUCUAAUUGAGAAAUAAUCUUAGGUACGCCCAUAAGAUUUAAUUCCCCAAUUGCCUUACGUAUUAGAGGAGACCUAUUCUAACAAAAUAAUGCACUACCAGGGUUAUUUCAGAUUAGUCCACGUAUCCCCCUGAUACAAAUCUAAUCAUGCCAGUUGUCACUAUUUCAAGGCAAUUAAGCAAUUACGGAUUUAAAUGUCCUAAUUGAUAAUAGAUUACCAAAUUAACUAAUUAUCCGGAUCCAAGACAAUCAAUUAAUUAAAUAAUCAUAAGUACUGCAAUCAAGGAAUAUGCGAAUACCAAUAAACAAAGAAAAAGAUAAAAUUAAAUUGAUCUCAUAAUUUUAGGCGAACCAGAGCCUCCACUGUUCCUUGACUAGAGUGAGGAAAUUAGUUCAUAUUUAAUGAGAACAAAACAUAUGAAACUGAAGCAAAAGCUGCGGCCAUCUUCUGCGUUUGGGAAAUUUCAAAUUGCUUCAAACGAUGAUAGGAAGCGAAAACUGCCUAGAAUGAUUAAAUCCUUCAAUUGUUCCAGGCAUACGCAGCAGGAGAACUACAAAGGACGAAAAGCCAACAUCAAAUAGAAAAGCUACGGGAAAUCAUUCAAUUGUGCCUAAUUGCUCCUGACAUCCGAGGAAACAAAAACUAGUAAGAAGCAAAAGAAGGAAAAGUCAAAGGUACUCUAAAGUAGUGUUCAUCCUCUACAAUUUCUAGUUUCUAUCUAAUUAAUCUUUUGAUGUGUAGCGGCUCCCCCUUCGAAAGGAAGACUUCGGCCAAAUUGCCCAAAAAGGGCUCGCGUCUCUUUUGUUCCCAAAAUACCCCUGAAUGCCUUCUGUUUGAAUUCUUUUUCGAUGACUGUCAAAUUGGCAUUGGUUGUGGUAUUUUAGUUCUUCUCCCUGAAAUAACUGUAAAAUUUGAAAAGUGAAUAGAAUCUAAUAAUUAAUCCACAUCAGGUCAGGUAAUAGACGAAAUUAAUAAUAAAAUAAAUAAUAAAAUCGCAACCUAUCAAUUCCCCCCACACCUAAACCAUGCUUGUCCUCAAGCAUAGGAACAAUAAACAAAUACCAAUAGUUGACAAUGAGCAUUGCUCUAUCUACCAUAUUUCCAAGAUACCAAGGAAAACCAUAUAUCAAGCAUUAGUGAUCAAAAUCCGAGAAACAUCACCUCGGUUAGCUUCUAAACUACAAACUCCUUCAAUUCCAAAUUAACUAAUCUAAGAAAAAGGAAUGGCGCACACAUUUAUCAACAAAUGGUCCAAGUAUUAACCAAAAUCUCCACAUUAAAUCCAUAAAUCGGCAAGCUGACUUUUAUCACACAUUAACACAACCUAUACUUUUUUUCACGUUUUUCUAUUUUCCUCUUCAUUUUUUUUUGUUUUUCUUUUUUUUCAAUAGUAACACAAGACUUAGUCUCUAGCCAUUGAAACCUUUUGACGCGAACUCCAACAUUUACCGGAUGAAGGAGUCCGGUUACUCAGGUCCUAUCGCUAUACAACCACGUACUCAUAGAAAUUACUACUUUUUGACGCGAGAAUCGACACUUUUGAUGAAAAUUCCCGAUUACUCAGUAGUAACAACUAGCGGAGUACAGUCAACUCUUAUUUACAACUAGAUAACACAAUAACUCAAAAUAACACCUCAAAAACAAACAAAAACAGCAGCUAGCCUCAUUUUUUCAAACAUGGAGAACUAAAAUUAAUAUUGGACCAAUUCACAUGAAAAUGUCAACAAUCAUUCCCUAUGCCUAGAAAAGUUAACCAAGAUCUCAAAAGAGCCAAGCAAUCACUGAUAUUCACCAAAGAGAUGUUCUGAACUCAACCACAUUAAUUCGAUACACUUUUAUUAUUAAAACUUGGCAAUAGUAGAAUUAGAAUCAACAAUCCAACAUCAAACUUUGGCAUUUACAUGAGAGUUGAUCACUAAAAAGAAAGAAAGAGACUGAACGAAAGAUAGACAAAUAAUAAAGGAAAAAUAAAGGAAAAACACCGAAAACUAAAAACUAGAAAAACUGGCACCCCAGCUGUCCCCUCUCACACCUAAACGAUACAUUGCCCUCAAUGUAGCAAAUAAACAUCAAAAGUAGGAGAAAGGGUAACAAAACUUUCCUGAAAUCGGGUCAAAGUGGUGGGUGAUAACCAAAGUGAGGCGUAAGACCCGCAUGAUGCAUGAGGGCUGCCAAAUUCAAGUGGGUUUCCGAAACACGAUGAUGGAGCGGCUGGAAGUGGCAGUGACGCGACGUGGAUGGUGAGAGAGAUAGCGGCAGGCGUGAGGGGUGCUCGGCCGAAAGAGAAGAAGAAACAGGGGAGAAGAAAGAAAGAAAAGAGGAAGAAAGAAGAAGAAAAAAAGAAAGAUAAAACAAAGAAAGAAAAGAAAAGAAAGAAAAAAGAAAAGAGAAAAAGAAAAACAAAAUAGAUUUUUUUUUGUUUUUUCUUUCUUUUUUUCAUUUUUAGAUUUUUUGUAAAUUCUUAUUUUGAAAAUCAGAAGUUAUAGCUAAACGGAAAAACCCAUUUUUUUUUUGUAAUUAAAAAUUUUUUUAUUUACUUUUUUUAUUUUUUUAAUAUUAUUAUUAUGAACAAAACUUAUUGUCGAAAUUCAAAAUUAGAAAGUAACAGGAAAUCGAAAUCUGUUUUCGAAUUUUGAAUACUUACCUUUCCCGCGAACGUAACGUGGGCAAGUCAAGAGGGCAAGAACCCUUCUGACCAUGAGCUUUCCAUACGACUUGAUGCGGGCAUGUAAAAAAAACAAGAACCCAUCUGACCAUGAGCUCUCCAAACGACUUGACGCGAGUGUGUCAAGUCAGAGAGACACCUACGAAUCAUCAACAAUGAAAAUUGAAGCCCGAAAUCAGUCAAAUUCAAGGAAAACAUAUUCAAACUAUCAAGCAAAACUGAACAAACGACUAAAAAACAAAAUUGGGUUGCCUCCCAAUGAGCGCCUUUCUUUAAUGUUUUUGGCUAGACAUUAAACACCACUCUUCAAUCUGGAUAUAAUUCAAUUUUUCUUGUAAUCAGUGGCCAUCCUCCGGGAUCCAAAUAGCCAUUGAGUGCAACAUAUUUUCUUAAUUUUUUUUUUCAUUUUCACCUCAUAAAUUGCUUUCAUUCCCUAAUAUUUGCACGCAGCAAUUUUGAAUUUAUCCCUACAAGCAAAUUCAGGAAAUUCUUGCACACAAGGAUUAAUAGCAUGAAUAACAAACACAGAGUGAGAGUUAACAGGAUGUUCCAUUGUAUCAAAAAUAUUAAAGUGGACUAUUUCUCUAUCAAAUUUCAUAGACAAGGUACCUUUAUGAACAUCAAUUUUUGUCUGGGUUGUACUAAAAAAGGCCUACCUAAUAGCAAAAGCGAGGGGUCGGGAGAAUGGUCAUCAUCCAUGUCAAGUACAUAAAAAUCAGUUGGGAAUAUCAAUUCAUUAACUUUAACCAACACAUUCUCGACCAACCCAUCAGGGUAUGCAUUUGUUUGGUCAGCUAGUUGAAUUAUUAUCUCAGUUUCUUUUAAUGGAACUAGGUUCAGAGAAGCAUACAUAAAUUUAGGCAUUACGUUGAUUGAUACUCCUAAGUCCAGCAUGGUAUUUCUAAUCAAAGUAUUACCUAUCCUAUAUGGGACAGUAAACCUACCUGGAUCCCCGCACUUCGGUGGGAGAUUCCUUUGUAGAACUGCAGACACGUUCUCUCCCACAAUGACUCUCUCAUCUCCCCUCAACCUCUUUCGAUUGAUGCACAAGUUCCUCAAAAAUUUUGCAUAUUUCGGCACUUGUUUGAUUGCGUCUAGUAGGGGAAUGUUGAUCUCUACCUUGCGGAAUACAUCCAAGAUCUCUUUCUCCUUGUCCUGUUUUUUCGGUCUCUCCAACCUGAUAGGAAAAGGAGGUGGAUUAGUUUUAACUUCAAUGAUUGGUUCGGGGAGUACCAUUGGAUCUUUACGAUUUCUGUCCUCCUCCUCAAGUUCUUUCUCAAUCUUUUCCUCAUCCUUGUCCUUUGGAGUCGCGAGUUCGAGCCUUUGAAUUUCUUUCUCGUUCCUUAAGGUCAUUGCACUUACGUUCUUCAGGUUCAGUUCAGGUUGGGAUGGCAAUUUUCCGUUUACUUGAUACUCUAGACGGCUGAUUGAUAUUGCAAUCUGACUUAUCUGACUCUGCAUCGCUUGCAUCUGACCCAUCUGAUUUCUUAUGUUUCACAAUUCGGAGUCCGUCUUUUGCUGGUGUUUUGCAGUACUAGCCAUCAAUUGUUUCAUCAUAUUUUCCAAAGAUGGACUGGCGCUCGGUGGAGGUGGUGGUGGUCGAAGCUGAUACUGCUGCUAGUACCCUUGUUGUCUACUUGGCAUAAAAUUGGACUGCCUAUUUCCUCCAUAACUGAAGUUGGGAUGGUCCCUCCAACUAGAAUUGUAGGUGUUCGAAUAUGGGUCAUAUUGAUUUCUUGGCGCGGGCGCAUGGCAAGCCAUGUUUACUUGUUCCGCAUUUUCUUCUUGGAUCAUUGGGUACAUUUCUGUAGAGUGACCCAUAGCAGUGCAAAUCCCAUACACCUUGGCCUGUGAUGCAUUUCUUACAGCCAAUUGCCUAACAAAAGAUGUUAACUCAGUCAACUGCUGUUGGAUAGAAGAUAUCUCUACCUCAUUCACCUUGCGUGUUGGGACAUCCUCCCUCGUACCAAAUUGCUGCGAAUUCUCAGCCAUUCCUUCAAUUAGCUCACAUGCUUCUCGAGGAGUCUUGUUCACCAGUGUCCCUCCACUUACAGCAUCUAUUAUGCUUCUGUCUCUAAAAAGUAGCUCCUCGUAAAAAUAUUGUAUGAGUAAUUGCUCGCUUAUUUGGUGCUGAGGGCACUUGAUGCACAAUUUCUUGAAUCGCUCCCAAUAAUCAUAGAGCGACUCUCCUAGAUGCUGUUUAAUACCGUAAAUUUCUUUUCUUAAACUUGCAGCUCUGGACGCAGGAAAAUAUUUGUCUAAAAAUUUUUUCUUCAACUGGUCCCACGUGGUGAUGCUAUCUGGUCGUAGGUAGUACAACUAGUCUUUUGCAUAGUCUUUCAAGGAGAAGGGGAAUGCCCUCAUUUUUAUCUGUUCCUCUGUAAUUUCCGGGGGUUUCAUGCUGUUGCAGACGACAUCAAAUUCUUGCAAGUGCUUAUAAGGCUCCUCACCUGGUAAACCAUGAAAAGAUGGCAGAAAAUGAAUUAGUCCAGAUUUUAAUUCAAAUGGGGUGUUAUCAUUUAAACUUGGGAAAGUAAUGCAUAAAGGCUGCCGAGUUAAAUCAGGAGCAGCCAACUCCCUUAAUGUUUGUACAUUAGCCAUAGUGACUUCUUCUUGAUCCGAGUCACUCGAAGUGUCACCAAACGAAUCUGUUGGGUCAACUUCAGGCUCAAGUCUCUGAGAUGCAGCACUUGAUUGCUCCUCUCUGAGCUGUCUGGUCUCUUUUCUCUUUCUACGCGCAGUCUUCUCUAUCUCGGGGUCGAAAAUUAAUUCACCUGUACGUAAAGAACGAGGCAUAUACUCGAGAAGCACCAGAAAAUUAGAACGAAAAUGAAUUUAAAAAGAAACAAAUAACUGACACCAGUCCCCGGCAGCAGAGCCAAAAAUUGAUAGGGUGUCGAAACCUGUGCAAUAAUAAAACUAAACCUAAUUGCCAGUUAAAAUAACUAAAACCUAAUUCUAAGUACUGGAGCAGGGACUCUAGAUGUGCAAUGGGUUACUUGAUUCAUCCUGUUAUCGAAGAGUUUGCUUGAUCCGAUAUACCCGAAUGGGAUAACUUUUUUUUUCAUAAAUAAUUAUGAAUUUGUAGACAUGGCAAGUAGGAUCGUAUCCUCAGGGAUUGGGGAUAUUUGUCUCUUAAGAAAUUCAAAGUAACACAGGAGGUGAUUUUGUAUAAACAACGACAAUCAAAAAAAAUUAAAUAAGAAAAUAAAAAUAAAUAACUAAUUAGAAAUUAAAUGACAAUUCACUAAACGUAGAGUAACAAUAAUUAAAGGUCUAAAGCAAUUAAAACAAGAAAACAAUUAAAAAUAAAAUAAAAUAGGCAACUAAAAAUUAAAUGACAAUUCACUAAAAUCAAGGUAAUAAUAAUUAAAGGUCUAGCCAAGAAAUAACUUCAGCAAUGGUUCACCUAAUUGAUUAUCGAUACACAAGCAGUUCCAAUUAUUUAUUAAUAAAUAAGUUAUAACUACCAAACAAGCGAUGACAGUCAACCUCUCCUUACUGUGUCGGUGAUUAAGGUACGCCCGUUAAUCACUACUCUAAUUGAGAAAUAAUUCUAAAUACGCCCAUAAGAUUUAAUUCCCCAAUUGCCUUACGUAUUAGAGGAGUCCUAUUCUAACCAAAUAAUGCACUACCAGGGUUAUUUCAGAUUAGUCCGCGUAUACCCCUGACACAAAUCCAAUCAUGCCAGUUGUCACUAUUUCAAGGUAAUUAAACAAUUACGGAUUUAAAUGCCCCAAUUGAUAAUAGAUUAUCAAAUUAACUAAUUAUCCGAAUCCAAGAUAAUCAAUUAAUUAAAUAAUCAUAAGUACUGCAAUCAAGGAAUAUGCGAAUACCAAUAAACAAAGGAAAAGAUAAAAUUAAAUCGAUUUCACAAUUUUAGGCGAACCAGAGCCUCCGUUAUUCCUUGACUAGAGUGAGGAAAUUAGUUCAUGUUUAAUGAGAACAAAACAUACGAAACUGAAGCAAAAGCUGCGGCCAUCUCCUGCGUUUGGGAAAUUUCAAUUUGCUUCAAACGAUGAUAGAAAGCGAAAACUGCCUAGAAUGAUUAAAUCCUUCAAUUGUUCCAGGCAUACGCGGCAGGAGAACCACAAAGGACGAAAAGCCAACGUCAAAUAGAAAAGCUGCGGGAAAUCAUUCAAUUGUGCCUAAUUGCUCCUGACAUAUGAGGAGACAAAAACUACUAAGAAGCAAAAGAAGGAAAAGUCAAAGGUACUCUAAAGUAGUGCUCAUCCUCUGCAAUUUCUAGUUUCUAUCUAAUAAAUCUUUUGAUGUGCGGCGGCUGCCCCUUCAAAAGGAAGACUUCGGCCAAAUUGCCCAAAAAGGGCUCGCGUAUCUUUUGUUCUCAAAAUGCUCCUGAAUGUCUUCUAUUUGAAUUCUUUCUCGAUGACUGUCAAAUUGGCAUUGGUUGUGGUAUUUUCGUUCUACUCCCUGAAAUAAUUACAAAAUUCGAAAAGUGAAUAGAAUCUAAUAAUUAAUCUAUAUCAGGUCAGGUAAUAGAGGAAAUUAAUAAUAAAAUAAAUAAUAAAAUCGCAACCUAUCAGAGAGCUAGCUGGGAAACUUGAUUUAUUAACUCUAUGAUUAUCCGUCUACUAGGGCUGCACUCAUUUUAUUACGUGGCUUCUGAUAUCGAUUUUUACAUUUCUUCUGACCUCUGAUUUGCCUCUUAUGUGGUAUGCACAUUUAAUUGACUUCAUAUUUCGUACCCACAGAUAAUCAAAGAUAUAACUGGGCGAUUCACGAGUUGAGUGUUUCUAAAUGAUAGUUGCACCUCUUCAUCACAUGAUUCUGGUUGCUGAUCAGAAUCCAAUCUUCUUCCAAUAGCUUCGUUUGGUUCAGAUUAUGUCUUUCUUUUGCCUUUCAAUCUUUGCAAUUUAAUAAUUGUUUCUUAGGUACUCUAUUAUAUAUCUGAUAGAGUGCAAGAAGAUAUGGUACUCUAUUAUAUAUCUGAUAAUAACAACGGAAUUGAUCGGGUCUUAAUUUGGCCAGGUCACGUGAAACCACAUGUUUUGCUUUUCAAGUACAUGUUUUGUGAGACUACGAGCCGGUUUAGAUUGUAGUUUUUGGGAACUUUUACAGAAAAAUAUAAUCGUACCAAGAAAAACAAAUUAAUCAAAGAUAUAACUGGUGAUUCAUGAGUGGAUAGAAGAAUUGAGUGUUUCCAAAUUGAUGAAGGAUAGAGUUUUUCUUAUGUUAUGGCUGCACCUCUUGAUUACAUGAUUCUGGUGGUUAUUGAUCUCUUUGAUUUGGAUUCCAAUCUUAUUCAAAUAUUUUUUAUUCUUUCAGAUUAUGUCUUUCUUGUGCAUUUCAAUCUUUGUAAUUUAACAAUUGUUUUUUAGAUUGGAUUUUGAUUCUUUUAGACUAAGUCUUUCUUUUUUGCAUUUCAAUCUUGCAAUUUAAUAAUUGUUUCUUAAAUUGGAUUUACAUUUUAGUUGUGGAGAGGCCCCUGAUCUGGAUUUGAGGGCUGACAAGUUGCAUUUCUACUCAAUUUCGGGUAUUUAGUAAUUUUAUAUUUUAUUACACCAUUGUUUCCAAGAUUGGAUUUUGAUUCUUUUAGAUUAUGUCUUUCUUGUGCAUUUCAAUCUUUGCAAUUUAAUAAUUGUUUCUUAGAUUGGAUUUACAUGUUUAGUUUUGAAGAGGCCCCCUGAUUCGAUUCGAGGCCUGACAAGUUGUAAUUGUACUCGAUUUCGGGUAUUUAGCAAUUUCAUAUUUUAUUACAUCAUUGUUUCUUAGAUUGGAUUUUGAUUCUUUUAGAUUAUGUCCUUCUUGUGCAUUUCAAUCUUUGCAAUUUAAUAAUUGUUUCUUAUAUUGGAUUUGCAUGUUUAGUUCUGAAGAGGCCCCCAUGAUCUCGAUUCGAAGCCUGACAAGUUGUAUUUCUACUCGAUUUCGGGUAUUUAGUAAUUUUAUAUUUUAUUACACCAUUUUUCAACUCAAUCACAUCAUAUUUCAAUAGUUGUUACACUAUUUUCCAACUCAAUUACAUUAAAAGGCAAACUUGUGAGACCCCAUCAGCCCUUGAGCCUAUUAAUAUUACACAUGCAGAUUCUAUUAUAAUAAAAGAAAAAUUGCCAAAUUAGUCACUUAAAUUUUCGGUAAAAACUUUUUUUAGCCCAUCAAAAUUAGAAUUUAUCAAAAUAGUCCAUCAAAUAUAAAAAAGGAAAGUGCCCUUUUAGUCCGCGAGCUCAUUUUUUGAUCAGUUUUCUAGCCAAAAAGUGCGUGCCUUUCUUAGGUACCCACAAUUUAAAUAGCAAAAUGGGAACACAAUUUAUUUUCUUCCCAAAAAAGCACAUGACAAUCAUAUGACCACCUCCUGAAAGAGUAAAUUACAGUUGACUUUUACAAUUUCUUGUUCGAUUUUGGAUCUAGUUAAUAAGAAUUAUGGUUCCUUUGCUAGAGGGGUGGUUAUGUGAUUGUUAUGUAUUUUUUUUAAAAGAAACUAAUUGUGUUUCCAUUUUGCCAUUGAUAUUGUGGGAACCAUAUAGAUGGUGCACUUUUUGGCUUAAAAAUGAUUGAAAGUGAGUUUUGGGACUAAAGGGGCACAUUUUUUAUAACUAAUUUGAUGUUUCUAUAUGAAUUUACACUAAAUGUAUUAAAAAUUAUACAAACUGAUUUGAACUAGAUGGAAUUUAACUUGCUAUAUAAGACAAUUUAUUAUGUACAAUAAUGGUUUCUGGAUAUCGAUUCUUACAUUUCUUCUGAGCUUUGAUUUGCAUCUUAUGUGACUGUACAUUGAAUUGACUUCAUAACUCGUACCGACAGAUAAUCAAUACUGCAACUGGGUGAUUCAUGAGUUGAUAAAGAAUUCAGUGCUCUUAAGUGGUAGUUGUACCUCUUGAUCACAUGAUUCUGGCUGUUGAUCUCUUCGAUUUGAACUCCAAUAUUUUUUUAAUAGUUUUUUAUUAUUUCAGAUCAUGUCUUUCGUGUGCCUUUCAAUUUUUACAAUUUAAUAAUUGUUUCUUAGAUUAAUACCUGUCUUUUUGAUGCCAUCGUGCUGAAAAGGAGGUACCAAUAAAGACAGACUUAAGAGUAAAUCAUAAUUGAGGACAAAAUUUUACUUCCUCAAGUACCAAUUCAAAUAAAAACAUUCAAAGUCACUUAGUAGAUGUAUGCUCUCAAACAAAAAAACUAUAUACCUUUAAAGCAAAAAAAAAAACACGUGCAACUGCCUGGCUGAGGUUUUAGAUUAUUAGUAAGGCUCCGAAAGACCUAACUUAGAUCAGUGUGUUUGGAUUGCAGAUUAUUUGGAAUAAUUUUUUAGAAAAAAAAUAUUGUAAUACUUUUUUAGAUGUGAUAUAUGUGAGAUAAAAAAGUGAUUGAAAAAUAUGUCGAUGAUGCAAGUAAAUAAAAUUUGGCAAAUAAUUUGAUGUCCAAACAAAUAUUAAUUUGAUGAUACCAAUGGAAUUUAUGGGGUCUUAAUUCAGCCAAGUCACGUGAAACCACUACAUUUUCAAUUUCAACUAUAUAUUUAGUGUGACUCAGGCCUUGUUUGAUAACCCGAUUUAGUACUUAAAUUUAAUGGAUUCAAAUUUUAAUAAAUUUAAACCAUUUGAUAAUGAAAAAUUAAACAUUUGAAUUAAUUAAGUGGUACUGAAUUUUUAAAGCAAAACUUGCUUCCAAAUUAUGUGAUAAGCUAUUCACUUAUCACUGAAUAUGAUAUGCACUAAAAUAUAUUAGAUUUAAUACUUAAUAAUUCAAUAACUUAAUGGAUUCAGACUUCAAUUUUAUCAAACGCAUCCUAAGAGUCGGUUUUGUUGAGUUUGACUUUGUAUCUCAUAUUGAAAGUUUUACAAAGAAAUAUCUCCUCUUGAUGGUUAUAAAUAUAGUGGAUUUAAUUGAGUAUAAUUGUGUUAAGGGCACCAGGCCAAGUGCCGUAUGCACCAGUCCAAAAGAGUUUUGGGGGCUCAUGCCCCAGUCUGAGAGGAGUUUUGGCUAAACAUCAAACCAAAAGAGCAAGUUAUGAGUCUUUGGCCCAUUAAAUAUUUUGUGCUAUUUAGACUCUUUUGUGUUUUUAGUGUUAGGUACCCUUUGGGCCUAGAAAUUAUUUCCUAAGGUUUUAUACUCUCUUGUUUGUACUCUCUUUUUAUUAUAGUAAAUCUGCUACCUCUUCGCUUGUGGACAUAGGUCUCUAUCUGACUUAUUUGUUUUUCUUAUUGUAAUUAUUGAAUUGUUAAGAACCCUAUUAUUUUCAUUGGUCAAUUUCUUCAGACCAGACCUAACUGAUAUAUUGUAGUACUUUUUAAAAGAUGUAUAUUACAAUUUUUUAGAGUUUUUAUGUAAAAAAAUAUAUUAUGAUACUUUUCUUAAAAUGUUAUGUAUAUAAAGUAAAAAUGUAAUUAGAAUAUAUAAUAAAAAAAAUUUCACGAAAAUUCACAAAAAUAUUCUGCAAAAAAUGCAAUCCAAACAAGGCCCUGGAUUUAGUGAGCUAGCGUUGGAUGCGUCGGCACUGGAACUCUAUGAUUGUCCAUCUACUUACUUUUAUAAUUAAGGUUUUCGGCUAAAAAUAAAAUAAUGUCUUAGGUACAACGUUGGUUUCUUGAGAUUGAUUCCGCAGCAACCAUAUAUUUCUUCCGAGCCCUAAGUUGGCUCGCAUGUGAUGGGUACUGUUUCCGCAUAGAACAAUUUGUUAUGUGCAAUAAUGGUUUCUGGAUAUAGAUUCUUACAUUUCUUUUGAGUUUUGAUUUGCCUCUUGCAUGAUGGAUACACCCAAUUGACCUCAUAGUUCAUACCUGCAGAAAAUAAUCAAAGAUAUAAUUGGUGAUUCACGUGUGGAUAAAGAUUUGAGUGUUUUUCUAAUUAAUAAAGAAUAGCUGCACUCUUGAUCACAUGAUUCUGGUUGUCGAUUUCUUUGAUUCUGAUGUCUUUCUUGUGCAUUUCAAUCUUUGCAAUUUAUAAUUUUUUCUUAGAUGGGAUUUACAUUUUUAGUUCUGGACAGGCCCCUGAUUUGAAUCUGGGGUUGUACUUUACUUGAUUUCAAGAUAAGUUACUAAUUUCACAUUUUAUUUAUUGCACUAUAUUUCAAAUCAAUUAUAGUAUAUUUAUACUUUUUUGUUAUACUAUUUUCCAAUCCAGUUACAUCAAAGAGCAAAUUUGUGGAAAAUAAAACUUGUGAGGCCCCUUCUGCCCCUGAUCCCAAUAAUUUUACACAUGUAGAUAAUAUUAUAAUAAAGGAAAAAUUGUCAAAUUGAUCCCUUCCAUUUUUGAUACUUUUUUUACCCUCUCAUAAUUAGAAUUAGCUAAAAUAGUCCUUUAAAUAUAAAAAAAAAUGCAUCCUUUUAGUCACAGAGCUCAUUUUUUAUUAGUUUUUGGCCAAAAAGUGCAUGCCUAGGAGCCCACAAUUUUGAUGGCAAAAUGGGAACACAUUUUAUUUUCUUCCGAAAAAAAAAAGCACAAGACAAUCAUAUGACCACCUAUCGAAUAGAGAAUCCUAAUUUUUAUCCACCAAACUCGUAAUCGAACAUGAAAGAGUAACCUACAAGUGACCUUUAUGCGUUCUGGUUCAACUAUGGGUUAGGUGGAUAAGAAUUAGGGUUCCUAGAGAAGUGAUCAUGUGAUUGCCAUCGGUUUUUUUUUUAAGUGAAAUGAAUUGUGUUCCCAUUUUGCCAUUGAAAUUGUGGGAACCUAAAACACAGUGCGCUUUUUGACUUGAAAACCAAUAAAAAAUGAGUUCUGAGACUAAAUGGGUACAUUUUUAUUUAAUAUCUAAGAGACUAAUUUGAUUGAUUUUGAAUGUGAGUGACUGAAACAUGUUUAUUAAAAAUAUGAGAGACUAUUUUGACAAAUUUUGAUAUGAUAAAGAUUGACUGUAACAGCCCCACUUUCCCCUAAGGCGAACCAAAGGGGUUAGCGGACUGCCUGCCCAGCUCUCGCCAGGACUAACGGAUCAGUUUACGUCGAUCUAUUACGUUCCGGAACAUACCAACGUGCGCAAAUAUGUCAAAAUCACAAAAUAAAUAAAAACGAAAUUUCGAAGCCGUAGAUGAAUAGUGCUGGACACGUCAGAAUCCAGAUACUAGGCCGAGAGUAGCCAAAAUUUUUCUUUCGCCGUUUGAAAUACGAGUUGAUCCAAAAUUCAACCAAAUAUCAACCAAACAUACACACAUUGAAAUGUAACAUUUUCAAGCCAAAACGGCAUAUCAAAAAUCAUUCACUACGAAUAUACAUGUUCGGUUUGCCAAUCAAAAGAAAGUGAACCCAAUACACAUUAGGGUUUCAUUCGAAGAGCUAUCCAAAAGAUGCAUUUACAUGAGUUCAACUUGACAACCAACAAGUAUAACCUUUCCAAAAGUGGUCAUUUUCCUGUAAGGAAAACGAAUGGAACGGAAUGAGCUUAAGCCCAGUGAGUUACUACCACAUAAGCACAAGGAUCAUAUAAGCAUAAUCUUUCAUUUCGAGUACACAAUUAAGAAUUAAAACAAGUCGGUAAAAGGAUACGGAUGGCUCUCAAGAGCCCAUUUCCACGCUUACAUUCUUGAUCCAAUCUCAUUGACCCUCCGUCAAUGUUUAAGAAUACCCGACCGUAGACCUCACUUCACUCCAUUCCUUCCACCAAACAUACCCCAACCGGGCCCGCACUCCAAUCAGUCAUUUUGGUAAUACUCGAGUAUACCGGAACCAAGAGUCUCAUUACUACAAGAUUCCCAUUUCAGUCCCCGUGGCUAGUCAAUUUCCACGACCAAGCCCUCGCUGGCUCGAUUCAAAUGACUACCAACGGGGUCGAGCUCAGUAGUACAGUAGGGCCGUUGGAUACUCGUCCAACCGACACCCAAACAAUAUCAGUACAGUAAUUCAUAUAGCAGUACAGUAAGACAGUGAAACGGUAAACAGUCAGUCACAAGAAUAAAAGGAAUGAGGGCGGUCAAGUACACCUUCACCCUAAUCAUUUCCAAUAGUCAAACAAGCCAUCAAGGCAUCACAUUAGCAUAUAGCAAAGCCACAUUAUAAACAUCCAGGUGAGUAGUAUACUCACCAAGUAAGCAAGUGAGGUUUCAUGCACCGUCGUCCCUAGUACGUCGUGCACUAACGUCACGCCCUAGAACAUGUAAACAAAUACCAUAAGACUCGAUAACGAGUCAACAAGCCAAGCCAAUUAUAACCCAAUAGGGUUUCAUAUGCAUAAACAAGCAUAAUAGCAAACCAGAAAUUUCAGCAAAUGGAACUCAUUUGAUCCAACAACAAAAACAGUUUUCGCCCCGAAUGCGGUAAUGGCACAAAAUGCGCUACACUUAUCGGAUGAGGGCGUAAGACCCACCAUAUCGAAGCUAAAAGACAGGGCUACAACAAUGUAGAAGGCCACUCAGUCCAAAUCCUAGCACAACUAGGUCAAAAAUGCAGAAAACCAAGCCAGAACCGUAAUUGCAGGUUCCCAGAUCACACAAAACUGUAAUUCGUCUAUCUCAGUCUAUACAGGUCCAAAUUCAUUGAUUCCAAAGGCAUAUGAUAGCUAAUACAUCAAGCUACAUUUCAUCAGAAGACACCAACAACAAAAUCCAAACCAAUUCCAGUCAAAACAGACGAUUACAAUCGCAGUUCGCACAUUCUGAUCACCCAGAACAGCAACAGUAAAAACGACAUAACUCACUCUACACUACUCCAAAUGACCUGAAAUUUACAGGCAUCUCAACCACAUCAAUACCUACAACUUUCAUGUUUUGAGAAAAAGCCAAUUCGGCCUCUAAGCCUGAGAUACAAAACCGGACAGAAUUAGGGGUUAUGAAACCCUAUCUUUUCACAAUUCAUUCCAAACCCAAAAUUGAUUGCAAUUAUCAACAAUUCACACCUACUAGUGUCAUUAUAGGCCAUUGCCAAUCAUCAUAAACAACCACACCAUCAUAAUCCAAUUAAACCAGAAAAAUCAUCAAUAAAAUAAAAACUUCACCAAAUCACUUCAACCAAGAUAAAAACCAGAAAUUUCAGCACUUUAAUCACUAAUAAGCAUAACUUAAGCUUCAUAAGGUAUAGGAGGGUAGUCAAUCACCACUUACCAAGUAAACAAGAGAGAGGAAGAUGUUGGACACCUUAAGUUCUCCAAAAAGCUUCACCAAAACACUCACUAACACCAAGUGGAAGGAUUUUAUGGAGUAAAAACUAAUUUAGGCAAGUAGUUUGGAUGAUUUGAGCUAGGAAUUUGCCAAGAUGUUGAAGAGUUUUGUCUUUCUUCUUGCUAGAGAGGGCCGGCCAUUAAGGGGUGAAAAAUGGUAAUUUUUUUGUGAAUUUUGAAGAUAUUUAAUCCAUAAGUCAAAAGGUCAAAACCAUGAAUAGUAGUCUUAAGUCCUAACCAAUAUCAUGGUGACAUGUGGCCCUACAAUAAAUGCAUUCCUAUCCUUUUCUCUCUCACAUCAAUCAUUUCACACACUCUACUUAUCUCUUAACACCCGAUAAAUUUUACAUAGUAUCCGGAAUUUAAUCUUAUUGACCGAAUUUUUUCAAACUUUUCGCACUAGUGGGUCCCACGUCCAUAAUCUAUUCUUAAUUUUCUAAAAACUCUCCACUACUAGAAAAAUCAUCUAAAAACUAUAAUUACUCAUAAAAUCCAUCAAGAAAAUUUUCCUAAGCCAGAAAAUGCAGAAAACAAGCAAUUAAAGGGGAAAAACCCUAGGAAAAUUCUUAGGGCAAUACGGGUUCUCACAUUGACCACUUUUUCUAGGAGUUUGGACCUUAUCCAUUUCGAAGUAUUACUAUUUUGAUCCUUUAUUUUUAUAGUUUUACUCAAUUUACACUGUUUAGCUCGUUUCCAUAAGGAAUUUUCUUUCUGGGAUCUACAAGGAAAAUCAAGGGGGCUAAUGGAAGACUUGCACGUGUGAAGCAGCAUGCCUAUUGCACGACAAAUUUUGCUCUUUUAUUAUGGGGCAAAAAAAAUGGUGGCCACUAAACUAUUUCUUGCAUCUAAUUGUGAUUAUCAAACUAUUUUUGGUCUCAAUUUAACCACUCAACUAAUUAAUCAAUAUACCCUUGGUCAUUUCAUCGGAUUUUGCUUUUAAUUUACAAAUAAACCAAACACGUGCAAAUCAAGUGUAAAAAAUUUAAGGGUAAUCAUAUCCACUAAGUUUCUCAAUCCGAAUCUAAAAAGUCCAAUAGCCACUAAACUACUCUUCUCGUACUCUUUUGGCCAUUCAAAUAUUUUUUGUUUCAAUAUAAUCACUAAACUCUUAAAUUAGUAUACCAGUAGUCAUUCCAUCAAAUAUUUCUGUUAAUGCUAAAGGAAUGAGUUCCAUGUGCAUUUCAUAUACCCAAAACAAGAACAAUUUCGUAAGGUCAAUUUUUUAGAUUUUUUCCCAUCUAGGGUUUUAGAUUUUUAAUUAACAAAAAAGUUUAGAAGGUUUAAUAGUUGCUUUAAUAUAUUCUAAUUUAUAAGUUUUGACAAACAAUGUAAAUUAUAUGUUCUAAUUCUUUUAAAUUAUUUCCAAGAAAUAGUAGAUUUAAUGAUAAAAUUUGAAUGAAAGCUCGCCAAUAUACUAUUUUGGUGAGUUGAGUGGCCAAUUUGAACGAAAGAUCACUAAGAAUAUAUUAUUUGUAUAGUUCAAUAGCUAUUUAAGACUUUUAUCUCAUAUAUUUGGAUGAACCCGCCUAUGGUUUUCAGUGUGUGCAGAGCACAUGCAACUCAUUCCAUUAAGUUUAACACCGAAUUUGGACAGAACGGCUACUUAUAUACAUAUUUGUGAGUUGAAUGACCAUUUUGAAUCAAAAAAUAAUUGAGUGGUUAAAAGUAUCCUAUUAGAGUAGUUUAGUGGCUAUUGAAAUUUUUUAUCUUCAAGUCAAGAAACUUAGUAGACACAUUUACCCUUAGAUUUUGACACGUGAUUUGCACAUGCUAAGUUUAUUUUGUAGAUUAAGAGCAAAAUCUGAUGAAAAUGGGCACAGUGUACUGAUUAGUUAGUUUUGAAUAGCUGAAUUGAGACAAAAAAUAGUUCGAUAAUCAAAAAUAGAUGUAGGAAAUAGUAUAAUGGCCAUCGGGAUUUUAACAUAUCUUUUGUAAAUAUUUUUCAAAUUAUAUAGUUAAGAAAAUAGAAUGAUAACUGGAUGCAAAAAGGAGUUUGCAUACUCUACCACAAAUUAAUUGGUAAGAUGCUUUACUUUUUUUUUUGUACGAUACGCUUUAUGUUGUAACCGAAAGUUUAGGGUUUGACUUAUUAAGAGGGCAAGAUAGUUUAAAAAAUAGAGUAAAUCUUAUAUAUACACUAAUAGAAUAUACAUUAUCACCGUUCGAUCCAUGACAUAUAUACAAAAAUUGAAUUUCAAAUUCAAAUUUUUUAUAAUUAUUAUUCAUCCAAUGCUGAUAGUGUAUAUAAUAUCAAUAUAUGAAACAUUAAUCCUAAAAACUAAGGUUUAAUUCCAUUUUUCACCCUCUGAUUAUUUCUCAAAUCUCUUUCUGGUCCCUAAAUUAUUAACUAGGACAUUUUGUCUUUAAACUUAAGCAAAAUCAUUAACGAAAUCUCCAAACUAAUAGGAUAGUAGUCAAGUGAGCAGCAUGUUUGCAUGUUGUGAGCGUAUAAAAAAAAUCAAAUUAAACAAGCCAAGAAAGAAUUCUAGAAUUAGAAGGAAAAAAUAAAUUUACAAACCAAAGUAGGAAUCGGAGUAUACCAAAGAACUAAAGCAUACUUAACUUGGUUGUUGACUUAAACAAAUCAUUUUGUGAUUUGGAAGAGAACGUAAGUGGAUUAGAGGAAGUGAUGACAGCUCAAAGGAGUUUGAGGGAACUCGCAACUCCAAAUGUUAACUAGCAGCCAUUAUAUAUCACAUAUCUUGAAACUGAUGAAGCUUUCGAACUUAAAUCUAGUUUAAUUCAUUUAUUACCUACUUUUCGUAGUAUUGCAGGCGAAAACCCACACAAAAUUUUGAAGGAGUUUCAUGCAGUGUGUUCAACUAUGAAACCUCAAGGUAUUAUGGAAGAACAAAUCAAGCUAUGAACUUUUCCUUUUGCUUUGGCAGACAAGGCUAAAGAUUGGUUGUAUUACUUGCCAUCGGGAUCUAUAACCACAUGGGAAGGACUUAAAAAGCAGUUUCUUGAGAAGUUAUUUCCGGCUUCUAGGGCAGCUAACAUUAGGAAGGACAUAUGUGGUAUAAGGCAAACCAUAGGGGAAUCCAUCUACGAAUACUAGGAGAAGUUCAAACAACUGUGUGUUAGUUGCCCACAUUACCAAAUAUCCGACCAGCUAUUGAUUCAAUAUUUUUAUAAAGGAUUGCUACCUAUGGAUAGAAGCAUGGUAGAUGCAACUAGUAGUGGUGUUCUAGUCAAUAAAACUGAUAAGUGACUAAUUUACGUAAUAAUUGAAUGACAUUUUAUGUUAUUUUUAGUCACUUUGGUUAUAUUAUUGGAAGAAAAUGAAUCAUUUUGGCUAUAAUUGGGAAAAAAUGUUCUUAAGUGAUUAAAUGAGGUUUUUAUCACUUUUACUUGCAUUUUGUGCAUUUUUGACAGUUUUGACACAUUUUAGUAUUUCGGCUAUAACUUGAGCUAUAGCGAUCGGAUUGAGAUGAUUCUUGAACCAAUUUGAAUAUAAGAGAUAGAUCUACAACUUUGGUGAAAACAUUGAAAUCCAGUUUGAAGGUUUUCUAGAUCAAAAAGCCGAAUUACAGUUUCUAAUUUCUAUUGGUUGAAGCUGAAAUAGGGCAUUGAGCAGUCAAGGGUAUUUCAGUCAUUUUUCAGCCUACACAAAUCCAAAUAAGGUGAUUCUUGAUGCAUUGGAAAGCUAACUCAAAGUGCUACAAGUUUUAUAUUUUGGUUAAGAGUUAAAUCAGCUUCUAUCAUCAAUAAAAGUUCAGUUGAAAUUGAGGCAAAAUCGGAGCAGAGCUGGAAAUUGAAUAGAAAAUGCAUAAAAGGUCACUGUAGCAAUCCAGCAGGAAAUUGGCCAGAUUUCUAGCCGGAUUGUGGUCAGAAAAAGCUGCUCUCUAUGCGGACAGCUUGUUUUCACCUCCAACAAGUAACAUGUAAUGCUAGACAUGUGACAAACACUUUGCAGCUGUAAAAGGGAGGUGUAAGCCUCAUUCCUUGACCACCUUUAUCUUUAUAUAGCCAAAACCAUUCCAAGAUUGAGAAGAGAGACAUACAGGAGAAGAUUGGAGUCUACAGAAAUGUAGCUCUUCCAUUUUCUGUGUGUUAGAUUAGUUUAGUAUAGAGUGGUAUAGCUCAUCCACUCUUGUAUAUUGGCUAGAUUAGGAUGAAGAUUGAGAUGAAGAAGGAGGAGUUGAAGCUCAUGUGAUAAGGGUUAUCUCUUCUCCAACUCUUUAUCUUUUGUACUUGAUUCUAAGUUUAGUUAAUAUACAAGUUCUGGAUUUUAUAUUUAUUAUGUGUUUAUAAAGUUUAUGCCUUGGGUAUGGUUGAACUUCUUAUGAUUGUUAGUGUUUAUUACUUGGCUAUUUGAUGCUAUUACUUGAGCAAGUUAUUUGGCACUUAAGAUCUCUAAAUCAUGAUUAAUCUGGUACCAUUGAUUGUGAUUAUCUAAGGUGCUGUUUCUGCAAUGAAAAUUGAGAUUUAACAUUGGUUCAAUAAGUGCUAAACAUAGGGAGUACACUCACGAGAGUAGAGGUACACCUAUGUGGUUUUGGUGAUUAAUUUCAUGUAAUUUCAUUGAAGAAAUGAACUUGUAGCUAAUUUCAUAACCAUGAGAAUAGGUAUGGAUUAGUUAUAAAUAUAAUUGAUUCACUAUGAAAGUAGGAUUCAUAUGCAUAAGAAAAUUACACCAUAACUAGCCUAGAUAGUAGUACUCAAUGAUCAAAGGGUAAAAAACAAAAAAGCCUAUGUGGUAAACCUAAUACACAGAAAAGCCCCCCAUGGUUUCAAAAUAUACAACACGACCCCUCAUGCUUUGAACUAAAUUGUAAAGGUGACGGAAUCCGUUAAAGUUAACGGAAAUGGACAAAAUGACCAAAAUACCCUGAUAUAAUUAAGCAAAAGACAGCUCAAAAAGAUCAUUUGUUUUAUUCUCUAAAUAGAGAGAAUUGAGGGUUAAGGGGUAGAAUAGGUAUAUUUGAUAAAAAUUAAGUAUAAAAUUUUUUUUUUAGGUUCCAAUAAGUCAUUUCCGUUAAAUUUAACGGAUUCCGUCACCUUUACAAUUUAGUUCAAAGCAUGAGGUAUCGUGUUGUAUAUUUUGAAACCAUAGGGGGCUUUUCUGUGUAUUAGACUUACCACAGGGGGCUUUUUUGUUUUUUACCCAUGAUCAAAAUAUAGCACUUGCAUGAGUAGUAAGGGAUACCAUAACCUAAGGAGCUUUCAAUUGUUAUUUUGCAUAAGUUUAGGAGGUUUCAUUUCUUAUAUUUCAUUGAUAGUCUAAAUAAUAGAGAAGUUUUAAUAGUGCCGGUAAUUGUUCAAUCUUCCUCAUGGGAUCGACCUGAUAUAUACCCUAAACUAUUAGUUGACCUGUAUACUUGCAGUGAAACGGGUGUAUUUCAAUUUUUUUUUUAACUUGUACGUAUAGCAAAACCCCAUCAAAUUUUUGGCGCUGUUACCGGGGAAGAUUUGGCAAUAUCGGUGUGAAGAGCAACUUUAUUAGUUUAGACAUUUUAUUAGUUAUCUAAUGUGAAUUGAAUGUUAUUUUCUUUUAUUUUAAUGUUUUCUGUGUGAAUCACCUAUUCUUCUUAUUAAUUUUGCUCUUAAGUUAUUUAAAAGAAAUUUUAGAUAAUGAGAAGGGUAGGUCAAUUUGGAGUACAAUGCUUGAGAAAUGGAAGAUUGACAAUGGAUGGUUACCAAGUGCAAAGCUCCUUCAAUAGAGGUAACCAAGAAAUUACUGAAGGUAUGUCUUUUGAAGAUGAUUUGAAAUGCUUAAAGGCAAAAUUUGAUGUAAUUAUGUUACAAGUUCAAAUGGACACAAUUAUGCAUGAAAUUGAGUAAAGGAGAAAUGUUAAUACUUUUAACUCUUAUCAUAUGAUUUGUGACUUGUGAGGAGGUUAUCAUGCUACUAAUACAUGUAUGCAAGCAUAAAAUGUGGAUUAUUAUGAUGAAUUAGAGCAUUACAAUCCUUGUUUUGAUCAAUAUAGUGCUAAUUGAAGCAAUUCUUAUACUUAUGGUUGGGAUAAUCAAGGUGCUCAUAGUGAUUCUUCAUAUUUUUGUGAUUACCAACUUAAAAGUGUCCAAAAUGAAUCAAAACCAUCCUGGGAGUUAGCUAUAGAAAAAUUAGCUAAUGUGACUUUCGACCAUUUUGAUAGGAUUGAGGAAAGAAUAGAUGAAUUAGCUUCUCACUUUGGUAGAAUAAAUGAGCAAUUGAAUGCAUUGUGUGUAGUUAUUUCUUCUAAUAAUUUGCAAAAUGAUCCUAGCAUGAAUGGUGGGAAUGUUGUAUGUGAAAAUGAAUUACAUUUUGAUGAAAAUGAUGAAUCUCAAUUGUGUUUCAAUGAGCAAAUGUCCAUUUUACAUGAUAAUAUCUUUGGAACUAACCUUGAACCUCAAGAGGUGAGUUUUAAUGACUCAUUUUUCACCCUUAUUGAGGAGUGCAUUGAAAGGAGGCAACCCAACGAUUUCUUGUUUUUAGUAGCUUUUAAGUUGUUUAAACUAGUAUUUUUGUGUGUUUUAUAGGUGGCAAUGGCAAGUGUUCAUGCAAAUUAUUUCAACUGCAAAAGAGUUUAUAAGGAGUGGAGACCGAUAUGAAAAAGCGAAUCUUAACCUUUAUUUUUGAGUUUACAAUGCUUGAUUUCAUGAUAUGAGGUUAAGUCAGUCUUUUGCAUGAAGUUGAAGUGUAUUCAAGUGUUUAAAUGUGUUCAUAACCUAUUUGCACUCUUUUGAACCAUUUGAGCACCACCAUGUGCAUUGGAAGUGUCAAGGGGACUAUUUGAUCCAAGAACCUCAACCCUCAAAUUGCAUUCUACAUGUUUUUGAUUUGUUUUGAGGUGUUGAGAUUCAUAUUUAAGUCACUUUUCAUGUGUUUGAAGUGUUGAAUUGUUAAAAAUUUCAUUGUAGAGCACGAAUUGGAGAGUGCAUUUCAAAUUGGGGUCAAACUGAAAAUUGCAGAAAUUUGUGCAAUAAGUCCAGAUUCAAUGGAUUCGAGGCCUCGGAUCUACUUCUGCAAUCAGAAGAUUUUUUACAGCAAAAUCCGGCUAGAAAUCAGGCCAAAUUUUGGUCGGAUUCACGGCCAGAUUAACAGGGGAGGACAACAAAAUUUUUCUAGCUCACUGGCCAGAAUCCCUCCACGAAUCCCUCCAAUUUCUGGUCGGAUAUGAACAGUAACCAGCAUAAGAGGAAUCUGUGAACGGAUUUCUCACAUUUUCCCUUCCUUUCUUCUUCAACCUACACACACACUCACACCUAAAACACACACUACUCACCAAAGUCCCUCUUUUCACCAUCAAAUCUUCAAACUAACUUUACCAAAACACUUGCCCUUACCUCUAAAGUUGAUUUCAUAGCUUACACUUGUAGAUUAAGAUGCAUGUUACCUGAUAAAUGACUAAUUUACGUAAUAAUUGAAUGACAUUUUAUGUUAUUUUUUGUCAUUUUGGUUACAUUAUUAGAAGAAAAUGAAUCAUUUUGGCUAUAAUUGGGGAAAAAUGUUCUUAAGCGAUUAAAUGAGGUUUUUAUCACUUUUACUUGCAUUUUGUGCAUUUUUGACAGAUUUGACACAUUUUAGUAUUUUGGCUAUAACUUGAGCUACAGUGAUUGGAUUGAGAUGAUUCUUGAACCAAUUUGAAUAUAAGAGAUAGAUCUACAACUUUGGUGAAGCCAUUGAAAUCCAGGUUGAAGGUUUUCCAGAUCAAAAAGCCGAAUUACAGUAGCUAAUUUCUAUUGGUUGAAGCUGAAACAGGGCAUUGAGCAGUCAAGGGUAUUUCAGUCAUUUCUCAGCAUACACAUAUCCCAAAUGAGGUGAUUUUUGAUGCAUUGGAAAGCUAACUCAAAGAGCUACAAGUUUUAUGUUUUGGUCAAGAGUUAAAUCAGCUUCUAUCAUCAAUAAAAGUUCAGUUGAAAUUGAGGCAAAAUCGGAACAGAGCUGGAAAAUGAACAAAAAUUGCAUAAAAGGUCACUGUAGCAAUCCGGCAGGAAAUUGGCCGGAUUUCUAGCCGAAUUGUGGUCAGAAAAGGCUGCUCUCUACGUGGACAAUUUUUUUUCACCUCCAACAAGUCACAUGUAAUGCUAGACAUGUGACAGACACUUUGCAGCUGUAAAAGGGAGGUGUAAGCCUCAUUCCUUGACCACCUUUAUCUUUAUAUAGCCAAAACCAUUGCAAGAUUGAGAAGAGAGACAUACGGGAGAAGCUUGGAGUCUGUAGAAAUGUAGUUCUUCUAUUUUCUCUGUGUUAAAUUAGUUUAGUAUAGAGUAGUAUAGCUCAUCCACUCUUGUAUAUUGAUUAGAUUAGGAUGAAGAAGGAGGAGUUGAAACUCAUGUGAUAAGGGUUAUCUCUUCUCCAACUCUUUAUCUUUUGUAUUGGAUUCUUAAGUAUGGUUAAUAUGCAAGUUCUGAAUUUGUGUUUAUUAUGUAUCUUUAAAGUUUAUGCAUUGGGUUUGGUUGAACUUUCUAUGAUUGUUAGUGUUUAUUAUUUGGUUAUUUGAUGCUAUUAUUUGAGCAAGUUAUUUAGCACUUUAACUCUUUAAAUCAUGAUUAAUCUGGUACGAUUAAUUGUGAUUAUCUAAGGUGUUGUUUCUGCAAUGAAAAUUGAGAUUUAACACUGGUUCAAGAAGUGCUAAACAUAGGGAGUACACUCACGAAAGUAGAGGUGCACCUAGGUGGUUUUAAGUGAUUCAUUUCAUGUAAUUUCAUUGAAGAAAUGAACUUGUACCUAAUUUCAUAACCAUGAAAAUAGGUAUGGAUUAGUUAUGAAUAUAAUUGAUUCACUACGAAAGUAGGAUUCAUAUGCAUAAGGAAAUUACACCAUAACUAACCUAGAUAGUAAUACUAAAUGAUCCAAAUAUAGCACUUGCAUGAGUAGUUAGGGAUACCAUAACCUAAGGAGCUUUCAAUUAUUAUUUUGCAUAAGUUCAGUAGGUUUCAUUUCUUAUAAUUCAUUGAUAGUCUAAAUAAUAGAGAAGCUUUAGUAGUGCCGGUAAUUGUGCAAUCUUCCUCGUGGGAUUGACCCGAUACAUGUCCUAAACUACUAAUUUGACCUGUAUACUUGUAGUCAAAUGGGUGUAAAUCGGAUUUUAACAUGUAUGUAUAUUAAAAGCCCGUCAAGUGAGAUUUUUGGGGGGCUUCUUCACCAUUUGCAUCCAUAAUAAUCAACCAACAAGUUUGAGGUAACAAAUCUUCACAAAAUGUUGUCAUUUGAAUUUUGCUAUUUAUCAAUUUUUUCUUAUUUUGGGUAAUUUCGAAUUUUUUUCAUUUUGUGAAGUUUGAUGCUUUUUAUUAUGCUUAUUAAGUUUAUUGAUGAUUAUUGGUGAUGUUUAACUCAUGGGUUUGUGAUUAUUUGGUGAAUUUAGCAAUUUUUAGCUAAUUUUGAGGAUUAAUUUGAUUUGGUAAUUAUUAGCUAAAUUCUUGGGCUAAUUGGAUUAAGAAAAAAUGGAGGAGAUUAAUGGAUUACUCUAGGAUAUUUACAUGCUAAAUUUAGGCUUAAUUGGCUUAUCUUUUGAUUUUUGGCAUGCUUAUUCUAGAAAUGUUGGUGAAAGGGAGAAUUAAUGAUUUUUUUUAAUGGUUAAAGUGUUAUUAACACUUAAUUAUGCUUAUUUAGGUCAUUUGGGAGUAAGUUGUGCAUUUGUUUAAUUGCUUCCUCUAAUGGGCUUUAUAUGCUUAAAUGUUUCAAUUUAAAAAAAAAAAUAAAAGGAGCACUUGUUGAUUGAUAAUCAAUUGUGAUGCUUACUUAUGGUGUUAAUUGCUAAUUAUUAUGUAAGUAAGUUGAUAAGUUUGUCUCUUUAAAGAUAAAGGUAAAUGAGUGUUUGUUAUCUUUAUAUAGCAAUGUACCUAUUAAAUGAAAUUAAUGUUUAAUAAUUGAAUUUAGGUACAAUGGCUCGCACUAAGAAAGUUGGGGUAAAAUCUUCCCCUCCCAAUAGGAGAGGUGAAGCUUCGACGUCUAGACCACCGUGCAUGAAAUAAAAAGCAAGUAGACGUCUUGUACUUGAAGACGAACUCUUGUCCGAAGAAGAGACUCAACAACAAGAAAUUCAACAAGAGGAACAAGAGGAGCAAGUUCCUUAUGAUAGGUCGCGCUUCACCUCCGUCGAAAAUGAACUUGGUAUAAUUUGAGGAGGGGAGCUAAGGUGCUGGUUGAGAAGGAUGUCACUCCGGUUGUUGAGGAGGUCUACCAUCUCAAGACUUGCUUUGCCAAAUUGGGAUGGGAGAAUUUCUUCAACAUCCCAAAAUUUUAUUAUGAGGAGCUUGUCCGAAAAUUUUACGCCAAUGUGGAAGGCAAGAAGGCUUUUCACUUCGACACAGAAGUGAUUACAAGUACAGUGCGAGGAAGAAAAGUUCAACUCCAUAGAGGUCAUUUGGAAAGCUAUCUUCAAGUUUCUGACGUGGGAUAUAAGGUUGAUUUGAAGAGAGCAUUCAAACUGCGCGAUUUGGACUCUUGGAACAUGCUAGAGGCACUUGUACGCUUGGGAGUUGAGUACAAAUCGACUCAGAAGACUGGGCGAUAUUCCGUAUUGACUUCAUCAUUUCCGGAGUUGCACCACCUUCUCAUCUAUUUGUUUGCCUCCAACAUUAUUCCAAGGGCAAGUGGAACCAAUGAAACACGCACAAGUGAUAUCUAUUUCUUGGAUAAGAUGGAGUAUGGUCUAGGCAACAUCCAAGGCAUUCCAUUGGGAAGCGUUAUCGUCAACCACAUGUGGGCUGUGGUUCACAGUAACGACGUCAAACACGCUUUCCCAUAUGCUCGCUUCUUGACCUUGGUGUUUCAAAGGGCUGGAGUGGAUUUCUCAAUGCUAUCCCUAUAUGCCUCAAGAAGAAGGACAUCUUCAUAUUGGAUUUUUGUAGGUUUCUUUUGAAAAGCAAAGACAGAGGUGGUCCUUCAACUCAAGGAGAUGCUCAAGAUGACAUUCGGCAAGAGGAAGAAGCUGAAAUUGCACGUAUUGAAGAAACUCAAGGUGUGGAGACCACUGCCCAACCAACCGAUCCUUCCUCUUCCCGUCGCCCAUCUUCACCUCAGGACACUCGAUCAUUUCUUAAGAAAAUAAUGGAUAAGCUGCUUUGUGCCGAGGCCGAGGUGAAGAAGAGUAGACAAGAGAACAAACGGAAUUCCGAGCAUCUUCGUCGCAUCGAGGCCAAACUUGGUAUUGAAGCUCCUCCGACUUCACCCUCUUCACCUGACCAAGCGACUACUUGAGGGAGUGCUCGUCACCACUUGACAUUGCCGCUAGCUUUUCUUUUAUUUUCUGUAGUGCUUGUGAUGUUUACUUUUUAGUGGUUUUCCUUAUUUCUUUUGUGUGAACUAAUCCAAGUGAUCUUCAUCUCUGUUGUGGUUUUAAUGAUUUCAAACUUUUUAAGGUUGGAAAUUCAUCACUUGGCCAUGGAUUUGGAUUGCACAAGUUCAUAUGAGCAGUAUUUUCUUUACUCUUUAUUUAUUCUCCUUUUCUCACAUUGAGGACAAUGUGAAGUUUAAGUGUGGAGGAGCAAAAAUUUGAACUUUCCCUUUAAUGCUAUUUGAUGAUAUUUUGUGGAUUUAAAUGAUUAGAAAUAUUGGAAUUGUGCUUGAAAAUAUUGCCAUGUGAAUAAUUUGCUUGAAAAUGAGUUUGUUGGCAGGUAGUUUCGUCCAUUUAUAAGGGAAAAUUCUGUCAACAUUUUUCUAAAAUCUUAUCUAAUAUUUCACUAUGGCUCAAAAAUUUCUCAAAUUUUUGCACUUUUAUUUAAAAAGGGCCAAUUUGUUCCAACUUUAAACGUCUAAUUCUUCCAUUCGUUGAAACGUUAUAUAUAUUUUGGAAGAUUUAUUGCUCAUUUGACUUGGAAAUGGUUAUUAUGUAAUUAGGCUUUUUGCAUUUUAGAAAGUAUAUCCGGUAAAGUGAGAAAAAUUAUGCCUAUAAUUUUGCAUGUUUAAUGAGAUUUCUCCUCUUUACUUAAUUUUCCAAAUAAGUGAUUGAUAUAGUUGAUAAAAGGUUAUACUCCUCCUUUGAUUAUUUUUAUAUAAUUUUGUAUGAAGGAAAAUCUAUUUAUUUUACAAAAAAAAAGAAAAAAUAAUAAUAAAAAAGAAAAAGAAAAGAAAGGAAAUAAAAAAUGUUCUACGCCAAUGAUUCUUGUACCGAGUAACAGGGGGUUGGCAUCUACAAAUGUCGACAUUCACGUAAAAAGAUACUUGAAUUAAGAGUAUGCAUAGCAAUUUAAAUAAGUGAAAUAUUGAGUAAUUGGGGAUUUUUACCUAAAAGUGCGAUUUUCGCGUCAAAAGGCAUUUUCACUAUUUAAGUAAAAUCAAGUAAGAAUAAGUCCCUCUUAGUUGUAAAAUUUUGAGAAAAAGAUGAUUAUAGGAGGAGAAAGGCUUUAAAUUGACUAUGUGAUUUGCUUACUUGUGAAAUUAGGUUAGGGUGAGAGAUUAAGUUUAACUUGUUGAAUUUAAGGCAUAAUUAUCUUUCCUUUACUUGAUAUUCUGAGUAUUUAGUGUAAAUUGAACAAUCGUAUAAUGAUUAUUUGCCAAGUCAUGAGGAAUUAAAUUUGAAAAAGUGCAUAUAUGGUUUCACCUCUUGAACCAUUGUAGUUGAUUAUGUGUGGAUUGCUUGAGGACAAGCAAUGAUUCAAGUGUGGGAGAAUUUGAUAUGUGACUAGUUUACAUAAUAAUUGAAUGGCAUUUUAUGUUAUUUUUAGUCACUUUGGUUAUAUUAUUGGAAGAAAAUGAAUCAUUUUAGCUAUAAUUGGGGAAAAAUGUUCUUCAGUGAUUAAAUGACGUUUUUAUCACUUUUACUUGUAUUUUGUGCAUUUUUGACAGUUUUGACACAUUUUAGUAUUUCGACUAUAACUUGAGCUAUAGCGAUCAAAUUGAGAUGAUUCUUGAACCAAUUUGAAUAUAAGAGAUAGAUCUACAACUUUGGUGAAGACAUUGAAAUCCAGUUUGAACGUUUUCCUGGUCAAAAAGCCGAAUUACAAUAGCUAAUUUCUAUUGGUCGAAAUUGAACUAGGGCAUUGAGCAGUCAAGGGUAUUUCAGUCAUUUAUCAGUCUACACAAACCCAAAUGAAGUGAUUCUUGAUGUAUUGGAAAGCUAACUCAAAGAGCUACAAGUUUUGUGUUUUGGUCAAGAGUUAAAUCAGCUUCUAUCAUCAAGAAACGUUCAGUUGAAGUUGAGGCAAAAUCGGAGCAGAGCUGGAAAAUGAACAGAAAUUGCAUAAAAGGUCACUGUAGCAAUCCGGCCAGAAAUUGGCCAGAUUUCUAGCCGGAUUGUGGUCAGAAAAGGCUGCUUUCUACGCGGACAGCUUGUUUUCACCUCCAACAAGUCACAUGUAAUGCUAAACAUGUGAUAGACACUUUGCAGCUGUAAAAUGGAGGUGUAAGCCUCAUUCCUUGACCACCUUUAUCUUUAUAUAGCCAAAACCAUUGCAAGAUUGAGAAGAGAGACAUAUAGGAGAAGAUUGGAGUCUGCAGAAAUGUAGCUCUUCCAUUUUCUGUGUGUUAGAUUAAUUUAGUAUAGAGUAGUAUAGCUCAUCCACUCUUAUAUAUUGGCUAGAUUAGGAUGAAGAUUGAGAUGAAAAAGGAGGAGUUGAAACUCAUGUGACAAGGGUUAUCUCUUCUCCAACUCUUUAUCUUUUGUACUUGAUUCUAAGUUUAGUUAAUAUACAAGUUCUGGAUUUUAUGUUUAUUAUGUGUUUUUAAAAUUUUUGCCUUGGAUAUGAUUGAACUUCUUAUGAUUGUUAGUGUUUAUUGCUUGGCUAUUUGAUGCUAUUACUUGAGCAAGUUAUUUGGCACUUAAGAUCUCUUAAUCAUGACUAAUCUGGUACUACUUAUUGUGAUUAUCUAAGGUGUUGUUUCUGCAAUGAAAAUUGAGAUUUAACAUUGGUUCAAUAAGUGCUAAACAUAGGGAGUACACUCACGAGCGUAGAGGUACACCUAUGUGAUUUUGGUAAUUAAUUUCAUGUAAUUUGAUUGAAGAAAUGAACUUGUAGCUAAUUUCAUAACCAUGAGAAUAGGUAUGGAUUAGUUAUGAGUAUAAUUGAUUCACUAUGAAAGGAGGACUCAAAUGCAUAAGGAAAUUACACCAUAACUAGCCUAGAUAGUAGUACUCAAUGAUCAAAAUGUAGUACUUGCAUGAGUAGUAAGGGAUACCAUAACCUAAGGAGUUUUCAAUUGUUAUUUUGCAUAAGUUUAGUAGGUUUCAUUUCUUAUAUUUCAUUGAUAGUCUAAAUAAUAGAGAAGCUUUAGUAGUGCCAGUAAUUGUUCAAUCUUGCUCGUGGGAUCGACCCGAUAUAUACCCUAAAGUAGGGCUGUCAACGGGCCGGGUCCGGGCCGGAAUUCAUUAUUCUGGACCCGGACCCGAAUUACUAUGCCGGAUCCGGAUCCGACCCGUUUACCCGACGGGUCUUUUAUUCUAUGUUCCGGAUCCGGAUCCGGGUCUACCCGAACAAAUUUACCAAAAUUUAUAAUUUCUAAUAAAAAUGAGAAAAAAAUAUAUUUGUAAACUAAUUUCUAACUAAUGCAAAGAAAAAAUCAAAUAAGAAAAGAAAUCAAAUUAACUUUAUUAAAAUACAUCACCCUAAUCAAAUUAUAUUGAUAAAUAUAUAUUUUUUAAAUUAUUAAUUCAUUUAUAUCCGGAUCCGGGUCUAAUACGGGUCGGAAUACUAUAUUCCGUAUCCGACCCGUUUUUUUGUUUGACAAAACGGAUCCGGAUCCGGAUCCGGAAAACGGAAUUAAAUCCCUACCCAUACCCGCAAUAAUUUCAUGGAUCCGGUCCGGAUCCGGGUCUAGACCCGACCCGUUGACAGGCCUACCCUAAACUAUUAGUUGGCCUGUAUACUUGCAGUGAAACGGGUGUAUUUCAGAUUUUUUUUAACUUGUACGUAUAGCAAAACCCCGUCAAAAACAACAGAUGAAGCCACAAGGUUGAUUUCUAAUAUGGCUGAAGAUUCUCAACAGUUUGGUGCUAGGACAGAUGGAGUGACUAGAAGGGCGAAUGAGGUGAAUCAUUCUGGCCUUGAAAUUUGACUAUUUGAGCUAACUGCUUUGGUUCGCCAAAUGGCUGUAGGGCAAUUGCAGAUAGCUAAACUAUGUGGGAUUUGUACUACUCUUGGACACCCAAUUGACAUGUGUCCGACUCUUCAAGAAGAUUCUCAUGAGCAGGCAAAUGCUGUGGGAGGUUUUUCAAGACCACCGCAAAGGAGGAAUGACCUGUAUGCACCUACAUACAUUCCAAGAUGGCGAAAUCACCCUAACUUCAAUUACGCUUCAAAACUGCCAGGUUUUCCAUAACCCUUUCAAGUGAGACCACCAGUGCAGCAACCAUCUACUACAAAUACAGGUAUGUCAUUUGAGGAUAUGGUUAAAUCCCUUGCUAAUAGUACUUGUGAAAUGCAACAGGAGUCACAGAGAUUUCAACAAAAAAACCCAAGCCAGCAUUCGAAAUUUGGAGACACAAGUGUCACAACUUGCAUCUUCAAUGAACAAUUUUGAAAAUAAUAAAGGGAAACUACCAGUUUAGGUUAUGUUGAACCCAAAGGAGAGUGCAAGUGUGAUGAUGACCUUCGUAGUGGCAAGGAAAUGCAAUCCUCAAUACCGCAAGUAAGGAAAAUUAAUGAAGAAAAAGUGAAUGAAGAGCUUGAGAAGAAAGAGCCUUCAACUAAAAAUGCAAGACAUAAAUGCGAUGUUCCUAAAACACUUAAAAUUGACUCUCCUUUUUUUGGCAGGAUGGCUAAAGCAAAGAAGGAGGAAUCUGAGAAGGAAAUUUUGGACACAUUCUGGAAAGUUGAGAUUAAUAUUCCUUUGCUUGAUGUGAUUAAGCAAUUACGAAAAUAUGCAAAAUUUUUGAAGGGAUUAUGCACUAACCGGAGCAAGUUUAAUAAUAAUGACAAAAUAAGGGUUGGUGAGAAUUUAUCAGCAGUCCUCCAAAGGAAAUUGCCUGAAAAGCUCAAGGAUCCAGGUAUGUUCACAAUACCAUGCAAUACACGCAACAAAAGAAUAGAAAGAGAUAUGCUUGAUUUAGGGGCAUCCUUUAAUGUGAUGUCUUUAUCAAUAUUUAAAACCUUAAAUUUAGGACCUCUUAAGGAUGCAAGGGCAAUAAUUCAAUUAGUUGAUAGGUCUAAUGUUUAUCUUGAGGGUCUAGUUAAGGAUGUUCUAGUGAAAGUUAAUAAACUUACUUUUCCUGCUGAUUUUUACAUUGUUGACAUGGAUGAUGAUUAUUCUGUCAAUUCGGCUGUAAUUCUCUUGGGUAGACCAUUCAUGAGUACUGCUAAAACAAAAAUUAAUGUUUAUUCAAGAACCUUGACUAUGGAAUUUGAUGGCAAAGUUAUAAAAUUCAAUAUUUGUGAUGCCAUGAAAUGUCCUAACGAGGCACAUUCCAUUUUUGUUCUAGAUAUACUUGACCCUUUCAUGCAGCAAAAGUUUGAAUUAAAUGGUAAAGAUGCGUUGAAGGUUGCAAGCAAUCAUAGUUUGGAUUCACAAGAAAUGUCAAGAGUUGCACGGAUUUUUGAAUUACACUGUGAUUAAGCAUAUGAUAUUGUCUAGCCAAAGACGUUAAAAAAAGACGCUAAUUGGGAGGCAAUCCAAUUCAUUUUUAUUUUUAUUUUUUUCUUUCCUUUUGUGUUUGUUAAUGCUCUUUAGUUGUGUUUUAUCAAUGCUCAUGAACUCAUCUUUUUGUUUAUUUUAGGUUUUAUCAAUGCUUAUGAACUCAAGUAUAUGUAAUAUUAUUGAUAUUAUCAAUUAUAUUAUUAAUUAUACAUGUUACUAAUAGAAAUUAUUAAUUUGUUAUCCUAAAUUUACUAAUAUGUUUAAUUAGCAAAAAUUUCUUAUAUCCCAUUUUAAAAGAGCCAGCGAACCAAAUAUCAAUUAUUGUAAUGAUGUACAUUCGUGGUACUGAAUCAAACAGAUGUAUUGGAAUGACGGACUCUAUUCCAAACUCAGGAUGAAAAAUCCCAAAUCCAAAUUCGAUUCCAAGGAGUGAACCAAAUGCCAUCUUAGUUCUCUAUGUUUGGGAAAUGAAGUGGACUAGUAUGGUCUUUAAUUUAUUUUGGUGAUUAUUUGUGAAUAAUGUUUGACUAUACUCCGCUAGUUAGAGGUCUAAUAACCGGGAGUUUUCACCAAAAGUGUCAAUUUUCACAUAAAAAAUGGUAGUAGCUAUGAGUAUAUGGGUCUUGAGCGAUGAGAGUUGAGUAAUCGAACUCUUUCUUUGGUAGAUGUCAGAGUUCUUGUCAAAAGGAUUAAAUUGCUAACAACUAAGCAUUCCCCUUGAAAGAAAAGAAAACUUGAUGAGCGCGGGGUAUACAUAUAUCAAUUAACUUAUCCACAGUCAAGUUUUAUAUUUAUAACAUCCUAAAUACCCCACAAGCGAUUUUUCUGCAAAUAUACAGAUUGAUAGGUCAUAAUUUGUUACUAAAUUUAUAAUUAUUUUUCCCUUGAUUUUUGUCAAAUAUUGUUUUAAUUGAUGGAUUCUACUUAUAUUUGGUGUUUUAUGUUAAUUGUAGGGCAUUGGAGUAAAAAGUGCUAAAAAUGGGUGAUUUUCUUGGAGUUGAUUGUCAUCGCUUCUUUGACAAUUAUAACUUAUUUAUCAGUGAGUAAAUGAAAUUAUUAUUGCGUCCAUGAUCAAUUGAGUGAAUCAUUUUCGAAGUUAUUUCUUGACUAUAGUUUAUUUAUUAUUGUUUCAUUUUCAGUGAAUUAUUAGUUAGGCCUUUUUAUUUGACUUGUUUAGUUAUUCAUACUUUUAUAAAAAUCCCCCCAUAUUUUGAACUUGAGGAGAAACGAAUUUUUCCAAUCUCUGUGGAUUCGACUCUACUUACCACUAUAUACAAAAUUUAUACUUUAUUUGAGCAGGUAUUUAUUAUUGUACAAGCUCGACACCUAUCAAUUUUUAGCGCCAUUGCCGGGAACUGGCGUUAGUUAAUUUGUUUUCUUUUUUAGUUCUUUUUAUUUCUAAUUUUUUUGGUAAUUUUUUUCUUCAAUUUUAUGCCCCGUUCCUCUUGAGCAGGUGAAUUAAUUUUUGACCUUAAGAUAGAAAAGAUUGCGCAUAGUGCCACCUCGAGUGAUUCUAAUAAAGAAAACGUCGAAAUGGCUAGUGCUCCAACUUAAGGGAGUUGGCUGCUCCAAACUUAAAUCAGCAGCCAUUAUGGAUUACCUUUUCAAAUUUAGAUGAUAAUGCCCUUUUUGAAUUAAAGUCUUGUCUAAUUCACCUUUUACCUUCUUUUCAUGGUUUUUCAGGUGAAGAACCCUACAAACACUUGCAGGAAUUUGAUGUAGUAUGCACAAGUAUGAAGCUUCCGGAAAUUACUGAGAAACAGAUAAAAAUGCAAGCAUUUCCCUUUUCCCUCAAGGAUGUAGCAAAAGAUUGGUUGUACUAUCUGCCACCAGGUAGUACAACAACCUGUGAAUAGUUAAAGAAGAAAUCUUUGAAAAAAUAUUUCCCUGCAUCCAGAGCCGCCAGUCUGAGGAAGAAAAUAUGUGGCAUUACACAGCAUCCAAGAGAGUCUCUCUAUAACUAUUGGGAGAGAUUCAAGAAAUUGUGUACUAGAUGUCCCCAACACCAGAUUAGCGAGCAACUCCUGAUUCAAUAUUUCUAUAAAAGUUUGCUAUAUACAGAUAGAAUUCUUAUAGAUGCUGCCAGUGGAAGUGCUUUGGUGAAUAAGACCCCCAAAGAAGCUUGGAAAUUGAUAGAAAGGAUGGUAGAAAAUUCUCAACAAUUUGACACAAAAGAGAAUGCCUAUACUCAUCAAGUAAAUGAGGUAAAUGUCUCACCAAUUCAACAACAAUUAUCUGAAUUAACUUUGGUUAUUCGAUAGUUGGCUGUAGGAAAUUUGCAGCAGGUCAAAGCAUGUGGCAUUUGUAAGGACACGAGUCAUCCCAUAGAUUGGUGCCCAGUGUUACACGAUUAAGGAGUUGAACAGCUAAAUAUGGCUAAUCACGUGCCCACGCCAAGAGAGUAGUAUGAUUCAUAUUCUCAUACAACUCACGUUGGAGGGAUCAUUCGAACCUUAACUAUAGAGGAAAUAGACAACCAAACUUCAUGUCAAAUAGACAGCAAUGGUACCAGCAAUAGUACCAAUUCCGACCACAAUCUUCCUUUUUCAAUUCGAGACCUUCAUUGGAGGAGCUGAUAAAACAAUAAAUUACAAACACUGCUCAACAUCAACAAAAGACGGACUCUGCCAUAUAGGAGCUCCGAAAUCAAAUAAGUCAGAUGGCAAUAGUAAUUAACAGUUCAGAAUCCCAAGGUCAAGGAAAGUUGUCAUCUCAACCUGAAGUGAGUCCAAAGAAUGUAAGCACUAUGACCUUGAGGAGUGGAAGAGAAGUUGAGGGACCGGAACUCGUGAUUCCGAAGGAUAAAAAUGAAGAACGGAUCGAAAAAAGAGCUUGAGGAGGAAGGAAUGAAAAGUUCGAAUCCAAAGGUAAUUCCUGAUUCUACAAUUAAAGUUGGAACUAAUCCACCGUCUUUUCCACGCAAGUUAGAGAAACCAAAGAAGCAAGAUAAGGAAAAGGAAAUUCUAGAAGUAUUUUGAAAAGUGGCAAUUAAUAUCCCUUUGUUGGAUGCGAUCAAGCAUGUGCCAAAAUACGUUAAAUUCUUGAAGAACUUGUGCAUCAACAAGAAGAAAUUGAGAGGGUUGAGAUAAUAUCAAAAUUGUUCGUGACUUCUAGGGAUUAGUUGGGUCAAAUUUCCGCUGCCUAAGCCAUGGUGUUUUGGUUGUCUAGAUCGGGGUUUCAUAUCAGCCCUUCUUUAAUGUCUUUGGUUAGACACAGUAAUAGCUUUUUAAACCACACAAAUUCCAUCAUCAAGAAAUACGAUCUCCACUUGCUCACUAUGAAACCCCUCAUAAUAGAGAUUUAGACGGUGACCAUUUACCACGAACUUUUUCUCGAUCUUCAGACUCUGGAUUUCCACUGCACCAUAAUGAAAAAUAUUAGAAACAACAAAUGGACCAAUCCAACGCGAACGCAGCUUACCUGGAAAAACGUUAAGCAUCGAGUGAUAAAGGAGGACUUUUUGCCCUACUACAAAUGACUUUUUUGAGACUUGCUGGUUGUAAAAGACUUUGCUCCUCUUUUUAUAAAUUGCUGCGUUCUCAAAGGUUUCAUUUCUUAGCUCCUCCAACUCUUGUGAUUGGAGCUUUCUAUGUCUCCCUACAUCCACAGGUCCAUGUUACAUCGCUUAAUCGCCCCUUGUUGUGUUCAAAUUCUACUAGGAUGUGGCACGGCUUUCCAAAAACCAAUCUCUAUGGAAACAUUUCAAUCGGGAUUUUAUACGCGGUGCGGUAAACCCACAGAGCAUCUUCCAAUUUCAAACUCCAAUCCUUCCUGUCAGGCCGCACCAUCUUUUCCAGGAUUGACUUAACCUCCCUAUUCGACACUUCGGCCUGACCAUUCGUCUGCGGAUGAUAGGGCGUCGAUACUUUGUGGAGUACGCCAUAUUUACGGAAUAAGGCAGCAAUCGUCUUAUUGCAAAAAUGAGUACCCCUGUCACUAACUACAGUUCGCGACAUUCCAAAGCGGACAAAAAUGUUAUAUUUUAUAAAUUCUGUAACCACUCUCGAAUCAUUAGUCCGGGCGACCUUUGCCUAUACCCAUUUGAAAACAUAAUCGACAGCAAGUAAAAUGUACAAGAAACCAAAAGACGAGGGAAAGGGACCCAUGAAAUCUAUACCCCAAACGUCAAAAAUUUCAACAAACAACAUAAGGGCUUGAGUCAUUUGAUCUCUACGAGAAAUAUUCCUCAUCUUUUGAUACUUAUCACAAGAUUUACAAAACAAAUAUGCAUGUUUAAACAGAGUAGGCCAAUUAAAACCACACUCCAACACCUUACGAGCUGUUCGCUUUGGCCCAAAGUGCCCUUCACAUGCAAAUGAAUGACAAAAAAUUAAAAUAGAAUAGAACUCACCUGUACUUACACACCUUCUUAUCACUUGAUCCGAGCAUUGCCUCCACAGGUAAGGGUCAUUCCAAAUAUAGUGUUUGGCAUCACUUUCUCAAUUUAUCUCUCUUAGCCUUUGGCCAACCUGCAGGUAAUUGAUUCGUUAUCAAAAAAUUGACAACAUCAGCAUAUCAAGGUACCGACGAAUAAAUUGUGAAACCAUGUGCAUUUUUGUUGUGUGCAAAUGUUCUUUGAAAAAUAGUAGGAUGUGUAGGUGACAUGUUCCUUUUGAUAAACUCCUGCUUUCUUGCUUUCAAAGUCUCAUCCAAGUUGUCCAUUCUCCUUUUUAAAUCACCAUGUCUUUCCUUCAGCAUUUUACAAAUAUUUGUCUUUCUAUCAAGCUCAUUCUGAACAUCAAAUCCGGCUCUUACAAGACAUUCAUUGUCAGUUUUUAGUUGUUUAUUUUGUUGAAGGAGACAUGCAUUUUCAUGAAUGAGAAAAGCAAUUUUCUGUUUUAGCUGCUUGUUCUUAUCAUAAGAUUCCUUCAAAGCAUUAUGCAGUUUUUCAACAAAUGAUUCAAGAUCAUCAUCUUCUUCAUCAUCACUUUCAGAUUGAGAGUGUAUGGAAGUUACCUCAUUAUCUCCAAUAGCCAUGAAGGCCAUUUGAGCUGAUUCUUCCUCUUCUUCAACUUCCCCUUCAGAGUUGCAUUCAUUCCAAGUAAUCUGGAAGUUGUUGAAUCUUGGCUUUCGAUCAGCUUUUCCAUCUUUCAUUUUCUUCAUGGGGCAUUCGUUUGCAUAGUGUCCAGGCUGUCCACAUUCAUAGCAUUUGUCCACUUGCUUCUUGUUGAAUUCUUGUUUUCCUUUGUUCCUUGCAUUUGAUGAAUAAUUUUGGAAUUGAUUGCUAGGUCCUCCCUUUCUGAACUUCCUUUUAUUCAAGAUUCUUUUGAAGCCUCUUGUGAUGAGAGCAAGAUCAUUAUCAUCACCAUCCGAAUCUUCAUCAUCCAAGUGAGCUGGAUCAUCUUCACUUUGAGUAGUCUUUAGAGCAAUAUUUCUUUUUGCUCUAGCAUCCUCUUCCUCCUGCACUUUAGAUUUCAGUUUUAACUCAUAAGAGGUUAGUGAGUUAAUGAUAGAUUCAAUAGGCACAGAACUUAAAUCCUUAGCCUCCUCUAUUGCAGUCACUUUAUUUUCCCAUUCUUUGCCCAAUGCAUUGAGAAUUUUUCUGUUCUUCUCUCCCAAGGUGUACUCUUUGCCCAACACCUCGAGAUCUUUGAUCAAGUCAGUGAACCUGCAAAACAUUUUGUCAAUAUCCUCAAGAGGUUCAAUCUUAAAAGAUUCAUACUUUGUGACCAAGAUGGCCUUUCUCUGUUCUCUCACAUUGUCACCACCCUCAUGGAUUUCUCUUAACUUAUCCCACAUUUCUUUGGCUGAUUUACAGCCUUUCACUCUAAUUGAUUCAUUUGAAUCUAAGGCACUAUAAAGAACAUUCAUGGCCUUGGCAUUCAAUGUGAGGUUAGUCCUGUCUUGAGCAUUCAUUUCAGCUCUCAUUUUUGGCCGAAGCAGCCCUGUAUCUGCAUCAAGAAAGUUAGCUUCAUGCGGUCCUUCACUCACAAUAAACCACAGUUCAAUAUCAAUAGAUUGCAAAAAAAUAAUCAUCCGUUCUUUCCAGCUAACAUAGUUGGAGCCACUGAACAUGGGAGGCCUAGUAACAGAUUGCCCCUCAACAAACAUAGCAUGACUGGUUGUCAUCUUUACUCCAAGCCGUUAGAGCUUAAUCUCAAGGAGACCAAGCUCUGAUACCAAUUGUAAGUCCCAAAGACAACCAAGAGGGGGGGUGAAUUGGGUUAUUCAAAAUCUUAAUCAGAUUUAGGCAAUUUUUGCUAAAUGAAAAUUUCCUUCUUUUCUAGUAAUGAUCAACCAAGUAGAUUAGAAGACAAGAGCAAUAUUGAUCAGAAACACAAGUAUAGACAAGCAAUGAGAAUUUUAUUAAACAGAAAAGUAAAUUUGGGGAAUCAAACCAAGUGUCUACCAAGCUAUCCUCAAACUUGAAGACCACACACUAGGAAGAGCAACUUCUCUUUGAUGGAAGACGAUCAACUAGAUGUACAAUGGAGGGAGCACUUCCUCCUUGCCCUAAGCCUCACUUAGUCAAGCUAAGAAGUUUUACAAUCACUCAGAAAACCCUCAACAAAGCUACACUAAAGAUCCUUUCAAUCACAAAAGAAAUGCUCACCAGAAAUUCACACCACUUUAAAACAAAUCUAGCUUUGGAGACUAUUUUCUAGCUAAAAUAUCUCUUGAGAUCUUGUAAACAAAGUGUGCAAAAGUCCUCCCUUCGUUCAGAACAGUUUGUUUUUAAAGGGGAACAGAAAUGAGCUUCAUUAAAGCUUCCAACGGAUAGAAGGCAGAUGAAGGGUCAGCUAGCCGUUGGGGCUUUCGGACGUCCGACGAUCAAAUCAUCGUCCGAACCAAUCGUCCGAAAAUAGCCAAGUUGAAGUUCGGACGUCCGAUGAGAUUUUUGUCGUCCGACAGCACAGCGUCCGAUCGUAGGCCGAGAGCUAGCAAGUUAUCUUGGAAUUUUUCGGACGUCCGAUCUGGUUGAUAUGCGUCCGAGGUGUGCGUCCGAUCCUUCCGGACGUCCGACAGUUUCCUUUCGGCCGUCCGACCUGAUUGUCCUGUUUUUGCUUCUCAUUUUGGUUGUCUUGCAUUUCAUGACAUAUUUGAACCUGAUUCUUGGAUAGACAGAGACACUUGUAUUUGAAGGAGGUUAGAUAAACAUUUCAAAGUACCAAGAAUGACAAACUAGACAUACUUAAAAGACAGUAUCUUUGAUCGGAACAAAACAAUGACUAAAUUCAUUUAUAUUAUUUCAAUCUUGUUUGCCACAUCCAAAGCAUCGUAGACUGGAGUCAAUCAAACAUAUGCUUUCCUUGUUCCAUCAGGCCUGAUCAAUCUUGGUCAGUAUAAACGAACUUUUGUGAUCAUCAAAACCAAGAAUAACAGAAACAUCCUAUUAACUUUAAUUCUGUAUUUAUCAUUCAUGCUACUAAUCUCUCUAUGCAAGAAUUUUCUGAGUUUGAUUAUAGGGAUAAAUUCAAAUUUGUUGCGAACAAGUAUCAUGGGAUGCAAGCAAUUUAUGAGGUGAAAAUGAGUAGAAAAUUAAAGAAAAUGGUUGCACUCAAUAGCUAUUUGGAUCUUGCAGGAAUGUCACCGAUUAUAAGAAAAUUUGAAUUACAUCCAAAUUGAAAAGUGGUGCUUAAUAUCUAACCAAAGACAUUAAAUAAAGGCGCUUAUUGGGAGGCAAUCAGUUGUUUGUUAAAUUCUAUUUGAUUGUUUCAAUAUGUUUCUCUUAGAAUUUUCACAAAUUUUUGGUUUAAUUUACUGUUUUUGAUGAUUAGUAGACAUUCUCUUGACAUGACAUGCCCACGUCAACAGGGCACAUGGUAAUGUGUAAUUCUCAAGUUCUUUAUCAGAAGGGUUCCUACCCUCAUGAUGUGCCCACGCCAACUCGCCUGGAGAGCUCCUAUUUUGAUUUUAGAGCAAACUGGCUGACAUGGUGUGUCCCCAUUAACAGGGUACGCGGUGAUUUUCAAUUCAAUGAUUUUUCAUCAGAACGGUUCCUACCAUCAUGACGUGCUCACGUCGUAUCCUAGGGGAAGGUAAAAAAAAUGAAAAUUUUUUUUCCCUUUCUUUUUCUUUUUUUCUUUCCCUCUUCUUUUUCUUUAUCUUUCUUUCUUUCAUCCAUCCUUUUCCAUCCGAACUCCACCGCCACCAAUCAUCAACAUACGUCAAGCUCCACAAUCAUUUGCCCGUCACCCGUAGCUAUCCACGGAAUCCCUCAAUUCUCAGGGAAGUUUCGUUGUUCCUUUUACUUCAUUUUUUCAAUUCUUUAUCUUUAACAUUGGGGAUAAUGUAAGAUUUAGGUAUAGGAGGGAUAGCAUAUGAUAAUAUAUUGGAAAAGUGCAGCUAUAGGUGUUUUUGUUGGAAUUUUUUGCUCAAUUUUUUUCAAAUUUAUCCAAUUUUUGCUUAUCUUUGUGUAUAUUUGUGAUUGUUCCUGAUAAACGAUGGUUAGGUGUCUCAAAUUUUUCUAUUGCUAAGAUUUUAUACUCUAAGGUGUUAAAUAUGAUAUGGUUAAAUCUACGGUAUCUUUUUGGUGAAUAUUUGAGAUUUUAUGACUUUUGUACUUUUUGGUUAACUUCUCUAAGUAUUGUAAAUAUUUGUCUAGCAUUUUUUGAGCAAAUUGGUUCAGCUAUUAAUUUUAGUUCUCCAUAUUUAAGAAACGAAGCGGAUUUUCGUGGUUUUUAAUUUUAAUUUGGUGCUUAUUUAUGAACAGUAUUUUGCUAUACUUCGCUAGAAUCGUUGCUUAGUAACCGGGGAUCUUCACUACAAGUGUCGAUUUUUGCAUCAAAAAGUAAUGAUGACUAUAAGUAUGUCGUCCUUUGGCGAUAAAAGUUAAGUAACCGGACUCCUUCAUUUGGUAGAUUUCGGAGUUCGCGUCAAAAGGCUUGAAUGGCUAAGAACUAAGCAUUUUUCUUGAAAAAAAAAAGAAAAAAAGAGGUUUGAGCUAAGAGUGAAAAUAAAACACAAAAAAAUGUACGACAUUGUAAAUGGUUACAUUAGCCUGCUGAUCUAUCAAUCUUAAUGCUGAGAUUUUGCUUAAUAGUUGAAUCAUUUGCUGAUGGAUGCUGGUUGAAUAUUUUAUAUUCUUAUCUUAGCUAGUCAUAAAUUGAAAAAGUCCUUGAUCUUGAAAGCUAACGGAAGAAAUAUUUCUUGGAAUCUAGCCAUUAAUGUUUGACAUGUAUUUUAAUUGUAUUUUGAUAAUAGAUUAUUUGAGCAAUAACCAUUAUUUAGAUUUGAUUACUUGAUUUGUUGUUCUCAUACUUGACGGCAAGCAUGAUUUAGGUGUGGGAGAAAUUGAUAUAUCAUAAUUUGCUGCUAAAUUUAUAAUUAUUUUUUCCUUGAUUUUAGCUAAAUAUUGUUUUAAUUAUAGGAUUCUACUUAUAUUUGGUGUUCUAUGUUAAUUAUAGGGCAUUGAAGUAAAAAAGUGCAAAAAAUGGGAGAUUUUCUUGGAAUUGAUUAUCAUCACUUGUUUGGCAAUUAUGACUUGUUUAUCAGUCUUUGCAUCGAUGCUCAGUUGAAUGGAUAGUGUCUGAAAAGUUACAUAUUUGGCUAGAGUCAUAUUUAUUAUUGAUUAAUUUCUGUUUAUUUUCUUGAAUUGCUUUUAUUUAGUUAAUUGGUUGCUUUUAUUUGGUGUUUUAUGUUAAUUAUAGGGCAUUGAAGUAAAAAAGUGCUAAAAAUGGGAGAUUUUCUUGGAAUUGAUUAUCAUCACUUGUUUGGCAAUUAUGACUUGUUUAUCAGUCUUUGCAUCGAUGCUCAGUUGAAUGGAUAGUGUCUGAAAAGUUGCAUAUUUGGCUAGAGUCAUAUUUAUUAUUGAUUAAUUUCUGUUUAUUUUCUUGAAUUGCUUUUAUUUAGUUAAUUGGUUGCUUUUAUUUUUUUAUAAAAACCCCCCAUAUACUGAAUUCUAGAAGAAACAAAUUAUCUCCAAUUCCUGUGGAUUCGACCCUACCUACCGCUAUAUACAAAAAUAAAAUUUUUCCAAAGUAGCUAUUUUUUUAUUAUACAUGCUCGAUACCUGUCAAUUUUUGGCAGUAGUAUAUUGAAAAGUGCAAAUGUAGGCAUUUUUGUUGGAAUUUUUGUUCAAUUUUUUUUGAAUUUUAUCCAAUUUUUGCCUAUCUUUGUGCAUAUUUGUGGUUGAUCCUGUUAAAUGAUGGCUAGUUGUCUCAAAAUUUUCUAUUGCUAAGAUUUUAUACUCUAAGGUGUUAAGUAUGACAUGGUUAAAUCUAAGGGUAUCUUUUUUGUGAAUAUUUGAGAUUUUGUGACUUUUGCACUUUUUGGUUAACUUCUCUAAGUAUUGUAAAUAUUUGUCUAGUAUGUUUUAUGUAAAUUAGUUCAGUUAUUAAUCUUAGUUCUUCAUAUUUAACCAAUGAAGCGGAUUUUCGUGGUUUUUAAUUUUAAUUUGGUGCUUAUUUAUUAACAGUAUGUGGCUAUACUCUGCUAGUAUCGUUACUUUGUAACCGGGGAUCUUCACCAUAAAUGUUGACUUUCGCAUCAAAAAAUAAAGAUAACUAUGAGUAUGCGGUUUUUUAUAGAUAAAAGUUGAGUAACUGGACUUCUUCAUUUGGUAGAUGUCAGGGUUCGCAUCAAAAAGUCUGAAUGACUAAGAACUAAGCAUUUUCCUUGAAAAAAAAAGGGUUGAGCUAAGAGUGAAAAUAAAACAAAAAAAAUGUACGAGAUUGUAGAUGGUUACAUUAGCCUGCUGGUCUAUGAGUUUUAUUGUUUAGAUUUUGCUUAAUAGUUGAACUGUUUGCUGAUGGAUGCUGGUUGAAUAUUUUAUAUUCUUAGAUUAGUUAGUCAUAAAUUGAAAAAGUUCUUGAUCUUGAAAGUUAACGGGAGAGAUAUUUCUUGGGAUCUGGCCAUUACUGCUUGACAUGUAUUUUAAUUGUAUCUUGGCAAUAGAUUAUUCGAGCAAUAGCCAUUGUUUGAAUUUGAUUGCUUGAUUUGUUGUUCUCAUAUUUGAGGAUAAGCAUUGUCUAGGUAUGGGAGAAAUUGACAUGUCAUAAUUUGUUGUUAAAUUUAUAAUUAUUUUUUCCUUGAUUUUUGUCAAAUAUUAUUUUAAUUGUCGAAUUCUACUUAUAUUUGGCGUUUUAUGUUAAUUGUAGGGCAUUGGAAUACAAAGUGGUAAAAAUGGGUGAUUUUCUUGGAGUUGAUUGUCAUCGCUUGUUUGGCAAUUAUAACUUAUUUAUCAGUGAGUAAUUGAAUUAUCUUUGCAUCGAUGAUCAGUUGAAUGGAUCGUAUCUGAAAAGUUGCAUCUUUGGCUAGAGUCGUAUUUAUUAUUGAUUAAUUCCUGUUUAUUUUUAUGAGUUGCUUUUAUUUAGUUAAUUGGUUACUUUUAUAUUUUUAUAGAAACCCCCCAUAUUCUGAAGUCUAAGAAACAAAUUAUCCCCAAUCACUGUGGAUUCGACCCUACUCACCGUUAUAUAUAAAAAUUAUAUUUUUCUUGAGUGGAUAUUUAUUAUUAUACAGACUAGAUACCUGUCAAUUUUUAGGUGUAGUAUAUUGGAAAAGUACAAAUGUAGGCAUUUUUGUUAGAAUUUUUUGUUUGAUUUUUGUUCAAAUUUUAUCCAAUUUUUGCCUAUCUUUGUGCAUAUUUUUAGUUGUUCUAGAUAAACAAUAGUUAGAUGUUUCAAAUUUUUUUAUUGCUAAAAUUUUUUACUCUAAGGUGUUAAAUAUGACAUGGUUAAAUCUAAGGGUAUCUUUUUUUAUGAAUAUUUGAGAUUUUGUGACUUUUGUAACUUCUCUAAAUAUUGUAAAUAUUUGUCUAACAUUUUUUGUGCAAAUUGAAUCAGCUAUUAAUCUUUGUUCUCCGUAUUUAAGAAAUGAAAUGGGUUUUCGUGAUUUUUAAUUUUAAUUUGGUGCUUAUUUAUAAACUACUAUACUCCGCUAAUAUCGUUGCUUAGUAACAGAGGAUCUUCACCAUAAGUGUCGACUUUCACGUCAAAAAGUGACGAUAACUAUGAGUAUAUGGUCCUUUAGCGAUACAAGUUGAGUAAUCAGACUGCUUCAUUUGGUAGAUAUCAGGGUUUGUGUCAAAAGAUUUAAAUGGUUAAGAACUAAGUUUUUUCCCUGAAAAAAAAGAUAAAAAAGAGGGUUGAGCUAAGAGUGAAAGUAAAACACAAAAAAAAUGUACGAGAUUGUAGAUGGUUACAUUAGCCUGCUGGUCUAUGAGUUCUAAUGUUUAGAUUUUACUUAAUAGUUGAACCGUUUGCUGAUGGAUGCUGGUUGAAUAUUUUAUAUUCUUAGAUUAGUUAGUCAUAAAUUGAAAAAGUUUUUAAUCUUCAAAGUUAAUGGGAGAGAUAUUUCUUGGGAUCUAGCCAUUAAUGCUUGACAUGUAUUUUAAUUGUAUCUUGGCAAUAGAUUAUUCGAGCAAUAGCCAUUGUUUGAAUUUGAUUGCUUGAUUUGUUGUUCUCAUAUUUGAGGAUAAGCAUUGUCUAGGUAUGGGAGAAAUUGACAUGUCAUAAUUUGUUGUUAAAUUUAUAAUUAUUUUUUCCUUGAUUUUUGUCAAAUAUUAUUUUAAUUGUCGAAUUCUACUUAUAUUUGGCGUUUUAUGUUAAUUGUAGGGCAUUGGAAUACAAAGUGAUAAAAAUGGGUGAUUUUCUUGGAGUUGAUUGUCAUCGCUUGUUUAGCAAUUAUUGACAGGUGUCGACUUUGUGCAAUAAUAAUUACUAAAAAAUCCUAAUUACCACCAUAAUUAAUUAUAGAACAAAUCUAAGUACUGGAGCAGUGACUCUAGAUAUGCAAUGAGUUAUUAUAUUCACUCUGUCUCCAAAGAGUGUGCUUGAUCCGAUAUACUAGAUUUAGUUAUAAAAGUAUUAAAUUUACGUACAAUGGCAAGUAGGGUCGAUUACAUAAGGAACGGGUAGGAAGUUGUUUCUUCCCAAGUUAAUAGAACGAAAUUGGGGGAUAUUUAAUGGAAUGAAAAUGAAAAUGAAAAUAAAUAAAAUUCAAAAGCUAACUCACCAAGUACAAUUCACUAAAAAUAGCAAUUAGUAAAAUUCUACCCAAAGGAUCAACUUUUCAGGUACGGUCCAAUUAAAUGAUCAUCGAUGCAAAGAUAUUUCAUUCAUUCGUCACUAGUUUGGUUAUAGCUAUCAACAAGCUCUGACAGUCAAUUUUUUCUUACUUUUUCGAUAGCCAAUGUACGACCGUUGACUGCUUCUCUAAUCAGAAAACAACUCUAGGUAUGACUAUAGGAAUUUAAUUAUCCAGUUGCAUUAAAGUUAAAAAAAUCCAACCCUAACCAAUAAACACGCUAAGAGGGUUUAUUUAAACUAGAUCUUACGUUUCCCCAACAUAAAGUCAAUUAUGGUGGUUGUCACUAUUUAUCAACUAAAUGAGCAAUUACUGAUUCAAUUUAGUUAAAGUGACAGUAGGCUAUUAGAUUAAAUUAAAUAUCCGGCCGUUGAUACUUAAUUAAUAAAAUAACCAUAACCAAUUAAUCCAGAAAAUGCAUGAAUAGUAACGGAUUGGAAGAAAUAAUGAAAGUUCGAUUAGAUCUCACAGAUGUUAUGGACCGUGCCUUUGCAUCGACCUUUAGGUAGAGGAGAAAUCUAGCUGCUUCUCAUCAUAUCAAUCUCUCGUGGUUUGAUUGAUUACAUCCACACAAUUACCGAAGAAUUAGGAAAAAUGAAAAUAACAAAAGAACAAAAAGGAGAAGUCUUGCUUCUUUUUCUGUUUCGUGUUCCUACUGGAGAAUAGUCAAGAACAAGGUCUAAAGAAAAAAUCGCCAAAAAAAGCAAAAGCAGAGAGCAAAAAUCGUCUGAUGGGAAAAAACUAAAAGCUAAUUUAUUGAUCCCACGUGAAUAUGCCUUUCUUGCCAAUUCUUGCUAAGUAGCCAUCAAAAAGAAAGAAAACGUCAGACACUCUACUUUCUCCAGGAAUAGAGUUUUAAUCCUCUACACCACCCCGGCCCACGAGAGAAGAUAGCCGCCCUUUUCUUUUGUUCUUUUACCAAUACCGCGAGGUCCGUCUUUUAGGUGUCUCUCUUCAGUUUCUGACGUGGGCACGCCAUGAAAUAAAUAGUCUUCUGGAAAUUUACCUCGGGAGAUCACUUUUGACACUAAUCACCUUCAAUUUACGCAAAAAUCAAAUAUGAACAAAACCUCAAUACUUAGCACAGUAAGUAGCCAAAAUUAUGACCAAAUAACAGCGCAAAAGGUGCCCAAUAAUUGCUCUAUCAAAUGCCCCUACACCUAGACAAUGCUUGUCCUUAAGCAUUUCAGUGUUCAGAAGUACAAUGAAGAUAGCAAUGGUUAUGUAGUGAUCUACACUAACACAAGCAUCCUGUAUUCCUGACAAUGUCGGCAAAGUUAGAACACACUGAACAGGUAGUUAUCCAAAGAGUAUGACCAGUAAUACUCGUUACCUUCAAGAAAAUGUAUAAAUAAUAGAAACGCUCAAAUCAACAUCAAGGAAUGGCAUUACCAUAAACUUGCACAUUUAUCACAUCUCCACCACUAAAAAGUGAAUUAAAUACACAAAUCAAAGGGACUUUAAUAGAGUUGUAAUUGGGCUUAGGUAAAAGGCAAGUUAAGAAGGUAAAGAUAGGGUGUAAUGUGUCAGGAGAAUGCCCGAUAUCCACUAUAUAAUCACAACGCUUUACCGGAGAAAUUCCACAAGCAAGGCGUUUCCAUUUGCUAUACCCACUGUGCAAGUGUCGAAACUUUUUUUUUCACGAAGAGCGUCUUGCAAGGCGUGGGCACGCCCUGUAAGUCAGAAUCUUCUGUUCACCAGCUUGUGAUAACUUUUUUUUUUUUUUUUCGAUCUCAGAUGCACAGAACUAGUACCAUAUGACUUCUAUUCUGACAACACUUGCGACCCUAGAGUUAUUUGCCUUACACAAACGAUGAAAUUCAGACAUCUCUUAAUGACACAAGAUUGAAUAAGAAAGUCUAAAAAGAUCAUGAGUUAUCAAAUAUAGCUAACAAACAAAGGAGAAAGAUAAAAGCUCAAAUUGGUUCACUAUUGGGAGACAAGAUGAAGGUAUGAUUUGUAGAAAGCUAAAGACGGUUAAAUCCUAAAUGCCCUUAUCAUUUCAAAUGCAUCUAGUUCAACAAAAUAUGGUCUCGAUAUGUAUAAAAUAGCAAGUUCUAGAAUGUCAAUACCAUGUAUGAUACCCAUUCAACACAAACAAAGCAAACAAGAAUAAUGUGCUCACACAUGGCUCAAAAGCUCCCCAAAGUUCCAAGAAUGGGUCAAGUCCAGUAUAUUCAACAUUCAACGAUAUUGUCAAGAAAAAUCAAAAUACAUAGCUAGCAUAUAUGGCCACAUACACGCGCACCUUGAUUGUGCAAUCCAUCAUAGCAACAUGCUCUAACAGUUAACAAUUGCAGAACUAAAGAAGUCAACUAACUACACUUUUUUUGUUUUUUUUAAGCAAAAAGAACUAAGCAAAAAGAAAUAAUAGAAACCAUCACCCCCACACCUAAAACCUAUAUGGUCCUCAAUGUAGCAAAGACAAAUAAAGUGUAAGUAUAAAAGGGGCGAAACUUCCCUGACAGCAGAGACGAUGCAGCGAACCACUAAGGGGGAGGCGGAUGAGGCGGCUGGAAUCCAAUAUGAGCAAAGAAGGCUACCUGAUUCUCUGUUUGAAUGCGGGCGAAAACUUGCAGCGCUGCAAGACAGUUAUCCAAUCCCUCAACUCGAACACCUAGCGCUGCAAGACGGUCAUCCAAUCCCUCAACUCGAUCACCUAGUGCACUGAUAGAAUCUUGGAGGGCACGGUAAUGGGAAUCCCCAGCAGGAGGAGCAUGGUCGGAGAACGGGCUAGCCUGAUCAGUACAGGGCAGUGAAUCAGUAGGGGAAAUAGUUGGAGGGACCCGAGAUCGUGGCCCGCCAUCACCAGGAGGCGUCAUCUGGUAUACAUCUCCCACUUUGAAAAUAACCCCCCAUCCUCUCCAAACUACGCAAGUCCAAGGGCUCAAUCGCGCGAGCUAGAGUGAACUUGUGCUCUUUGUCUAGGUCAAGCAAUCCCAACCAAACGGCCAAGUGAGUAAUGAGCAACCCCAUAAUCACCGGCUUAUGCUGCUUCUGAAUGACAGAUUGCAUUUGAGUGGCCACCCAAUACCCAAAGUUGACAUGUACCUUGUUACGCAUGCACCACAUAAAAUAGAAUUUGGCCUUGGCAAGGGUGCCGAAAGAAUCCUUUCGGCCCGAGAAAUUGUAGGCCAAAAACCUGUGGAUAACCUUCAAGACCGGAUCCUUAAGAUGAGAGGCCUUGGAUUGGCCCGGAUCAUAGAGUUGAGGGGUCCGUAGAUCACUUCCUCCAUAUGUCAAUAUAAUCACUAGAAAAGGGUCUGAUGUAAUCACAUGCACUGUUGAUAUAUGUCCCGGAGGAAAUGGUAUCCUCACUAACAAACCCCAAAUUCAGAUUAAAGUCAUUAAUGGACAUAUCCUGUGGGGUACCUCUUAAUCUGAAUUUAAUCACCUCCGGUUCAUCCAAAGUGAUGAAUUCGUUUUUAGUGAACUCAAAAGUGGAGUAGAAUUUAUAACAUAACUCCUCAAAUGUAGGAUAGUCAAUGACUAGAUACCGCUACCAACCAAUUGUCGAGAACAACUGUUCGACUUCUCAUGCAAUUUGCAAAUGAUUCAAGGUUGGUGCAUGGAAACACUUACACGGAGCAAAAGGAUGCAGCAAUAAGCUAGUCAAUCGGUCCUUUUGUUCCUGUGUAAGGUCAGUGAUAGGUUCCCCCUAGUUUUCAGGAGAUAUAGUACUCUUAGAGAGAGCUAGACGAGACCGAGUGGGAGAUUGAAUUGGGGCUCGCCUCUUACGAGGUUGGGACCCAGAUGGACCAGACGUUGUUGCUUUUUCGGAGGCAUUUUGAGACCACAGAAAUGAAUUUAAAUAGCCACAGAAACAGCGAGGCAACCACCAAGUGGGGACAGGGAACCACAGUCAACAGCUAGUACUCAACAGCUAGCAGUCCAACAGCAAAGAGAAACACAAUUACUCCACCAGAACAAUGACAAGGCAAAUAGACACAAAGAUACCCCAUUGAUGUCACUUGACAAAUAAUAGUAAAGAUAACAGAUCCGAGACCCUACCAAUGGAAUUAACAGUUAAUUAAAUUGAACCAAAUGUUAAUCACCAGCCACGUGUACCACAUCUCAGAUCCACCAGAACCCACAGAUAUUGUAACCCCAAAUUCGUGUCAAAUGUAGCGCAGACUCCAAAUUCAAAGACAAGUGGCAAAAAUAUAGUAAAAUAGGGGUACCACUAUGCCACGCUGGAGGAGACCGCAGUGGAGACGCACGGCGAGAGAGAGGGUCACGAGGGAGGUGCCCGUGGGCUGGGGCUGCGCGCAGUUUACGGACGAGACGCGCGCGCACACAUGGGCUGCUGAGGCACUGGUCGCGUGCGCUGGGCGUCGCGCACAGAGGAAGGCGCUCUCUGGUUGAGACGCGCUUUGGAGAAGGCGAGGCACACGCGCUGCCAGGUGCACUGUGCGUGCGCGGCUGUUGGUCUGGUCUGGCAGUUGGUCUCGUCGCGUGUUGGCUGUAGCGCGCAGGUUCGUGCUGGUCGCGAGAAGGAGGCUUUCCACUGGGCGCACUGCAGCAGCGAAUAGCGACGGCUGGAGGGGCGAAUCUGGUUGGCGGCGGACAGCGAUGCGCGACAGCGGCGCAGGAUGGGGAAAGAGAGAAGGGCGGCGAUGCGAAGGAGGUUCGCGCGAGGGCGACAGCGGAUAGCGACGGGCGAUGGUGGCGGCGAAUCAACAAGAAAAGAGAAAAUGAGAACUAAAACUACGACAAAACAAAGAAAAUUGAAAAGUAGAAACUAAGGCAAAGGCAAUUAACAAGACCAGACAAGACUAGGAGAAGAGAAAAGUAGAAAAGUGGGGUUGGAGAAGUCCUGGCCAAUCUUGUACUUUCGUUGUCGCAGAGGUUGGUAGGCAUGGGCACGCCUUGGAGGCUAUAGUCUUCUGACCAUCGCGUCCCAAUAAUGUCCAAAAGAAUUCCUUUCAAGGCGUGGGUACGCCUUGGAACUGAUAGUCCCCACUUUGCACAUUGCUCCUGGCGUACCCCUGUAAGGCGUGGACAUACCUUGGGGACCUCAGUCUUUUGUUGAUCACCACAAAAAUACUUUUAAUAGAAAAAUAGAACUGUAAAAUUGCAAAAUAAUGAAAAUUGAUCACAACUAGUACUGUAGUCCUUAGGUUGCCUCCCAAGCAACGCCCUUGAUGAGAAUAUAAAGACCAAGGCCCAUUCAAGCACAUGGGGAAUUGGAAGAUUCAAGUGAAGACUAGUUGAUUGCACGAAUACUUGAGUUUAGUAGGAUUAUUUGAUUUUCCUCGUUGAUUUUGGUUAUUUCUCGCUUUAGAAAGUCUAGGUAAUUAAGCUAGUUUAAUUGCGGCCCAUUUGUUAGUAAGUGAGGCCCAAAAUCUUCCUUAAGUAUGUAGGGUAGUUUGGUCAAUUUUUGGAUUAGGGUUAAUGCUUGUAAGGGCUAUAAAUAGCCCCACUUCCUCUUUGUUUUGGGAUGAGUUUUUGGCUAUUAAAUACAAUUAAUGAGUUUUCACUUUCUCUUUGGCAAGAGAGUUUCCUUUGAAUACUUGAGAAUCUUCUCAAGUUAUUUACCUGAACUUAUCAAUCGAGUAUCUCCUUGAUUGUGGCGUUCUACUACCUCCAAUUUGGUUCGUUAAUUCGAGUAGUUACGGGUUGAGAUAAUAUCAAAAUUGUUCGUGACUUCUAGGGAUUAGUUGGGUCAAAUUUCCGCUGCCUAAGCCAUGGUGUUUUGGUUGUCUAGAUCGGGGUUUCAUAUCAGCCCUUCUUUAAUGUCUUUGGUUAGACACAGUAAUAGCUUUUUAAACCACACAAAUUCCAUCAUCAAGAAAUACGAUCUCCACUUGCUCACUAUGAAACCCCUCAUAAUAGAGAUUUAGACGGUGACCAUUUACCACGAACUUUUUCUCGAUCUUCAGACUCUGGAUUUCCACUGCACCAUAAUGAAAAAUAUUAGAAACAACAAAUGGACCAAUCCAACGCGAACGCAGCUUACCUGGAAAAACGUUAAGCAUCGAGUGAUAAAGGAGGACUUUUUGCCCUACUACAAAUGACUUUUUUGAGACUUGCUGGUUGUAAAAGACUUUGCUCCUCUUUUUAUAAAUUGCUGCGUUCUCAAAGGUUUCAUUUCUUAGCUCCUCCAACUCUUGUGAUUGGAGCUUUCUAUGUCUCCCUACAUCCACAGGUCCAUGUUACAUCGCUUAAUCGCCCAGAAUGCCUUGUGUUCAAAUUCUACUAGGAUGUGGCACGGCUUUCCAAAAACCAAUCUCUAUGGAAACAUUUCAAUCGGGAUUUUAUACGCGGUGCGGUAAACCCACAGAGCAUCUUCCAAUUUCAAACUCCAAUCCUUCCUGUCAGGCCGCACCAUCUUUUCCAGGAUUGACUUAACCUCCCUAUUCGACACUUCGGCCUGACCAUUCGUCUGCGGAUGAUAGGGCGUCGAUACUUUGUGGAGUACGCCAUAUUUACGGAAUAAGGCAGCAAUCGUCUUAUUGCAAAAAUGAGUACCCCUGUCACUAACUACAGUUCGCGACAUUCCAAAGCGGACAAAAAUGUUAUAUUUUAUAAAUUCUGUAACCACUCUCGAAUCAUUAGUCCGGGCGACCUUUGCCUAUACCCAUUUGAAAACAUAAUCGACAGCAAGUAAAAUGUACAAGAAACCAAAAGACGAGGGAAAGGGACCCAUGAAAUCUAUACCCCAAACGUCAAAAAUUUCAACAAACAACAUAAGGGCUUGAGUCAUUUGAUCUCUACGAGAAAUAUUCCUCAUCUUUUGAUACUUAUCACAAGAUUUACAAAACAAAUAUGCAUGUUUAAACAGAGUAGGCCAAUUAAAACCACACUCCAACACCUUACGAGCUGUUCGCUUUGGCCCAAAGUGCCCUUCACAUGCAAAUGAAUGACAAAAAAUUAAAAUAGAAUAGAACUCACCUGUACUUACACACCUUCUUAUCACUUGAUCCGAGCAUUGCCUCCACAGGUAAGGGUCAUUCCAAAUAUAGUGUUUGGCAUCACUUCUCAAUUUAUCUCUCUUAGCCUUUGGCCAACCUGCAGGUAAUUGAUUCGUUAUCAAAAAAUUGACAACAUCAGCAUAUCAAGGUACCGACGAAUAAAUGGCUAGUAACUGCUCCUCGUGAAACGAUUCUCUCAAUGGCAGAUCCUCCUUAUUCAUAAGCAAACGGCUCAAAUGAUCAGCCACCAAAUUCUCGGCCCCACUCUUAUCUUCGAUCUCUAAGUUGAACUCUUGUAGAAGCAAAAUCCACCUUAUGAGCCUUGGUUUUGCAUCUUUCUUCGCUAACAAGUACCUCAAGGCUGCAUGAUCAGAAAAAUAAUUACUUUUGCACCCAAUAAAUAUGACCUAAAUUUUUCUAGUGCAAAAACAACGGCUAGUAAUUCUUUCUCUGUCGUGGAAUAGUUAAGUUAAGCUCCAAUCAAUGCUCUCAACGCAUUGUAAAUCGCGUGCACUGCCUUGCCAAUCCUUUGCCCCAACACUGCUCCUACGGGAUAAUCACUCGCAUCGCACAUUAUUUCAAAUGGCAAGCUCCAAUUUGGGGGUUGAAUGACGCGCGGCGAUGUCAACUACUCCUUCAAUUUAUCAAAAGACACCUUGCAUUCACUGGUGAAAUUGAAUGUCACGUCCUUUUGUAGUAAUUUGAACAGGGGUGCUCCGAUCUUUGAGAAACCCUUGAUGAACCUCCUAUAAAAUCCUGUAUGGUCCAAAAAAGAACGUACUUCCCGUACACAUACAGGGUAAGGCAAAGUAGAAAUAAGAUCUAUUUUUGUUUUAUCUACUUCUAUUCCCUUAGUCGACAUAACGUGCUCUAAAACAAUACCAUAUUCCACCAUAAAGUAGCAUUUUUUUCAGUUAAGAACUAAGUUCGUCUCUAUGCACCUUUUCAGAAUUAGAGCUAAAUUAUCGAGACAUUCAUUAAAACUAUACCUGUAUACACUAAGGGAGCAUUUGGUAAACGGGUUUCGGAAUGAAGUUAUGGAAUAAAUUCUAUGAUUCAUGUUUGGUUCACUACUAUCGGAAUUAAAAUUUUGGAAUGAUGUCUAAAAAUUUAGCAUUUCUCCAUUCCUUAGUAAGUUGGUGGGCUUUGUCCAAAAUCUAAGUCUGAUUUCCAAAUCUUAUAAUUAUAUAAUAUUAGUACAAUUAAUAUUUUUAUAUAUAUAUUAUAUAUUUCUAUUUCUAUUUAUAUUAUAAUGUAUACAUAUAUAAUAUAUAAUAUUUUAUUAUAAUAUUAGUAUACUAUAUAAAUAUAUAUUAUAAUUAUUUAGCUAAAUAUAAUUAUAUUUAUAUAAUAUAUAUUAUAAAUUUAUUAAUAUUAUAUAAUAAUAUAUUUAUAAACCAGACGGGACGAGGGGUUAGCCCCUUAAACCAGGAAAGUAAAGAAGAUUAAAGAAAUAAAAAGCAUAAGAGUAAGAAAGUGGGUCGCAGUCGGACUGCCACUAGUUAGUAUAGGCGGUUAGACCGGCCAUGUAUAAACAGAAUGUAAAUAACAGAAUGUAAAAAUAAGUUAGUGUUAGUUCAGGCGGUAUAACCGACCAUUGAUUGUUAGUAUAAUCAAACAAAUAAAAACAAAGUAAAUGAAUAUGAAUGUAGGUGGCUCAACCAACCAUUUGAUUGAAUGAUAUAGAAUGUAAAAAUGAAAGAGAGCUUACAAGAUAUGAAGCUCGCACAAGGCUUGCUCAUUUGUUUGAAUCUAAACUAAAAAUCUAAAAACUAGUUUGUAGAGAGAGGGAGGAGGAUUCUUCAAGCUAGAGAGAGAAGUAGCUUUGAAGAAUUGGUGUAAGAAUGGUGUGUGGAAUGUGUUGGGUUUGAGGGGUAUUUAUAGCAAAUUUUCCGUAGUGCUACAGCACCCUCUACAGUGAUUUGCUACAGUACCGCUACAGUGCAACGUUUGUCUUUUGUUGCCGUGUUUGCACAGUAUUUUGCCGGAUUGCUACAGUGCUUCCGGUGCUACAGUAAAAAUGAUUUUUUCUGAAUUUUUGUUCCGAUUGAGCCAGCUUGAAUAUCUUGUUUUUAGAAGAUAGUUGCGGAUAGCUCUUGUUUUGUUUCUUGAAUCAUUUUGUCAAUCUCAGGUGCUUGUGUUCCCCUUUGAUGCUUGAUCCAAUGUUUGUGAAGAAUUAGUCUCUGAAUUUUUCUUCGCCUCAUGAAGCUUUGAUCCUUCAAACUGCGAACUGUGUAGUUUGUUGGUUUUGCAACAAUAUUGUUAUGUUGAUACCGAAGAUAGGGAGGAAUGCUUUGUCCAGUUUCAAAGUUGUAAAAUACAACAUUGAAGAAUCUGAUCCUAUCUUUCCUGCAUUGAUGUUUGUGAGAAUAAUAUUCUUUUGCGAUAGAAUUAUUGGCAAGGUAUUGAGGUAUCCAUUCGUCGACUGUUGCUGAAUUUGUCAUUCUUCCUGCAAAACAAAAUUUGUUAGUUUUUUAAAAAAAGGCAGGAGGGCAUUUGAAUCAAGAAGUUGGGGUAUUAUGCCCUCGUUUGUAGUAAGAUAAGGAACAAGUUUUUGAAUAAAAGGCGUUCCAAGAAUAACAUUGUUGGAUAGUUUUUUGGCUAGAAGAAAUGUAUUUGGAAUAGAUAAGGAGGAGAAUUGGAUUUGAACAUUUGUUAACUUGAAGUUAAUUUCAAGUUUGGAUCCAUUAGCUCCUCUGAGAAUUUCUUUGUUUUGUUCAAAGAAUUGAGGUGGGAUAAGGCUUUCAAGAAUACAAUUUUGGUCUGCCCCAGUAUCAAAUAGGGCUUCAGUUUCGAUCACAUAAUUAUUAUUAAUUAGUAAUCGAAUCUGGACCAAAUAAUCCUUGUCUUCCUUGGGUUUUUUAGAAAGUUGUUCUAGGAAUUCAGAAUCCUCCUGGUUGAUAGAUUCCUCAAUUGGUGUUAGGUUUUGAAGAACAAGGUUGCUAAGGUCUUGUUUGGCUUUAAUUGAUCUAAUCUCCUCUUUGAGCAGAUCAAUUUCUAUUUGAAGGUGUUGUAGGAUCAAAGGUUUAACAGGUUUGGAGGGAAACCUAUCAAGAAUGUCUGUGAGAUUAUAGGUUUUAAGAAUUCUAGGGUCUCUAGCUAAGGGAUUUGAAGAAUUUGUGGCUUGGUUCAGGGAUUCUUUGAAUUUGUCUAAAUAGAGUUGUCUCUUCUCUAUUUCAGGAGUGUCUUCAAUGAUGUCAAGAAGAAAGUUUUGGUCUUUUGUUAAGACAUUGAUGGUAGGGCCUUCUCCUUCUUUGUCACUAGUGGUUUAUGAGGAAGUAGAUGUUGAAAUAUCAUCUUCCAAUUGAUUGAGAUAAUCUUCUUCUUCUUUUUCAGAAUCAGUUUCUGAAUCAAUUAGAAGGUUUGAUAUUUGAAUUUUGACUUGGUCAUCUAGUCCCAAAGUAUUAAUCCUUUGGUUGAGUUUGCAAUAUUGAGCUAUAUGCCCGGGUUUAUGGCAUUUGUAGCAAACUGGAGAGGAGUUUGUUAUUUGAGGAGACUGUAUGAGUGGAGACUGUAUGGGUAAAGGUUGUUUGGCCUGAUAUUUCAUUUUGUAUAUAGGUGGUUUUUCAAAAUGUUUUGUGGGCUUGGGCCGUUUGUGAGGUUUUUUGUAGCAACUGGGUAACCCAAACUGUUCACAAAAGGAUCCAAGGUCUUUUCUCCUUUGGGCUCGAUCCUUUGCUAGUUGUCUGAGCAUCUUGUCUUGUCUGCACAUCUUGAGUGCCACUUGUUGAAUUUGACUGGUUAACUGUUCAUAGGUUAUUUCUUCCCAUGGUACAGUUUCAUUGUAUUGAGUCCUUAAUUUUUCUCGAAUAAGGUCUCUUAAUGAUUUUGGAAGACCAUCAAGGAAUUUUUCUUUCCAAUAGGCCUUGUUGCCAUCCGUCCUGGAGUAUAUUCUGGUUAAGAAUGUAUCCUUAUACCAUCGAAAGUCUGAAAGACUCUUGCAUUUGAGAUUGUUUAGUAGCUCCGAUGAUUUUUCCUUGAAUAUCCCUGGAUCACCGACGAAUGUUUUUGCAAUGGUGAAUAUCAAGGUUGCCACCGCAUCUGAGAUAGUAUCUUCAUCUCGAAAAAUUGGUUCACCAUUAGUAUCCACCUUGAUAGCAUUAAGAAUGUUGUCUUUGUCUUCUGUGGUGAGGUGUUCAUCCCACCAACCUUUGAGUUGUCCUGUAAAUCCUGUAAUAAGAAUAUGAGCAGCUAAUUGGUCAGUACAGCCAUGUGAUGUUCGAUAGGCUGUUGCCACCACUGUCAUUUGCUGAAGAAUUGUAAGAAUGUUGUAUUCAGAAAUCCCAUCUAUGCUUCAUUCAUAUAUGUUGUUAGCAUUAUAUGAAUUUUGCAAGAUGUUUGGUUUUUCUUCAAGAAGGAUAUCUGGAUAAGUGGCUCUGGAAUAGUAUAGUUUUUGUGGAUUUUUCCAAUUGGUAAUCUGGUUUUGUGAAGAAGAAGGUUGAUGUAAUUUGUUUAAGGUCAAAGACUCUUGAGAUUCUUCUUUGGUAAUGGUACAAGCUGUUUGACUAAUACUUGCAGAACCUUGGUUAUUUGACCCUUGUUUGGACAUUGGGGUAGAAAAGGAUUGUUCUAUUUUGGCUAUUCGUUUUUCCAAUUGGGUUAAGGGUUUGUUUUGGAAUUCUUUUUGAAAUUUGGUUGGUAUUUCAUGAGGUUUGAAAAUUGGGUUUGAUGAAGAAGUGGUUAUAGAAGGAAUUUUGGGUAUAGGUUGGUUUAAGAGAUAUUCUCCAAGAGUUUGGAGAUACUUGUUGGUAUAGUUGUUUUGCUCAUAGAUUCCUUGGAUGUCCUUGCUAUUAAUUGCUCCUUCAUCCUGGAUGUUCUUGAGCUUGAAUGGCUUAGCAUUAAUCUCCGUUGAUUUGUAUGUGAAGGUGAUUGACUUUGGUGGUGGAAGCUGUACUUGAAUUUCUGCUUCAGCUGUCUGGCACCUUGUCACCACAUUUGUUGUUUGCGAAAAAGGAUAAUUAAUUCCUUUUCUUUGUGAAUAUACUUCAAACCAAUCGAAGAACUGAAUAUGUUGUUUCGUUCUUCUAAGAAACCCAUAGAAAUCUUCUUGUAUUUUUUGUCGAUGUUGUCCCUUGUAUUUGUCAAAGAACCACAUGCUUUUUGGAUAAUUGUUGUCAGCAUAAAAUUCUGUCCUGAUAUUUUGUUUAUCAGAGGAAAUUACCCUUAACUCAUCAAGUUGAGGACGACUCUCUAUUAUUGAAGAAUAUGUAGGAGAUCUCGGAAGUCCUUCUUGCUCCACAUCAUCAGAGGAUUCAUCGUGGACCUCUGAAGGAGUAGGUUUGCUGGCUGCAUACCUUGCCUGUGGAAUCUUAGAAGAAAGAUCUAGAUCUUGUAGUCUGGUUGAAAUGGAAGGAGCCAGUGGUCUGUCUGAAACUGAUCUUCUUCCUGUUGAAUAUCUAGGCAUAUCUAUAUCAGUUGUUGAUGAAGAUGAUGUCCUAAAACUCAUAGAUCUGUCAAAUUUGAUUUGAACAGCUCCAGAAGCAAAUUGUUGGAUGCUUGAAACUGUUGUAUUUUGUAUUGGAUCUGCUGGGGCUACUUCCGGAAGAACCCAGCUUUCUAGCAACGAGAUCUGAUUCCAGGUGAUAGAUCUUGGAACUGUAAUCCUAGAUCUGGCUAGAUCUGUCUGGAACAGGACUGUUUCUCCUUUUUGUAAUGUUCUUAGGGCUCCUGUCCUGAAUGCUGAAUUCAUAACCUUGUAUUGAAUUCUAUAAAUAAUAGCUACAGGAAGAGUCCCAGUUUUGACUCUAUAGUUAACAGUUUUUAUGUUUAAUGUUAAAGUAUCUAGAAUAUUUUUAUCUUUUAAAGAGACUGUGAAGUUUGGAAAACAAUCAAAAUAUACUGGUCCUCCGCAAAGGCUUGUUUCUGCCAUACCUAGGAGGGAAUCAUUGAAUUCUAAGAAUCUGCUAUCUCUAAGACAAAGGAGUAGGGAUGUAUCUAAUCCUUCUCUUGUCAAAGGUUUAGUUGCAAUUUGUACUAAUCCAAAAUGAAUAUAAAUGUAUUUUUCCUUAUGUUUUUCUAUUGUUCUUUUGGAUAAUAGUUUGAUUUCUUCAUGAUCAGCAUCUAAUGCUAUAGUUUGUUCUACUGUUUUAAUUGUAUAAUCUGAUGCAGAAAACAUCCACUUAACUCGUGAAUUCUUGCAGGAAAGAUAAGAUGCCCAAGAAAAAGAAACAACAGGAGAAAUCCUCUGACAAACCAGACGGGACGACCAAACCAUUUUUCUGGGUAAUAUAAAGGAAGGUAUUUAGAUGUUUGAAAUGUUGUUCAAUGUUUUCUGAGAAUACUAGAACAUCAUCAAUAUAGACGAUGAUGAAAGAGGAAUAAGGACUGAAUAUCUCAUUCAUAAUCCUUUGGAAUUCAGAGGGAGCAUUUUUAAGUCCAAAUGGCAUCACGUUCCAUUCGUAAUGUCCAAAUGGCACAGUGAAUGAUGUUUUGUAUCUGUCUGAGAUAUGAAUCUGAAUUUGCCAAAAUCCUGACUUCAUAUCAAACUUUGAGAAUAUUUUGGCAGAAUAAAGUCUCUGAAGUAGAUCCUUCUUGUUUGGUAUGGGAUAUCUGAUCCAUCGAAGAGCUUUAUUCAGGGCUUUGUAAUUGAUUACAAGCCUAGGAACUCCUCUUUCAAUCUCCGAUUGUUUGUUGACAUAGAAUGCUGGACAGCUCCAUGGAGAUUGACUUGGACUAAUAAUGCCUUUUGAAAGAAGAUCAUUAAUCUCCUUUUGACAAUGUUGGAGUAGUUCUUGAUUCAUCUGUAUAGGCCUGGCUUUUGUUGGAAUAUCUUUUUCUUCAAAGUCAGGUUCAUAAGGAAGGUGUACAGUAUGUUGUUUCCUUGCCCAAAAUGCAGUUGGUAUUCCUGCACAAACUUUCCCUUGGAUUUUGUUUGCAACUUCUGGAUUUUUUGCUGAAUAUCUGUCCUCUUGAGCUGCUCAUCUAUCCUUUUGUAAAUAAUUUCCUCUUUUAGGAAAUUGAUUUGGUUAUGCUUGAGGGAUAGAUAAUUUAAUGUUUUUUGAACUGGUUUUCUAGAAAAGGGUAAAAGAGCACUUUGCCCAUAAUUUUGGGGUAUGAUUCCCUCAUUAGUAGUCAAAUAAGGGAUAAGUUUGGUGACAAAGGUUGUUCCAAGAAUAACAUUGUUGGUUAGGUCCUUUGCUAAGAGGAAUGUUUCUUUAAUGGAUACAGAAGAAAAUUGGACUUGGACGUUUGAGAGUUUGAACUGAAUGUUUAAUUGGGAACCAUUGGCUCCUCUAAGGCCUUGUUUUGUUUUUUCAAAGAAUUUUGUUGGGAUGAGACCUUCUUGAAUACAGUUAAGAUCAGCCCCUGUGUCAAGUAAGGCUUCUGUCUCUGCAGCAUAAUUGUUAUCAAUAACUAGUCUUAUAAGAACAAAAUGUUUUUUGUAAGUUAUUAUGUUUGACUGAGAAGGAUUAUUUUCUUCUUUAGUAGUUGUUUUCUCAAUUGUUUUAACUUCCUUUUUGAGAGAAACAAUCUCUGUUUGAAGAUCUUUAAUAGUUAUUGGUGGUGUCUGGUAUCAGAGCCAGAGGGGGAAGUGGGGAGAUGGCUAUCUUUUUUUACUUAUUAUGAUGUUGGUAGUGUAGAUCUACAAGAUUAAAUCUUUCUGAUGAGAUUUAUUAACUUCGUGAUUACUAUCUUUCUUUAUUUAUGCUACUGAUAGUGUAGAUCUACAAGUUUAGAUCUGAUUAGAUGAGACUAUUCAACUUCGUGAUUACUAUCUAAUGUAUUCAAGCUAUAUUAUAAUUUUGGUAGUCUAAAUUUCUUGACUCUGGAUCUGAUUAAAGGACAUGGAACCAGCAAGGGCCAGCAUCCGGUCCAAGUAAGACCAUGGGAUUUGGCUCUGUAGGGGUGUUAAGGUUCUUGGGACGUACUCCAGGAUGGGGAAGUGUCAAGAGGUCAGAUCCAGGGAACUGAAUUUUUACUAUCAAUCUUAUGAUUUGUUUGGAAAUAUAGUCGUCAUGCAUAGUUGAUCUUUCUCAAAAGAUUUAGAUCUAUUCUGUAUGUUUAUUUUUACUAUCUUUAUUAUGAUGGAAAUAUGGUCAUCAUGUAUAGUUAAUUCGUCUCAAAAGGUUAGAUAUUUUCUUGUAAAUUUUCACACUAUCCUUUAUAAUCUAUUUAGAAAAAUGGUUUAUCCUCCAUGGAUCCCGAAGGAUUCUGUGCCAAAGGGAAGAGGAAUAUAAAGUUUGUUUAUUUAAGUUGAUUUAUUGUUUCUUUUCAUGGCUUCCUUUUUAGAACCAACUCUACCUCUUCUAGUUCCUCUUCAAACACCAAACUAAAAGAAGAAAUUCAUAUACAAGAUAUCAAUCAAGACAUAGACAAUUGGGAAAUUCCUAAAUAUACUCAAACUGAUAUUUAUGAAAGAGACAGAAAGUGGAUGUUUUCUGCAUCAGAUUAUACAAUUAAAACAGUAGAACAAACUAUAGCAUUAGAUGCUGAUCAUGAAGAAAUCAAACUAUUAUCCAAAAGAACAAUAGAAAAACAUAAGAAAAAAUACAUUUAUAUUCAUUUUGGAUUAGUACAAAUUGCAGCUAAACCUUUGACAAGAGAAGGAUUAGAUACAUCCCUACUCCUUUGUCUUAGAGAUAGCAGAUUCUUAGAAUUCAAUGAUUCUCUCCUAGGUAUGGCAGAAACAAGCCUUUGUGGAGGACCAGUAUAUUUUGAUUGUUUUCCAAACUUCACAGUCUCUUUAAAAGAUAAAAAUAUUCUAGAUACUUUAAUAUUAAACAUAAAAACUGCUAACUAUAGAGUCAAAACUGGGACUCUUCCUGUAGCUAUUAUUUAUAGAAUUCAAUACAAGGUUAUGAAUUCAGCAUUCAGGACAGGAGCCCUAAGAACAUUACAAAAAGGAGAAACAGUCCUGUUCCAGACAGAUCUGGCUAGAUGAUACGAAAUAUGGGCCGCUUAUGGGCCAUAUUUUGGGUUGCAAGAGAUUGAAUCUUUUAGUAAUAGUUAGUAGUUUAUUUUCCAGAUUUCUAUGUUAUUUGCUAGGAGUAAAUUCGGUCCAAGACCACAUGUUGAGUUGGAUCCGAUUUAUAGAGUCUAGGUUCACUAUUACUUAAGUUGGUUAAUUAGCUUUUAUUGGGUUAUGUUGGGCCAGCUUAAAGCCUUCAUUGGAUCGAUUAUAAGCUGACCAUUAGAUAGUGGAUUUGAGUAGUGGAAUCGGGCCAAAAAGGCCUAGCCUAGCCGAGUUAGGGUUUUCAAGUCACUUUAGGUUUUCAAGUUGUAUGGCUAUAUAUAGCCAAGGCAAAAGACCUUCAUAGUUAGUUUUUGACGAUUAAUAAAAUUACAUUGAGAGUUCUCUCAAGCUUCAUUGAAGCACCUUGAAUAUCUUAGAUUUGUAUCUUAGGUAUUCAAUUGACUUAUUGAUCUAGGACCGCGCUAGAUUGUGGCGUCUUCUACAAUUACCGAGGUUCGUUGACCACGUGAUCAACGGGUUUAGGUGAUCCGCUGCGUUCGUCGUCUUCAACAUGAGUCUCUACCUUCUAGAUCCAAGCCUUUCUGUACGGGUUGCAUCACACGGUUGGUGCCGUUCGUAUCAGCUGGCAUCAGAGCUAGUUGAAGGUAUCACGUGUAUUACCCUUUUCCUUUGAGUCGUUUGCCUUCUUUUGGUGUCGCUUGCUGUUCUUGUUUGAGUCAAAAAAAAAUCUGUUCAAGUGUCUCUAAUCUGUCCAAGCUUUGUCGCAUUUGUUUUGUCUUGUUCUCGAGUAAAAAUCUGUUCGUGGAGUAUUCAAUCUGUUCGCGUAAAUCUGAAUCUGUUUGGUCGUGUCUUUUAGUCAGAAAUUGCUGUCCAAGUCGUAUACAAUCUGUCCAAGGCAGUCCGCCGCUGUUACUUUUGUCUUGCGUUGAAAAUUUCUGCUUUGUGUCUCUGUUGGGUAAUCUGCCAUCGUGCGUGUGUUGUAUCUGUCCGUGUUGGUCAAAUCUGUCCAAGUCUUCUGUGGCUAUUUUAUUUUUCUUUUUAUUCUAUUUUUUUUGUGGUCGUUGGUUGCGUCGUUAAUCUUCCUUGUAUCGUUGAGUCACAAUUUCUGCCACUUGAGUUUCCUGUUCGUUAGGUUGGUCUUCGCGUCUUUUUCUUGCUGGGUGUAGCGUAUCCUUGGGGCUGCCGCACCUAGUGGUUUAGCCGUGAGUGUCCUUAGAGUUCCUAGGGUUUUUCUUGAGUAAAAAAGAAAAAAAGAAGAGAGAGAAGCGGCUGCAUACCUUGUUCAUUCCCCGCUUGACCGAGAUUAGGAAUUGUUGUCAAGGGUGGGAACCAAUUGUGGGCUGUUUUUGGGUAUUCACCCUUGAUUAGGAAGUGAAACCAUCUUGGUAGUCGUGAGUUUGGAAACAAUUCCAAAGGGUAUUUGGUGUAAAUUACCAAGUGCAUGAAAUCUGAUUGGUUGUCCUUUGUAGUGCAUGAAAUCCGAGUGGUCCUUUGGCAAGUGAAAUCUGAUUUGCAUGAAAUCUAAGUUGCUCGUUGCUCUCCUUUUGUCGGCUAGACCCAAAUUAAAAAAAAAAACUGAUUUUUUUUUGCUUGCUUUUGUUCGGCCAAGCAAGCAAAGUGUGUUCCCUUAGCUGAAGCUGAAAUCUGAUUGCUUGCUUUUGUCGGCCAUACACAAACUAAAAAGCGGCCAGCCAAGUUCCAAAAGCAGGAAAAUCCAGCCAAGUUCCAAGCAAUUGUUUCGGCCAAGCCAAGUCCAGAAUUUUAUUGUCAAUCAAUUGGAAGUACUACAUAGUGGUCCGAACGAAAAAGCAACAGCAAAAACAAUCAAAAAUUUUGGUCCAUUCCUUCUUGAAAAUCUUGAGCACUUUGCGUCUUGGGAACUUGCAUCACUCUUCGUUUUAAAAGUUUCUUGUAUUCUUUUGCGGUGGUGAAAGGUUUCCUUGGUUUUGGAGUGAAUCUUGUGGGAAAAUCUUGGGUAACCCGUUGGGGGGGAGCCUGAGAAGGGUUAGUCACAUCACCUUGUUUUUCCAUUGAUCGUUGUUCGUGUUGAGAGAGCCGAAUUGCUUGUGUCUUGAGGGGGAGUUAGAGGCGAAAUUUUGGGGGGCAAGGAUCGGCUGUAAAGAGAGGAAUUUAAGGGGGAGAAUAGCGGACCUUUGUGAAGGGUUUAAGAAGAGGACAUUCUGGAAAAAUUUCAGAGGUUAGGACACUACCAAAACUGAUUUUGCACUUGGCUUCCUAACCGACUUGGAGAGUAGUUUAAGAAGGCAUAAUCUGGAUUUUUUUUUUUUUUUUUUUGGAAACCAAAUCUGCUUUGGGGGGGAGCCAACUUUGAGAAGGUUUAAGGAGACAGAAAUCUGGAAUUUUUGGACACCAAACCUGAUUUGGUAAUCCACAUUAGAUUGGGAGUUGGAAACUAAUUAAAAUUGUUCAGGGACAGGUUCUCUAAGGGGUUUCCAAAACUAACUUGAAGUCCAAAUCUAUUUAGGAAACUAAGUAAGAACACUUGGAAAAUUCUUGUUCUACUUGGACACUCCCCUAAAAUAACUCCUUGUUUAGAAAACUCUUCCUACUUUCUCUCCCACGCUUUAGGAAGUCAUUCCUUGUUUUAGGAAACUACUCCUAUUUUCACUCCUAUUUUCACUCCUUUAUUUUAGGAAACCUUCCUACAUUCUCUCCUACUUUUCUCCUAUAUUUUCCUUCCUUUUCCUCCAUUGCCGCCCCCUCUCACCUAGUUCCAUUCCUAUCCGAGUCUUAGUCUUCCAUUUCUUACAUUUUAAGACGUUCCAUCCUUUUAUUUUAUUAUUCCUCGAGUCACUCAUUUUUAUUUCGUUGAGGAUUGCCACAUUCUCGUGCUCUAAGUUGGAGGUUGAUUGUUUGCUUGGAGGACUUCUAAUUUCUUCAAGGUAAGCUAUCAAGAGGGUUUGAGAACAUUGGUGAGAUUAUUAGAGUGCUCUUGGGUGACAUACACGAGUGUAGAGCGCAAACACGCGAGGGAGUGAGUGAGGGCUACCUUUUCCUACUUGUUUGCUACUAACCUUUUUGCAGAUAUACUACAUCAUGUCGGAGGAGAGUGAUGCAUCCAAACUAGGCUCCAAGCUACACAAUCAAGCAAUGAUGGGGGAAUUCCAACGCAUGCUUAGGGAAUCUAUGGCAUCACUACACCAACGGAUGGACCGCUUAGAGCUUUCUCAAGCUCGGUCCAAAGCAGCUCAUCGAGAUGCACCACCUCACGAGAAGUUCGCUUCUAAUAGCGAGGAAGAUGACUUCAUCCGUCGGCCUAAGCAGGACUACCGGAGGACCGAUGACGGAUUAAAAGGAGUCAAGAUCAAGAUUCUCGCAUUCCAAGGCAAGUCUAGUCCGGAGGCUUACCUAGAGUGGGAACAGCGAAUCGAGAUGGUAUUCGAGUGCCAGGACUACACCGAUGAUAAAAAAGUCAAACAGGCAACUCUCGAAUUUACCGAUUACGCUAUUGUCUGGUGGGAGCAGGAGCGCACUAGCAGGCGCCGCAAUAGAGAACAACAAAUUAGUACAUGGGAGGAGUUACGGACCACUAUGAGGAAACGGUUUGUACCGAGCCAUUACUAUCGUGAUCUAUAUCAACGGCUCCAGACAUUAGUCCAAGGAAGCCGUACUGUGGAGGACUACUAUAAGGAGAUGGAGAUCACCAUGCUCCGAGUUGAUAUUGUGGAGGAUGGAGAGACUACCAUGGCAAGAUUUCUCAACGGCUUAAGACCUGAGAUCGCUGAAUUGGUGGAGUUGCAAAACUACGUGGACAUGCCUGAGCUAAUUGAUAAAGCAUCCAAGAUCGAGAGGAGGCUUAAGAGGAGGGGUAACACUCGUAACCCUAUCUUCUCGGCAACGCCUGCGUGGAGAGGCAACCCGACCUUCGAGCGGGAACGGCCUAGUCCAGGGGUGUCCAAGUUUACUCCUCAGACCGAACCACCCAAGCCAGCCCCAACGGCAACUCCAAGGCCUCCAUUCGACUCUUCCAAGCCACGAAGCCGCGACAAAUGCUUCAAAUGCCAAGGAUUUGGGCACAUUGCUUCUCAAUGUCCUAAUAGGCGUACCAUGAUUGUCCUACCGAGCGGAGAUGUCGUAUCGGACGAUGAGGAUGAAUUCGCCGAGAUGCCUCCAUUGACUGAUGAAGGUGAAGAUUCUGAGGAGGAGGUUGAGGCCACUACCGAGCAAGUGGGUGUUGCUCUAGUAGCCCGUCGGGCUCUUGCAACCCAAGUCAAGAAGGUGGAUGAGGCCCAACGUGAUAACAUCUUCUACACAAGAUGUCAUGUCAAGGAUAGAGUAUGUAGCCUCAUCAUCAACGCGGGUAGUUGUACAAAUGUGGCAAGCACUCUCAUGGUGGAUCAUCUUUCCUUGCCCACAUUAAGGCACCCUAGCCCAUACCGCUUGCAAUGGAUCAAUGAGAGUGGCGAUAUCAAGGUCACCAAGCAGGUGGUAGUGCCUUUUCGAAUUGGGAAGUAUGAGGACGAGGUCCUUUGCGAUGUCGUCCCAAUGCAAGCUUCUCACAUUUUGUUGGGACGGCCAUGGCGAUAUGACAAGAAGACUACUCAUGAUGGCUGUACCAACAAAUACUCCUUCUUGCACCACAACAAGAAGAUGACGCUUGUCCCUCUCACACCUCAAUAGGUGCACGAAGAUCAAUUGCGAUUGCAACAAGAGCAUGAACGAGAGUUGUCCAAGAAGUCAACCGAUUCUACAGCAUUCACUAAGGCACCAGUCGAGAGGACAUCUAUCCCUGGAACAUCUGGUCGAAUGGAGAAACGGCCCAACUUGCUUGCCAAGAACAGGGAAGUUCGCAAGUUACUUUUGUCUAAGCAAGUUGUCUAUAUUUUAUAUUGCAAAGAGGUGAUCUUAUUUUCCCAUGAGGCACUCACUGACUUACCUCCUGAAAUUUCUUUUUUGUUGCAGGAAUUUGAGGACGUUUCCCCAGGCGAGAUUCCAAGUGGAUUACCCCCACUUAGAGGGAUCGAGCACCAGAUAGACGUCGUCCCUGGAGCAGCUUUGCCGAACAGACCGGCCUACAAGAUGGGUCCUGAAGAGACUAAGGAGAUCCAGAGGCAAGUGGACGAGCUCUUAGAAAAAGGUUGGGCUCAAGAGAGCAUGAGCCCAUGUGCAGUUCCUGUCAUCCUCGUUCCAAAGAAAGAGGUUAAGCAAGGAAAAAUUGAGUUGAUCUUGGCAUGUUCUAUGCCUAAAUCCAUUGAAGGUUUCAAUUUGAAGGUUCAUGACAUAAGGCUGAUUAGAGAGCUUUGGAGUGGUUGGAGUAAAGCCUUGAGUUUCCCAUGGCGGAUUGUGAGUUUUUUCAAGCUGACCAAGAGACAUGUGCACCGAAUUACAAUAAUCAUGAUGUAUGCAAGUAUCCUUCAUUCUAAGAGAGCCAAUAUGUGAAGAUUUGCGGUGUCAUACUGCCAACUCUUGUAGUACCAUUCAUUUCCAAACACGAUUUGAGGACAAAUCUUUUUUCAAGAGGAGGGGAAUGAUACGAAAUAUGGGCCACUUAUGGGCCAUGUUUUGGGUUGCAAGAGAUUGAAUCUUUUAGUAAUAGUUAGUAGUUUAUUUUCCAGAUUUCUAUGUUAUUUGCUAGGAGUAAAUUCGGUCCAAGACCUCAUGUUGAGUUGGAUCCGAUUUAUAGAGUCUAGGUUCACUAUUACUUAAGUUGGUUAAUUAGCUUUUAUUGGGUUAUGUUGGGCCAGCUUAAAGCCUUCAUUGGAUCAAUUAUAAGCUGACCAUUAGAUAGUGGAUUUGAGUUGUGGAAUCGGGCCAAAAAGGCCUAGCCUAGCCGAGUUAGGGUUUUCAAGUCACUUUAGGUUUUCAAGUUGUAUGGCUAUAUAUAGCCAAGGCAAAAGACCUUCAUAGUUAGUUUUUGACGAUUAAUAAAAUUACAUUGAGAGUUCUCUCAAGUUUCAUUGAAGCACCUUGAAUAUCUUAGAUUUGUAUCUUAGGUAUUCAAUUGACUUAUCGAUCUAGGACCGCGUUAGAUUGUGGCGUCUUCUACAAUUACCGAGGUUCGUUGACCACGUGAUCAACGGAUUUAGGUGAUCCGCUGCGUUCGUCGUCUUCAACGUGAGUCUCUACCUUCUAGAUCCAAGCCUUUCUGUACGGGUUGCAUCACACGGUUGGUGCCGUUCGUAUCACUAGAUCUAGGAUUACAGUUCCAAGAUCUAUCACCUGUAACCAGAUCUCGUUGCUAGAAAGCUGGGUUCUUCCGGAAGUAGCCCCAGCAGAUCCAAUACAAAAUACAACAGUUUCAAGCAUCCAACAAUUUGCUUCUGGAGCUGUUCAAAUCAAAUUUGACAGAUCUAUGAGUUUUAGGGCAUCAUCUUCAUCAACAACUGAUAUAGAUAUGCCUAGAUAUUCAACAGGAAGAAGAUCAGUUUCAGACAGACCACUGGCUCCUUCCAUUUCAACCAGACUACAAGAUCUAGAUCUUUCUUCUAAGAUUCCACAGGCAAGGUAUGCAGCCAGCAAACCUACUCCUUCAGAGGUCCACGAUGAAUCCUCUGAUGAUGUGGAGCAAGAAGGACUUCCGAGAUCUCCUACAUAUUCUUCAAUAAUAGAGAGUCGUCCUCAACUUGAUGAGUUAAGGGUAAUUUCCUCUGAUAAACAAAAUAUUAGGACAGAAUUUUAUGCUGACAACAAUUAUCCAAAAAGGAUGUGGUUCUUUGACAAAUACAAGGGACAACAUCGACAAAAAUACAAGAAGAUUUCUAUGGGUUUCUUAGAAGAACGAAACAACAUAUUCAGUUCUUCGAUUGGUUUGAAGUAUAUUCACAAAGAAAAGGAAUUAAUUAUCCUUUUUCGCAAACAACAAAUGUGGUGACAAGGUGCCAGACAGCUGAAGCAGAAAUUCAAGUACAGCUUCCACCACCAAAGUCAAUCACCUUCACAUACAAAUCAACGGAGAUUAAUGCUAAGCCAUUCAAGCUCAAGAACAUCCAGGAUGAAGGAGCAAUUAAUAGCAAGGACAUCCAAGGAAUCUAUGAGCAAAACAACUAUACCAACAAGUAUCUCCAAACUCUUGGAGAAUAUCUCUUAAACCAACCUAUACCCAAAAUUCCUUCUAUAACCACUUCUUCAUCAAACCCAAUUUUCAAACCUCAUGAAAUACCAACCAAAUUUCAAAAAGAAUUCCAAAACAAACCCUUAACCCAAUUGGAAAAACGAAUAGCCAAAAUAGAACAAUCCUUUUCUACCCCAAUGUCCAAACAAGGGUCAAAUAACCAAGGUUCUGCAAGUGUUAGUCAAACAGUUUGUACCAUUACCAAAGAAGAAUCUCAAGAGUCUUUGACCUUAAACAAAUUACAUCAACCUUCUUCUUCACAAAACCAGAUUACCAAUUGGAAAAAUCCACAAAAACUAUACUAUUCCAGAGCCACUUAUCCAGAUAUCUUUCUUGAAGAAAAACCAAACAUCCUGCAAAAUUUAUAUAAUGCUAACAACAUAUAUGAAUGGAGCAUAGAUGGGAUUUCUGAAUACAACAUUCUUACAAUUCUUCAGCAAAUGACAAUGGUGGCAACAGCCUAUCGAACAUCACAUGGCUGUACUGACCAAUUAGCUGCUCAUAUUCUUAUUACAGGAUUUACAGGACAACUCAAAGGUUGGUGGGAUGAACACCUCACCACAGAAGACAAAGACAACAUUCUUAAUGCUAUCAAGGUGGAUACUAAUGGUGAACCAAUUUUUCGAGAUGAAGAUACUAUCUCAGAUGCGGUGGCAACCUUGAUAUUCACCAUUGCAAAAACAUUCGUCGGUGAUCCAAGGAUAUUCAGGGAAAAAUCAUCGGAGCUACUAAACAAUCUCAAUUGCAAGAGUCUUUCAGACUUCCGAUGAUAUAAGGAUACAUUCUUAACCAGAAUGUACUCCAGGACGGAUGGCAACAAGGCCUAUUGGAAAGAAAAAUUCCUUGAUGGUCUUCCAAAAUCAUUAAGAGACCUUGUUCGAGAAAAAUUAAGGACUCAAUACAAUGAAACUGUACUAUGGGAAGAAAUAACCUAUGAACAGUUAACCAGUCAAAUUCAACAUGUGGCACUCAAGGUGUGCAGACAAGACAAGAUGCUCAGACAACUAGUAAAGGAUCGAGCCCAAAGGAGCAAAGACCUUGGAUCCUUUUGUGAACAGUUUGGGUUACCCAGUUGCUACAAAAAACCUCACAAACGGCCCAAGCCCACAAAAUAUUUUGAAAAACCACAUAUAUACAAAAAGAAAUAUCAGCCCAAACAACCUUUACCCAUACAGUCUCCACUCAUACAGUCUCCUCAAAUAACAAACUCCUCUCCAGUUUGCUACAAAUGCCAUAAACCCGGGCAUAUAGCUCAAUAUUGCAAACUCAACCAAAGGAUUAAUACUUUGGGACUAGAUGACCAAGUCAAAAUUCAAAUAUCGAACCUUCUAAUUGAUUCGGAAACUGAUUUUGAAAAAGAAGAAGAAGAUUAUCUCAAUCAAUUGGAAGAUGAUAUUUCAACAUCUACUUCCUCAUAAACCACUAGUGACAAAGAAGGAGAAGGCCCUACCAUCAAUGUUUUAACAAAAGACCAAAACCUUCUUCUUGACAUCAUUGAAGAUACUCCUGAAAUAGAGAAGAGACAACUCUAUUUAGACAAAUUCAAAGAAUCCCUGAACCAAGCCACAAAUUCUUCAAAUCCCUUAGCUAGAGACCCUAGAAUUCUUAAAACUUAUAAUCUCACAGACAUUCUUGAUAGGUUUCCCUCCAAACCUGUUAAACCUUUGACCCUACAACACCUUCAAAUAGAAAUUGAUCUGCUCAAAGAGGAGAUUAGAUCAAUUAAAGCCAAACAAGACCUUAGCAACCUUGUUCUUCAAAACCUAGCACCAAUUGAGGAACCUAUCAACCAGGAGGAUUCUGAAUUCCUAGAACAACUUUCUAAAAAACCCAAGGAAGACAAGGAUUAUUUGGUCCAGAUUCGAUUACUAAUUAAUAAUAAUUAUGUGAUCGAAACUGAAGCCCUAUUUGAUAUUGGGGUAGACCAAAAUUGUAUUCUUGAAAACCUUAUCCCACCUCAAUUCUUUGAACAAAACAAAGAAAUUCUCAGAGGAGCUAAUGGAUCCAAAUUUGAAAUUAACUUCAAGUUAACAAAUGUUCAAAUCCAAUUCUCCUCCUUAUCUAUUCCAAAUACACUUCUUCUAGCCAAAAAACUAUCCAACAAUGUUAUUCUUGGAAGACCUUUUAUUCAAAAACUUGUUCCUUAUCUUACUACAAACGAGGGCAUAAUACCCCAACUUCUUGAUUCAAAUGCCCUCCUGCCUUUUUCUAAAAAACUAACAAAUUUUGUUUUGCAGGAAGAAUGACAAAUUUAGCAACAGUCGACGAAUGGAUACCUCAAUACCUUGCCAAUAAUUCUAUCGCAAAAGAAUAUUAUUCUCACAAACAUCAAUGCAGGGAAGAUAGGAUCAGAUUCUUCAAUGUUGUAUUUUACAACUUUGAAACUGGACAAAGCAUUCCUCCCUAUCUUCGGUAUCAACAUAACAACAUUGUUGCAAAACCAACAAACUACACAGUUCGCAGUUUGAAGGAUCAAAGCUUCAUGAGGCGAAGAAAAAUUCAGAGACUAAUUCUUCACAAACAUUGGAUCAAGCAUCAAGGGGGAACACAAGCACCUGAGAUUGACAAAAUGAUUCAAGAAACAAAACAAGAGCUAUCCGUAACUAUCUUCUAAAAACAAGAUAUUCAAGCUGGCUCAAUCGGAACAAAAAUUCAGAAAAAAUCAUUUUUACUGUAGCACCGGAAGCACUGUCGCAAUGCGGCAAAUUACUGUGCAAAAAUGGCAACAAAAGACAAACGUUGCACUGUAGCGACACUGUAGCAAAUCACUGUAGCGGGAUUGUAGCACUACGGAAAAUUUGAUAUAAAUACCCCUCAAACCCAACACAUUCCACACACCAUUCUUACACCAAUUCUUCAAAGCUACUUCUCUCUCUAGCUUGAAGAAUCUUCCUCCCUCUCUCUACAAACUAGUUUUUAGAUUUUUAGUUUAGAUUCAAACAAAGGAGCAAGCCUUGUGCGAGCUUCAUAUCUUGUAAGUUCUCUUUCAUUUUUACAUUCUAUAUCAUUCAAUCAAAUGGUUGGCUGAGCCACCUACAUUCAUAUUCAUUUACUUUGUUUUUAUUUGUUUGAUUAUACUAACAAUCAAUGGUCGGUUAUACCGCCUGAGCUAACACUAACUUAUUUUUACAUUCUGUUAUUUACAUUCUAUUUAUACAUGGCUGGCCUAACCGCCUAUACUAACUAGUGGCAGUCCGACUGCGACCCACUUCCUUACUCUUAUGCUUUUUAUUUCUUUAAUCUUCUUUACUUUCCUGGUUUAAGGGGCUAACCCCUCGUCCAGUCUGGUAUCAGAGCCAGAGGAGGAAGUGGGAAGAUGGCUAUCUUUCUUUAUUUGCUAUGAUAUUGGUAGUGUAGAUCUACAAGAUUAAAUAUAUAUAAUAUAUAUUAUAUGUGCAUAUAAUUAUAAUAUAUACAUGUAUAUAAUAUUAAUAAAUUAUAUAAUUAUAUUUAUAUUUAUUAUUUUAAAAAUAAUAAUAUGUAAUAAUAAAUAAUUUAAUAUGUAAUAUACAUUAUAUUUAUAUCAAAUACUAGUAUAACUAAUAUUUAUAUAUAUUAUAUAAUUAUAUAUUUAUAUUUAUAUUAUAAUAUUUGCAUAAUUAUAUUUAAUUAUAUAUGUAAUAUUUAAUUUAAUUAGUUAAUAACUUAUAAUAAUGAUAUUAAUAGAUUAUAUAAAUAUGUAUUAUAAUUAUUUAGUUAAAUAUAGUUAUAUUUAUAUUAUAAAUUUAUUAAUAUUAUAUAAUAAUAUUUAUAAUAUAUAUGUAUAUUUAUAAAUGUAUAUUAUAUGUGCAUAUAAUUAUAAUAGAUACAUGUAUAUCAUAUUAAUAAAUUAUAUAAUUAUUAUUUUAAAUAUAACAAUAUAUAAUAAUAACUAUAUUUAACAUGUAAUAUACAUUAUAUUUAUACAAAAUACUAGUAUAAUUAAUAUUUAUAUAUAUUAUAUAUUUAUAAUUAUAUAUUUAUAUUAUAACAUUUGUAUAAUUAUAUUUAAUUAUAUAUAUAAUAUUUAAUUUAAUUAGUUACAACUUAUAAUAAUGAUAUUAUUAGUUAUAUGUAUUAUAUAAUGUAUAUUAAUCUAUGUAAUAUCAAUAAACUAAUAAUUAUGCAUAUUUACUAAUAGAAAUUAUUAAUUAGUUAUACUAAAUUUACUGAUACAUUUAUACUAAUAUAUUUAAUUAAUGACAAUUUCUUAUAUCCCAUUUACAAAGAGCCAACGAACCGAACAUCAACUAUAGUAAUGGUAUACAUUCCUGGUACUGAACCAAACAAAUGUAUUGUAAUGAUUGAUUCCAUUCCAAAUCCAAGAUGAAUGAUUCCGAAUUCGAAUCCGAUUCCAACAUGCUAACCAAAUGCCACCUAAAAUUAUUCAUGAACACCUCAAUAAUUUUUUCUAUAUAUUCGGAGAAAAUACUUACCAUGCACCUUUGGAAGGUUGCUGGAGCAUUACAAAGAUGGAAAGGCAUCCUACGGUAAGCAAAAGUACCAAAUGGACAGGUGAAUGUAGUUUUUUCCUGGUCCUCCGGUGCUAUCGCGAUCUGAAAGUAUCCUGAAAAAUCAUCCAAGAAACAAUAAUAAAUACGGCCAGCUAAUCUUUCUAUCAUCUGAUUAAUAAAAGGGAGAGGAAAAUGGUCCUUUUUCGUCACUGAAUUUAGUCUUCGAUAGUCAAUGCACUGGCGCCAACCUGUAGCUUUCUUGACUGGAACCAUCUCACCCUCCUGAUUUUCCUCUACGGUCACUCCCGCCUUUUUUGAGACCACUUGAACGGGACUCACUUAAGGACUGUCCGAGAUAGCAAAGAUAAUUCCCACCUCCAAGAGUUUAACUAUUUCCUUUUUCACCACUUCCAUCAUUAGUGGAUUCAAUCUUCGUUGCGCCUGUCUUACCGGUUUCGCAUCAUCUUUGAGUCGUAUUCGGUGCAUGUAUAAGGACAGACUUAUUCUUUUGAUAUCUGAUAUACUCCACCUAAUCGCCUCCUUAUGAUCCCUAAGGUUUCGUACCGAUUUGUCCUUUUGACUUGGAGAUAAAUGUGUAGAAAUGAUCACCGGAAGCGUCUCUCGAUCUCCCAGGAAUGCGUACUUUAGAUGUUUUGGGAGAGACUUAAGUUCUAAUUCCGGCGCCUGUACAACUGAGGGCAACAACUUUGUCUGAGUUUCUAGUACAAAAGAAGAGGUAAGCUCAUACCUUGAAGGAAUGGUUAGGAGUGAAUGUAAAGCUUCAAUUGCACGGUGCAACUCAUCCCUCAUGUCCAAAUUAGGAAUUACACCUAAUUCAAAAGGGUUGGUCAAGGCCACUUCCAAUGCGUCUUCACCAUCCAAUUCGAAAGUUAGAUUCCUCUGGAUAUUUCAUCGCCUCAAAAAUAUUAAAAUUUACAAUUUUACCAUCAAACUCCAUUGAUAAAGUACCCUCAUUCACAUCUAUUUUAGUUUCAGCAGUGCUAAGAAACUGUCAACCUAACAAAAUAGGUGACGGAUUUAACGUUUUUUCAUCUCCCAUAUCUAGGAUAUAAAAAUCUGUUGGAAAAACUAACUCAUUUACGUGAACCAAAACAUCCUAAACUAGCCCCUUUGGAUAAGGAUUGGUGCGGUCAGCUAGUUGAAUUAUGAUGGCUGUUUUUUUUAGUGGCCCAAGAUUUAGAGAAGUAUAAAUGGUCCUUGGCAUCACAUUGAUUGACGCUCCCAAAUCGAAUAUUGCUUUUCUAAUUGGCGUAUUUUCUAUUUUGUAUGGGAUCAUGAACAUACCUAGAUCCCCACACUUGGGUGGGAGUUUUCUUUGGAAUAUAGCCGAUACGUUUUCUCCCACCGCUACUCUUUCGUCCCCUCUCAACUUCAUCUUAUGGGUGCAUAAAUUCUUGAGAAAUUUUGCGUACUUUGGUACCUGCUUAAUUGCAUCCAACAAGGGGAUGUUGAUUUCUAUUUUUCGGAACACAUCCAGAUUUUCUUUUUCCUUCUCCACCUUCUUUGUCUUUUCUAACCUGCAUGGAAAAGGAGGUAAAUUAGAUUUAAUGACAAUUGAUGGAGUAAGAGUUACCUCAGGGUUUUCGCGAAUGCGUCCUUCUUCUUCAAUCUCCUUUUCGAUAUCUUCUUCACUUUUACUCUUUAGGUUCAUAGUCUUGGGUCCCUCCACUUCCUUGCCACUCCUCAGUGUCAUGGCACUCACAUUUUUGGGGUUUGCCUCAGGUUGCGAUGGCAAUUUUUGAAAAAUUUGGGACUCUAAGCGAUUAAUUGCAGUUGCCAUGUAACUUAUUUGAGUCUCUAGAUUUUUCAUGCUCGAUCUAGUCUCUUGCUGGAACUGAACAGUACUCUUGACCAAGGAUCUAGUUUCUUGUCGGAGUUGAGUGGUACUCGUGGUCAGGUUCUUGACAAUAUCUUCCAAAGAGCCUUCUGAAUUGGAGGAUGAAGAUUGAGGCUUGGGUUGCCAUGGUUGCUGAAAUCCUGGUGGAUGAUUUAAGAAUGAAUGUUGUGGCCUAUUCCCAUAGCUGAAGUUGGGGUGGUCUCUCCAACCCGGAUUGUAUGUGUUCGAGUAUGGAUCGUACUGUCUACGAGGCGCGGGCACGCCUCCAGCCAUGUUUACUUGUUCAACCCCAUUCUCUUGCAAAAUAGGGCAUGAGUCAGUGGGGUGACCCACGUUUGUGCAAAUUUCACAGACCUUUGCUUGAUGCAAGUUCCCUAUAACUAAUUAUUGAACAAAAGAUGUUAACUCCGAUAGCUGCUGCUGAAUGGACGACGUCUCUACCUUGUUAACCCUACGGGUAGGGUUAUUCUCGCGGAAGCCAAACUAUUGAGAAUUUUCUACCAUAGUUUCAAUAAGCAGCCAUGCUUCUCUCGGUGUCUUAUUUGCUAGUGCUCCUCCACUCGUAGCAUCAAUGAUACUUCUGUCAGAUGACUGAAGUCCCUCAUAGAAGUAUUGGAUCAGUAGUUACUCACUAAUUUGAUACUGUGGGCAUCUAGUACACAACUUAUUGAACCUUUUCCAAUAAUUAUAUAGGAAUUCCCCAAGAUACUAUUUAAUGCUGCAUAUCUCUUUUCUCAAACUUGCAUCCCGGGAUGCAGGGAAGAAUGUUUCCAGAAAUUUCUUUUUCAGCUAGGCCCAUGUUGUGAUACUACCUGCAGGUAGGUAGUAUAACCAAUCAUUCGCUGCAUCCUUUAAGGAGAAAGGGAAUGCUCUAAGUUUGAUCUGCUCUUCAGUAAUCCCUGGAGGUUUCAUACUAGAAUAUACCACAUCGAACUCUUGGAUGUGUGUAUGGGGUUCCUCACCCGAGAGGCCAUAGAAUGAGGGUAAGAGAUGAAUUAACCCUGACUUUAGUUUGAAUGAGGUAUUCUCAGCUAGUGAUGGAAAUGUAAUGCACAAAGGCUGCUGGGUCAAUUCCGAAGCAGCCAACUCUCUCAGGAUUCUUGCAUUCGCCAUAAGGAUGUCCUCUUGGCCUGGAUCACUUGAAUUAUCACCACUCGAGUCUGUUGACUCAAUCUCAAGAUCCAGUCUCUGAGAUGCAGUGCUAGAUUGCUCCUCUCUGAGUUGUCUAGUCUCUUUCCUAGUUCGGUGCACAGUCUUCUCUACUUCCGGGUCGAAAAUCAAUUCGCUUGUACGAGAAGAACGAGACAUAAAUUAGAAAAAUGCUAGACAAAUCUAAAGAGAACAACUUAGAAAGAAACAAAAUUAAUCAAAACACCGUUCCCCGGUAGCGGCGCCAAAAAUUGACAGGUGUCGAACCUGUGCAAUAAUAAUUACUAAAAAGUCCUAAUUACCACCACAAUUAAUUAUAGAACAAAUCUAAGUACUGGAGCAGUGACUCUAGAUGAGCAAUGAGUUACUAUAUUCACUCUGUCUCCAAAGAAUAUGCUUGAUCCGAUAUACUAGAUUUGGCUACAAAAGUAUUAAAUUUGAGUGCAAUGGCAAGUAGGGUCGAUUUCACAGAGAACAGAUAGGAAGUUGUUUCUUCCCAAGUCAAUAGAACGAAAUUGGGAGAUAUUUAAUGGAAUGAAAAUAAAAUAAAAUAAAUAAAAUUCAAAAGCUAACUCAUCAAGUACAAUUCACUAAAAAUAGCAAUUAAUAAAAUUCUACCCAAAGGAUCAACUUUUCAGGCACGGUCCAAUUAAAUGAUCAUCGAUGCAAAGAUAUUUCACUCACUCGUCACUAGGUUGGUUAUAGCUAUCAACAAGCUUCGACAGCCAAUUUUUCCUUACUUUUUCGACAGUCAAGGUAUGAAUGUUGACUGCUUCUCUAACCAGAAAAUAACCCUAAGUACGAUCAUAGUAAUUUAAUUAUCCAGUUGUAUUAAAGUUAAAAAAAUUCAACCCUAACCAAUAAACAUGCUAAGAGGGUUUAUUUAAACUAGACCCUACGUUUUCCCAGCAUAAAGCCAAUUAUGGUGGUUGUUACUAUUUAUCAACUAAAUGAACAAUUACGGAUUCAAUUUAGUUAACGUGACAGUAGGCUAUUAGAUUAAAUUAAACAUCCGGCCGUUGAUACUUAAUUAAUAAAAUAACCAUAAACAAUUAAUCCAGAAAACGCACGAAUAGUAACAGAUUGGAAGAAAUAAUGAAAGUUCGAUUAGAUCUCACAGAUGUUAUGGACUGCGAAUUCGCGUCGACAUUUGGGUAGAGGAGAAACCUAGCCGCUUCUCAUCAUAUCAAUCUUGCAUGGUUUGAUUGAUUCCAUCCACACAAUUACCGAAGAAUUGGGAAAAAUGAAAAUAACGAAGGAACGAAAAUGAGAAGUCUUGCUUCUUUUUCUGUUUCGUGUUCGUACUAGAGAAUAGUCAAGAACAAGGUCUAAAGAAAAAAUUGCCAAAAAGCAAAAGCAGAGAGCAAAAAUCGUCUGACAGGGAAAAACUAAAAGCUAAUCUAUUGAUCCCACGUGAAUUUGGCUUUCUUGCCAAUUCCUGCUAAGUAGCCAUCGAAAAGAAAGAAAACGUCAGACCCUCUACUUUCUCUAGGAAUAGACUUUUAAUCCUCUGCACCUCCCGGCCCACGAGAGAAGAUAGUCGCCCUUUUCUUUUGUUCUUUUACCAGUCUCGUGGGGUCCGUCUUUUAGGUGUCUCCCUUCAGUUUUUGGCGUGGACACGCCAUAAAAUAAAGAGUCUCCUGGAAAUUUGCCUCAGGAGAUCACUUUUGACACCAACCAUCUUCAAUUUACGUAAAUAUCAAAUAUGAACAAAAUUUCAAUAUUUAGCACAGUAAGUGGCCAAAAUUAUGACCAAAUAACAGCGCAAAUGGUGCCCAAUAAUUGCUCUAUCAAUUAUAACUUAUUUAUCAAUGAGUAAUUGAAUUAUCUUUGUAUCGAGAAUCAAUGAGUAAUUUGGUACUUAUUUAUGAAUAGUAUUUGGUUAUACUCCGCUAGUAUCGUUGCUUAGUAAUCGGGGAUCUUUACCACAAAUGUCGACUUUCGCGUCAAAAAUUGAUGAUAACUAUUUGUAUGUGGUCCAUUAACGAUAAAAGUUGAGUAACCGGAUUUCUUCAUUUGGUAGAUGCUGCGGUUCGCGUCAAAGGUCUAAAUGGCUAGGAACUAAGUAUUUUUUCUUGAAAAAAAAAGAAAAAAAAUGGGUUGAGCUAAGAGUGAAAAUAAAAUACAAAAAAAAUAUACGAGAUUGUUGAUGGUUACAUUAGCCUGCUGGUUUAUGAGUUCUAAUGUUUAGAUUUUGCUUAAAAGUUGAACCGUUUGCUGAUGGAUGCUGGUUGAAUAUUUUAUAUUCUUAAAUUAGUUAGUCAUAAAUUGUAAAACUUCUUGAUCUUGAAAGUUAACGGGAGAGAUAUUUCUUGGGAUCUAGCCAUUAAUGCUUGACAUGUAUUUUAAUUGUAUCUUGACAAUAGAUUAUUCGAGCAAUAGCCAUUGUUUGAAUUUGAUUGGUUGAUUUGUUGUUCUCAUACUUGAGGACAAACAUGGUUUAUGUGUGGGAGAAAUUGAUAGGUCACAAUUUGUUGCUAAAUUUAUAAUUAUUUUUUUCUUGAUUUUAGUCAAAUAUUGUUUUAAUUAUUGGAUUCUAUUUAUAUUUGGUGUUUUAUGUUAAUUGUAGGACAUUGGAAUAAAAAGUGCUAAAAAUGGGUGAUUUUCUUGAAGUUGAUUAUCAUCGCUUGUUUGGCAAUUAUAAUUUGUUUAUCAGUGAAUGAAUGAAAUUAUUAUUGCAUCCAUGAUCAAUUGGGUGAACCAUUUUCGAAGUUAUUUCUUGGCAAGAGUUUAUUUAUUAUUGUUUCAUUUUUAGUGAAUUAUUAGUUAGGCCUUUUAUUUGAUUUGUUUAGUUAUUCAUACUUUUAUAAAAAUCCCCCCAUAUUUUGAACUUGAGGAGAAACGAAUUUCCCCAAUCUCUGUGGAUUCGACCUUACUUACCAAUAUAUACAAAAUUUAUACUUUAUUUGAGCAGGUAUUAUUAUUAUACAGGUUCAACACCUGUCAAUAUACUACUCCCCCCUCCUCCACCAAUUGCCUACAUUUGCACUUUUUCAAUAUAAUACUCCCCUCCAUACUUGAACAUUACAUUGUCCCCAAUGUAAGAAGGCUAUGAUUGGUAGAUGAGGACGUUGAGUGGCUCAUGAUGGAUGGGGAAAAAUCGCAUGCGAUGAGCGGCAACAACGACAAUCAAUGGCAGCGGUGGAAUUUGAGAUCAUACGGUUGCGAUCUUGCGGCCUUCCCUAGGACAAGAUGUGGGCACAUCAUGAGAUUAGGAACCCUUCUGAUGAUGACUAGUUGAAUUGAAAGUUAUCAUAUGACAGCCCCACCUCACCCUAAGGCGAACCAAAGGGUUCGGCGGACCGCCUGCCCAACUCUCGCCAGGACUAUGGAGUCGAUGCACACAAAUCCAAUAUAGCAUGCGCGAUAGGACCCAAAGAAAAUGAACAAUCAAAAACUACUAAUGUGAGAACAUGCUUACCAAACCAUAAAAUCAUAGUCUCAACCGAAUACAUUUAAUAGACAAGGUUAAACACUUAUACAUAUAUUGACAUUGGAGUCUUGAACAAAUUAACAUACAGUGCAAUCCAAGGUAUUCAUACUACACAAAAUACAAUUAGGGCUUCGUUUCCAAAAGAACUUAACAACAUGACAUAUAUACUAGCUUGACCUUUUUCUUUCAAAAUCGUGAUUUUCAAGUUUGUCCCCUAUAAGGAAAACAAAAGUAACAGAAAGGGGUGAACUUGCGCUCAAAGAGGUACCAAACAUAUAGGGAAAAAAUCAUGGUCUUUCACGUUUAACCAAUCAGAUACAUAUACCAGAUAUAAAGGAAAGCAGUUAGACACAGUGAUUCAAAGGGAAAGGAUACAAGUGGCUCUCAGGAGCCAGAUUUUCAUUUGCAGUAUUUGAUCCGAACCCGUUGACUCUCCGUCAACGUAAAUGGAACCGACAUAUCCGUAGACUCCAGUUUACACCAAUUUCCCAUCCACCAAACAUACCCCUACCGGACCCGAACGCCGAACAAGAACAGUAAUGGUAAUACUCGAAUAUACCAAAAUCAAGAGUCUCAAUAUCCAAAAAUUCCUAGAACAGACUACCGUGGGUCGUUAUCUAAUCGACCAGGCCCUUGCCGGCCCGACUUGCUGAUGGAUGCUGGUGUUGAACUCAGAGGUCACAGAAAGGUCGUUGGAUACCAGCCUCCAAACGACGUCCGAACAGACUCAGAUACAGUUAACAGAUUAUACACAGUAAAUAGGCAUACAGAUAGACAAGAGAACGAGUGUGAUAAAUUAUACCCUCGUCUCAAACAGAAUAAACAGAUGAUACAGUCAUUCAAAUCAUAGAUUGCAGGUGCAGAAACCAAGUUAAGCAACAAAUUAGGGGAGUGGUACACUCACCAGUUCCAGUACAGAUACUUCAAAAGUUUUUACCCAAAGUGGCUUUAAUCGCCAAGAAACCCUAAAAUAAUCAAGAUAAACAAUUAUAAUUCGCACAUCCGCAAACCCAGUAAAUGAAAUGCAUAAAAGAGGGUCGACUACAUGUCGUACGCCUUUCCAGGUUAAGUACUAGUACAAAAGAAUAAAAAUAUGACUUUUAAGUAAAAAUAUAACAGUUGGUCCUAGGGUUACAAACAACCCUCAAAACCCUUCAUUUUUACUAAGAUCAACUCAACUUGAAGGAAUCGCGUAGCCCUAAAAUUUUGGGCAGCAUGCCCUCUGUAUUUUGCUAUAUUCCUGCCAUUUAUGGCUUCAUUAUUUUUCCUCAAGUCAGUCCAAUUAAACACAUAAGAAUUCUCAAUACAAUAGCCCUUCAACUAGGCUCAAGUUUACCCAAAUACAAAGUAAGUCUAGGAAUGCAACUAGAAAUCAAGUUUUAAGGACAAAAGCUAAAUAGCAGGUUUGACGUUUUUUAGCGGAACAGACACAACCGAAGCUACGCUUAUCGGAUUGGGGUAAAAUUUAUACCGUUUUGAAUCUAAGAUAAAGGCCUAGAACUUUGAUGAAGACCACUCAGUCCAGUUCGUGGUGUAUCUAGGUCAAAAUUUCAAAUUACAGAACCAGCAUCUCACAAUCAGACUAAUUCACCGUACUAUGAUUGAACGACAAUAACUCAGGUUACUGAAGUCCGAUUGAGGUGUAUCAUAUGGCGUUUCGAAGCCAAGACAUAUACCUACAUUUAUUAUGAAGGCCUCAAAAGCUAAAUCAACCAUUUUCAAAGUCAAAAAUUGAAAUCCCCACGAAGACACAAAACUGUCCGCGAAAAUAGGGCUUAUGGGCAGCCAAGGGUAUUUCAGUCAUUUCACAUGUUACAGUAAUCUGAUCGAGUUGAAAUUUUGCAGGCAGAUAUUUAACAUCAUUUCCUACAACUUUCUUGUUUCAUGCUAAGCCUAAUUCGGCCUCUAACCUAGCAGAACAGGACCGGGCAGAACAGGGGUUAGUUGAAACCCUAAUCUGGAAUUUUCACACCAAACCAGAAAUUUUCCACAACCAAUCAUAUCCAACAUAUAACAACUCCAUUUUACACUAUAACAAACCAUCAAUCCUUGACUAAACAAUAAAUACAUAUAUAAAACAAAAAAAUCCAUAAUAAAUCAAGAAUCCAUCAAAACUCCACUUUCAACCAUAAAACAUACCACAAGUCCACAUUUUUAGCUACUAAAGCCACUAAUUUAACAUUAUUAAGGACAAAGGAAGAAGUUCUUAGUAACUCACCUUACAACUCAAAAAGAUUACAACUUAACACCUUUUCUUCUCAAACCACUCCACUACUCUCCUUAAUCCUACCAAGAGAAGGGUUUUUAUGGAGCAAAUCAAAGUUUUAACGGUUGGUUUAUAAGAUCAAAGCAAGGAACGGAAGGAAUAAGUGAAGGCUUUCUUUCUUUUUUUUUCUUGUGAAGCUCGGCCAAGAUGCUCAAAGAAUGAAGAUUAUUUUUGACCAAUUUUGGGUUUUAGUAAAGUUUGUGAAUAGUGGUCAAAAUCCAAGAACCAACCACGUCGCGACUCCUAGCACCUUUUGAGUUAAAACAUAUCCUUUUGUCUCCCCAAGAUUAAUCCAACUAAAUAACCUCUAAUUAUCUCUUAACACCUAAUAAAUUCAUCCCUGUAUACAAAACUUAACCUAAUUGGUCGAAUUUCUCUCACUUAACGCACUAGCGGGUCCCACGUCCACUAUACGCUCCAAACUUAACAUGCACUAACUUAUAUCAGAAAAAUAUUUUAAAAACUCUAUUCACUUAUAAAACGUCUGAAAAAAUCAAUAUAAUAAGGUAUAAUGAAAAAAAUGCAUACGAGAAAAUAAAAUAAAAUAAUAUAAAAUUAAGGAAAAUUUACGGUCCUCGCACUCUCUCCCCCUUAAAGAAAUUUCGUUCUCGAAAUUUCUUUACCACUAGGAUCUCUUAAAGUCUUAAUUAAAUGGCGGAUCGUACCUUCUACAUUCUCAAACGAGUCAGGGACCUGAUGUUGCUCUAGGGAAUACACCCGGGUCGGUACCUUCGAUCCAGUCUCUUCCCCUUUCUAUUGGCCGGGGUUAGUUUUAGUUGGUUGCUGGGUCCCUUUUCCUUUUGGAAAUCGAAUUGGGCAGUCAGCAAUCCGAUAAUCAGCACUUCCACAUCGCAGACACUUUCCUUCUUUCUUCCAACAAUUCCCUUCCGUAUGAUUUGGCCCUCCGCAAUAUCCAUAGGGACCACGAGUAGCGGAGACCGAACAUCCCGAUGGGACACCACUUGACACCCCCGGCUGUCGUACUCCCCCGUUUCCCUUUCCAAUCUUAGGGGGUGUACUUUUACCCUCUUGUUCGGAGCUACUCCCAGGAAAACCUCUUUUCUUGGCUUGGAAGCUUCUUACCUGUAAUCUCUCAUUUUCAACCAGUUGGGCUUUCUCCACAGCAUCACUAAAGGUGCUAAGUUGGGCUACAGCCAGGUUCUUCUAAAUCUCAACAUUUAAACCAUGGACAAAACGCCUAAUCCGUCUUUGUUCAGUUACAAUUAAUUCGGGCGCAAACUUUGAUAACCGAAUAAAUUGACUCUCAUACUGGGCUACGGUCUGAGUUCCCUGAUGAAGCCGAAUGAAUUCAUCUUCCUUCUUUUCUUGGAUUAAGGGAGGGAAAAACUUGGCGUAGAAUUCCCUCAUGAAGUUUGUCCAUGUCCUCGGUGUUUGUUCCCAUUCCCAUUUCAUUCGAAUUAUGUUCCAUCAAGAACGGGCGGCUCCCUCCAGUUGGAAGACAGCAAACGUGACUUGCCUCUCCUCGGUAUAAUGUAAAGUUGCAAAAAUGUCUAUCAUUUUCUCCAACCACCUUUCAGCCACAUCUGGAUCGGGUCCUCCAAGGAAUUUCGGUGGAGAGAACUUUUGAAAUCUUUCAAGGGCUCUAUCCUCGCCCUCUAUAUGGUUACCAGGGUUUCCAGGUAGAGGAUUAGGGUUUUGGCCCUGGUGUUCCACUACAUGGGCUAGCAGAUCGACCAUGCGCUGGAUAGCAGCGGCUACUUAAGUAUUUGGAUCGACCCUAGGUUCAAGAGUUGGUUCAGGUAUUGGUUCCCGGUUACCCCUUUCAUUCGAGAGUUGCUUACGUCCGAGCCCACGACCUCGUCCACUACGAGUACCCUCUAUUGGUCUAAUCAAUCUAGGGUCGAAGCGUGAAUAUAAUGUUAAACAUAGAUAGGCAUAAGCAAGUAGCAAGAGGUACACACAGAUCAAAAGCAUAUAUAUAUAGCACAACUGUACCAAACAAGCCACACAGUAGCAGACAAUUAGAUACAAACAUGAGAGAUCCAUGAAGGUAACGGGGUCAUCCAAAAGUACUAUAGACAAACCAGGCCAAAAAUACAAAAAUAACUAACGAAAAACUAUUGCCCUCUAGGGCUCCGUCCUUAAUCUACGAGAACAACACCAUUUAUAUCUUAAUCAAGGUUGAUCACGCUUAACAACACCCGAACAGACCGCUCGAAAUUCCAUAGAAUCACAUUUCUAGUUCACCCAAGUCCUUUCAAACCUAGGCUCUCAUUUCUUUUGUAUCCGUGCGCAAGAAUCCCAUCUAAGAUAAUUCACAACUCGAGCCGGCCGGUCCCAAGAGUAAAUCAUCCCUAUUGAAUAUUCCUUCCCGACAUACAUGUCCAUCUUCCUCAAGUUCCAUGAUAGAGAUUUUUACACUUAUAACAGGCACGGUUCAUAACUUAUACCCAAGAAAACACGUAAUCCUUGAAACACAUUCACAAAAUAGGACCAUAACACCACUUGGCCCAAGGUCACUCCACGCAGAGACCACGCAAAGCAGAUCUGAUACCACCUGUGACAAUCCCACCUCACCCUAAGGCGAACCAAAGGGUUCGGCGGACAGCCUGCCCAACUCUCGCCAGAACAACAGAGUCGAUGCACACAAACCCAAUAUAGUACGCGCGAUAGGACCCAAAGAAAACGAACAAUCGAAAACUACUAAUGUGAGAACAUGCUUACCAAACAAUAAAAUCAUAGUCUCAACGGAAUACAUUUAAUAGACAAGGUUAAACACUUAUACAUAUAUUUACAUUGGAGUUUUGAACAAAUUAACAUACAGUGCAAUCCAAGGUAUUCAUACUACACAAAAUACAAUUAGGGUUUCGUUUCCAAAAGAGUUUAAUAACAUGACAUAUAUACUAGCUUGACCAUUUUCUUUCAAAAUCGUGAUUUUCAAGUUUGUCCCCUGUAAGAAAAACAAAGGUAACAGAAAGGGGUGAGCAUGCGCUCAAUGAGGUACCAAACAUAUAGUGGAAAAAUCAUGGUUUUUCACGUUUAACCAAUCAGAUACAUAUACCAGAUAUAAAGGAAAGCAGUUAGAUACAGUGAUUCAAAGUGAAAGGAUACAAGUGGCUCUCAGGAGCCAGAUUUCCAUUUACAGUACUUGAUCCGAACCCGUUGACUCUCCGUCAACGUAAAUGGAACCAACAUAUCCGUAGACCAUACUUUACACCAAUUUUCCGUCCACCAAACAUACCCCUACCGGGCCCGAACGCCGAACAGGAACAGUAAUGGUAAUACUCGAGUAUACCGGAAUCAAGAGUCUCAAUACCCAAAGAUUCCCAGAAUAGACUACCGUGGGUCGUUAUCUAAUCGACCAGGCCCUUGCCGGCCCGACUUGAGUAACUAGCCACAGGUAACAAAAAGGUCAUUGGAUACCAGCCUCCAAACGACGUCCGAACAGACUCAGAUACAGUUAACAGAUUAUAUACAGUAAAUAGGCAUACAGACAGACAAGAGAACGAGUGUGAUAAAGUACACUCUCGUCUCAAAUAGAAUAAAUAGAUGAUACAGUCUUUCAAAUCAUAGAUUGCAGGUGCAGAAACCAAGUUAAGCAAACAAAUGACGGGAGUGAUACACUCACUGGUUCCAGUACAGAUACUUCAAAUGUUUUUAUCCAAAGUAGCUUUAAUCGCCAAGAAACCCUAAAAUAAUCAAGAUAAAACAAUUAUAGUUCGCACAUCCGCAAACCCAAUAAAUGAAAUGUAUAAAGGAGGGUCGACUACAUGUCGUACGCCUUUCCAGGUUAAGUACUAGUACAGAAGAAUAAAAAUAUGACUUUUGAGUAAAAAGAUAACAGUUGGUCCAAGGGUUACAAACAACCAUCAAAACCCUUCAUUUUUACUAAGAUCAACUCAACUUGAAGGAAUCGCGUAGCCCUAAAAUUUUGGGCAACAUGCCCUCUGUAUUUUGCUAUAUUCCAGCCAUUUAUGGCUUCAUUAUUUUUCCUCAAGUCAGUCCAAUUCAACACAUAAGAAUUCUCAAUACAAUAGCCCUUCAACUAGGCUCAAGUUCACCCAAAUACAAAGCAAGUCUAGGAAUGCAACUAGAAAUCAAGUUUUAAGGACAAAAGCUAAAUAGCAGGUUUGACGUCUCUUAGCAGAACAGACACAACCGAAGCUACGCUUAUCGGAUUGGGGUACAAUUUAUACCGUUUCGAAUCUAAGAUAAAGGCCUAGAACUUUGAUGAAGACCACUCAGUCCAAUUCGUGGUGUAUCUAGGUCAAAAUUUAAAAUUACAGAAUCAGCAUCUCACAAUCAGACUAAUUCACCGCACUAGGAUUGAAUGACAAUAACUCAGGCUACGGAAGUCCAAUUGAGGUGUAUCUUAUGGCGUUUCGAAGACAAGACAUAUACCUACAUUUUUUAUGAAGGCCUCCAAAGCUAAAUCAAGCAUUUUCAGAGUCAAAAAUUGAAAUCCCCACAAAGACAAAAAACUGUCCGCGAAAAUAUGGCUUAUGGGCAGUCAAGGACAUUUCAGUCAUUUCACAUGCUACGGUGCUCCGAUAGAGCUGAAAUUUUGUAGGAAGAUAUUUAACAUCAUUUUAUACAACUUUAUUGUUUCGUGCUAAGCCUAAUUCGGACUCUAACCUAGCAGAACAGGACUGGGAAGAACAGGGAUUAGUUGAAACCCUAAUCUGGAAUUUUCCCACCAAACCAGAAAUUUUCCACAACCAAUCAUAUCCAACAUAUAACAACUCCAUUUUACACUAUAACAAACCAUCAAUCCAUGACUAAAUAAUAAAUAUAUAUAUAUUUAAAACAAAAAAAAUCCAUAAUAAAUCAAGAAUCCAUCAAAAAUCCACUUUCAACCAUAAAACAUACCACAAGUCCACAUUUUUAGCUAUUAAAGCCACUAAUUUAACCUUAUUAAGGACAACGGAAGAAGUUCUUAGUAACUCAGCUUACAACUCAAAAAGAUUGCAACUUAACAACUUUUCUUCUCAAACCACUCCACCACUCUCCUUAAUCCUACCAAGAGAAGGGUUUUUAUGGAGCAAAUCAAAAUUUUAACGAUUGGUUUACAAGAUCAAAGCAAGGAAUGGAAGGAAUAAGUGAAGGCUUUCUUUUUUUUUUUUUUCUUGUGAAGCUCGGCCAAGAUUGUCAAAGAAUGAAGAUGAUUUUUGGCCAAUUUUGGGCUUUAGUAAAGUUAGUGAAUAGUGGUCAAAAUCCAAGAACCAACCACGUCGCGACACCUAGCACCUUUUGAGUUAAAACAUAUCCUUUUGUCUCUCCAAGAUUAAUCCAACUAAGUAACCUCUAAUUAUCUCUUAACACCUAGUAAAUUCAUCCCUGUAUACAAAACUUAACCUAAUUGGCCGAAUUUCUCUCACUUAACGCACUAGCGGGUCCCACGUCCACUAUACGCUCCAAACUUAAUAUACACUAACUUAUAUCAGAAAAAUAUUUUAAAAACUCUAUUCACUUAUAAAACGUCUGGAAAAAUCAAUAUAAUAAUGUUUAAUGAAAAAAAUGCAUACGAGAAAAUAAAAUAAAAUAAUAUAAAAAUAAGGGAAAUUUACGGUCCUCACACUCUUUCCGCCUUAAAGAAAUUUCGUUCUCGAAAUUUCCUUACCACUAGGAUCUCUUAAAGUCUUAAUUAAACGGCGGAUCGUACCUUCUACAUCCUCAAACGAGUCAGGGACCUGAUGUUGCUCUGGGGAAUACACCCGAGUCGGUACCUUCGAUCCAGUCUCUUCCCCUUUCGAUUGGCCGGGGUUAGUUUUAGUUGGUUGCUGGGUCUCUUUACCUUUUCGCAAUCGAACUGGGCAGUCAGCAAUCCGAUGAUCAGCACUUCCACAUCGCAGACACUUUCCUUGUUUCUUCCAACAAUUCCCUUCCGUAUGAUUUGGCCCUCCGCAAUAUCCACAGGGACCACGAGUAGCAGAGACCGAACCUCCCGAUGGGACACCACUUGACACCCCCGGCUGUCGUACUCCCCCAUUUCCCUUUCCAAUUUUAGGGGGUGUACUUUUACCCUCUUGCUCGGAGUUACUUCUAGGAAAGCCCCUUUUCUUGGCUGGAAAGUUUCUCACCUGUAAUCUCGCAUUUUCAACCAGUUGGGCUUUCUCCACAGCAUCACUAAAGGCGCUAAGUUGGGAUACAGCCAGAUCCUUCUGAAUCUCAACAUUUAAGCCCUGGACAAAACGCCUUAUCUGUCUUUGUUCAGUUACAAUCUGUUCGGGAGCAAACUUUGAUAACCGAGUAAAUUGACUCUCAUACUCAGCUACGGUCUGAGUUACCUGACGAAAUCGAAUGAAUUCAUCUUCCUUCUUUUCUUGGAUUAAGGGAGGGAAAAAUUUGGCGUAGAAUUCCCUCAUGAAGUUUGUCCACGUCCUCGGUGUUUGUUCCCGUUCCCAUUUCAUUCGAAUUACGUUCCACCAAGAACGGGCGGCUCCCUCCAGUUGGAAGACAGCAAACGUGACCUGCCUCUCCUCGGUAUAGUGUAAUGCUGCAAAAAUGUCUAUCAUUUUCUCCAACCACCUUUCAGUCACAUCUGGAUCGGGUCCUCUAAGGAAUUUCAGUGAAGAGAACUUUUGAAAUCUUUCAAGGGCUCUAUCCUCGCCCUCUAUAUGGUUACCAGGGUUUCCAGGUAGAGGAUUAGGGUUUUGGCCCUGGUGUUCCACUACAUGGGCUAGAAGAUCGGCCAUGCGCUGGAUAGCAGCGGCUACUUAUGUAUUUGGAUCGACCCUUGGUUCAAGAGUUGGUUCAGGUAUUGGUUCCCGGUUACCCCUUUCAUUCGAGGGUUGCUUUCAUCCGCGUCCACGACCUCGUCAACUACGAGUACCCUCCAUUGGUCUAAUCAAUCUAGGGUCAAAGCGUGAAGAUAAUGUUAAACAUAGAUAGGCAUAAGCAAGUAGCAAGAGGUACACACAGAUCAAAAGCAUAUAUAUAUAGCACAAUUGUACCAAACAAGCCACACAGUAGCAGACAAUUAGAUACAAACAUGAGAGAUUCAUGAAGGUAACGGGCUCAUCCACAAGUACUAUAGACAAACCAGGCCAAAAAUACAAAACUAACUAAUGAAAAGCUUUUCCCCUCUAGGGCUCCGUCCUUAAUCUUCGAGAACAACACCAUUUAUAUCUUAAUCAAGGUUGAUCACGCUUAACAAUACCCGAAAAAACCGCGCGAAGUUCCAUAGAAUCACAUAUCUAGUUCACGUAAGUCCUUUCUAACCUAGGUUCUCAUUUUUUUUGUAUCCGGGCGCAAGAAUCCCAUCUAAGAUAAUUUACAACUCGAGCCGGCCGGUCCCAAGAAUAAAUCAUCCCUAUUAAAUAUUCCUUCCCGACAUAUAUGUCUAUCUUCCUCAAGUUCCAUGAUAGAGAUUUUUACACUUAUAACUUGCACGGUUCAUAACUUAUACCCAAGAAAACACGUAAUCCUUUAAACACAUUCACAAAGUAGGACCAUAACACCACUUGGCCCAAUCUCAUUUCGCGCAGAGACCACGCGAAGCAGCUCUGAUACCUCCUGUGACAACCCCACCUCACCCUAAGGCGAACCAAAGGGUUCGGCGGACCGCCUGCCCAACUCUCGCCAGAACUACAGAGUCGAUGCACACAAACUCAAUAUAGUACGCGCGAUAGAACCCAAAGAAAACGAACAAUCGGAAACUGCUAAUGUGAGAACAUGCUUACCAAACCAUAAAGUCAUAGUCUCAACGGAAUACAUUUAAUAGACAUGGUUAAACACUUAUACAUAUAUUUACAUUGGAGUUUUGAACAAAUUAACAUACAGUGCAAUCCAAGGUAUUCACACUACACAAAAUACAAUUAGGGUUUCGUUUCCGAAAGAGCUUAACAACGUGACAUAUAUACUAGUUUGACCCUUUUUGUUCGAAAUCGUGAUUUUCAAGUUGGUCCCCUGAAAGGAAAACAAAGGUAACAGAAAGGGUUGAUUUUGCGCUCAAUGAGGUACCAAACAUUUAGGGAAAAAAUCCUGGUUUUUCACGUUUAACCAAUCAGAUACAUGUACCAGAUAUAAAGGAAAGCAGUUAGACACAGUGAUUCAAAGGGAAAGGAUAAAAGUGGCUCUCAGGAGCCAGAUUUUCAUUUGCAGUACUUGAUCCGAACCCGUUGACUCUCCGUCAAAGUAAAUGGAACCAACAUAUCCGUAGACCCCACUUUACACCAAUUUUGCGUCCACCAAACAUACCCCUACUGGGCCCGAGCGCCGAACAGGAACAGUAAUGGUAAUACUCUAGUAUACCGGAAUCAAGAGUCUCAAUACCCAAAGAUUCCCAGAAUAGACUACCGUGGGUCGUUAUCUAAUCGACCAGGCCCUUGCCGGCCCGACUUGAGUAACUAGCCACAGGUGUUGAGCUCAGAGGUCACAGAAAGGUCGUUGGAUACCAGCCUCCAAACGACGUCCGAACAGACUUAGAUACAGUUAACAGAUUAUACACAGUAAAUAGGCAUACAAACAGACAAGAGAACGAGUGUGAUAAAGUACACUCUCGUCUCAAACAGAAUAAACAGAUGAUACAGUCAUUCAAAUCAUAGAUUGCAGGUGCAGAAACCAAGUUAAGCAAACAAAUGAGGGGAAUGGUACACUCACCGGUUCCAAUACAGAAACUUCAAAUGUUUUUUCCCAAAGUGGCUUUAAUCGCCAAGAAACCCUAAAAUAGUCAAGAUAAAACAAUUAUAGUUCGCACAUCCGCAAACCCAGUAAAUGAAAUGCAUAAAAGAGGGUCGACUACAUGUCGUACGCCUUUCCAGGUUAAGUACUAGUACAGAAGAAUAAAAAUAUGACUUUUGAGUAAAAAAAUAACAGUUGGUCCUAGGGUUACAAACAACCCUCAAAACCCUUCAUUUUUACUAAGAUCAACUCAACUUGAAGGAAUCGCGUAGCCCUAAAAUUUUGGGUAGCAUGCCCUCUGUAUUUUGCUAUAUUCCAGCCAUUUAUGGCUUCAUUAUUUUUCCUCAAGUCAGUCCAAUUCAACACAUAAGAAUUCUCAAUACAAUAGCCCUUCAACUAGGCUCAAAUUCAUCCAAAUACAAAGCAAGUCUAGGAAUGCAACUAGAAAUCAAGUUUUAAGGACAAAAGCUAAAUAGCAGGUUUGACGUCUCUUAGCGGAACAAACACAACCGAUACUACGCUUAUCGGGGUGGGAUACAAUUUAUACCGUUUCGAAUCUAGGAUAAAGGUCUAGAACUUUGAUGAAGACCACUCAGUCCAGUUCGUGGUGUAUCUAGGUCAAAAUUUCAAAUUACAGAAUCAGCAUCUCACAAUCAGACUAAUUCACCGCACUAUGAUUGAACGGCAAUAACUCAGGCUACUAAAGUCCGAUUGAGGUGUAUCUUAUGGCGUUUCGAAGCCAAGACAAAUAUCUAUAUUUCUUAUGAAGGUCACCAAAGCUAAACCAAGCAUUUUCAGAGUCUAAAAUUGAAAUCCCGACGAAGACAGAAAACUGUCCGCGAAAAUAGGACUUAUGGGCAGUCAAGGGUAUUUCAGUCAUUUCACAUGUUACGGUACUCCGAUUGAGCUGAAAUUUUGUAGGCUGAUAUUUAACAUCAUUUCCUACAACUUUCUUGUUUCGUGCUAAGCCUAAUUCGGCCUCUAACCUAGCAGAACAAGACCGGGCAGAACAGGGGUUAGUUGAAAUCCUAAUCUGGAAUUUUCACACCAAACCAGAAAUUUUCCACAACCAAUCAUAUCCAACAUAUAACAACUCCAUUUUACACCAUAACAAACCAUCAAUCCAUGACUAUACAAUAAAUAUAUAUAUAAAACAAAAAAUAUCCAUAAUAAAUCAAGAAUCCAUCAAAACUCCACUUUCAACCAUAAAACAUACCACAAGUCCACAUUUUUUGCUACUAAAGCCACUAAUUUAACCUUAUUAAGGACAAAGGAACAAGUUCUUAGUAACUCACCUUACAACUCAAAAAGAUUGCAACUGAACACCUUUUCUUCUCAAACCACUCCACCACUCUCCUUAAUCCUAUCAAGAGAAGGGUUUUUAUGGAGCAAAUCAAAGUUUUAACGGUUGGUUUACAAGAUCAAAGCAAGGAAUGGAAGGAAUAAGUGAAGGCUUUCUUUCUUUUUUUUUCUUGUGAAGCUCGGCCAAGAUGCUCAAAGAAUGAAGAUGAUUUUUGGCCAAUUUUGGGUUUUAGUAAAGUUAGUGAAUAGUGGUCAAAAUCCAAGAACCAACCACGUCACGACACCUAGCACCUUUUGAGUUAAAACCUAUCCUUUUGUCUCUCCGAGAUUAAUCCAACUAAGUAAUCUCUAAUUAUCUCUUAACACCUAGUAAAUUCAUCCCUGUAUACAAAACUUAACCUAAUUGGCCGAAUUUCUCUCACUUAACGCACUAGCGGGUCCCACGUCCACUAUACGCUCCAAACUUAAUAAGCACUAACUUAUAUCAGAAAAAUAUUUUAAAAACUCUAUUCACUUAUAAAACGUCUGGAAAAAUCAAUAUAAUAAGGUAUAAUGAAAAAAAUGCAUACGAGAAAAUAAAUAAAAUAAUAUAAACAUAAGAAAAAUUUACGGUCCUCACACUCUUUUCCCCUUAAAGAAAUUUCGUUCUCGAAAUUUCCUUACCACUAGGAUCUCUUAAAGUCUUAUUUAAAUGGCGGAUCGUACCUUCUACAUACUCAAACGAGUCAAGGACCUGAUGUUGCUCUAGAGAAUACAUCCGAGUCGGUACCUUCGAUCCAAUCUCUUCCCCUUUCGAUUGGCCAGGGUUAGUUUUAGUUGGUUGCUGGGUCCCUUUUCCUUUUCGCAAUCGAACUGGGCAGUCAGCAAUCCGAUGAUUAGCACUUCCAUAUCGCAGACACUUUCUUUCUUUCUCCCAACAAUUCCCUUCCGUAUGAUUUGGCCCUCCGCAAUAUCCACAGGGACCACGAGUAACAGAGACCGAACCUCCGGUGGGACACCACUUGACACCCCCGGCUGUCGUACUCCCCCGUUUUCCUUUCCAAUCUUAGGGGGUGUACUUUUACCCUCUUGCUCGGAGCUACUCCCAGGAAAGUCCCUUUUCUUGGAUUGGAAGUUUCUCACCUGUAAUCUCGCAUUUUCAACCCGCUGGGCUUUCUCCACAGCAUCACUAAAGGCGCUAAGUUGGGCUACAGCCAGGUCCUUCUGAAUCUCAACAUUUAAGCCCUGGACAAAACGCCUUAUCCGUCUUUGUUCAGUUACAAUCAGUUCGGGCGCAAACUUUGAUAUCCGAAUAAAUUGACUCUCAUACUCGGCAACGGUCUGAGUUCCCUGACGAAACCGAAUGAAUUCAACUUCCUUCUUUUCUUGGAUUAAGGGAGGCAAAAACUUGGCGUAGAAUUCCCUCAUGAAGUUUGUCCACGUCCUCGGUGUUUGUUCCCGUUCCCAUUUCAUUCGAAUUACUUCCACCAAGAACGGGCGGCUCCCUCCAGUUGGAAGACAGCAAACGUGACCUGCCUCUCCUCGGUAUAGUGUAAAGCUGUAAAAAUGUCUAUCAUUUUCUCCAACCACCUUUCAGCCACAUCUGGAUCGGGUCCUCAAAGGAAUUUCGGUGGAGAGAACUUUUGAAAUCUUUCAAGGGCUCUAUCCUCGCCCUCUAUAUGGUUACCAGAAUUUCCAGGUUGAGGAUUAGGAUUUUGGCCCUGGUGUUCCACUACAUGGGCUAGCAGAUCGGCCAUGCGCUGGAUAGCAGCGGCUACUUGAGUAUUUGGAUCGACCCUGGAUUCAAGAGUUGGUUCAGGUAUUGGUUCCCGGUUACCCCUUUCAUUCGGGGGUUGCUUACGUCCGCGCCCGCGAUCUCGUCCACUACGAGUACCCUCCAUUGGUCUAAUCAAUCUAGGGUCGAAGCGUGAAUAUAAUAUUAAACAUAGGUAGGCAUAAGGAAGUAGCAAGAGGUACACACAGAUCAAAAGCAUAUAUAUAUAGCACAACUGUACCAAACAAGCCACAUAGUAGCAGACAAUUAGAUACAAACAUGAGAGAUCCAUGAAGGUAAUGGGGUCAUCCAAAAGUACUAUAGACAAACCAGACCAAAAAUAUAAAAAUAACUAACGAAAAGCUUUUCCCCUCUAGCGCUCCGUCCUUAAUCUACGAGAACAAUACCAUUUAUAUCCUAAUCAAGGUUGAUCACGCUUAACAACACCCGAACAGACUGCGCGAAGUUUCAUAGAAUCACAUUUCUAGUUCGCCCAAAUCCUUUCUAAUCUAGGCUCUCAUUUCUUUUGUAUUCGGGCGCAAGAAUCCCAUCUAAGAUAAUUCAUAACUCGAGUCGGCCGGUCCCAAGAGUAAAUCAUCCCUAUUAAAGAUUCCUUCCCGACAUACAUGUCUAUCUUUCUCAAGUUCCAUGAUAGAGAUUUUUACAUUUAUAACAUGCACGGUUCAUAACUUAUACCCAAGAAAACACGUAAUCCUUUAAACACAUUCACAAAGUAGGACCAUAACACCACUUGGCCCAAGCUCACUCCGUGCAGAGACCACGCGAAGCAGAUCUGAUACCACAUGUGACAAUCCCACCUCACCCUAAGGCGAACCAAAGGGUUCGGCGGACCGCCUGCCCAACUCUCGCCAGAACUACGGAGUCGAUGCACACAAACCCAAUAUAGUACGCGCGAUAGGACCCAAAGAAAAUGAACAAUCGGAAACUACUAAUGUGAGAACAUGCUUACCAAACCAUAAAAUCAUAGCCUCAACGGAAUACAUUUAAUAGACAAGGUUAAACACUUAUACAUAUAUUUACAUUGGAGUUUUGAACAAAUUAACAUACAAUGUAAUCAAAGGUAUUCAUGUGACGACCCCACUUCUCCCUAAGGCGAACCAGAGGGUUGGCGGGUCGCCUGCCUAGCUCUCGCCAGCACUCACGUAAGAAAACCGACUAAACUCUUUCCUCGUAUAACAUAAACCUAAACAGAACUCGUCACCCGAACAAUCCAAACCUUGAACGACCAAAAUACUAGGAACACAUUAACUUCAGAGAUAACAUUGCCAUUGGACAUCUGGACGUUCACUCUUAAACACAUCACCAACCAGAUCAACACAUAACUACAAAUAUACAUUACAAACCACAAAGUGAAAUCAGAAAAUAUAAAUUCGUUCAUACAAGCCAAAGUUUAGGGUUUGCACUUUUCCAGCUUCAAGUGGCAACCCAAAACAAAAGACACAUAGUCCGAUUCAUAACAACAUUUACAAAAGUUAAAGGUAGACUUCGAGUCUCUCGGAUGCCAAAACCUAUUCAGGAAAACAAAUAACGUGGGGUGAGCUAAAGCUCAGUGGUGCCCCAAGCAUGCAAUCAUAUAAACAAGUAGCAAACAGUAAUUUCAAACUAAAUUCAACAAGUAGGAAAGCGAAUAACAGUACAGAGUUGGAUACAGGGGCUCUCACGAGCCAUUUUCCACACACUUGAUCAAAAUUAACCGCAGUUGACCCUCCGUCAACUUUCACUAUCUAAAGUCCAUGUAGAUUCUUGUUUUUUUUUUUAUCUUAACACGCUCCAACCAACUUACUCCCACCGGGUCCGUUCUUCUCACAAGAGAGUUUGGUAGUACUCGAAUAUACCUUUAUAUAGACUAGUCGAGGGAUUCACCCCACGACGUCACAACACGUGUUUACCAAGUCAGGAUAAAAGGCCCUCCCACCCUAAGGUGUGGUACAUUCCCCUGCUUGGUGGUUUAGUUGACGAGUCCACGCUGCAGUCAACAAUUGCAAAAUUUUGGUACUUGAGUUAGGAUAAGAGGCCCGCCUACCCUCAGGUGUGGUACAUUCCCCCCACUCAGUACUUAACUAGUACGAGCAAGAUAUUCGAGAAAACAUUUCAAAUAAUUCACUACUCGAAAGGCUAGUGCGAUAAAGUACACACUGCCCACUUCGAUGGAUCAGGAAAUCCACUUUCCAAUUAUCACAUAACAAGUCAAGAAAGCACUUUAACACAUUAGUCAUAGAACAAGCACGGACACUCACCAAAAGUGAAGCUCAAAAGUCAAACUGGGAAUCGCAGUCCACGUCCUCGCUAAACCCUAGAAAACCAAGUUUUAAAACUAUAAGUUUUACUAUACAAACUCUUGGUUUAUAUACAAAAGAUUAUCUGGUAUAAAACUAGUUUAUUUUCUCGGAAUAAAGCAAUAAAUCUCUUAGAAUUAAAGGUAGUAAAGUGAUACAAUAUUUCGUAUGAUUCCUUUAAAGCUACUUUUCUUUCUAGAGGUGCAACUAAAACCAAACUAAUUCAAGCAAGUUUUCUUGCCGAACAAGUUUUCUAAGCCUAUCUUUUUAAAAUUAUUAAAAUCUCAUGUUUUGGCAAUUUUCCUCUAAAACAACUAGCCAAGGAUAAUUUUACGAAAACUUAAAGUUUGAGAGUUAAUGCAAUUAUUUCCGAGAGUAAUAAAACUAGUUUAAGCAAAGAAAAGAAUUAACUAGUUAGUAAGUUUUUUUUUUUUUUAACAAAAAAAAAGUCCCGGCACUUAAAUUUUAGCUUUAUCGUACUAUACUCAAUUUCUAUAACUUGAUAUUAAGACGAAAUAUUUCCACAAAGCUUGAUUUAAAAGUACUCGAAUUCAAAAGACCAAAACGGACUUCACGAUUCCAGCUCAUUUGCACAUUGUAUUCCAAGUCACCAAUGUAGUAAAAUUACAACCCAAACAUCAAUUUCACUAGGGCUUCAUCAAUCAUUAGCCCUAGGUCUCAACAGAUUUAAUUCCAAUCAAAAUUAAACAAAGGAAGUCCAAGAUAUCAAACGAUUCCAAACCACAAUUCAUGGACCUUCCAAGUACAUUUCGGUCAAACCGUUUAAACAAUUCCACCACGAAUUAAACUCUUGCAAAAAUUACUCAAAUGGCCAAGAGCUUUAUCAAUCAUUAGCUCUUGACGACAAACAAUCAUUCCUUACAACAAUUAACCAGAAAUUCAACCCAAAACAACAAGGAAAGCUACGGCUAGCUUACUCAAAAACACUCCAGAAAUUUAGAUUUUCCCUUGUUUCGACAACCAAGAAAAAUUCCAGCAAAUGACAAUUCAAGACGUCCAUCAAAUCUCCACCUUUUAUUUGCUUGAAACACUAAAUAUAUAGCUCAUAAUCUAUCCAACCAAAACCAGAACAAGUAACACACAAUUCCAGAAAAUAACCUCACCAAAAACCUCAACUAGUUCGGCCAACAACCAUAUACAAAUUUCAGCAAUAUAACAAAUUAACUUAUAGUGCCUUGUCCACAACUUUCUUCAGUUUUUUUUUUCCAACUCACAUGCAAAAAGUGACUAGCAAGCUACGAGCUAAUCUUAACAUCCCGUAUGAAGAUCUUAGCUAAAAUUCGAAGGAAAACUGAUCAAAUGCUCAACCCCCUUCACUCGGCCAUGCUGGGAAAAAAAUUUUCUCACAACAGUCAGCCAAAUACACAUUUUCCUCCAAUAAUCUCAUCAGUUCAUGUUCAAAUCUUUCAUGCAUGUCCAAACCAAGUUAAUAUAUAAUAUAUAUUACAGUUUAACAUAGGAAUUUAAGGCCAAAAUUCAUAAGAAUAGCUAGAAACUUCACCAUUACCUUCAUUCGGACAACCUGGAAAAAAUUCUAGCAAAUAACUCUAGGAAUUCAGAUUAUUUUUUUCUCCCCCCUUUUUUUUCUUUCACGGUUCAUCAGCUACAUGCGAGACCAAAUAAACAGCUAUCUAUCAGUUUUGAUCCAAAACCAAGUUCGGACAACAUCAGAAGUUACCAUCCAACCAGAAAUUCAUUCGAUCCUUCUCGGUUAGCUUGCAUGCAAGCAGAUUUUAUGUUCCUUCAAUUUUCUUGCUUAAUCAAGGUUGAUUAACCUCAUGCAAAGCUUAAUCAUCCAGUUUUUGGUUAGCUAAAAACACAUUUAAACUCAGAUUAUCACGAAUUGGCCAACUAAAGCUGCAAAUUUCCAGCUUACACACUCAGCAACUCCAAUUCUUGCUCCAUCAGAUUUCUUGGGACUUAAUUUAUCAUCCAACCGCUCCACCCUCACAUGCAUGCCCCUAAAUAACUUCAUCAACCUAUAGACAACUAGUCUAAGUCCAGAAAUUACCUCAGCUUGGAGCUCAACACAAGCGACCAGCAGCGAAAAUAUUUCUCUCCUCUCGGCAGUCCAGAAAUGCAGCCCGCUAGCUCUCCCUCUCCCUUGCUCAAGCUUGCGACUAGAAUGGAGGAAGUUUGGCUCUCCGUCUCUUCACCAGCUCACGGAUGGAAGGAAUGAGAACAACAAGUCUCUCUUUUCUCUUCCUAGCUUACGGACAGAAAGGAAAAGAAUGACAAGCUUGGCUCUCUCUCUUUCUCACUUCACUCUCGGAUUGCGCUAGAAAAAGGAAAUGGAAGGCUGAUGUUAUGGUGGAUUGGAAAUGAUAUAGGAGAGUGUGGUAGUGGAGUGUGAGCCGACAUUAUGAAUGGUGGAAUGGUGGAGUAGGAAAAUGGAACCGGCAGGCUGGACAUGUUUGGAUUUAAAGCUUGUUCUAGGAGGUUCCAUGGCUGCAUGGUUAAUUUGAAAUGGAGAAAGGCUAAUCUGGUCUUUUAACAACUUGUUCAACCUUCCACUUAAGUUCUCAUUCGUAAACUAAUUCCAAAAAUUUACCCCAAAUGAAAUUCGAUAGCCUACUAGUGUACUAAUCUCGCGAAAAAUUCAAUUAUCGAGAUUUAACGUCCUAAGUGCAGUUAUAAAGGAUUUGACCCAAAUCGUUUUCGUCUUAAUUCUAGGUUCCCGUUAACACUUAACGUUAUUAACACUUAAAAUUAGCUAUCAAAAUUCAAAGAAUUAAUAUUAGAGCAAUAAAACACUCUACGUCAAGAAAUAUUAACUUAACCUGGCAAAAAUCAAAUAAUUCAUUACUCUGCACAAUUAAACUAUUUGUAACCUAAAAUUAUUUUUACAUACUUAUUUAAGAUCAACUAAUGAUAAAAUUUAUUAAAAUUCAAAAAUGUAAAUGCGACAAGUAUAUAUAUAUAUAUAUAUUUUUCAAGGUUCUCACAUCCUCCCCCCCUUAAAUGAAUUUUGUCCUCAAAAUUCUCACCUUCUAAUGAAAUAAUUCAGGGUAUUUCCUCUGCAUAUCUUCUUCCAGUUCUCAAGUUGCUUCCUCUAUUUCAUGGUUUUUCCAUAGAAUCUUCACCAAAGGAAUUUUCUUACUUCUCAAUUCCUUCACUUCUCUUUCCAAAAUCUUAACUGGUCCUUCCUCAUAAGUUAAUGACUCAUCCACUUCAAUUCCUUCUAAUUGCAACACAUGGCUUGGGUCGGGGUGAUAUUUCUUGAGCGUAGAAACAUGAAAUACAUUGUGAAUCUUAGCCAUGCUCGGAGGCAACUGUAGUUGAUACGCCACCUUACCUAUUCGUUUCAAAAUUUCAAAAGGUCCAAUAUACCUCGGCUUUAGCUUUUUACCCUUUUUGAACACUACUCCGCCCUUCACGGGUUUAACUCUUAGGAAAACUUUAUCUCCUACUUCGAACUCCAAAUCUUUUCUUCUUGUGUCGGCGUAGCUCUUUUGUCGACUCUGGGCAGUUUGAAGCCUUUCCCUAAUUAGUUUUACUUUCUCAAGUGCUUCUUCCAUCCAAGGUAUAAUCGUUGGAUCCAAAAUUUUCUUCUCUCCUAAUUCAUUCCAAUGAAUCGGAGAUCGACACUUUCUCCCAUACAAUGCCUCAUAAGGUGUCAUUUGAAUCGAAGCGUGAUAGCUAUUAUUAUAGGCAAAUUCUACUAAGGCCAUAUACUGAUUCCAAUUACCUCCAAAAUCCAAUAUACAUGAUCUCAGCAUAUCCUCCAAAGUCUGAAUUGUUCUUUCUGAUUGCCCGUCUGUUUGAGGAUGAUAAGCGGUACUAAACUUCAACUUGAUCCCCAAUGUCUCUUGAAAUUUCUGCCAGAAACGUGAAACGAACCUUGGAUCUCGAUCAGACACAAUGCUUAUAGGAAUACCAUGCAAUCUCAUGAUCUCUUCUGUGUACAACUUGGCCAAUUUUUCCAAAGAAAAGCUCAUGUUCACAUGUAGGAAAUGUGCGGACUUGGUAAGCCUGUCAACUAUCACCCAAAUCGCAUCACAUCCUUUUUGACUUCUAGGCAAACCCAUUACAAAAUCCAUGGUUAUGUGUUCCCAUUUCCAUUCGGGAAUUUUUAGUGGUUGUAAUAGACCAGAGGGUUUCUGAUGUUCAGCUUUUACUUGUUGGCAGAUCAGACAUUUUUGUACAAAUUCUGCCACGUCCUUUUUCAAACCGUCCCACCAGUAUAACUCUUUCACAUCGUGAUACAUCUUGUUCACUCCUGGAUGUAUAGUAUACCUCGAUCGAUGUGAUUCUUCUAGAAUUCCUUUCCUUAACCCUUCAUCAACUGGAACUACAAUUCGAUCUCGAAAUCUUAACACUCCUUCAGACCCUAAUUUAAAGUCUAGGGUUUCUCCUUUCUGUAACUUCUCCAACUUAUUCUGGAUUAUAGGGUCCGUUUUCUGUGCCUCCUUAAUACGUUCCAGUAACGGUGACUUCAACGACAAGUUCCCAAACAGAAUCUUCAAUCUCUCCAAGCGAGGGUUCCAAACACUAACCUCUUCUAACAUGUCCCAUUCUUUUACCAUUAACCCUGCUACUUGGGCCUUUCUACUUAAAGCGUCUGCCACCAUGGCUUUUCCUGGGUGGUAGUUUAGUGAACAAUCAUAAUCCUCCAAAAAUUCUACCCAUCGCCUUUGUCUCAAAUUCAAUUCCUUUUGGGAAAACAAGUACUUAAGGCUCUUGUGGUCCGUAUAAACUUCAAAGGUCACACCGUACAAGUAAUGUCUCCAUUUCUUUAAGGCAAAGACCACUGCGGCCAGUUCUAGGUCAUGCGUUGGGUAAUUUUGUUCGUGAGGCUUUAAUUUCCUAGAGGCAUAUAGGCAACUACCUUACCCUUUUGCAUUAGUAUGCAUCCUAGACCUUCCCUAGAGGCGUUAGAGUAUACGACAUAACCUUCUACUCCAUCAGGCAAUGCCAACACCGGAGCUGAUGUUAAGCGCUUCUUUAACUCUUGAAAGCUUGAAUCGCACUUUGGAGUCCAAAUGAACUUAUUAUUUUUCUUUGUCAGCUCUGUCAUAGGUCCAGCAAUAUUUGAAAAGUCCUUGAUGAAUCACCUGUAAUAACCUGCUAGACCCAAGAAACUUCUAACCUCUGUUGGAGUUUUUGGCUGUUUCCACAUUGUGACUGCCUCAACUUUUGCCGGAUCUACGGCAAUUCCAUCUUUAGAAACUUUGUGCCCCAGAAAGGAAAUUUUAUCCAGCCAAAACUCACACUUACUAAAUUUAGCAUAUAAUUUAUGCUCUCUUAAGAUCUGCAAAACUACCUCCAAGUGUUUAACAUGUUCUUCUCGAGUCCUAGAAUAUACUAGGAUAUCAUCAAUAAAGACUACUACGAACUGAUCCAAGUACUUUUUAAAAACUCUCUGCAUUAAGUCCAUGAAAGCAGCUGGUGCAUUGGUUAACCCAAAUGGCAUGACUGCGAAUUCAAAAUGUCCAUAUAUUGUAUUGAAAGCAGUUUUAGGUAUGUCUUCCUUCUUAAUUUUCAACUGAUAAUACCCUUGCCUCAAGUCCAGUUUGGAGAAAACUACUGAUCCUUGCAGCUGAUCGAAUAAGCUGUCAAUCAAUGGUAGAGGGUAUUUGUUUUUAAUUAUACCCUCAUUUAAUCCUCGAUAAUCAAUACACAACCUCAAACUUUCAUUCUUUUUCUUAACAAAUAGAACAGGUGCCCCCCAUGGCGAAUCACUUUCUCUAACAAAACCUCUCUCCAAUAGAUCCUGUAAUUGUAUUUUCAAUUAUUUUAGCUCUGCAGGAGCCAUUCAGUACGGAGUCUUAGAAAUCGGGGCCAUUCCCGGCACUAGUUCAAUCUUGAACUCCACUUCUCUCUCCGGAGGUAAUGUUUUUAGUUCUUCGGGAAACACAUCUGAAAAUUUCCUUACCACUGGUACAUCCUCCAACUUUACUUGGUCACUGGGAGCGUUAAUCAGGAAGGCUAAGAAACCUUGCGCUCCUUUAUACAACAUUUUCCUUGCUCGAACUCCCGAUAUCAUAGCAGACGAUGCUAACCUACCUUUCAUAUCCAAUUUCAGGGUUGCUUCCCCGGAAAUCCAAAAUUCUACCACUUUUGCUCUACGAUCAAGCUUAGCAUGGUAAUGAGUUAGGAAAUCCAUUCGUAUGAUAACAUCAUACCCUUUUAUGUCCAAACUGACUAGGUCUACUAGCAUCUUACGCUCUCCAACCCAGAACUCACAGUUCUUAUAGGCCAGGCUAGUGAUUAUACUUUUAUUACCCAUGGGUGUCCUAACUUCAAGAUCAAAGGGUAACUUAAUAGGUUGUACAUCGAUUCCGGACAUAAAAAUUGGAUUCACAAAUGAAUGAGUUGCGCCAGGAUAAAUUAGUACUAUAGCUAUUCGGUGAAAGAUUGGAAGAGUACCUUCCACAACCUCCGAGAAAUCAAGUACGGGUUGAUCGUCUAUAGCGUACACCCUGGCAGAAACUUUCGGCGUAUUUCCUCCAGAAGUGGCUUGCCUAGCACUCAUGGUACCACCUUCUUGUAUUUUUGGACAACCGGCAAUCUGGUGCUCACUGCUUCCGCACUUCAAGCACUUUCCUUCUUUCCUCCAGCAUCUGUCCUCAGUAUGGCCAGCCCUCCUGCAAUACCCACAAGUUACCUGAGGGGUGGUCACACGACCUCCUUGUGGGGCGUUCCUAGUUUGACUCCUUCCACUUGGUCCUCCUCUAGUUCCGAUAUCUUUUCCCCCGGCACUUCUUGCCCCAGCUCCUGUCGCUAGAGCGCCUCGUGGUGCUCCAGGACUAUUUAUUCCACCCGUUCCUCGACCCACUUUGGCCGGUGGAGCAUUUGCAUAAGUCGGCUCCCGACUGCUGUUAGGGCCAAAUCUUUUCUUGGCCUGGAAGGAUUUUACUUGAGCUCUGGCAACCUCAACCCUCUGAGCUCUCUCAACAGCAUCAGCAAACGUGUCUAUCCGAACAGCAGCUAAUCCCUCCUGGAUUUCCACGUUUAGUCCCUGCACAAACUUCCUUAUACGCCUUUGCUCCGUGGCUACCAAUUCAGGAGCAAAACGGGACAAUUUCGUGAAUUAGAUUUCAUAUUCGGUGACACUCACCGCCCCCUGCCUACACUUGAUAAAGUCAUCCUCUCUUUUCUCUUGGAUGAGAGGGGGUAGAAACUUGGCGUUGAACUCCCGAGUGAAGUUCGCCCAAGUCCUAGGAAUAUGGUUCCUGUCCCAAUUGACCCUAAUUAGGUUCCACCAGGAACGAGCAUCUCCCUCAAACUGGAAUGCUGCGAAGGUCACUUGUCUCUCCUCCGUAUAAUUUAGAGCUGCAAAAAUGUCAGAGAUCCUCUCCCACCAACCUUCUGCUAUCUCAGGUUCUGGUCCUCCAUAAAACUUAGGAGGUCCAAACUUCAAGAAUCUCUCUAAUGCCCGAUCCUCAGUAUCGAUUGGGCCUCCUUGGUGAUGCACCGCUCCAUGGGCUUGGUGCUCAGUCAUGCGCUCUAAAGCAUCAGUUAUUCUAUUAAUCACGGUGGCCACUGGAUCUCCGGCCACGCUCCAUUGACCAUGGUCUUGAUUGACCUCAGGUCCCCUAUCACCACCAAUCUCGGGGUGUUGCCUAGUUGAUCUCCCACGUUCUCUACCUCUAACUCGUCGAUCCAUAGCCUAGUUAUGCCUAUAUAUAAAUAGAGCAAUUAAUCGAAGAUAUUAUUAUUUAUUUACUUAUUAUUAUUAUUAUUAUAUAUAUUUUUAUUUUGAAAGUAAAAUCAACAUGAAUAUUGAGGAAAAGAAAUUAAAACAUUUAACACAUAUAUUCACAUACCAAGGUUCAUACAAAUAGCAGGUUAGGGUGCCUUCCGAAAGUAUAGCUCACAAGUUUAACAAAUAUGUACAAACAAUCCCUUAAACCAAAAAUAGGGACAUAGUGCCUCAAAAGUAGGCCAUCUAGCUAGACAAAAUGCUAUGACCUAUCUAGUGUCACCCUAACUAACCCUGGAUACGCAGAUACAAACAGAUCAAACCUAGUCUAACCCUCAGCAGGGGUGCCAGGAGCAACGUCCUCCUCAGGGUCCUCCUCCGGAUCCUCCUCCAAAUUCUCCUCCGGGUCCUCCUCAACACCCGCCUGAACAGUGCCCUGAAUGAUACCCAUGACCUCAUCUAUCAUCAUAGUGGCGUCAGCCCUAAUACCCGCACUCUUAUCUCGUACCUCCUCAGUUACUCGAGUCAAUCGAGACCUCUGUCUCCCUAACUCCUCACGAGCGGCCUCUGACCUAGCCCUCUCGGCUGCUAACCUCUGCUCGAGCUCAGCUAUGCGGUCAAGCUGAGUAUCCACCAUGAUGCUCAACUCCUCGACAUCCUGGGUCAAAGUGUGAUUAGCGUCCCUCAGCUGGCGACGCUCGUCGUCUAAGGACAGUACUAACUCAUUAGGGUAGGCAUACGUGACCCUACACUGACAUCGGGGAUACCUAUCAGCUAGUGUAUAACGUAUACGAGGUCCUCCGCCUUGUGGCCUAUAGGAGAUGGACCUAAGAGGCUCUACAUGUCCAUUAGCCACUCCAUUACCAUUAGCAUGUCCGUUUCCGUUUUCCAUACCUGCAAAAUAACCAAGAAUCCAAAAGUUAAUACUUAAAUAGCUAACUUGCUCAAGUACUACUUAAGAUAUGUCUAAUCAACUCACUUCCUACCUUUUAAAAGGUUCAGGGUUUCUAACAUAUCUAAUAUAUCCUUCAAAUAAUUUUCCUAACCUAGGCUCUGAUACCACCUGUGACGACCCCACUUCUCCCUAAGGCGAACCAAAGGGUUGGCGGGUCGCCUGCCUAGCUCUCGCCAGGACUCACGCAAGAAAACUGACUAAACCCUUUCCUCGUAUAACAUAAACCUAAACAAAACUCGUCAUCCGAACAAUCCAAACAUUGAACGACCAAAAUACUAGGAACACAUUAACUUCAGAGAUAACAUUGCCAUUGGACAUCUGGACGUUCACUCUUAAACACAUCACUAACCAGAUCAACACAUAACUACAAAUAUACAUUACAAAUCACAAAGUGAAAUCAGAAAAUACAAAUUCGUUCAUACAAGCCAAAGUUUAGGGUUUGCACUUUUCCAGCUUCAAGUGGCAACCCAAAACAAAAGACACAUAGUCCGAUUCAUAACAACAUUUACAAAAGUUAAAGGUAGACUUCAAGUCUCUCGGAUGCCAAAACCUGUUCAGGAAAACAAAUAACGUGGGGUGAGCUAAAGCUCAGUGGUGCCCCAAGCAUGCAAUCAUAUAAACAAGUAGCAAACAGUAAUUUCAAACUAAAUUCAACAAGUAGGAAAACGAAUAACAGCACAGAGUUGGAUACAGGGGCUCUCAGGAGCCAUUUUUCACACACUUGAUCAAAAUUAACCGUAGUUGACCCUCCGUCAACUUUCACUAUCUAAAGUCCAUGUAGAUUCUUAUUUUUUUUUAAUCUUAACACGCUCCAACCAACUUACUCCCACCGGGCCCGUUCUUCUCACGAGAGAGUUUGGUAGUACUCGAGUAUACCUUUAUAUAGACUAGUCGAGGGAUUCACCCCACGACGUCACAACACGUGUUUACCAAGUCAGGAUAAAAGGCCCUCCCACCCUAAGGUGUGGUACAUUCCCCUGCUUGGUGGUUUAGUUGACGAGUCCACGCUCCAGUCAACAAUUGCAAAAUUUUGGUACUUGAGUUAGGAUAAGAGGCCCUCCCACCCUCAGGUGUGGUACAUUCCCCCACUCAGUACUUAACUAGUGCGAGCAAGAUAUUCAAGAAAACAUUUCAAAUAAUUCACCACUCGAAAGGCUAGUGCGAUAAAGUACACACUGCCCACUUCGAUGGAUCAGGAAAUCCACUUUCCAAUUAUCACAUAACAAGUCAAGAAAGCACUUUAUCACAUUAGUCAUAGAACAAGCACGGACACUCACCAAAAGUGAAGCUCAAAAGUCAAGCUGGGAAUCGCAGUCCACGUCCUCGCUAAACCCUAGAAAACCAAGUUUUAAAACUAUAAGUUUUACUAUACAAACUCUUGGUUUAUAUACAAAAGAUUAUCUGGUAUAAAACUAGUUUAUUUUCUCGGAAUAAAUCAAUAAAUCUCUUAGAAUUAAAGGUAGUAAAGUGAUACAAUAUUUCGUAUGAUUCCUUUAAAGCUACUUUUCUUUCUAGAGGUGCAACUAAAACCAAACUAAUUCAAGCAAGUUUUCUUGCCGAACAAGUUUUCUAAGCCUGUCUUUUUAAAAUUAUUAAAAUCUCAUGUUUUAGCAAUUUUCCUCUAAAACAACUAGCCAAGGAUAAUUUUACGAAAACUUAAAGUUUGAGAGUUAAUGCAAUUAUUUCCUAGAGUAAUAAAACUAGUUUAAGCAAAGAAAAGAAUUAACUAGUUAGUAAGUUUUUUUUUUUUUAACCAAAAAAAAGUCCCGGCACUUAAAUUUUAGCUUUAUCGUACUAUACUCAAUUUCUAUAACUUGAUAUUAAGAUGAAAUAUUUCCACAAAGCUUGAUUUAAAAGAAUUAACUAGUUAGUAAGUUUUUUUUUUUUUAACCAAAAAAAAGUCCCGGCACUUAAAUUUUAGCUUUAUCGUACUAUACUCAAUUUCUAUAACUUGAUAUUAAGAUGAAAUAUUUCCACAAAGCUUGAUUUAAAAGUACUCGAAUUCAAAAGACCAAAACGGACUUCACGAUUCCAACUCAUUUGAACAUUGUAUUCCAAGUCACCAAUGUAGUAAAAUUACAACCCAAACAUCAAUUUCACUAGGGUUUCAUCAAUCAUUAGCCCUAGGUCUCAACAGAUUUAAUUCCAAUCAAAAUUAAACAAAGGAAGUCCAAGAUAUCAAACGAUUCCAAACCACAAUUCAUGGACCUUCCAAGUACAUUUCGGUCAAACCGUUUAAACAAUUCCACCACGAAUUAAACUCUUGCAAAUACCUUACCCUUUUGCAUUAGUAUGCAUCCUAGACCUUCCCUAGAGGCGUUAGAGUAUACGACAUAACCUUCUACUCCAUCAGGCAAUGCCAACACCGGAGCUGAUGUUAAGCGCUUCUUUAACUCUUGAAAGCUUGAAUCGCACUUUGGAGUCCAAAUGAACUUAUUAUUUUUCUUUGUCAGCUCUGUCAUAGGUCCAGCAAUAUUUGAAAAGUCCUUGAUGAAUCACCUGUAAUAACCUGCUAGACCCAAGAAACUUCUAACCUCUGUUGGAGUUUUUGGCUGUUUCCACAUUGUGACUGCCUCAACUUUUGCCGGAUCUACGGCAAUUCCAUCUUUAGAAACUUUGUGCCCCAGAAAGGAAAUUUUAUCCAGCCAAAACUCACACUUACUAAAUUUAGCAUAUAAUUUAUGCUCUCUUAAGAUCUGCAAAACUACCUCCAAGUGUUUAACAUGUUCUUCUCGAGUCCUAGAAUAUACUAGGAUAUCAUCAAUAAAGACUACUACGAACUGAUCCAAGUACUUUUUAAAAACUCUCUGCAUUAAGUCCAUGAAAGCAGCUGGUGCAUUGGUUAACCCAAAUGGCAUGACUGCGAAUUCAAAAUGUCCAUAUAUUGUAUUGAAAGCAGUUUUAGGUAUGUCUUCCUUCUUAAUUUUCAACUGAUAAUACCCUUGCCUCAAGUCCAGUUUGGAGAAAACUACUGAUCCUUGCAGCUGAUCGAAUAAGCUGUCAAUCAAUGGUAGAGGGUAUUUGUUUUUAAUUAUACCCUCAUUUAAUCCUCGAUAAUCAAUACACAACCUCAAACUUUCAUUCUUUUUCUUAACAAAUAGAACAGGUGCCCCCCAUGGCGAAUCACUUUCUCUAACAAAACCUCUCUCCAAUAGAUCCUGUAAUUGUAUUUUCAAUUAUUUUAGCUCUGCAGGAGCCAUUCAGUACGGAGUCUUAGAAAUCGGGGCCAUUCCCGGCACUAGUUCAAUCUUGAACUCCACUUCUCUCUCCGGAGGUAAUGUUUUUAGUUCUUCGGGAAACACAUCUGAAAAUUUCCUUACCACUGGUACAUCCUCCAACUUUACUUGGUCACUGGGAGCGUUAAUCAGGAAGGCUAAGAAACCUUGCGCUCCUUUAUACAACAUUUUCCUUGCUCGAACUCCCGAUAUCAUAGCAGACGAUGCUAACCUACCUUUCAUAUCCAAUUUCAGGGUUGCUUCCCCGGAAAUCCAAAAUUCUACCACUUUUGCUCUACGAUCAAGCUUAGCAUGGUAAUGAGUUAGGAAAUCCAUUCGUAUGAUAACAUCAUACCCUUUUAUGUCCAAACUGACUAGGUCUACUAGCAUCUUACGCUCUCCAACCCAGAACUCACAGUUCUUAUAGGCCAGGCUAGUGAUUAUACUUUUAUUACCCAUGGGUGUCCUAACUUCAAGAUCAAAGGGUAACUUAAUAGGUUGUACAUCGAUUCCGGACAUAAAAAUUGGAUUCACAAAUGAAUGAGUUGCGCCAGGAUAAAUUAGUACUAUAGCUAUUCGGUGAAAGAUUGGAAGAGUACCUUCCACAACCUCCGAGAAAUCAAGUACGGGUUGAUCGUCUAUAGCGUACACCCUGGCAGAAACUUUCGGCGUAUUUCCUCCAGAAGUGGCUUGCCUAGCACUCAUGGUACCACCUUCUUGUAUUUUUGGACAACCGGCAAUCUGGUGCUCACUGCUUCCGCACUUCAAGCACUUUCCUUCUUUCCUCCAGCAUCUGUCCUCAGUAUGGCCAGCCCUCCUGCAAUACCCACAAGUUACCUGAGGGGUGGUCACACGACCUCCUUGUGGGGCGUUCCUAGUUUGACUCCUUCCACUUGGUCCUCCUCUAGUUCCGAUAUCUUUUCCCCCGGCACUUCUUGCCCCAGCUCCUGUCGCUAGAGCGCCUCGUGGUGCUCCAGGACUAUUUAUUCCACCCGUUCCUCGACCCACUUUGGCCGGUGGAGCAUUUGCAUAAGUCGGCUCCCGACUGCUGUUAGGGCCAAAUCUUUUCUUGGCCUGGAAGGAUUUUACUUGAGCUCUGGCAACCUCAACCCUCUGAGCUCUCUCAACAGCAUCAGCAAACGUGUCUAUCCGAACAGCAGCUAAUCCCUCCUGGAUUUCCACGUUUAGUCCCUGCACAAACUUCCUUAUACGCCUUUGCUCCGUGGCUACCAAUUCAGGAGCAAAACGGGACAAUUUCGUGAAUUAGAUUUCAUAUUCGGUGACACUCACCGCCCCCUGCCUACACUUGAUAAAGUCAUCCUCUCUUUUCUCUUGGAUGAGAGGGGGUAGAAACUUGGCGUUGAACUCCCGAGUGAAGUUCGCCCAAGUCCUAGGAAUAUGGUUCCUGUCCCAAUUGACCCUAAUUAGGUUCCACCAGGAACGAGCAUCUCCCUCAAACUGGAAUGCUGCGAAGGUCACUUGUCUCUCCUCCGUAUAAUUUAGAGCUGCAAAAAUGUCAGAGAUCCUCUCCCACCAACCUUCUGCUAUCUCAGGUUCUGGUCCUCCAUAAAACUUAGGAGGUCCAAACUUCAAGAAUCUCUCUAAUGCCCGAUCCUCAGUAUCGAUUGGGCCUCCUUGGUGAUGCACCGCUCCAUGGGCUUGGUGCUCAGUCAUGCGCUCUAAAGCAUCAGUUAUUCUAUUAAUCACGGUGGCCACUGGAUCUCCGGCCACGCUCCAUUGACCAUGGUCUUGAUUGACCUCAGGUCCCCUAUCACCACCAAUCUCGGGGUGUUGCCUAGUUGAUCUCCCACGUUCUCUACCUCUAACUCGUCGAUCCAUAGCCUAGUUAUGCCUAUAUAUAAAUAGAGCAAUUAAUCGAAGAUAUUAUUAUUUAUUUACUUAUUAUUAUUAUUAUUAUAUAUAUUUUUAUUUUGAAAGUAAAAUCAACAUGAAUAUUGAGGAAAAGAAAUUAAAACAUUUAACACAUAUAUUCACAUACCAAGGUUCAUACAAAUAGCAGGUUAGGGUGCCUUCCGAAAGUAUAGCUCACAAGUUUAACAAAUAUGUACAAACAAUCCCUUAAACCAAAAAUAGGGACAUAGUGCCUCAAAAGUAGGCCAUCUAGCUAGACAAAAUGCUAUGACCUAUCUAGUGUCACCCUAACUAACCCUGGAUACGCAGAUACAAACAGAUCAAACCUAGUCUAACCCUCAGCAGGGGUGCCAGGAGCAACGUCCUCCUCAGGGUCCUCCUCCGGAUCCUCCUCCAAAUUCUCCUCCGGGUCCUCCUCAACACCCGCCUGAACAGUGCCCUGAAUGAUACCCAUGACCUCAUCUAUCAUCAUAGUGGCGUCAGCCCUAAUACCCGCACUCUUAUCUCGUACCUCCUCAGUUACUCGAGUCAAUCGAGACCUCUGUCUCCCUAACUCCUCACGAGCGGCCUCUGACCUAGCCCUCUCGGCUGCUAACCUCUGCUCGAGCUCAGCUAUGCGGUCAAGCUGAGUAUCCACCAUGAUGCUCAACUCCUCGACAUCCUGGGUCAAAGUGUGAUUAGCGUCCCUCAGCUGGCGACGCUCGUCGUCUAAGGACAGUACUAACUCAUUAGGGUAGGCAUACGUGACCCUACACUGACAUCGGGGAUACCUAUCAGCUAGUGUAUAACGUAUACGAGGUCCUCCGCCUUGUGGCCUAUAGGAGAUGGACCUAAGAGGCUCUACAUGUCCAUUAGCCACUCCAUUACCAUUAGCAUGUCCGUUUCCGUUUUCCAUACCUGCAAAAUAACCAAGAAUCCAAAAGUUAAUACUUAAAUAGCUAACUUGCUCAAGUACUACUUAAGAUAUGUCUAAUCAACUCACUUCCUACCUUUUAAAAGGUUCAGGGUUUCUAACAUAUCUAAUAUAUCCUUCAAAUAAUUUUCCUAACCUAGGCUCUGAUACCACCUGUGACGACCCCACUUCUCCCUAAGGCGAACCAAAGGGUUGGCGGGUCGCCUGCCUAGCUCUCGCCAGGACUCACGCAAGAAAACUGACUAAACCCUUUCCUCGUAUAACAUAAACCUAAACAAAACUCGUCAUCCGAACAAUCCAAACAUUGAACGACCAAAAUACUAGGAACACAUUAACUUCAGAGAUAACAUUGCCAUUGGACAUCUGGACGUUCACUCUUAAACACAUCACUAACCAGAUCAACACAUAACUACAAAUAUACAUUACAAAUCACAAAGUGAAAUCAGAAAAUACAAAUUCGUUCAUACAAGCCAAAGUUUAGGGUUUGCACUUUUCCAGCUUCAAGUGGCAACCCAAAACAAAAGACACAUAGUCCGAUUCAUAACAACAUUUACAAAAGUUAAAGGUAGACUUCAAGUCUCUCGGAUGCCAAAACCUGUUCAGGAAAACAAAUAACGUGGGGUGAGCUAAAGCUCAGUGGUGCCCCAAGCAUGCAAUCAUAUAAACAAGUAGCAAACAGUAAUUUCAAACUAAAUUCAACAAGUAGGAAAACGAAUAACAGCACAGAGUUGGAUACAGGGGCUCUCAGGAGCCAUUUUUCACACACUUGAUCAAAAUUAACCGUAGUUGACCCUCCGUCAACUUUCACUAUCUAAAGUCCAUGUAGAUUCUUAUUUUUUUUUAAUCUUAACACGCUCCAACCAACUUACUCCCACCGGGCCCGUUCUUCUCACGAGAGAGUUUGGUAGUACUCGAGUAUACCUUUAUAUAGACUAGUCGAGGGAUUCACCCCACGACGUCACAACACGUGUUUACCAAGUCAGGAUAAAAGGCCCUCCCACCCUAAGGUGUGGUACAUUCCCCUGCUUGGUGGUUUAGUUGACGAGUCCACGCUCCAGUCAACAAUUGCAAAAUUUUGGUACUUGAGUUAGGAUAAGAGGCCCUCCCACCCUCAGGUGUGGUACAUUCCCCCACUCAGUACUUAACUAGUGCGAGCAAGAUAUUCAAGAAAACAUUUCAAAUAAUUCACCACUCGAAAGGCUAGUGCGAUAAAGUACACACUGCCCACUUCGAUGGAUCAGGAAAUCCACUUUCCAAUUAUCACAUAACAAGUCAAGAAAGCACUUUAUCACAUUAGUCAUAGAACAAGCACGGACACUCACCAAAAGUGAAGCUCAAAAGUCAAGCUGGGAAUCGCAGUCCACGUCCUCGCUAAACCCUAGAAAACCAAGUUUUAAAACUAUAAGUUUUACUAUACAAACUCUUGGUUUAUAUACAAAAGAUUAUCUGGUAUAAAACUAGUUUAUUUUCUCGGAAUAAAUCAAUAAAUCUCUUAGAAUUAAAGGUAGUAAAGUGAUACAAUAUUUCGUAUGAUUCCUUUAAAGCUACUUUUCUUUCUAGAGGUGCAACUAAAACCAAACUAAUUCAAGCAAGUUUUCUUGCCGAACAAGUUUUCUAAGCCUGUCUUUUUAAAAUUAUUAAAAUCUCAUGUUUUAGCAAUUUUCCUCUAAAACAACUAGCCAAGGAUAAUUUUACGAAAACUUAAAGUUUGAGAGUUAAUGCAAUUAUUUCCUAGAGUAAUAAAACUAGUUUAAGCAAAGAAAAGAAUUAACUAGUUAGUAAGUUUUUUUUUUUUUAACCAAAAAAAAGUCCCGGCACUUAAAUUUUAGCUUUAUCGUACUAUACUCAAUUUCUAUAACUUGAUAUUAAGAUGAAAUAUUUCCACAAAGCUUGAUUUAAAAGAAUUAACUAGUUAGUAAGUUUUUUUUUUUUUAACCAAAAAAAAGUCCCGGCACUUAAAUUUUAGCUUUAUCGUACUAUACUCAAUUUCUAUAACUUGAUAUUAAGAUGAAAUAUUUCCACAAAGCUUGAUUUAAAAGUACUCGAAUUCAAAAGACCAAAACGGACUUCACGAUUCCAACUCAUUUGAACAUUGUAUUCCAAGUCACCAAUGUAGUAAAAUUACAACCCAAACAUCAAUUUCACUAGGGUUUCAUCAAUCAUUAGCCCUAGGUCUCAACAGAUUUAAUUCCAAUCAAAAUUAAACAAAGGAAGUCCAAGAUAUCAAACGAUUCCAAACCACAAUUCAUGGACCUUCCAAGUACAUUUCGGUCAAACCGUUUAAACAAUUCCACCACGAAUUAAACUCUUGCAAAAAUUACUCAAAUGGCCAAGAGCUUCAUCAAUCAUUAGCUCUUGACGACAAACAAUCAUUCCUUACAACAAUUAACCAGAAAUUCAACCCAAAACAACAAGGAAAGCCACGGCUAGCUUACUCAUAAACACUCCAGAAAUUUAGAUUUUCCCUUGUUUCGACAACCAAGAAAAAUUCCAGCAAAUGACAAUUCAAGACGUCCAUCAAAUCUUCACCUUUUAUUUGCUUGAAACACUAAAUAUAUAGCUCAUAAUCUAUCCAACCAAAACCAGAACAAGUAACACACAAUUCCAGAAAAUAACCUCACCAAAAACCUCAACUAGUUCGGCCAACAACCAUAUACAAAUUCCAGCAAUAUAACAAAUUAACUUAUAGUGCCUUGUCCACAACUUUCUUCAGUUUUUUUUUUUCAACUCACAUGCAAAAAGUGACUAGCAAGCUACGAGCUAAUCUUAACAUCCCGUAUGAAGAUCUUAGCUAAAAUUCGAUGGAAAACUGAUCAAAUGCUCAACCCCCUUCACUCGGCCAUGCUGGGAAAAAAAAUUUCUCACAACAGUUAGCCAAAUACAUAUUUUCCUCCAAUAAUCUCAUCAGUUCAUGUUCAAAUCUUUCAUGCAUGUCCAAACCAAGUUAAUAUAUAAUAUAUAUUACAGUUUAACAUAGGAAUUUAAGGCCAAAAUUCAUAAGAAUAGCUAGAAACUUCACCAUUACCUUCAUUCGGACAACCUGGAAAAAAUUCCAGCAAAUAACUCUAGGAAUUCAGAUUUUUUUUUCUCCCUCCUUUUUUUUCUUUCACGGUUCAUCAGCUACAUGCAAGACCAAAUAAACAGCUAUCUAUCAAUUUUGAUCCAAAACCAAGUUCGGACAACAUCAGAAGUUACCAUCCAACCAGAAAUUCAUUCGAUCAUUCUCGGUUAGCUUGCAUGCAAGCAGAUUUUAUGUUCCUUCAAUUUUCUUGCUUAAUCAAGGUUGAUUAACCUCAUGCAAAGCUUAAUCAUCCAGUUUUUGGUUAGCUAAAAACACAUUUAAACUCAGAUUAUCACGAAUUGGCCAACUAAAGCUGCAAAUUUCCAGCUUACACACUCGGCAACUCUAAUUCCUGCACCAUCAUAUUUCUUGGGACUUAAUUUAUCAUCCAAUCGCUCCACCCUCACAUGCAUGCCCCUAAAUAACUUCAUCAACCUAUAGACAACUAGUCUAACUCUAGAAAUUACCUCAGCUUGGAGCUCAACACAAGUGACCAGCAGCGGAAAUAUUUCUCUCCUCUCGGCAGUCCAGAAAUGCAGCCUGCUAGCUCUCCCUCUCCCUUGCUCAAGCUUGCGACUAGAAUGGAGGAAGUUUGGCUCUCCGUCUCUUCACCAGCUCACGGAUGGAAGGAAUGAGAAUAGCAAGUCUCUUUUUUCUCUUCCUAUCUUACGGACAGAAAGGAAAAGAAUGACAAGCUCGGCUCUCUCUCUUUCUCACUUCACUCUCGGAUUGCGCCAGAAAAAGGAAAUGGAAGGCUGAUGUUGUGGUGGAUUGGAAAUGAUAUAGGAGAGUGUGGUAGUGGAGUGUGAGCCGACAUUAUGAAUGGUGGAAUGGUGGAGUAGGAAAAUGGAACCGGCAGGCUGGACAUGUUUGGAUUUAAAGAUUGUUCUAGGAGGUUCCAUGGCUGCAUGGUUAUUUUGAAAUGGAGAAAAGCUAAUCUGGUCUUUUAACAACUUGUUCGACCUUCCACUUAAGUUCUCAUUCAUAAACUAAUUCCAAAAAUUUAUCCCAAAUGAAAUUCGAUAGCCUACUAGUGUGCUAAUCGCGCGAAAAUUCAAUUAUCGAGAUUUAACGUCCUAAGUGCAGUUAUAAAGGAUUUGACCCAAAUCGUUUUCGUCUUAAUUCUAGGUUCCCGUUAACACUUAAUGUUAUUAACACUUAAAAUUAGCUAUCGGAAUUCAAAGAAUUAAUAUUAGAGCAAUAAAACACUCUACGUCAAGAAAUAUUAACUUAACCUGGCAAAAAUCAAAUAAUUCAAUACUCUGCACAAUAAAACUAUUUGUAACCUAAAAAUUAUUUUUACAUACUUAUUUAAGAUCAACUAAUGAUAAAAUUUAUUAAAUGUCAAAAAUGCAAAUGCGACAAGUAUAUAUAUAUAUAUUUUUCAAGGUUCUCACAAUUCAUACUACACAAAAUACAAUUAGGGUUUCGUUUCCAAAAGAGAUUAACAACAUGACAUAUACACUAGCUUGACCCUUUUCUUUCAAAACCGUGAUUUCCAAAUUUGUCCCCUGUAAGGAAAACAAAGGUAACGGAAAGGGGUGAGUUUGCGCUCAAUGAGGUACCAAACAUAUAGGGAAAAAAUCAUGGUUUUUCACGUUUAAUCAAUCAGAUACAUAUACCAGAUAUAAAGGAAAGCAGUUAGACACAGUGAUUCAAAGGGAAAGGAUACAAGUGGCUCUCAGGAGCCAGAUUUCCAUUUGCAGUACUUGAUCCGAACCCGUUGACUCUCUAGCAAUACUCGAGAAUACCGGAAUCAAGAGUCUCAAUACCCAAAGAUUCCCAGAAUAGACUAACGUAGGUCGUUAUCUAAUCGACCAGACCCUUGCCGGCCCGACUUGAGUAACUAGCCACAGGUGUUGAGCUCAGAGGUCACAGAAAGGUCGUUGGAUACCAGCCUCCAAACAACGUCCGAACAGACUCAGAUACAGUUAACAGAUUAUACACAGUAAAUAGGCAUACAGACAGACAAGAGAACGAGUGAGAUAAAGUACACCCUCGUCUCAAACAGAAUAAACAGAUGAUACAGUCAUUCAAAUCAUAGAUUGCAGGUGCAGAAACCAAGUUAAGCAAACAAAUGAGGGGAGUGGUACACUCACCGGUUCUAGUACAGAUACUUCAAAAGUUUUUACCCAAAGUGGCUUUAAUCGCCAAGAUACCCUAAAAUAAUCAAGAUAAAAUAAUUAUAGUUCACACAUCCGCAAACCCAGUAAAUGAAAUGCAUAAAAGAGGGUCGAUUACAUGUCGUACGCCUUUCCAGGUUAAGAACUAGUACAGAAAAAUAAAAAUAUGACUUUUGAGUAAAAAGAUAACAAUUGGUCCUAGGGUUACAAACAACCCUCAAAAUCCUUCAUUUUUACUACGAUCAACUCAACUUGAAGGAAUCGCGUAGCCCUAAAAUUUUGGGCAGCAUGCCCCCUAUAUUUUGCAAUAUUCCAACCAUUUAUGGCUUCAUUGUUUUUCCUCAAGUCAAUCCAAUUCAACACAUAAGAAUUCUCAAUACAAUAGCCCUUCAACUAGGCUCAAGUUCAUCCAAAUACAAAGCAAGUCUAGGAAUGCAACUAGAAAUCAAGUUUUAAGGACAAAAGCUAAAUAGCAGGUUUGACGUCUCUUAGCAGAACAGACACAACCGAAGCUACGCUUAUCGGAUUGGGGUACAAUUUAUACCGUUUCGAAUAUAAGAUAAAGGCCUAGAACUUUGAUGAAGACCACUCAGUCCAGUUCGUGGUGUAUCUAGGUCAAAAUUUAAAAUUACAGAACCAACAUCUCACAAUCAGACUAAUUCACUGCACUAUGAUUCAACGACAAUAACUCAGGUUACGGAAGUCCGAUUGAGGUGUAUCUUAUGGCGUUUCGAAGCCAAGACAUAUACCUACAUUUCUUAUGAAGGCCUCAAAAGCUAAAUCAAGCAUUUUCAAAGUCAAAAAUUGAAAUCCCAAUGAUGACAGAAAACUGUCCGCGAAAAUAGGGCUUAUGGGCAGUCAAGGGUAUUUCAGUCAUUUCACAUGCAACGGUGCUCCGAUCGAGCUGAAAUUUUUAAGGCAGAUAUUUAACAUCAUUUAAUACAACUUUCUUGUGUUGUGCUAAGCCUAAUUCGGCCUCUAUCCUAGCAUAACAGGACCGGGCAGAACAGGGGUUAGUUGAAACCCUAAUCUAGAAUUUUCACACCAAACCAGAAAUUUUUCACAACCAAUCAUAUCCAACAUAUAACAACUCCAUUUUACACUAUAACAAACCAUCAAUCCAUGACUAAACAAUAAAUAUAUAUAUAUAUAUAAAACAAAAAAAUCCAUAAUAAAUCAAGAAUCCAUCAAAACUCCACUUUCAACCAUAAAACAUACCACAAGUCCACAUUUUUAGCUACUAAAGCCACUAAUUUAACCUUAUUAAGGACAAAGGAAGAAGUUCUUAGUAACUCACCUUACAACUCAAAAAGAUUGCAACUUAACACCUUUUCUUCUCAAACCACUCCACCACUCUGCUUAAUCCUACCAAGAGAAGGGUUUUUAUCGAGCAAAUCAAAGUUUUAACGAUUGGUUUACAAGAUCAAAGCAAGGAAUGGAAGGAAUAAGUGAAGGCUUUCUUUCUUUCUUUUUUUCUUGUGAAGCUCGGCCAAGAUGCUCAAAGAAUGAAGAUGAUUUUUGGCCAAUUUUGGAUUUUAGUAAAGUUAGUGAAUAGUGGUCAAAAUCCAAGAACCAACCACGUCGCGACACCUAGGACCUUUUGAGUUAAAACAUAUUUUUUUGUCUCUCCAAGAUUAAUCCAACUAAUUAACCUCUAAUUAUCUCUUAACAUCUAGUAAAUUCAUCCCUAUAUACCAAACAUAACCUAAUUGGCCGAAUUUCUCUCACUUAACGCACUAGCGGGUCCCACGUCCACUAUACGCUCCAAACUUAAUAUGCACUAACUUAUAUCAGAAAAAUAUUUUAAAAACUCUAUUCACUUAUAAAACGUCUGAAAAAAUCAAUAUAAUAAGGCAUAAUGAAAAAAAUGCAUACGAGAAAAUAAAAUAAAAAUAAGGAAAAUUUACGUUCCUCACACUCUUUCCCCCUUAAAGAAAUUUCGUUCUCGAAAUUUCCUUACCACUAGGAUCUCUUAAAGUCUUAAUUAAACGGCGGAUCGUACCUUCUACAUUCUCAAACGAGUCAGGGACCUGAUGUUGCUCUAGGGAAUACACCCGAGCCAGUACCUUCGAUCCAGUAUCUUCCCCUUUCGAUUGGCCGGGGUUAGUUUUAGUUGGUUGCUGGGUCCCUUUUCCUUUUCCCAAUUGAACUUAGCAGUCAGCAAUCCGAUGAUCAGCACUUCCACAUCGCAGACACUUUCCUUCUUUCUUCCAACAAUUCCCUUCCGUAUGAUUUGGCCCUCCGCAAUAUCCACAGGGACCACGAGUAGCAGAGACCGAACCUCUCGGUGGGACACCACUUGACACUCCUGGCUGUCGUACUCCCUCGUUUCCCUUUCCAAUCUUAGGGGGUGUACUUUUACCCUCUUGCUCGGAGCUACUCCCUGGAAAGCCCUUUUCUUGGCUUGGAAGUUUCUCACCUGUAAUCUCACAUUUUCAACCCGCUGGGCUUUCUCCACAGCAUCACUAAAGGCGCUAAGUUGGGCUACAGCCAGGUCCUUCUGAAUCUCAACAUUUAAGCCCUGGACAAAACGCCUUAUCCGUCUUUGUUCAGUUACAAUCAGUUCGGGCGCAAACUUUGAUAACCGAGUAAAUUGACUCUCAUACUCGGCUACGGUCUGAGUUCCCGGACGAUGCCGAAUGAAUUCAUCUUCCUUCUUUUCUUGGAUUAAGGGAGGGAAAAACUUGGCGUAGAAUUCCCUCAUGAAGUUUGUCCACGUCCUCGGUGUUUGUUCCCGUUCCCAUUUCAUUCGAAUUACAUUCCACCAAGAACGGGCGGCUCCCUCCAGUUGGAAGACAGCAAAUGUGACCUGCCUCUCCUCGGUAUAGUGUAAAGCUGCAAAAAGGUCUAUCAUUUUCUCCAACCACAUUUCAGCCACAUCUAGAUCGGGUCCUCAAAGGAAUUUCGGUGGAGAGAACUUUUGAAAUCUUUCAAGGGCUCUAUUCUCGCCCUCUAUAUGGUUACCAGGGUUUUCUGGUUGAGGAUUAGGGUUUUGGCCCUGGUGUUCCACUACAUAGGCUAACAGAUUGGCCAUGCGCUGGAUAGCAGCGGCUACUUGAGUAUUUGGAUCGACCCUAGGUUCAAGAGUUGGUUCAGGUAUUGGUUCCCGGUUACCCCUUUCAUUCGAGGGUUGCUUACGUCCGCGCCCACGACCUCGUCCACUACGAGUACCCUCCAUUGGUCUAAUCAAUCUAGGGUCAAAGCGUGAAUAUCAUGUUAAACAUAGGUAGGCAUAAGCAAGUAGCAAGAGGUAUACACAGAUCAAAAACAUAUAUAUAUAGCACAACUGUACCAAACAAGCCAAACAGUUGCAGACAAUUAGAUACAAACAUGAGAGAUCCAUGAAGGUAAUGGGGUCAUCCAAAAGUACUAUAGACAAACCAAGCCAAAAAUACAAAAAUAACUAAUGAAAAGCUUUUCCCCUCUAGGGCUCCGUCCUUAAUCUAUGAGAACAACACCAUUUAUAUCUUAAUCAAGGUUGAUCACGCUUAACAACAUCCGAACAGACCGCGCGAAGUUCCAUAGAAUCACAUUUCUAGUUCGCCCAAAUCCUUUCUAAUCUAGGCUCUCAUUUCUUUUGUAUCCGGGCGCAAGAAUCCCAUCUAAGAUAAUUCAUAACUCGAGCCGGCCGGUCCCGAGAGUAAAUCAUCCCUAUUAAAGAUUCCAUCCCGACAUACAUGUCUAUCUUCCUCAAGUUCCAUGAUAGAGAUUUUUACACUUAUAACAUGCACGGUUCAUAACUUAUACCCAAGAAAACACGAAAUCCUUUAAAUACAUUCACAAAGUAGGACCAUAACACCACUUGGCCUAAUCUCACUCCGCGCAGAGACCACGCGAAACAGCUCUGAUACCACCUGUGACAACCCCACCUCACCCUAAGGGGAACCAAAGGGUUCGGCGGGCCGCCUGCCCAACUCUCACCAGAACUACGGAGUCGAUGCACACAAACCCAAUAUAGUACGCGCGAUAGGACCCAAAGAAAACGAACAAUCGGAAACUACCAGUGUGAGAACAUGCUUACAAAACCAUAAAAUCGUAGUCUCAACGGAAUACAUUUAAUGGACAAAGUUAAACACUUAUACAUAUAUUUACAAUGAAGUUUUGAACAAAUUAACAUACAGUGCAAUCCAAGGUAUUCUUACUACACAAAAUACAAUUAGGGUUUCGUUUCCAAAAGAGUUUAACAACAUGACAUAUAUACUAGCUUGACCCUUUUCUUUCAAAAUCGUGAUUUCCAAGUUUGUCCUCUGUAAGGAAAACAAAGGUAACAAAAUGGGGUGAGUUUCCGCUCAAUGAGAUACCAAACAUAUAGGGAAAAAUCAUGAUUUUUCACAUUUAAACCAAUCAUAUACAUAUACCAGAUAUAAAGGAAAGCAGUUAGAUACAGUGAUUCAAAGGGAAAGGAUACAAGUGGCUCUUAGGAGCUAGAUUUCCAUUUGCAGUACUUGAUCCGAACCCGUUGACUCUCUGUCAACGUAAAUGGAACCAACAUAUCCGUAGAUCCCACUUUACACCAAUUUUCCGUCCACCAAACAUACCCCUACCGGGCCCGAAUGCCGAACAGGAACACUAAUGGUAAUUCUCGAAUAUACCGGAAUCAAGAGUCUCAAUAUCCAAAGAUUCCCAGAAUAGACUACCGUGGGUCGUUAUCUAAUCGACCAGGCCCUUGCCGGCCCGAUUUCAGUAACUAACCACAGGUGUUGAGCUCAGAGGUCACAGAAAGGUUGUAGGAUACCAGCCUCCAAACGACGUCCGAACAGACUCAGAUACAGUUAACAGAUUAUGCACAGUAAAUAGGCAUACAGACAGACAAGAGAACGAGUAUGAUAAAGUACACCCUCGUCUCAAACAGAAUAAACAGAUGAUACAGUCAUUCAAAUCAUAUAUUGUUGGUGCAGAAACCAAGUUAAGCAAACAAAUGAGGGGAGUGGUACACUCACCGGUUCCAGUACAGAUACUUCAAAAGUUUUUACCCAAAGUGGCUUUAAUUUCCAAGAAAUCCUAAAAUAAUCAAGAUAAAACAAUUAUAGUUCGCACAUCCGCAAACCCAGUAAAUGAAAUGCAUAAAAGAGGGUCGACUACAUGUCGUAUGCCUUUCCAGGUUAAGUACUAGUACAGAAGAAUAAAAUUAUGACUUUUGAGUAAAAAGAUAACAGUUGGUUCUAGGGUUACAAACAACCCUCAAAACCCUUCAUUUUUACUAAGAUCAACUCAACUUGAAGGAAUCGCGUAGCCCUAAAAUUUUGGGCAGCAUGCCCUCUGUAUUUUGCUAUACUCCAGCCAUUUAUGGCUUCACUGUUUUUCCUCAAGUCAGUCCAAUUCAACACAUAAGAAUUCUCAAUACAAUAGCCCUUCAACUAGGCUCAAGUUCAUCCAAAUACAAAGCAAGUCUUGGAAUGCAACUAGAAAUCAAGUUUUAAGGACAAAAGCUAAAUAGCAGGUUUGACGUCUCUUAGUGGAACAGACACAACCGAAGCUACGCUUAUCGGAUUGGGGUACAAUUUAUACCGUUUCGAAUCUAAGAUAAAGGCCUAGAACUUUGAUGAAGACCACUCAGUCCAGUUCGUGGUGUAUCUAGGUCAAAAUUUAAAAUUACAGAACCAGCAUCUCACAAUCAGACUAAUUCACCGCACUAUGAUUCAACGACAAUAACCCAGGCUACUGAAGUCCGAUUGAGGUGUAUCUUAUGGAGUUUCGAAGACAAGACAUAUACCUACAUUUAUUAUGAAGGCCUCCAAAGCUAAAUCAAGCAUUUUCAAAGUCAAAAAUUGAAAUCCCAAUGAAGACAGAAAACUGUCCGCGAAAAUAGGGCUUAUGGGCAGUCAAGGGUAUUUCAGUCAUUUCACAUGAAACGGUGCUCCGAUCGAGCUGAAAUUUUUCAGGCAGAUAUAUAACAUCAUUUUCUACAACUUUCUUGUUUUGUGCUAAGCCUAAUUCGGCCUCUAUCCUUGCAGAACAGGACCGGGCAGAACAGGGGUUAGUUGAAACCCUAAUCUAGAAUUUUCACACCAAACCAGAAAUUUUUCACAACCAAUCAUAUCCAACAUAUAACAACUCCAUUUUACACUAUAACAAACCAUCAAUCCAUGACUAAAAAAUAAAUAUAUAUAUAUAUAUAUAACAAAAAAAUCCAUAAUAAAUCAAGAAUCCAUCAAAACUCUACUUUCAACCAUAAAACAUACCACAAGUCCACAUUUUUAGCUACUAAAGCCACUAAUUUAACCUUAUUAAGGACAAAGGAAGAAGUUCUUAGUAACUCACCUUACAACUCAAAAAGAUUGCAACUUAACACCUUUUCUUCUCAAACCACUCCAUCACUCUGCUUAAUCCUACCAAGAGAAGGGUUUUUAUCGAGCAAAUCAAAGUUUUAACGAUUGGUUUACAAGAUCAAAGCAAGGAAUGGAAGGAAUAAGUGAAGGCUUUCUUUCUUUCUUUUUUUCUUGUGAAGCUCGGCCAAGAUGCUCAAAGAAUGAAGAUGAUUUUUGGCCAAUUUUGGAUUUUAGUAAAGUUAGUGAAUAGUGGUCAAAAUCCAAGAACCAACCACGUCGCGACACCUAGGACCUUUUGAGUUAAAACAUAUUUUUUUGUCUCUCCAAGAUUAAUCCAACUAAGUAACCUCUAAUUAUCUCUUAACAUCUAGUAAAUUCAUCCCUAUAUACCAAACAUAACCUAAUUGGCCGAAUUUCUCUCACUUAACGCACUAGCGGGUCCCACGUCCACUAUACGCUCCAAACUUAAUAUGCACUAACUUAUAUCAGAAAAAUAUUUUAAAAACUCUAUUCACUUAUAAAACGUCUGAAAAAAUCAAUAUAAUAAGGCAUAAUGAAAAAAAUGCAUACGAGAAAAUAAAAUAAAAUAAAAUAAAAAUAAGGAAAAUUUACGUUCCUCACACUCUUUCCCCCUUAAAGAAAUUUCGUUCUCGAAAUUUCCUUACCACUAGGAUCUCUUAAAGUCUUAAUUAAAUGGCGGAUCGUACCUUCUACAUUCUCAAACGAGUCAGGGACCUGAUGUUGCUCUAGGGAAUACACCCGAGCCAGUACCUUCGAUCCAGUAUCUUCCCCUUUCGAUUGGCCGGGGUUAGUUUUAGUUGGUUGCUGGGUCCAUUUUCCUUUUCCCAAUUGAACUGGGCAGUCAGCAAUCCGAUGAUCAGCACUUCCACAUCGCAGACACUUUCCUUCUUUCUUCCAACAAUUCCCUUCCGUAUGAUUUGGCCCUCCGCAAUAUCCACAGGGACCACGAGUAGCAGAGACCGAACCUCCCGGUGGGACACCACUUGACACUCCUGGCUGUCGUACUCCCCCGUUUCCCUUUCCAAUCUUAGGGGGUGUACUUUUACCCUCUUGCUCGGAGCUACUCCCAGGAAAGCCCUUUUCUUGGCUUGGAAGUUUCUCACCUGUAAUCUCGCAUUUUCAACCCGCUGGGCUUUCUCCACAGCAUCACUAAAGGCGCUAAGUUGGGCUACAGCCAGGUCCUUCUGAAUCUCAACAUUUAAGCCCUGGACAAAACGCCUUAUCCGUCUUUGUUCAGUUACAAUCAGUUCGGGCGCAAACUUUGAUAACCGAGUAAAUUGACUCUCAUACUCGGCUACGGUCUAAGUUCCCGGACGAUGCCGAAUGAAUUCAUCUUCCUUCUUUUCUUGGAUUAAGGGAGGGAAAAACUUGGCGUAGAAUUCCCUCAUGAAGUUUGUCCACGUCCUCGGUGUUUGUUCCCGUUCCCAUUUCAUUCGAAUUACAUUCCACCAAGAACGGGCGGCUCCCUCCUGCCUCUCCUCGGUAUAGUGUAAAGCUGGAAAAAGGUCUAUCAUUUUCUCCAACCACAUUUCAGCCACAUCUAGAUCGGGUCCUCAAAGGAAUUUCGGUGGAGAGAACUUUUGAAAUCUUUCAAGGGCUCUAUUCUCGCCCUCUAUAUGGUUACCAAGGUUUCCAGGUUGAGGAUUAGGGUUUUGGCCCUGGUGUUCCACUACAUGGGCUAACAGAUUGGCCAUGCGCUGGAUAGCAGCGGCUACUUGAGUAUUUGGAUCGACCCUAGGUUCAAGAGUUGGUUCAGGUAUUGGUUCCCGGUUACCCCUUUCAUUCGAGGGUUACUUACGUCCGCGCCCACGACCUCGUCCACUACGAGUACCCUCCAUUGGUCUAAUCAAUCUAGGGUCGAAGCGUGAAUAUCAUAUUAAACAUAGGUAGCCAUAAGCAAGUAGCAAGAGGUAUACACAGAUCAAAAGCAUAUAUAUAUAGCACAACUGUACCAAACAAGCCACACAGUAGCAGACAAUUAGAUACAAACAUGAGAGAUCCAUGAAGGUAAUGGGGUCAUCCAAAAGUACUAUAGACAAACCAAGCCAAAAAUACAAAAAUAACUAAUGAAAAGCUUUUCCCCUCUAGGGCUCCGUCCUUAAUCUACGAGAACAACACCAUUUAUAUCUUAAUCAAGGUUGAUCACGCUUAACAACAUCCGAACAGACCGCACGAAGUUCCAUAGAAUCACAUUUCUAGUUUGCCCAAAACCUUUCUAAUCUAGGCUCUCAUUUCUUUUGUAUCCGGGCGCAAGAAUCCCAUCUAAGAUAAUUCAUAACUCGAGCCGGCCGGUCCCGAGAGUAAAUCAUCCCUAUUAAAGAUUCCUUCCCGACAUACAUGUCUAUCUUCCUCAAGUUCCAUGAUAGAAAUUUGUACACUUAUAACAUGCACGGCUCAUAACUUAUACCCAAGAAAACACGAAAUCCUUUAAAUACAUUCACAAAGUAGGACCAUAACCCCACUUGGCCUUAGCUCACUCCGCGCAGAGACCACGCGAAACAGCUCUGAUACCACCUGUGACAACCCCACCUCACCCUAAGGGGAACCAAAGGGUUCGGCGGACCGCCUGCCCAACUCUCACCAGAACUACGGAGUCGAUGCACACAAACCCAAUAUAGUACGCGCGAUAGGACCCAAAGAAAAUGAACAAUCGGAAACUACUAGUGUGAGAACAUGCUUACAAAACCAUAAAAUCGUAGUCUCAACGGAAUAUAUUUAAUGGACAAGGUUAAACACUUAUACAUAUAUUUACAAUGGAGUUUUGAACAAAUUAACAUACAGUGCAAUCCAAGGUAUUCUUACUACACAAAAUACAAUUAGGGUUUCGUUUCCAAAAGAGUUUAACAACAUGACAUAUAUACUAGCUUGACCCUUUUCUUUCAAAAUCGUGAUUUCCAAGUUUGUCCUCUGUAAGGAAAACAAAUGUUAUAAAAUGGGGUGAGUUUGCGCUCAAUGAGAUACCAAACAUAUAGGGAAAAAAUCAUGAUUUUUCACGUUUAAACCAAUCAGAUACAUAUACCAGAUAUAAAGGAAAGCAGUUAGAUACAGUGAUUCAAAGGGAAAGGAUACAAGUGGCUCUUAGGAGCCAGAUUUCCAUUUGCAGUACUUGAUCCGAACCCGUUGACUCUCCGUCAACGUAAAUGGAACCAACAUAUCCGUAGAUCCCACUUUACACCAAUUUUCCGUCCACCAAACACACCCCUACCGGGCCCGAACGUCGAACAGGAACAGUAAUGGUAAUACUCGAGUAUACCGGAAUCAAAAGUCUCAAUACCCAAAGAUUCCCAGAAUAGACUACCGUGUGUCGCGCCCCACUUUUUGAUGGUGUGAAAGUAGCGUGUAUGUGAACAUGUGUAAAAAUGAAAAUAAAAGGCCGGGGGAUUGUGAAAUGCGACGGUUUGGCCAAAUAAAGUUCAAAAAGCGUUUUUGAAUGGAGUCGCCACUUGGUAUAGAGUUAGGGUGUACCAAGUCACCCAAAAAGUGAUUUUUUGGAAAAAAAUAAACAAACCCUUUUUAAAGAAUUUUAGGUCUACGUAACCAAAGAAAGGGAUCGGGGGUCACAUUUGAUAAGGGAGAAGGCAAAGGCAAAGCCUAAGGCACUCCCUUACCCUAGCCAAAGCUAGUUGCGUGACUUAGCCCUUCUUUUCCCAAUUUUUCUACCCAAAGUAUGUGUUGCAUGUUGGAUAUGACUAAUGGAUAUGAAAAAAAUGCAAUCCUAAAUCUAAACUGUCUCGUAUGAGGUUUUUUGGUCCCAAUCACAUGUAUUGUGAUGGCUAAUAAGGAAAACUCUCAUAGAGGUCACGGGCAAUGCAAAUGAAGACCCAAAUAUGAGUGCAAGUGUGAAAAUGUGAUAAGAAUGCAAAACAAAACAAAUGUAAGUGAAAGUGUGCCAAUUGAGGAAAGUGCAUGUGUGCAAAUUGAGAAAAUAAAGGUGUUUGUGUGCAAGUGGAUGAAAAUAUAAUAGUAGAUACAUAUAAGUGCAAUUGGGUGCAAUUUGUGAGGUAGAAAAUAAAUGAUAAAAGAAUAAAAAUGUUCAAACAUGGCGUGUGGAUUGAGAAAAAUAUAAGCUGUGAGAAAAUGAGGAUAAAAGAGUGAGGAAGUGACAUGAUAAGAAUGAGAGUGCAUGAACCUAGAGGAAUGCAUCAAGUCGGGUACGGGAAUGACUCCUAAUUUCAGAACUUUAAUUUUCCUUUUGAUUAGAAGGAAGAACUAGCGUGCUAAGGCUAUUUUGUAGCCACACUCGAUCGUUUCCCUUAUCGAAAAGGGACUCUCAGGCAAAUGUACCCUAUAACUAGCAUGAAGAUGCAAAAAGCCUAAAAUGAAGGGGAAAGGAUUGGAGGAGCAUGCCAAGUGCUAGAAAACUAAGAAAAAUGCAUGAAAUGUAGUGAAACAUGCAAGUAUGAACUAGCGAGGGAAACCCCUAAGGGUCUAGCGUUGGACUAGCCCAUAUCUAUGAAUUCCUACUAGCGUUGGACUAGUGGAAAACGGGACAAUGAGCCACAACUAGCGUUGGACUAGUGUGGUGACGUGCAUCCAUCCAUCACAUUCAUCUAUGACUAUAGAAAGCAAGUAGACAUGCCAAUCACCUAUAAACACGUAGCACAUAACACUUAGCAUGCUCGACUAAAUGCAAGAGCCUAAUAAAGCAAAUUAACACGUAGCAACGAAAGCAAGCAAUCAAUCUAAUGAACCUAUUACAUUUGCUAACUAAAACAAAAGGGAAAAGGGAAAAAUGGACAAAAAUGCUCUCCAAGCCCUAUCUAUUACAAGCCAAGAGGUGUACACAUACCCCAUAAAGAAUAACUUAAAUAAAAAGCAAAAGUAAAAUGAAAUAAAUGAAAGGAAUUAAGGAAAGGCAAGGGAAGCAAGUAGACAUGCAAUUCUCACUUAGCACGUUGGAUCACAUAGGGUCAAAUAAGGUCAAAAUAAGGGAUAGAGUGUACCUCUCGUGAAUCGAUGCCCUAACGAGGUGAAAUUACUAAUUUACCCUCCAAAACAAUAAAAUGGUCAGGGUACCAAUUUAAUCAAGAAAUAAUCACAUGAACAAACGAAUAAGCAUGAAAUGGAAUCAAUCCAAGGCGUUUAAAGAGAAGGUGACCAACCCAUGUAAAAAAUUAAAACAAGUAAUGGCUCGUUCGCGAAAGCUAAAGGAAUUGGAAGGGCCAAUUUGAUUGAUCUUUUAAUUAUUGGGGCCAUGGUGAAACAAGAGGAGACUUAAGGGGUUGGAGUGUAAUUUUUCUGAAAGUUUUUCAUGCAACUCAUGCAAAGUAGUACGAAGCAAGCUUCUGCAAAUUUUCCAGCUCCCUUCUUUCGGCCACUUUUCCAUUUAGCCCCAAAUGCAAUUGUAUAAAGCAGCCCAAUGAAUUCAAAACUCAACUUGAACGCAAUAACUUAGGAGGAGGGGGAGAGGAAGGAAAUGAGAAAACUGCAACGGAGGGCCAUGAUCAUUUGCCUUAACCAAAUUUCCAAGAAGACAAACUAAAACAAGAUAAAAAAAACUGAUGGCUACCUAUCCUUAAUGCAAUGAACACAUGCACGCUUUGUGAAGGGAAACAGCCACCAAAAAUUUCACUUGAUGUUAACACAUCCCCAAAAUCUUUCAAACAAGCUAUUGAACAAUCGCCCAGGACAACACAGAAAUGCAAGGAAGACAGCUACUGGAACAAAUAAAAAAAAACAGUCGCACGCAUUGGAACCAUUCCUGCAUUUUCCUGUUGUAGCUUUUGCCGCAAACUCCCCUGAUGUUUUCUUUGGGUUUUAAACAGUUCAUGCACCAGUCAUUGACACAAGAUUAAUCAUGCAAACAAAGUGAUGAAACCCAGCUUUGUGAGCUGUUGCGGGAAAAAAAGGAAAAAAAAAAAAAACAGCAGAACAUAAGAAGUAAGUGCAGUUUUCUUUCAUUCAACCAAGAACUCCAUGUUCUCAUCGUAACAGAAUCCAAUAACAAAACACUUCAUGAGCUAGAUUAAGACAAUGAAAAUGACCCAAAGCACAGAGUAACAGGAGGCACCCGAGGUUUCAUGGAUAAAAAAAAAAAACGUUACAACAUCAUUAGCUCCAUAAUGCAACUAAAUGUAAGAUUGCGGCAGAGGUAGUAACGCUCACGGCAGACAUGCCCACAGAUUCAAGCGAAACUUUCUUCUUCUAGGAGACUUUAACUGGACGCCUUCUGGUUUAAAAAAAAUGCAGACAAGACGACUAACAACAAAAAAAACUCAGCUCGGUUGAAGCUUUGGUAUGACAGAAUUCUACUGUGACUUUUGCAGCUCAGCCCAUUCGUUUACAUUCUUAUGAAACCAGAACCGAAUCUAUCAUUUUGUCAGCCUAAAAGACAUAAUCCUCAACCCCUUAUUAUUUACAGAAACCAAACAGAUUGAAAACAAAAUCUGAAACCCAAAACGAAAGCAUCUUAAAAACAAAACAGAUUAGAAGGUCAUGUAAAUCUGAUAAAGGGAAAGAAAAAUCUACAAUUUGCUGGGCUUACUUGUCACGAACAUCAGCCAUGAAAACCAAACAAAGGCAUCUUAAAUUCAUGAUAAAAAACACCACCGAGGACUCCCAAACUAUUGUCCAUGCUUUCAUCAACCGUAAAUCAAACAUUAACGACGGAAAAAUUCAAUCUUGGCGUUAGUUUGUGACUGAAAUACCUUGGUGCAGAUCUGCAGAAGGCGAUGGAGGGCUGAAAUGACGAUGAUGGAACUUCGACUACAUGGCUACUGCAACUUUUCCUUCCUUCGCCGCCGCUCUCGUUCACUCUCUCAAAGUCUUCCUCCCUUCUGAUUUUUCCCAGCUACCCUCGCAGUUGUCUCCCUCAGCCGUCACCCUUCUUUGUGCCUUCCUCUCUCUGGUUUUUCUCUCCUCAAGCCCGUCAACCCCAGCUUUCUCUCUCGAUCAUUUUCAGUUUUUGUUCCAGCCGUCCUCCUCGUUCUUUUUUUUUUGUUUCUGCCGUCGCCCCCGCUCUUCCUUAGUCGACAGAGUAUCUAAGCUUUCAGCCGUCAAAACCCUCCCCUCGUUUCUUUCCUCUGUCCUCUUUCUACUUAGUUCUCUGCCGUUAUCUUUUCUUUUAUCCGCCGCCCCAGAAACCUUAGCUUUCCACAGCUUUUUAUAUCCGAGACUUCCUCCUGAAACCUAUCAUCUACGGCCUGAAAAAACUCCCUCUCCUCCUGCAUUUUUACAGCCUUAGAUUUUCAUGUUUUCUGAUCAACUUUGAAUCAAGCCAAGUGUCUUCUAUUAAGAUCAUCGGACGGAAGAGAAAAUUGAGCCAAUAAUGGAGCUGAAGAAACCAUUUUUGUAUCUGCGUUUUUGUAGAUGAAAAUGUAGAGGAGUUUUGAUUGUAUGCUUAUCGGGUGCAUGGGCUCUCUCCUUUUUUUUUAAAAAUAAAAAUAAAAAUAAAGCUAAAUAAAUAAAAAUAAUAAAAUAAAAAUAAAAAUAGCCGAUAUUAUCAAUAAAAGUAAAAAUGAAAUAAAUUAAAAUUUUGGUGUCUACAGUUUGCCCCUCUAUGUCUGAGUUUUGGAAAAAUUUGAGACAAAGAAGUAGACACCAAAUACUUACCUGUGUUAUUCGGCUACAGCUAGUCGAACGACUGCCGUUUCUGAAAUGAGGACUGACCUCUUUGACAAAAUUUUAAAAUGGGACUGACCCGAACAAAACUUAAAAGCAUGGGACUGACCCGAACAAAAUUGAAGAUCAUGGGACUGACCCGAAUAAAAUUUGAAAUCGUGGGACUGACCCGAAUAAAAUUUUAAAAAAAUUUAAAAUCAUGGGACUGACCCGAAUAAAAUUUAAAAUCAUGGGACUGACCCAAAUAAAGUAUAAGAAUCAUGGGACUGACCCGAAUAAAAUUUAAAAAUCAUGGGACUGACCCGAAUAAAGUUUAAAAAUCAUGGUGCACACUAGUGGGACUGACCCGAAUAAAAUUUAAAAUCAUGGGACUGACCCGAAUAAUGUUUAAAAAUCAUGGUGCACACUAGUGGGACUGACCCACGGCUAGUGGCGAUGACAAUGAAAUGCACACUAGUGGGACUGACCCACGGCUAGUGGCGAUACAAGUGAAACGCUCACUAGUGGGACUGACCCACGGCUAGUGGCGGUGUAAAUAAAAGAAAGGGCUCACUAGUGGGACUGACCCAACGGCUAGUGGCCGAAUAAAAGAAAUGCGCACUAGUGGGACUGACCCAACGGCUAGCGGCAGAAUAAAAGAAAGGGCUCACUAGUGGGACUGACCCAACGGCUAGUGGCCGAAUGAAAGAAAUGCGCACUAGUGGGACUGACCCAACGGCUAUUGGCAGUGCAAAUGAAAGGCACGCUAGUGGGACUGACGCAACGGCUAACGGCAAAAUAAAAGAAAUGCGCACUAGUGGGACUGACCCAACGGCUAGUGGCAGUGCAAAUGAAAGGCACGCUAGUGGGACUGACCCAACGGCUAGCGGCAAAGUAAAAGAAAUGCGCACUAGUGGGACUGACCCAACGGCUAGUGGCAAUGCAAAUGGAAGGCACGCUAGUGGGACUGACCCAACGGCUAGCGGCAAAAUAAAAAAAUAAAAGAAAUGCGCACUAGUGGGACUGACCCAACGGCUAGUGGCAAUGCAAAUGAAAGGCACGCUAGUGGGACUGACCCAACGGCUAGCGGCAAAGUAAAAGAAAUGCGCACUAGUGGGACUGACUCAACGGCUAGUGGCAGUGUAAAAUAAAAUGCUCACUAGUGGGACUGACCCACGGCUAGUGGCGAUGAAAAAUGAAAUGCUCACUGGUAUGUAUGAAGAGACUGUAUAAGACUUGCUUGAAAAAUUAUCCAAAAAUUUGCCCCAGUGUGAUGAAUUGGUCAGUGAGAUUAAACCCGAAUCUGCCUUAGUUGGUGGUACACAAUCCAAACCCAACGUGAUGUUCGUGAAGUUGGCGGCACAAAAUCCAGGCCCAACGUGAUAUUUGUGAAGUUGGCGGCACAAAAUCCAGGCCCAACGUGAACUUUGCGAUGUUGGCGGCACCAAAUCCAGGCCCAACGUGAUGUUUGUGAUGUUGGCGGCACAAAAUCCAGGCCCAACGUGAUGUUUGUGAAGUUUGUGAAUGGUCAGUGGGAUAAGACCCAAUCCUGCCAUCCAAUGGGUCAAGAAAUUGGAUUUGAUUUGUCAAGAUACAAGAAAUUAAAUUUGAUUUUCCAAGAAACAAAAAUUUGAACUUGAUUUUUGAUUUUUGACUUUUGAAUUUUUCUGAUUUUUCGAGAGAAUCUUUUUCAAAAAUAAUUUGCCCCCAGUGUAGGGCCCUUUUCCCUUCUUUCUUCUCUUUCUUCGGCAUCGGCCUUCCACAUCACCAGAUGCUCUUUCGUCGAUUUCAACUAUGAAUACCUGCACAGGGGCUUACCAAAGUAUGACAUGCGUUCAAAUUUUCAUGAAAAGAGCAGCGUGAUUGAUUUGAAAAAUGCAUUAUUUGAUCCUUGGACGAAACCCUCAAUUGGACUACAAAAAUAUUUGCCCCUGGGUGGGCUUAUUCUCACGAAAUCUCAUAAACAAAAUUUUGCCCCAGUAUGGGCCAUUUAAUUGCAAAAACUUGUUUGGAUGACUUUCCGAAAAUUUCAUGAUGAAUUUCUUGAAGUAAUACCAAAUUACAGAAGAUUUCGUCCUCACUUUUAGCAUCUGUGUUUUGGGUAAUGGGUCACAAUUUCCAGUUGGUUCAUCUUCAGGACCAAUCAAGUGACUUUAUUUCUGAUUUGAGGUGGCCAAGGAAAAUGAGAGGUCAGGAUUUGUCUUAUUCUUGUGCCCAAAUUGUAUGUAAUCCAUUCAAUAUCACAUCUUAGUGAAAGCAAAUAGUAUGUCACCCCUAUUUCUUAAGAAAAUUUAGUCAACAUAUAAGCUUCAUGGGCUUGCAAAAUUUUGGGUAGAAACGAUAGCUAAACAUGUGAAAACUGGUUAUACCCUUAUGAUCAUGAGUGAUUGAUGGAUUUCUUAUGAGCAUAAUCCUCACUUCGGGUUGUCAUGAAUGAAUAAGUCAACGAUGGACUUUAUGAGCUUGUAAUGUGGCUUGAAGACGAUAGUUAAAGAAAUAAUUUUCAAGGACAUUGCACCGAAGAUCGCAUUUUUCCAAAAUUGCCCCUAUUUUGAACUCAAAAGAUCUCAAACUUUGUUUGCAUUUUUUCAUCGUUCACCAGGGACUUCAGCGUCGAAUCUUUUUGCACUUUUCUUUUGCAUUCAUUUCGCUCGCUUUUUCCUUUUUCCUUCCUUUUUUCCUUUUUUCAAAAGUGCCCUCGCGGGUUUUCUCAUGAAGAGCAGUGUCAACCCCAUACUCAAGCAAUUCAGAAAUACAGCUAAAAUUUUUCGGCAUCAGAAAUUUUCGUGACAGGGCCAUUGCAAAGAACAGAAGUCAGGGCUUUCGGCUUUUGUAAUGGGGUCAGGUGGGGUGCUUAGAAAAGUUAAGGCUUGAAAGCGGAUUCCAAAAGCGGUUUGAAGAAUCUGAGAUCGCAUUGUUGUGCCAACCCUAUUUUAGGGCUAAAUCAGAAUUUGCCCCAGUUUAUACUCAAUUGGGGCUUUUUCUCUUCCAUUUUCUUUCUUCUUUUGAUUUUUCGGCCUUUUGCCAUUCUUGAACUUUCACAAAAUUUGCCCCAGUUAUUUUUGAACUGAGGUUCUCUUUUCUUCUUUUGCUUUUGAUUUUGAUGCGUUAUCACUUUCACUUCUUGAAACUUUUUCUUUUUCAACUCAAACUUGCCCCAGUGAGGGGUUUGCGAUUCUCAGGGGUUGCCAAAUGAAGUAUUUUAUUAUGCAGGCUCAAAAGGGAUAACUAGGGAUAGAAUGUUUGAUUGGAAAAGAAGAGGGCCUGACUUUUAUUCCGUUCCUUACAUUGACUCUGAAAGGAAUCUUACAUUAAUGCGAAAUUUCUUGCAUGUAUCUGAAUUAAUUGACUGAGGAAGACUCUUGCUCGUUCAUAUCUAUGAAACAUAAGUGAUCCGCCGGACAGAACUUGUCCUUUUUCUCUUUUCUUUUCUUUUCAAAAUUGAAACCCAGGUAGAAUCAAAUUUCCCCAAUUCGCGGUUCCCUCCUUCUUCUUGAAUUUUAGCAUCUUUGCCCCCUUUUCUUUUCUUUCUUUUGAAAAAUCCUCAAAUCUCCUUCCCCAAUGUGGGGUGCGAUCAUAAGUGCAUUCGAAAAGAACCACCAACUUUAGCUCAAAUGAGGAUGCAAGGGAUAAAUGAUGUUUAGGUUGUAGAAACGAUGGCCAAAGUAUCAUUCUUACACCUCAUGACAACCAAAGUAACGAAAUGGUCAUUGAGAAUCCAUCCCCCUUUUUGAUAUUUGAAAAUUUUCCAAUGUAGGGUAGUGAUCAUCAAGGCACUUAUUUGAAACGAAACUAUUCUUUUAAAGGCUCAAAUGGGAGAGCAAAUGAUAAAAUCUGUAUAGGUAGAGAAACGAAUGCUCAAAGUAUCACUCCAAAUUUUCAAAACAAACAAGAAUAAUGCACAUUUUUGCUUUCACUUAGAUGUGAAUUGAAUCUGGUCAAACCAAUGGGCAUUUUUCUAAGCAAAGUUCGCUCCAAUUUGCAAUUUAUCAAUCAAUGCGACUGAUUUUAUUUUGGGGUUAAGUGUAGGAGAAAGGUAUCUCAUGGGCCUUCUGAGUGACCUCUUUUAAUUUUGAGCACUCUUAUUGUGUAGCUCGGAUCACCAAUCUAGUGUACACAAGGAUUUUAGAAAGCGUACACUUGCGAAUUUUCAGGCUGGAGGUUGAAAAAACUCUCAAUUCGGUCUUAUUUCUUAAAAUUCAUCAUGAAAUCUCUUAAUGAGCUCAAUAAAGAAUGAAAUGUACACGAGUAUUAUACAAAACAAAUAAUUGGCUGAACAAAAGCUUCAUUAUUGCCAAUGUUUGAAAAAUUUAAAAGCAAUACAUAUGAGAAAAAUUCUACAAAAUUCCUUUGCACAUGUAUACACAUUUUCUCUCUUAAUAUCCCCUUUUUCUUUGAGCAAUGAAAUCCCUUAGAUGUUUUGCACGAGCGCUUUCAGAUGAAUUUUCGAAUUCACAUUGUAGGGCCUGCCUAAGAAUCAAGUAAUACUUGUAAUUUUCAAACCUUAUCAGAUUAAAAUUGUUAUCAGAUAUAGAAAGGUAUUUUCCCCUUAUUGAAAUAUUUUUAUGAAUGCAGGUGGAGGGGAAAAACAAAAGGAAAAAUACCCAGAAUCAGUAAGAGAGAAUAAAAAAUCGGUAUGCAUGUCCUAUGGGGGAACCCUUUUAUGCCAAGGGUAGGCCUAGCAUGAAAAUGCAAUCCUCUAGGGUAGGCACUAUACCAUACCUGAUGAAUCCGAUAAAAAUGAUUUGAAAAAUUUGGCCAAUUUGGAGUGAGAAGAAACAUUCGUCCUAAAAAAUGAGGACAAAGUCCGAAUGAAUUGUUUAUUUUGAUCGACGCAUGAUGUGUCAAAAGGGGUAAAAUGGUCAAAUUCAUUAAAUGAAAUUUGAUUAUUUAUUGAAAAGUGAAUGGAUAACCCUAAAAAUGAAUUAAACUAAUCAAAUGAAUUGAAUGAAAUCAAUUGAUCAAACCGAUCGAGUGAAAGGAUGAUUUAUUCAAAAUCGACCGAAUUGCCCUAAAAAUAGGUAAACUGGUCAAAUGGAUCGGAUGAUUUAUUCAAAAUUGAUUAGAUCACCCUAAAAAGGGUAAACUGGUCAAAUGAAUUUAAAACCGACUAGCUUGCCCUAAAAAUGAAUCAAAUUGAUAAAAUGGACUGGAUGUAAUUGGUGAAUAAAAUAGUCCAGUGGAUUGAAUGGAAUUGACAGCUUAUUGGUAGUCUCAAAAAUUUAUUGCGAUGCAUUAGUCUAUGAGCCUUCUAAUAUCAGAUUUUGGCCUCAAUUUAGUUAUCGUCUCAUCAGUGAGGAAAUAUUGGUGAAUUUGUUCCAAUUAAUGUCCUUUACGCCAGGGAUUUUUACCAAUUUUGAUAAAGUGGCCAAGAAGUGAUUAUUAGACGCUCAUAUUCCAAAGAUCGCUCUAUAAAAAUGAUCGGAUCCUACCUUACCUUGUGCACUACCCCUUUGGAUGGUACAAAAUGUAAACGUGCAAGUCUCCUUGGAUUAAGUAUCCGAGACACAAGGUGGCUUAUUCCUAACACGGGAUCCCCUAAAUGGCAUUCCCUUCUAGGGUUUAUGCAUGAUGCCAGUUUAUUAAAGCGAUGUAAAUAUGUGACAAAUAUGGCCUAAAGGACAUAAAUAAUGCAUCGGGGAGAAAAGGUCUAAGAAUGAAAUGUACUUAUUGAAAAUUAAGUGUAAUGACUGAAAUUUAAACAUGUGAAUUAUCUAGUGGGUAAGUCACUAAAAGAGUGCCAAAGAGGCCUCUUGUUGCUAAGGCACAUGAAUGCAAGCCAAGAAAACAAAGAAAUGGUUAGUGCAAUUGAUAGUACACAUAACAUAUUGGGGGCCAUUAAGAAAAGAAAUAUAAUAAAAGCAAAUAAAAAGGGUGGAACCCCUUCCCUCGUGCCUAAUGUGCUUAAAAAAGGGUGAGGCUGACUCUAACCUAGGAAAACUCUAAUAUGGAUGCAUGAGGUUGGGGCUCACUAAUGCAACUAGACUCGAUAAGGUUUAGAAAGGUCCCCAAGCCUUCAGACCUAAGGGAAUGGGUCAUCAAUCCCAAGACCCUCGGUCGGUGGCUCGAGCGAUCCCCUAGGUACUGCUAUGGGCGCAGAGCACACCAUCCACGUACCUAGAGAAACCAUUCAUAGUCCUACAAGGCGGUGUGGGAAAGAGCCCACGAAAAUAAAAUAAAAUGGGAUAACAGUAAAUAAACAUGCACGUAUGAAGUGUUCCCUAUUUUGAAGGAAGGGGUUAAGAACCAACGCGAGGCUCUAAAGGUGACAAACAUCCCCCCAAAAUGCAAUGCAAAGCGCGAGAUAAAACAAGUACAACAUACAUCGAAACAACCAAUCAUACAUACGUGAGUGAGGGAAUAGUUUGAUACGCGCGCGAGGCAAAAACUCCUAAAAUGGAAGAUGCAACCCUAAUAUCCAAAUGCUAUGCAUAAAAAGGGUAGAAAAAAGGAAAAGAUUAGCUAAAUCAAAUGCCUGGACCCACUUAGGAAGUCCCCAAUGGAGUCGCCAACUGUCGCGCCCCACUUUUUGAUGGUGUGAAAGUAGCGUGUAUGUGAACAUGUGUAAAAAUGAAAAUAAAAGGCCGGGGGAUUGUGAAAUGCGACGGUUUGGCCAAAUAAAGUUCAAAAAGGGUUUUUGAAUGGAGUCGCCACUUGGUAUAGAGUUAGGGUGUACCAAGUCACCCAAAAAGUGAUUUUUUGGAAAAAAGUAAAGAACCGUUUUUAAAGAAUUUUAGGUCUACGUAACCAAAGAAAGGGAUCGGGGGUCACAUUUGAUAAGGGAGAAGGCAAAGGCAAAGCCUAAGGCACUCCCUUACCCUAGCCAAAGCUAGUUGCGUGACUUAGCCCUUCUUUUCCCAAUUUUUCUACCCAAAGUAUGUGUUGCAUGUUGGAUAUGACUAAUGGAUAUGAAAAAAAUGCAAUCCUAAAUCUAAACUGUCUCGUAUGAGGUUUUUUGGUCCCAAUCACAUGUAUUGUGAUGGCCAAUAAGGAAAACUCUCAUAGAGGUCACGGGCAAUGCAAAUGAAGACACAAAUAUGAGUGCAAGUGUGAAAAUGUGAUAAGAAUGCAAAACAAAACAAAUGUAAGUGCAAGUGUGCCAAUUGAGGAAAGUGCAUGUGUGCAAAUUGAGAAAAUAAAGGUGUUUGUGUGCAAGUGGAUGAAAAUAUAAUAGUAAAUACAUAUAAGUGCAAUUGGGUGCAAUUUGUGAGGUAGAAAAUAAAUGAUAAAAGAAGAAAAAUGUGCAAACAUGGCGUGUGGAUUGAGAAAAAUAUAAGCUGUGAGAAAAUGAGGAUAAAAGAGUGAGGAAGUGACAUGAUAAGAAUGAGAGUGCAUGAACCUAGAGGAAUGCAUCAAGUCGGGUACGGGAAUGACUCCUAAUUUCAGGACUUUAAUUUUCCUUUUGAUUAAAAGGAAGAACUAGCGUGCUAAGGCUAUUUUGUAGCCACACUCGCUCGUUUCCCUUAUCGAAAAGGGACUCUCAGGCAAAUGUACCCUAUAACUAGCAUGAAGAUGCAGAAAGCCUAAAAUGAAGGGGAAAGGAUUGGAGGAGCAUGCCAAGUGCUAGAAAACUAAGAAAAAUGUAUGAAAUGUAGUGAAACAUGAAAGUAUGAACUAGCGAGGGAAACCCCUAAGGGUCUAGCGUUGGACUAGCCCAUAUCUAUGAAUUCCUACUAGCGUUGGACUAGUGGAAAACGGGACAAUGAGCCACAACUAGCGUUGGACUAGUGUGGUGACGUGCAUCCAUCCAUCACAUUCAUCUAUGACUAUAGAAAGCAAGUAGACAUGCCAAUCACCUAUAAACACGUAGCACAUAACACUUAGCAUACUCGACUAAAUGCAAGAGCCUAAUAAAGCAAAUUAACACGUAGCAACGAAAGCAAGCAAUCAAUCUAAUGAACCUAUUACAUUUGCUAACUAAAACAAAAGGGGAAAGGGAAAAAUGGACAAAAAUGCUCUCCAAGCCCUAUCUAUUACAAGCCAAGAGGUGUACACAUACCCCAUAAAGAAUAACUUAAAUAAAAGCAAAAGUAAAAUGAAAUAAAUGAAAGGAAUUAAGGAAAGGCAAGGGAAGCAAGUAGACAUGCAAUUCUCACUUUGCACGUUGGAUCACAUAGGGUCAAAUAAGGUCAAAAUAAGGGAUAGAGUGUACCUCUCGUGAAUCGAUGCCCUAACGAGGUGAAAUUACUAAUUUACCCUCCAAAACAAUAAAAUGGUCAGGGUACCAAUUUAAUCAAGAAAUAAUCACAUGAAAAAAUGAAUAAGCAUGAAAUGGAAUCAAUCCAAGGCGUUUAAAGAGAAGGUGACCAACCCAUGUAAAAAAUUAAAACAAGUAAUGGCUCGUUCGCGAAAGCUAAAGGAAUUGGAAGGGCCAAUUUGAUUGAUCUUUUAAUUAUUGGGGCCAUGGUGAAACAAGAGGAGACUUAAGGGGUUGGAGUGUAAUUUUUCUGAAAGUUUUUCAUGCAACUCAUGCAAAGUAGUACGAAGCAAGCUUCUGCAAAUUUUCCAGCUCCCUUCUUUCGGCCACUUUUCCAUUUAGCCCCAAAUGCAAUUGUAUAAAGCAGCCCAAUGAAUUCAAAACUCAACUUGAACGCAAUAACUUAGGAGGAGGGAGAGAGGAAGGAAAUGAGAAAACUGCAACGGAGGGCCAUGAUCAUUUGCCUUAACCAGAUUUCCAAGAAGACAAACCAAAACAAGAUAAAAAAAACUGAUGGCUACCUAUCCUUAAUGCAAUGAACACAUGCACGCUUUGUGAAGGGAAACAGCCACCAAAAAUUUCACUUGAUGUUAACACAUCCCCAAAAUCUUUCAAACAAGCUAUUGAACAAUCCCCCAGGACUACACAGAAAUGCAAGGAAGACAGCUACUGGAACAAAUAAAAAAAAACGGUCGCAAGCAUUGGAACCAUUCCUGCGUUUUCCUGUUGUAGCUUUUGCCGCAAACUCCCCUGAUGUUUUCUUUGGGUUUUAAACAGUUCAUGCACCAGUCAUUGACACAAGAUUAAUCAUGCAAACAAAGUGAUGAAACCCAGCUUUGUGAGCUGUUGCGGGAAGAAAAGGAAAAAAAAAAAAACAGCAUAACAUAAGAAGUAAGUGCAGCUUUCUUUCAUUCAACCAAGAACUCCAUGAUCUCAUCGUAACAGAAUCCAAUAACAAAACACUUCAUGAGCUAGAUUAAGGCAAUGAAAAUGACCCAAAGCACAGAGUAACAGGAGGCACCCGAGGUUUCAUGGAUCAAAAAAAAAAAAACGUUACAACAUCAUUAGCUCCAUAAUGCAACUGAAUGUAAGAUUGCGGCAGAGGUAGUAACGCUCACGGCAGACAUGCCCACAGAUUCAAAGACAGAUUCAAGCGAAACUUUCUUCUUCUAGGAGACUUUAACUGGACGCCUUCUGGUUUAAAAAAAAUGCAGACAAGACGACUAACAACAAAAAAAACUCAGCUCGGUUGAAGCUUUCCUAUGACAGAAUUCUACUGUGACUUUUGCAGCUCAGCCCAUUCGUUUAUAUUCUUAUGAAACCCGAACCGAAUCUAUCAUUUUGUCAGCCUAAAAGACAUAAUCCUCAACCCCUUAUUAUUUACAGAAACCAAACAGAUUGAAAACAAAAUCUGAAACCCAAAACGAAAGCAUCUUAAAAACAAAACAGAUUAGAAGGUCAUGUAAAUCUGAUAAAGGGAAAGAAAAAUCUACAAUUUGCUGGGCUUACUUGUCACGAACAUCAGCCAUGAAAACCAAACAAAGGCAUCUUAAAUUCAUGAUAAAAAACACCACCGAGGACUCCCAAACUAUUGUCCAUGCGUUCAUCAACCGUAAAUCAAACAUUAACGACAGAAAAAUUCAAUCUUGGCGUGAGUUUGUGACUGAAGUACCUUGGUGCAGAUCUGCAGAAGGUGAUGGAGGGCUGAAAUGACGAUGAUGGAACUUCGACUUCAAUGGCUACUGCAACUUUUCCUUCCUUCGCCGCCGCUCUCGUUCACUCUCUCAAAGUCUUCCUCCCUUCUGAUUUUUCCCAGCUACCCUCGCAGUUGUCUCCCUCAGCCGUCACCCUUCUUUGUGCCUUCCUCUCUCUGAUUUUUCUCUCCUCAAGCCCGUCAACCCCAGCUCUCUCUCUCGGUCGUUUUCAGUUUUUGUUCCAGCCGUCCUUGAUAAGUGAAUAUUUAACGUACAUUUUGUAUGAAUUUGGCAUGAAUUUUUGGUAUGUUUUGAGAAGAUUAAAGCCAUAUUUAAACUCUGUUGGUGAUAAUUGCUUAAAUAUUGUUUAAGAGUUAAGAAAUUGAUAAAUGAGUGGAUUAAUGCGUAAUUUUGUGAAAUUGUGAAGGUAAUUGAUGUAUGAAAUUCAUGCACAAGUUGAAAGAAUUGUCAGGGUCAUCCAGAGGACAAAGUACACAAGAAAGUGGGAGCAAAAAUGUAGAAAAAGGGAAGAAGUGAAAAACUGGAAAAAUGCUCAACACGGAUCCGAGCUCGGAUCCGUGUGUACAAGAGGGAUCCGACCCCUCGUCUGUACUUCUGGCGGAGUGUAUCCGAGGUCAGGACGAUCCGACCUCGGAUCCAUCAUGGGAAGGCCUCGGAUCCUAUAAUCCGAGCUCGGAUCCAUUAUCACUCCUCGGAUCCGAGGCUCGGAUCUGUCUCUCUCCUCAGCAAGUGGCACAGCCGUUUUUCUUUACCUUUCUCACAACUUUUACAGCUAUUUUGAGGGACAGAAAUCGGUGGCACAUGCUUCUGCAAUAAAAGAGAAGACCAAAUGAGUGUGGACAAAAGGAACAUCAUAUCUUUGACUUCUUUUUACAAAAUCUAAGUGGAGGAAAUUAUGAAGUGAGAGGAAUGGAAUUUCUACCACCUUUUAUGCAGAAACACAAGGGAGAAGCAGGGAUAACCAUACGUAGCUAGUUUUCCUUCUUGCAACAAGUUUUCUCUCUAGAUAGGAGUACUCGGAGAAGCAUUUUUUGGAGAGUUUUCACUUGUAAUCAUAUUGUGCAAGAACAUAGCAGGAAUUGGAGAGCUUCAUCUUCAAUUGGCUAAGCUUUCUUUUAUCUUUCUUAUACUUGUACUUUAUGAUGUUUUGCAUUAAUAAACUUGUGAAUUUGAUUGUUAAAUCAUUCAUGAGUAGCUAAACUCCUUCAUCUAGGGAGUAGAUGAAACUUAUGGCUAAAUAAUACUAAUUGAAUGUGAUUUACACUUGUUAUAUCUUGAGUUAACUUGUCUACUUGUGUAGCUGUGAUUUCUUGUUAUUGUUUGAUCACCAAUAACUUGUUUACAGUUGUUAUUGUUCAAUGAGAAUUGGUAAUAACAAUGGAAACACAUGAGUAGAGCUUGAGUUGUAUGUUCAUGAAAAUAGAAAUACACUUAAGUGGAUUACUUAGUAUUUCAUGAAUUAAAACAGAGUUGUAGUAGUAUUUCACCUAGGGAAAUCUAUAUUGCUCUAAGCCAUUUCAUCAUGGAAAUGAGACUUGGUAAUCUUGGAAAUAAAUCUCUGGUUAAGCAAGAAUAAUAGCAAGAAGUAAAUCCAUUUAUUUGUGUAGUUUAUGCCAUAAGUGGAAUCUACAUCCCUAGAAUCUUCAUUAAGUGAAAUUUCUCUAUUUGCAUUCAGCAUUUGUUAAACUAGAUUUGUAUAUCAGAUUUGUAGAUUACAGCAUUAGAUUUUCUCUGCUCAAAAUUAAUGGUAAGUCUAAAUAAUAGAGAGAACAGGGGCUUAGUAAUUGUUUAAAUUGCUCCUCGUGGGAUCGACCCGAUACACAUCUUGUACUAAAAUUGCGACCUGUAUACUUGCAGUCCAACGGGUGUAAAAUCGGAAUUAAACUUGCAUUGAUACAAAAAGAACCCGUCAGUCCUCCUCGUUCUUUUUUUUUUGUUUUCGCCGUCGCCCCCGCUCUUCCUUAGUCGACAGAUUAUCUAAGCUUUCAGCCGUCAAAACCCUCCCCUCGUUUCUUUCCUCUGUCCUCUUUCUACUUAGUUCUCUGCCGUUAUCUUUUCUUUUAUCCGCCGUCCCAGAAACCUUAGCUUUCCACAGCUUUUUAUAUCCGAGACUUCCUCCUGAAACCUAUCAUCUACGACCUGAAAAAACUCCCUCUCCUCUUGCAUUUUUACAGCCUUAGAUUUUCAUGUUUUCUGAUCAACUUUGAAUCAAGCCAAGUGUCUUCUAUUAAGAUCAUCGGACGGAAGAGAAAAUUGAGCCAAUAAUGGAGCUGAAAAAACCAUUUUUGUAUCUGCGUUUUUGUAGAUGAAAAUGUAGAGGAGUUUUGAUUGUAUGCUUCUCGGGUGCAUGGGCUCUCUCCUUUUUUUUAAAAAAAAUAAAAAUAAAAUAAAGCUAAAUAAAUAAAAAUAAUAAAAUAAAAAUAAAAAUAGCCGAUAUUAUCAAUAAAAGCAAAAAUGAAAUAAAUUAAAAUUUUGGUGUCUACACCGUGGGUCGUUAUCUAAUCGACCAGGCCCUUGCCGGCCCGAUUUCAGUAACUAACCACAGGUGUUGAGCUCAGAGGUCACAGAAAGGUUGUUGGAUACCAGCCUCCAAACGACGUCCGAACAGACUCAGAUACAGUUAACAGAUUAUACACAGUAAAUAGGCAUACAGACAGACAAGAGAACGAGUGUGAUAAAGUACACCCUCGUCUCAAACAGAAUAAACAGAUGAUACAAUCAUUCAAAUAAUAGAUUGUAGGUGCAGAAACCAAGUUAAGCAAACAAAUGAGGGGAGUGGUACACUCAUCGGUUCCAGUACAGAUACUUCAAAAGUUUUUACCCAAAGUGGCUUUAAUCGCCAAGAAAUCCUAAAAUAAUCAAGAUAAAACAAUUAUAGUUCGCACAUCCGCAAACCCAGUAAAUGAAAUGCAUAAAAGAGGGUCGACUACAUGUCGUAUGCCUUUCCAGGUUAAGUACUAGUACAGAAGAAUAAAAUUAUGACUUUUGAGUAAAAAGAUAGUAGUUGGUUCUAGGGUUACAAACAACCCUCAAAACCCUUCAUUUUUACUAAGAUCAACUCAACUUGAAGGAAUCGCGUAGCCCUAAAAUUUUGGGCAGCAUGCCCUCUGUAUUUUGCUAUACUCCAGCCAUUUAUGGCUUCAUUGUUUUUCCUCAAGUCAGUCCAAUUCAACACAUAAUAAUUCUCAAUACAAUAGCCCUUCAACUAGGCUCAAGUUCAUCCAAAUACAAAGCAAGUCUAGGAAUGCAACUAGAAAUCAAGUUUUAAGGACAAAAGCUAAAUAGCAGGUUUGACGUCUCAUAGCGGAACAGACACAACCGAAGCUACGCUUAUUGGAUUGGGGUACAAUUUAUACCGUUUCGAAUCUAAGAUAAAGGCCUAGAACUUUGAUGAAGACCACUCAGUCCAGUUCGUGGUGUAUCUAGGUCAAAAUUUAAAAUUACAGAACCAGCAUCUCACAAUCAGACUAAUUCACCGCACUAUGAUUCAACGACAAUAACUCAGGCUACUGAAGUUCGAUUGAGGUGUAUCUUAUGGCGUUUCGAAUCCAAGACAUAUACCUACAUUUCUUAUGAAGGCCUCCAAAGCUAAAUCAAGAAUUUUCAAAGUCAAAAAUUGAAGGGUUAAUUCCACUUUGUCCCCCCAAACUUUGGACGAUUAUCCACUUAAGUCCCUAAACUUCAAAAUGGGACACUUAAGUCCCUAAACUUAUAAAUACCUCCCACUUAAGGAAAAUUGUUAACAAAUCCUGAAUGCCGUUGGUGGUCGAAGUGUCCCAUUUUAUAAGGGUUUAGGGUUUUAAGUGUCCCAUUUUAUAAGUUCUGGGACUUAAGUGGGAGGUAUUUAUAAGUUUAGGGACUUAAGUGUCCCAUUUUGAAGUUUAGGGACUUAAGUGGAUAAUCGUCCAAAGUUUGGGGGGACAAAGUGGAAUUAACCCUAUAAUUAAACAUGAAAUCAAAUACAAGAGAAAAAGUAGUAGAAGAGAUAUCACCCUUAUCAUAUGAGAUCAAUUUCUCCAUCUUUGCUCCUUAAUCUUCAUCCAAAUCUAACACGAAUAAAGAAGGAAAAACUACACUAACUAUACUAUACUACUUUAACUAAUGAACCAAGGAAAUUCUAGUGAAAACUACAUUUUUGUGGAGUUUCUCUAGCUUCCAAAGUUGUCAAAAUGGUCUCCAAAGGCUACUAUUUAUAGAGGAUUCAAGAGCCAAAUGUGUUGUUUCUAGUUGUCAUUUUUGACUCUAGAAACUCCUAUGAGUUGUUUCUUCAAUUUUUCACACUCUUCUUGAUCAGAUAUAGUCGAAAUUGUUAGCUCAAAGUGAGUUGAAAAAGUUGUGUGAAAGUAAGGCAAGUUGAUGACAAGUUACAGAAAAUAGAAGAUAAUACGCGACCUUAGGAAUACGCGACUUACGGUCGUGUAUUGACAGCUUGCUUUUUCACUUCUGCGCAUUUGGCACCACUUCAACUGCUAUUUUAUUAAGGAUGGAGGCCUAAUUAACUCUUGUGUAAAACAUGAAAUUCGUAUCCAUUUGAGUUAGCUUUCCAAUGGCUCAAGAAUCAUCCAAUUUGGAGCUCUGUGGACCAAGAAAUUACUAAAAUACCAUCGAAUGGUUAGAGCUCUAUUUCAACUUUCAACAACAGAGUUGCACUUCUGUGUUUCAACUUUUUGACUAGGAAAACGAUUGAACUGGAUUUUGAUGUCUUCAUACCAAAUGUAGAUAUAUCUCUUAGCAUCAAACUGGUAUAAGAGUCACCUCAAUCUGAUACUUAUAGCUCAAGAUAUAGCUGAAAUACCAUAAGGUGUCAAAACUGAAAAAUUUUCCUUUAAUUGCAUUUCAUCUCUUGCACUUCAUAUCUUCUUUAAACCACUUGAAAAUCAUCAUCAAUCAUCUAAUUAUCUUCUCAGUUCACUCCAAUUGAUGAUUGAAUCCUUAAAUCUACAAAAACAUGAAGUUUUAACUAUUAAAAUCCAUAGAAAUGCAAUUUUUAUCACUUAAAUCACAAAAUACAUAUUUUCACUAAAAUCCUAGCUUAUUAGUUAUAAAACUAAAUAAAAUACACCAAAACUAACUAAUAAAAUACACUAAAAAAUAUGUAAAAUAUAUACUUAUCAAAACUCAAGUGUGGGUAACGUCUUCAAAAAGAAAAAGGUUGUGUUAGUAGUGAAAAAUGAAAAAGUAUGCAUGAAUGUAAAAGUAUGUGAAUGGUUAUGUUAGCCUGCUGAUCCAAGAGUUUUAAUGUUGAGAUUUUGCUUAAUAGUCGAACUAUUUACUAACAAAUGUUAGUUGAAUAUUUUAUAUUUUUAGAUUAGUUAGUCAGGAAUUGGAAAAAUCCUUGGUCUUAAAGGUUAACUGAAGAGAUAUUUCUUGGAGAUUAGAUAUUAAUGCUUGAUAUGUGUUUUAAUUGUACUUUGGCAAUAGAUGAUUUGAGUAAUAGCUAUUGUUUGAACUCAAUUAGUUAAUAGUGCUUGAUUACUUGCUCUAGUACUUGAGAAUAAGCAUAGUUUAGGUAUGUGGGAGAUUGAUAGGAUUCAUUUUAUUAGUAAUUUUGUGAAUAUUUUCCCCUUGAUUCUGGACCAAUAUUGUAUUAAUUAGUAGAUUCUAUUCAUAUUUGGUAAAUGAUACUAAUUGUAGGAAAGUGGAGUCAUUGCUAGAAAAUCAGUCUUUUGUGACCACUAAAUGUCAUCACUAAAACAGAAAAAGUCGUCAUUAAAAAAAAAGUGAUGAAAUUUUUUGUUAUCACUUGAUUGUCACAGAUUCUAUGUCACAAAUGGGUCUAUGUGACAACCUUAAUCAGAUCGUCACAGAUUCAUAGUAUUCUGUGACGAGAAUAAUGUCAAACCAUUAGUGUUUUGUGAUAACUUUUCUUGUCACUAUUUCACUUAUAUUUUGUCAUAAAUAAUACAAAAGUCGUCACAAAUUACGACUCUACAGUGACAACAUCCACAUGUCACUUGUAGUCUUAUUCAUCAGUGACAAGAAUUGUUGUCACUAGUUGAUUUUGCAGCAAUGACAACUUUCUUUGAUGUUGUCACUGAGCUAAGUUUAGAAUGUCCGAAAAUUGUAAUACGAAAGCUACUUCUAUAGCAUUUCUAGCAACCAUAGCAGAAAAUUGUAGUACAACUAAUGCCAAAAACGAUAGCAUUAAACACAUAAUGAACCCUGAAAUAUACAUAUGGACAUAAACAUCUCUAAAUUUAUCUAAACAAACAUCAACCAAAAUAGGUCACAAAAAGCACAGCAAUUCAAGUUCUAACAGCCCUUAUCCAUCCAAAAAACUAAAAUAUUGAGCCCAUAUCAGCUCAAAUAGUAAUAACCAUUAUCCAUCAUAAAAACAGAGUACUAGAUCUCUAAACAAAAACAUAAACUAGAGUAGCAAUCUAUGUCAAAAUGAAGCCAUCUUCAUGAGCAUACCCAAAACCAAACUAUUGUUCAUUUCCUCGUGAGCAUUUAACAGCAUUGUAUUGCAUUGAAAGAAAAUUAGACAUUGGAAUAUCAGCACAGUACAUCUCAAUCAUUGCUUGAGAAGGAAAUUUUUUUUUAUCUUGCAUCUAUGUAACUAAAGCAGGAAACUCUAAAAUCUAACUACAUACACCUGUGUAAGUGACACAUGAAGCAUAUAAAAUUGUCCCAUUAGAAAAACAUUGUGAAGACAUAUACCCAAAUUACCUGCACCAAUUGCUCUAGAACAAGUAUUGUCCACAAAAUAGAUCUUUCAAUUGGGUUUGAUGUUAUACGAUAUGAAAAACCCUUUUCUGCCAACCUUGUGAGCAGAUGUCGUGAUAUACAAAACUAAAACAUUUGCUUAACAACUUACCUGAAAAGAAGAUGCAUGAAAAGAGCUUUAGCAAAGUGACUACAAGAGCACUAUGUAUUACUAGCAUGCAAUGUCUAUACAUGUGCACUACGUAUUACUAAAAAUGUAAACUAUGUAUUACUAAACAUGCAAUGUCUACAAGAGCACUACGUAUUACUAAACAUGUGCCUUUUGUGAGGCUUUUUCCAGUUUGCCUAUGCUUUGAAAAUCAUGCAAUGUCUAUGCUUUUUGUUUUCAUAUAAUAACCUGAACAAUUUUCCUUAAAAAAAUAAGAAUACACAUGUGCUUUGUUAGUGCACUCAACACAAGCUAACACUCUGUUCUGUAGAAAAGAAUCCAAUACUAUCAACUAUCUCCAGAAACUCCAUUUAACUUGACCAAUUGUUUUUCCAAUAAAUCAUCCUCAAGUGCUUAAUGUCGCACUAAGAUACUAGUUCCAAUUCACUAAGCAUACAUCAAAACCUUUACUUAUUGAAAGGCUUAUACUUCAAGAGGAAAAUAGAGAUCCAAUAUAACAGCAUUGCCAAUUGCAGAUUUCAGCCUUAUGUACAAAAGGUCAUUUAUUUCUUCCAAUAGCUAACUUCAUUCAACUUGCUUUGUGGCACUAGUUCAUAUUUCCAUUUGAAUUUCUAUUUAUGGCUUUGGAUUGUGUGGAUUCUAUACACUAGGUGCAACACAAAUUACUAAAAUUUGUGAAGAUAUAUAUAUUGUGAAAAGAAUGACAACUCACUUUAUGAUCUACAUCUGUGUUAUGGCUCAACCAUGCAUAGGCCUCUCUAAAGUCAUAAAAAACGUGAAAGCCGUCAGGAGAUUGACAUGUUAGCACUAUGGAGGGUAUUGAACAUGCUUCUGCUGCUGCCCAAACACAAUGAACCUACAUGAAAAAUCUUCUGUAAACAGUGAAGAGCUCAACCAGGAAGCUAAAGAACAACACGGAAAUCCAGCAUAAGGGAGGAGAUGCAGAGGAGGGGCCCAGAAGAGACGACGCUGGCCUGGCGGGUCCGGCAGCAAAGGGAGGGCAGGGGGUGGCUGCGCCACUAGCCUUGACUCCAGCUUCGGUUGAAAAGGUGGCUGCCGUUGCCGGGGACACCCAGACCGCUGGUGCCCAGAGGGAGGUGGAGCGGGUGCCGCAUACAACUAUGGUGGCAGCUCCUAGUCCUAGCGAGCGGCCUUCUCAGCUGGAAUGGGACUGGUACAUGCCCCCAGGGGGCAUUUGUUUAGGUGCGGAGCCGAGCAUGGAGGGGGAAAAGCAAGUAGGGGCGGCUCAACUUGAGUGUGGGAGUGCACCUGAAGGUGCUCCUGAUGCUGGAGCACAGGGAGAGGGUACGGUUAUUGUUGCACAGGAAUGCCAACAAGGGCCAAGAGGGCAGCUUGAAAUCUGGCUUGGGCUGUCACCGAGAAGUGAACCGGCACAACCAAAUAGCAGCAGUGUUCACGUGGGGAUAGUAGAAGAAGGACUGGCCCAAGGAGUACUGGGCGCAAGGGUAGCGGUGCCGCACAUGGAGAACAGCAAUGCAAGUGACGACGGGGGAAAGGAUGAAUUGCCUCAGGUGGCAAGAAACUUGUCGCCAAGGAUGGUGGUCAUGCACAAGCUGGAUCCGGCUUCCACGCUGUUGGAGUUAAACAUUGAUUCCCUCGAUGGGAAAGACAAGCGCGACAAGAAGGGGAAGGGGCUAUGGGCUCGCUUUCAAUCGGACAGGCAGUUACGGUCCUCAACUUCUCUCAAUAAUUCUUUUCAGGUAUUGUGUGAUGAUUAAUACGCUGUUAUGGAAUAUUAGAGGGGUGUCUAAAGCCCCGAAUUUAAGAAGAUUGAGAAGCAUUAUUCGGUUGCAUGAUAUUCAGUUUAUUGCCAUUUCUGAGCCAAAAUUAGAUGUAUCUCGAGUUGAGUAUAUUCGCCUGAGGCUAUCAUUUGACUUUGCUAUUGUUAAUGUUUCGGGGGAUCUUUGGAUUUUUUAUAAUUCUCAUUUUGUUUGCUCAGUGGUGGGUAACUCCGAUCAGCACAUUUCCCUAUCUAUUCAUCAUUCGUGUUUACCGGGGCCCAUAGUUUUCUCUUUUGUGCAUGCUAUGUGUUCGGUGGAGGGUCGUCGGGAGUUAUGGGCAAACCUUUUAUCUAAUAAACCUUGCUCCCUGCCUUAGCCUUAGUGUAUUGGGGGAGAUUUUAACUUUAUUGUCGAUGCUUCUGAAAAAUGAGGGGGGCGACCGUUCACUGUGUCAGAGGAUAUUGAUUUUUUGACUUUCAUGGAAGAGGCCAAGAUAUUCGAUGUUGAUUUUUUCGGGUCGAGUUUUAAAUGGUGCAAUAAUCGGAGGGGGAGAGUUAGAAUUUGGAAGAAACUAGAUUGAUUUCUCAUUAAUGGGGAGUCUACAGAUUUGGUCUCGGUGAUUUCAGUAGUUCACUUAGCACGACACCCGUCUGACCAUGCUUCGCUGAAAAUUUUUUUGCUUCACGGAUGGACAACGGGCCACGACCUUUCCUUUUUCUGAAUGUAUGGGCAUCCAAGCAGGAUUUAUUAGACGUCAUUAGGACUGCCUGGACCAUGGAAGUUUAAGGCUCCCCUUUACGUAUUUUGUGCUCAAAAUUGCUGGCAACCCGGAGGGCGAUUCAGCAUUGAAAUAAGCAGCAUUUUGGCAAUGUUUGCACUGCUGUUAAGGAGGCUGAGGCUGGGGUAGUAAGGGCAGAGGGUAGCGUGGUCAAUUCUAAGUCGAAGGAGGAUUCUGAGGAGCUUCACAAGGCACAGGCAGACCUAAACAAGGCACUGGCAAUUGAGGAAUAAUUUUGGAGGCAAAGGGCACGGGUUAAAUGGCUUAGUUGUGGGGAUCGAAAUAUACGAUAUUUCCAUGUAGUGGUCAACCAAAUAAGAAUACAAGGAGUGAUCCAUAGAGUGAAAGAUUCAACUGGGACAUGGGUGGACAAGGAUGACGACGUAGCAAAGGCAGCGAUUGAGUAUUUUUCUGACAUCUUCUCGGGGUCUAUGGAUUGAAGUCCGGGGGGUUUGAUGCAUCUGAUCUCGAAAGUGGUCACAGGCGAGGAGAAUACUCUGUUAGUAGAAGUGCCUGACAUGGAGAAGGUUCGACGCCUGGUACUCACCAUGGACGGGAAUAGUGCUGCGGGGCCGGACGGGUUUACGGGCAAGUUCUUUACCUUUGCAUGGGAUAUCAUUGCUCAGGACAUGCACAGAGCGGUGGUGAGUUUCUUCUAUGGAAGUGAGCUGCCUAGAUUCAUUACUUCCACUUUAAUUGUGUUGCUUCCUAAGGUUUCGAACCCUCAGGACUUCUCUAAAUUCAAAUGGAUUAGCCUUUGCAAUUUCUUUAAUAAAUUGCUGUCCAGAAUUAUGGUGGGGCUACUGGCCUCAGUGGUGCCGAGAAUUAUUUCUCCCCAACAGACGGGGUUUGUCAAAAGCCGAAGCAUUACAGACAAUUACUUGUUGGCUCAGGAGGGUCAUAGGCAAGAAGGCUCGAGGGGGGAAUGUAACCUUUAAGUUGGAUAUAACUAAGGCUUACGAUCGGAUGUUGUGGUGGCAUAUUGUCUCCAUGUUGCGCACUUUUGGGUUUGGAGAACGGUUUAUUGACAUGGUCUGGAGACUUAUCUCGAACGUUUGGUUUUCUAUUAUCAUUAAUGGGACUUCCUAUGGGUACUUCAAGUCUAGCAGGGGGUUACGUCAAGGGGAUCCGCUAUCUCCAGUGCUAUUUAUCAUUGGUUCGGAGAUGCGAGGGUUAAAUGCUUUAGCAAACUAGCAAAGUUUUAUAGGGUUUAGGGUUCCUGCAGGCUGCCUUGUUGUCACGCAUCUAGCUUUUGCUGAUAGCGUACUAAUUUUUACUAAUGGGUCUACUGAGGCUUUAAAGAAAGUUGCACGGGUGCUCGACGCGUACCAGCAAUCUUCAGGACAACUGGUAAAUGCUCAGAAGAGUGGGUACAUGGUCCACCCAUCACUCCCACUAGCCCGAAGAAGGGAGAUUGAGCAGAUCACGCACUUUACGAUGUGGGAGUUGCCUAUCCGAUGCCUAGGGUUUCCUUUGUAUAUGGGUAGAGGAAAAGCAGCAUAUUUUGGAGAGGUGUGCCAGGCAGUGUGGAGGGUGGGGGUCCAACUGGCUUCAAAAUAUCUGUGUUGCCAAACGGGAGCAGAUGAGACCGUCAAGCAUGUUUUCUCGGAGGGACAGGUUGCGCGAGGAGUCUGGCAUUAUUUUGGUAGGAUCUGUAUGGUGUCACAGAGAGACGCUUCACUGCAGGUAUGGCUUAUGGCUUGGUGGAUGUCGUCACCUAGGUCGAAGAAAGGCCGGUUCCUUUUUUCUGUCCUCCUCAGUUUGAUAUGCUAGCACAUCUGGAAGGCAUGGAAUAAAGCAUACUAUGAAGGGAUUCAGAUGCGACAGGCGAAGAUUUGCCAUGACAUUCUGAUCGAUAUGAAAGGGAUGGUUGAGGUUAAGUUUAACUAGAGGUUUAGGAUGCAAACGUUUCUUCAGCUUUAUGAGGGGACCGCUCAUCCGCCACCGCGCUAUAGUGUUCAGCUGGUGGGGUGGCGGGCGACGGAGGAGGGAUCCCUAACCUUAAAUACGGAUGGAUGUUCCAAAGGUAAUUCUAGAGUGAGUGGUUGUGGGGGAAUACUUCGUGAUUCAUCAGGUUUGCCAUUAUUUGCUUUCUCGGCUUACUUUGGGGAAAUCUUGAGUUUACAUGCAGAAAUAUUGGCCCUGGCAAUGGGACUCCGGUUGUUCAUGCAGAGAGGGUUUACUGGGAUCAAUAUAUAGGUUGAUUCAUUAGUCCUAGUUGGAAUUCUUUAACGAAAGCUCCAGUGCCCAUGACGGGUCCGCAGGGAGGUCGAACAGAUUUGGGGCAUGGUCACAGAUACGGCGCAGUUUACUCAUUGCUAUAGAGAAGCAAACAGGGUGGCGGAUAGGUUGGCAAAUGUGGGCGCUGCUAGUCAUCAGCAGAGUAUCAGCAUCUACGAUCAAUUCAACGAAAUUCCACAACUGGCGCGCGGGGAAAUUCGCUUAGAUAGGCUAGGUGUGCCUUCGGUCAGGAGAAAGAGAGUAGGAUAGCCUAGGGGGAUGGUUUAGUUAGUUUCCCGAUCGUUGUAUCCAUUUGGUUCGUUUGGAAUAAAGUGAUCAAGUUUGCAAAAAAAAAAAAAAAAGUACAAGCAUUAGUCGCACCUGUAACAACAAAGAGAACGUUGCUCAACAUAGUGCAUACCAAGAGAGAAUAGUAUUAAGCUUGCAUAUUUCAAAUUAAUCUCACCAUGACACCUGAAAAAUAUACUGAUGUAACCAUGUAAAGGAUGCUAAAGGAGCUUGCAUCAAAAAGUGGCAAAAAGCAUGCCUGCAAUUGCAAACAAGAUAGAUUGUGAUGAUCUUGAUCCCUGUCUUUUGAUGUUUACAAAAUAAUUGGAUAAUACUAAUAUCUUUUCAAUAAGAAAACUUUUCAGCUCUGAAGCAAUUUGAUUCAAAGAGCAAUUGAAAAAAGAUAACGGAAGUCGAAAGCUAUCAGACGUUCACAAAGACAAUACCAAACAUCUGAUAAAUAUGACAGAUACCCGACGAUCAUAUCGGAUGCAGAACAUCUUCACCGGACGUCCGAAAGAAUUGAGAUGAUCCUUCAAACUCUCUGUCUUCUUUCGGAUGCAAGCAUCGGAAGUACUGGAUGUUCGAAAGAACUGAAAAGAUUUUUCAAACUCUAUCCACUUUAGGAAUCAAACAUCGAAAGUACCGGACGUUUGAAAGAAUUGAAAAGAUUUUUCAAACUCUCUGUCCGCUUUCGGACGCAAGCAUCGGAGGUACCGGACAUCCGACACUCCUAACGGUCAAUUGACUCUUCAGCUACCUUUUAUCCAUUGGAAGUAUUAAUGAAGCACAUUCUUGGUAUCAUAUAAAUAGUGCAUGGUUAGAAACGUAAAAAUAACUUUUGCACAUUGAGAAUACAAAAGAUAAAAAGUAGUUUUAGUGAGAAAAUACUCUCCAAGGAACAUUUGUACUCUUUGUGGUGUAAGAUUCUUUGUAAGCUUUUCCUUUGUGAUAGAAUACUUCAAUAGUGUAGUUUUGUGAGAGUUAUCCUGAGGUAUUGUAAAACUUUCUAGCUUGACCGAGUGAAACUUGAGGCAAGGAGGAAGUGAGCCUUCCUUUGUACACAAGAUUGGUUGCAUUUCAUCAAUUUGAAGAAACUUGUUUUGUGAAUUGAUCUUUGAGCUCAAGAGGAGUUUGGUAGUCAAUUGAUUUGCAAUUCUUCUCUUUUAUUUAUCAUCUUGUAAACUUUAAAUUGCAUAUCUCUUCUACUUCUCUUAAGUGAUAUUGCUUCUUUAUUGAUUGAUUCAUUGUGUGAUCACUUAGAAAAGAUGGUAAAUUUCGUAUUGAGCAUAAAGUGCCCAUAACCUGAUUAGUUUUUAAUCAACCUAAUUCAACCCCUCUCUUAGGUUGUCUUCGGACCUAACAGAUUGGAUAUUAGUAGUCAUUCUGCCAGAGAGAACUAUAUGUAUAAAGUAAUAUAACCCAUUUAGUUGAAGCAUCAAAUUUCAAGUUUGGUUACUUCAUUUGCCUUGAAACUAAUUAGAUAGAUUCCAUGCAAAUCAUGAACUCGCAACUGGGAUUCGACAAACAGAAGAGACUCACGAAUCAAGCAGACUUAGACUACACCCACUCCAACCCUUAGUUGGGCUGGAAGCUACUAAUGCUAUAAGUAUAGCCACCAUAGCACAGCAAAUUACCCUAAAAUUUGAAUGACAAGUAAUUAAGUCAACCAAAAAUUUUUUAUGAAACUCUUAGCUACUACUUACACACUAUAACAACAAGCAAAUUUCUGUACAAACUACAAGUAAAGGCAUUUACAGGCCAACUAAAAACACAAACAUAACAGCCACUUUUAACAUUCUUGGUGAUAGAAUCCCCUUAAUAUAGUAAACAAGAGCUACAACAUGAAUAAUAAUAAACACCUAUACAUGGCCAAGAAUGGAAAAGUAAAAUUAGAGAUUAAAAGCAACAUAAGGCAUAAAUUUGAAAAGAUUGAGGAGCAUAAAAUAAGUAAUAGCGAAUCCCUGGCCACAGUCAUAGAGAAUGAGAAAGCAAGAAUGGUAGGAAAACCAGCCCAUUGGAACUAACCAAAAAUGAAGCAAAAUGCUCAGACAUCAUGACGGAAUUAAAGCCCAAAACAGGGACCAAAGUAGCCAACAAUGUUCCCAAGACAACUUGUAUUUGAAAUUACAAAGAAAUUAGUACAAGGAUGACUAGAAUAACAGCAUUAAAGAGGCAUACUUAUCUUAAAGACAUUACUAAUUCAAUAUCAAUCAAAACAGAUUUGCACAAUACUAUAACCAAACAUAAAAACCCAUAAUACAACACAAACUAAAACCAUAGAAACAACUAAAAAGAUGGAGAUUGAUGCCAACACUUACCAUAAGAAAGUGUGGAUUCAACAAAUCUAGAGCUCAAUUCAAACUCCUUUGCCAUAACAAAUAUAUCAAACCAGUUCUUUCAUCACGUUCCUGAGCUCCCAAUCCUCUCUCAAACUCAUUAUCAGACUGCAGAUAUAUCAAUCUAAUCUCUGAAAAUUUUCCAGAAAAAGGAAGAAGAGAACAAAGAUGAAGUAAUUGUAACAAAUAUGUCACCAUUGAAAGAUUUAAGUGGAAAAUUUGGCUCAUAAACUCAAGAUUCAGUCUACCCGACCUACAUUUGACAAAAAAUAAUGAAAUUAGAUGGAAAAUAUUUAGAUUAUUUACCUCAAAUUAUGCCUUCACUCCCUUAGCUCUUGUUUUCCUUAAGAUUCAGUCUUCAAACUUUGGCUUUCCCCCAAAAUUCACGACCAACUUUUUGUGUUCUUGCCAGCAAGCAAGUGCUGCACCAAUCUAGGGAUUUUUUCUAUCUACAAGGUCACUAAAGUUGCCCAAAUCCUUUGGGUAGCUCAAAUUAGGGAUGAAAAAAGGUGAUUUAAAGUGAUUUUGUGGAUAAUUUCAGCAAGAUGAGAGUAGAGCAUAAGAAGAAAUGGAGAAGAUGAUAAUGUCUGAAACUUUCAAUGAGAGAGAGAAAAUGCUGUCUGAAAAUUUUCUAAGUGUUGUGAGUGUUUUAGUUUAACUCUUGCCAAAAUGACGCCGUUUCUAUCUUAUUUUGUUCACCCACUAUCACACCUUGAAAUUUCAGCUUCCCGCUUCCAUUUUACCUUAGCACAAAAAAUAACGCUUUCAUCAUCUUUUGUACAAACUAUUUGAACCUUUCUUUACAAAAAUAACGCCCUCUCUAAUAUCUCUCUUUUUUUCCCCAUCUAUGCGUAAUUAAGAUUGUUUAUUAUUUUGAAAUUUUUUAGCUCACAAGUUGUAUUAACACUUUAUAUGUUAUAUUAAAACUUUAGAAUAUGAAAAUUUAGUAUUUUUGGAUUUUUUUUGGAUUUCUACGAAAAAUAAUGUUCAAAACUAAAAGUUUAUUAAAUGUAUGUUUUUUAUUCAAAAAAUAUUUUUGGUAUCAAUUUAAUAAUUUUAUCAAUUAUGUACGAAUUGUGGUCUGACAAUACCUAACAAUUAGUUUAGUUGAUCAAAUAACCAAAAUAGUUUUCUAAUACAUGCAUGAAACACUAAAUGUAUUUGGUACAAAUACCAAUUCAUAAGCCAUAACUAAUUUGACUAUUGUAAUUAAUAAUAAAAUCUAGUCAUGCAAUUGUGAGGAUUUUACUUAAUUUUGUCUUAAAUUUUACUAUUCUUUGCCAUCAUUUUCAUACUAUGCUAAUCACUAAUUUUCCAUGUGUUGUCAAGAGAACUAUAUAGGGAAUCCAUAAUAUUUUUUUGCCUUCAUAACAAGUUAUUAACUAAUUUUGGAACAAUUAUAAAAUAUGUAUACAUUUUUUAUUACAAUACCUUCCUCAUUUUACUAAUAAAAAACAUAGGCUAAAUUAUAAAGGAUAGGGUGCCAUAAUAUAAUUAAUGAAAUUGGUUUAUCAUAUACGAGGCUAAAUUGUAAAAGAUAAGGUGUUAUGGUAGAGUUAAUGAAAUUAGUUUAUCACAUACAGGGCUAAAAUGUAAAAGUUAGGGUACCAUAAUAGAAUUAAUAAAAUUUAUUUACAAUAUUUGGGGCCAUAUUGAAAAAUUAGAGUGGCAUAGUAGAAUUAAUGAAAGUGAGUUAGGAACAAGUACUUUAGACAAUGACGACUAAUUGUUGAUACUAAUUCUGAACCGGUAAUCACAUUGUGACGAUAUUACAAAUAAUCACUGUAGGCCCAUUUUAGUGACAAUGUUUUUGCAAGUCGUCACAAUUGUGAUUUCCCACUACAUCGAUUAGUCGCGCGCCACUCAUAUUGUGACGACUAAUCCUGUGUUGUCACUGAUUGAUGAGUCUACCCUCGGUCAACUAUGACGAUGUCAAAAGUCAUCGUUGAAUUUGCUCAAUUGUGACAAGUUUUUCUGUUGUCGCUGAGAAUGUUGUCACAAAAGGCCAAAUUUCUUGUAGUGAGUCAAAGGUGGUUAAAGGGGUGAUUUUCCAGAAGACUUGUGCACAAUUUAGCAUGGGCAUGGUCAAGACCUGCUGUCAAGUUCGAAAAUUUUGAGAUUUUCCUGCAAGUGGAGGUUUUCUAAUUCCAGUCAAAUUCUGAGCAGGUCUUGGCUGAAGAUUGAGAAGAUUUCUGUCUAUUUUAGUAAGAGUAUUCAAUUAGGAAACAAGGGAUAUUAUAUUUUGUAGUUUUCCUUUUCCAAUUAGGAAGUAGACUUUAUUUUAAUAACUAUAAAUUAGGAGAGUAAAUAGGAGAAAGAAAUGGCUAGUGAUUGGGGGGCUAUUACUUAGAAAUAAGAAACAAUUGGUAUCGGGUCUUUUUGCUGGAAGAAAAACUAGAACGUAUCCUUCUUCUCUUGGCCGAAUGUCCUUUGCGAUGCACCAUACUUUUCCGCUGGGAUUCUUCUCAACGAUGAAAACCUAAUUUCUUUUUUAGCCAGGGGUCAAUUAGAAAAGACGGUUCCAAACAUCAACGAGAUUGAAUUGAUUUUUACUUAUUUUUUUAAUUCAUUUGGUAUUCUUAUGAUUAUUUUGUUAUUUGAAUGUCAAGAAUCCGAUAUUUGAAUUAACCUGAUAAUCUACUGCCAUGUUAACCGAUUAAAUUUGUAAUUAUUUGAUUGGUUAAUAUUGGUGGUAACUAUCGUGAUUGAUUUCAUGUUAAGGAAACGUAUGAUCUAAUUUAAAAAUACCGUCGUGACGUGUUUGCUGGUUAGGAUUGGGCUUUUGUAGCUUUUAAUGCAAUCGAAAAAUUAAAUCCUACGUUCGUACCUAAGGUCAUUUCUUGAUUAGAGAAAUAAUUAACGGUCAUACUUUGAUUAUCAAUAAAAUAAGCAAAAGUUGGCUGUCAGAACUUGUUAAUGGCUAUAACCGAUCCAUUAAUGAAUAACUGAACUAUUUUUGUAUCAAUGAUCAAUUGUAUGAAUCAUAUCUAAAAAGUUGCACCUUUCACUAGAGUCGUGUCUAUUGUUGAUUUAAUUCUUAUUUAUUUUCGUAAAUUACUUUUCUAAUUAGUUAAUUAGUUAUAUUUGAAUUUUCCGAAAAUCUCCAUUUUAUUUAGUGCUUUGGAAGGAAAUAAAUUACUCAAUUCCUGAGGAGACGACCCUACUCACCGCUAUACAUGAAUUUAAGUUUUUAGAGUAAGAAUUUUAAUUUUGGUGGUUUGACACCCAUCAGACCACAUUAACAAAAAAAAAUGUAAAAAGUCCAUCAAUAAAAGAACAAGAACUAUGUGAUGAAUACAUGGCUCGGAACUUCAGUUGCCAUCGCGGGACAUCACUGUUCUACAUUGGUCACGCGGAGUACCGAUCCAGUAUCGUAUUGGAUGACACACCAUGUAGAUAGAUGAAAAAACAUAUAAUGGAUUUUAAAAUCCUUUUUAAAUCAUUUUCACAGUAAAAAAGAAAAUUUCUAACAAAAAAGGCUCAGAAUUGUGCCAUUUGCUCACCAAACUUAGAAAACUGAGAAGGUUCUUAAUAUUUUUCCAAUAUAUACCAAAGUUCGUGAGAUAUUUUUGCCACUGAAAACCUAAGCAUAUUACUCAAGCUUUUGCAUUUUUAGCUAUCUUAACACUGGAAUUCUAUAAAUUGACCAAAAAAACCACAAUUUUAUGAGUUCAGUUGCCUUCUCGAUUAAAAAAAAAAGUUUGGUGACUCUCUUUGGAGCAUAGUUAUGUCCAAUAACCACUGAUAAUCAAUCAAGAAAACAAACUCACUAUUAUAGAAUAUGCGUUAGUGGUUCUUUUUCAUUUUUUUAGAUUUCUCAUUGUUUUUAUUGUUUUUAAGUUCAUAUUUCAGUAUCCAUUAUAAAAUUUUGAAACCAUAGUAACAUAUUGUCCACAAGUGUAUCCUCUUAUCUAAGUAUCAAGUCAAAAUUUGAGAGGAUGUCAAUAUAUAAGGCUUAACGAAGUUCUGUCUCCUUGUCCGUGAAAAGAACCUGAAGGGCAAUCUUAAAACAGUUUCGCAGAAAAAAAAGAAAAACUUGCUCUGAAAAAAACCCGAAGAGUAAUCUUAAAAUAGUUUUGCAGAAAAGAAGAAAACUUACUCAUUAAUUACUAGAUAGUUUUAUUCCCCAAUUUCUAGGAUUCAUUGUCUAAGUUUCUUUCUUUGAAGCAUACGGCAAUCUAUUUGCUACCGUUCUAGGAUGCUUUGCACAGGUUACAUAACUGUUACAACAGCAAGUAUUCUCAUAAGCAGCAAUAGAUCUUUCCUGGCCAUAACCUUAGCUUUCACAUCUUGAAGUGUUCUAGUGCGGAAAUCCCAUCCUUGUUUAUGAGGUUUGAGUAGUAGAAUUCUGCAUAUUCUUUCGUAGUUGUUUCCAUGUAAACUGGGGGAUUUUCUUCUGAUAUCAACUCAUUGAUCGGCCCAUAUAUUCGUGAUUCAUAUGCUUCGCAGUACUGAGGUCCCAGAAAGCUUGCCACUGAAGUUCUAGGACCCAACCUUUUUGACACUACCCUAUGGUCCGCACUCUUGAAUCUUCCAUUUGUUAUUAGCUGCACAAGAGGAAAAUUCCAAAGAAACAGAUUAAAAAUUAAGGCCCACUUGGAUUCUUUAACUUCUAACUUGACGGACUAGGAUUAUGUAAAUUAGCAUUUUCAAAACCUUUUGGCUAGUAUUUUGCAGUCUUGAUAAAAGUUUCUAGUAGCAUCACCAAUACUUAAUUUUAAAAUCUACACACUCUUGUGAAACCCUCUCAAUCUUACUUUUAAUUGCUUGAGAUUUUAAAGGUUCGUGUGAGUAAUUGAGUAUCUAAAUAUCAUGGGCUAGAAAUACCCAAAAAUUUUCAGGAUAAAUGGGUAGAAUAGCUAUGUGUUGGGAGAAUUACUGAUUAACAGUUUUUUGAAAAUUCUAAACUCACAGCACCUAUAACUUUUCCAUCUUCUUUUGACAAAUAUUGAAAGCCUUUGGGGAGCUGGUUUUCAUAAGUCCGGAAUAGCGGUCAUCCAUUCUUCCGGGAAUUAUGUAAUAGGAAAACCACUGAAAUCAGUUUCAGUUUCCAAGAAUUAGAUAAGUAAAGAACAAGAAAUGCAAGUUUUGUAGGCUUUAAUUUCUCAUCAAGAAGGGUCCCUGUCCCAUGAUACCUUAUGAUUAUGGAUCUCCGAGUUGAUCAAAUUUGACUAGCGUGAAAAAAAAAUACCUGCAUCAUAUCUCCAAGGGUUACUACUAGAGCUCCAGGCAAGGGAGUCACAUCAACCCAUUCACCAUGGUGAAGUACUUGAAGACCACCUACUUGAUCUUGUAGGAUUAUAUUCAGGAAUGCAAUAUCUGUAUGGCUCAGACUCCCUAGAGUUUUUUCGGGUUCCGGACAAGGUGGGUAAUAGUGACCAACGAAAGCAAGCCCGUCCGCGCAGCCUAUGUCUUCCAAAUGGCUUGCUUUAAGUCCCAAACCUUGUGAGACCAAACCAUAUAAUGUACUGCCUAAUAUCUUGAGAUGGCUUGUGUAUUCCAUCAUGGGAUCUCUGCAGUAUACCAAAAUCAGAAACUGAUUAUAGAGAUAAACAUUAAUAUUUUUAAAGGAUUAGCAAAAGAUUUACAAAGUUUACUCAUGUCAUAACUUUUGUCGUCGUCAUCUAUGUUAUGACAUGCCUUUGUGGGAUCAGAUGUCAUUGUAGUUUCAAAGAGCUUCUUGACUCCACAGAUACAAUAUCAGCAGACCAAUCAAGUGAUGUUGCAUAUGAGGCAAACAAAGAAACAGAUACUUUUACAUACCUGAACUCCAGAGGUAGUGCUUCAAAGUUUUGUGGAAGAGGAUCUAGUGAGGAAACAAUACUGUCGCUCCAGCCAACACCCCUUAGUCGACACCCAUCAGAUGGCACGCUAUUAUAUCUGAAUAUAUUCUUCACAUUCUGACUGCAGUAUUUUGCUUUAUUUUCUACAUCUUGUUCAAAAAACUUACGUACUGCGUUGAUCAUAUUGUCCAUGACAUUAACUGGAAUUCCAUGAUUAACCACUUGAAAGAAUCCCCAUCUCUCGCCUGCAUCUAGAAUGUUAAUGAUGACGCGCGUCAGCGAAGCUGCAUCUUGGUUGGCGCCUGCAAUAUCUAUGAUAGGGAUGGAAAGCUGAGACUUCUUAGCACCAGGCUUGUCUUCUGGAUUUUUAAAAUCAUGGACAAACAUGAUGGGCAGUUGCUUUACUCCUGCAUCAACUAGUCCUUUUACACCAGCUCUAGGAUCGUAAACCACUUGAACUUCUACACUGCUCGUGACCACCAUUUUCUUUAUUCAACGAGAGAGAGAGAGAGAGAGAGAGAGAGAGAGAGAGGACUCAAGUUUAUUGUUCUUGAUUUUAAUGAAUUUUUGAUCAAACGGUGUUUAGACUGAGUGAUUUAUAGGAAGUCAAUUGCAAACAGGAGGAUAGGAUUUCUUUUUCUUUUUCUCUCUUUUUUCUUCAAAUGCUUCCUGAAUGGUUUUGCAUGACUAAUAGCUUGAGCAUCCUAUUCAAUUCUUACAAGCAAGGUAUUGUUUAUAAAACCGUUCAUUUAUCCGGAAAAAAGACUAGGUCACCGGUCAUUGUUUCAAUUGUUAGAUUCACCAUAAUUGAAGCCUGACAUCAUAAAUACAUUAUACUUUGUCUAUCUCGAAAUUUUUUAAUGCACUUCGAGAACGAAACUUUUUAUCAAGACCAACCAUUGAAGAGAGAUAAUUGCUGAAUCUCCCGAAUAUGCACUCUUCAAUUAGUGGUCACAACUGAAAAGAUUUCAUGAGUCUUUGGAAAGAGAAAAAUGAUUGAUCCUUGUACUUCCAUGCAUAAUUAAGUACACAUGAGGGAGGAUUAGGUUAGAUGGUAAGAUGGUAAAAAUUGUAAAUAGAAAAUUCUUGGUUCAAGACCUCCUAUUUAUUAAAAAAAUACACAUGUUGUGAACUUGUGACAUGCAUGUGCAGGGACUUCUCUUUGUUUUAAACUCAUGCAUCUUUUUUGAACUUGAGAUUUUGUGGUAAUUUGUGACAUUAUUCCUGAAUAUGGAGAUUUCUCCAUUUGUAUCUUAUGAAAACAUUACACAAUUCAUCCUUAUACUCUUGUAGGUAUACAACAUAGUAACCAGAGAACUUCAAUUCUCUAUAGAGAACAUUUUGGCUCCCACUGUCUCAAAGAUAACUCAACCAAUAGGUUCAAAUUGGAUUUUUUUUGUGUGUUUAUUUGACAAGGAGUUUUUCAAUUGAUUGCUUAUCUAAAAUAAUUAAAUAAUUAUUUUGAGGAAAGCUAUCAAUUUUCCAUAUGCAAAGGAGUCAAAUAUGAAUCACAACCAUUUCUAAACUCCAUUCUAGAGUCAAAACACUCCCACUUAUUUCAUGUUCUUACAAAAUUUAAUUCUCCAGUUCUAAUAAUUCUUGAAGUGUAAAGGAAUCUAAUUUUUUUGGAGUAAGAUAGCCUUGUUUCCUUUGUACAGCUUCUUGAUGUGUAGGUUGAUUACCCUCACAAAACUGAACAUAAUAUUUUAAACUUGAUUUCCAUCCAUAACAUAAUCAAAGUGGUGUUUAAACAACAUUGGAGCAAAUUGUUUAAGUAUAUACUUCAAUUUCAAGGCAUUACUCACAAGUUAUAGAUUGUCAAAAUGUUAUAUCCACAGCUAUCUCAUUAUUUCCUUAAGGUACAUCAUUUGGAUGUAACUAAUCAGGCAUUGCUUUUACUCAUUAGCAAUGCUUCAUAAUUAAGGAAUUUAUAAAAUGAGCACAAAUAGGUACUUUUUCUUGCCCAUAUGAGUAUUUGGAUAGUUUGGCUAGAAGGGAGUGUUGUCUAAGUGUGUCUAGGACUAUUUUCAAUUGUGUCAGGUGAGUUUCAAAAUCAAGACUGUAUCAGUAUGUCAUCAAUGAGAACAAGAACAAAUUUCCUGAUAUAUGGUUCAAAUAUGGAGUUCAUGAGGGCCUAGAAAGUGUCUAGGGCAUUAGUGAGUCCAAAAGGUAUCACCACAAAUUCAUAAUAGCUUUGAUGGGUUCUAAAAGUAGUCUUAGCUAUAUCUUCUGGACACAUUUUGAUCUAGUGAUAGCCAGAUCUCAAGUCAAUUUUGAAAAAAGUUUUGCUCCACAAAGCUCAUUCAACAAAUCAUUGAUAAUUAGGAUUGGAAAUUUGUCUUUAAUGGUAAGGUUGUUUAAUUGUCUAUAGUCAAUACAAAACCUCCAACUCCCAUCCUUCUUUUUGACCAAUAGGAUAGGUAAGGCAAAAGUACUGUGAUUGGGUUUGAUGAUACUACUGUGAAGCAUUUCUUUCACUUGUUUUUCUAUUUUUUUGUGUGUGAGGGUAUCUCUAGGGUGAGAUUUUGAAGGGCUUACCAUUAGGUUUGAGUGGUAUAUGAUGGUCAUAUGCUCUGGAAGGGGGUAGCUGUUUAGGUUCUCCAAACACAUCACUAUAGCUAGCAAGUAUUUGGUCAAUUGAAUUAUGUAAUAUAGUUACCUAAGUUGUGUGGAAGCCGAUCUUGUCAGAUUGUUUCAACAGUCCCUUCCUUCUAUUCCUAUUCCAAUAAGGUUUAGAGCUUCCUUUAUUCAGUGUCACAGCAGCAUCUUGGCUAUUCCUAUGCAGCACCACUCAUCCCCCCUUAUAGUCAAAGGAAAGAUUGAGUUCCUUGAAAUCAAAAGUAAGAGGGCUAUACUUCUUCAUCCAGUCCACAUCUAGAAUGAGAGCAUACGGUUCCAAAUUUAUGAUAUACAUAUCAUGAGUAAAAGAAUAGCCUUGUAUUGUCCACUUCCAUUUUGGAAUCCAACUAGUACAAGUUAGUUCCUUCCCAUCAGCAAUUUUGACCUUGAAGGGGCUAUGAGCCUAUACUAACUCAAUAAACUUCUCUGCAGUGGCUUUUUGAGGAAGCAAUGUGUACUACCUCCAUCUAAUAACAAUUCCAACUUAUGGGCCUGACUCUGCCCUUGCAGUUUGACAGUGCUGCUAGACAUCUUGUCACCAGAUAGGCUAUGAAUUGUUGACUCUACAUCUGAGCCUUGCUUUCUCCCAGAAGUUUGCAUGUUGUGCCCCUGCCCUCUUCCAUGAUAGUGAAUGAUCUCCUCUUCUUCACUCCCUCUAGAAUCUUCCUCCAUUUCUUGUAUCAAGAUCAUGUGGAUCUCUUUGUUCUUGCAAGUGUGGCCAAGAACAAAUUUAUCUCCACAUUUGAAGCAAAGAUUAUGAUCCUUUCUGUAUUAGAACUCAUUGGGAGAUAUCUUCUUGAACAUAGAAUUGUUAGAGGUGGCAGCAGUUGGUUUCUUGGCUACAUGUUCUCCAAUAGGUUGAAAAUUCAUGUGCUUCUGUUCUCCUCCUCCUAAAACAGAAGAUGUCAUUGAUGCCCCUGCCUUAGUCACGAGUUUAUAUUUCUUGAUAUCAGAAGACGGUUGGUUGGUAGGUUCAUUCAUAGGAAUGGUGGAUUGGGGUGUAGUAGGUUGAGGAUUAGGAGUUCUAGACUUAGAAGUGGACUUUUGCUUAACCAUUGUCUCCACUAAUCAACCCAGUCAACAAAAGAAAUAGAAAUUCCAACACCCACCAGAAAAUCAACAGUGAACUAAAAUUCCAAUGAAUAUAUCAAUCAAAUAAAUCAGGAGUAACAACUAUGUCCAAUGAAGCCAAUAAUCUACUCAACAAGUACUGUUGUCUCCCAAUUUGACAAUUAAAUGUCCAAUCUUUUGCAACCAAAAUCUAAACAAAUGCCCAAAUAAAUCAGCACUUCAAUCAAUAGUCAGAUUACUCCCAACAAUUCAAUUCAAUUCAACCAAUUAAUAAUGCAGCAAAAUAAUCCUCAAUUGAGUCCAGAAAAUGACUCCAACAAUUGAUACUCCAAAGAAUCGGUUAAGGGUUGAGAUAACCAAGUACCUCCACACCGACGACAACAAGAAGCGAUGGUGCGCUCAAGGAGGCGGAGUGGCACGGCAAGAUGACUGCGCGGUGGUAGAUACUUGGCGUACAAGACGGCGGGUAGCUGCAAAGGGCGUGACGGAGAACAUGAUGACAAUGGGCGGCGACGUUCAACAGCGGAGCAUAGCGAGCGAAGAAGGAUCGUGCUCGUGGGUGGCAAAAUGGACAGCGGUUGAGAGAAAGGGAGAGAGAGAUGGCGCGUGGCAGUCGGCGUAGGAGUGGCAAGACGGCGGCGAGGAGGGGCAAAGAAAGAGAGAGAGAGCGACGCGUGCAGGUUGUGGUGGCGUCUCAGGCAGAAGCAGCGGCGGCGGCGACCGUGGAGCGACAGCGGGCAGUAAGAAGGGCGGCGGAAUGCAGUGAGCGAAGGGGGACGGUGCUUGAAGAGUGUGAGGCGGCGGUUUGGUGUUCAGCUAAGAGGAAGAAAAGAAAGACAAGGGAGGAAGAAAGAAAGAAAAGAGAAAGAAAGAAAGGGAAAGGAAGAAAGAAAAGAAAGAAAAAAUUAAUGGUUUCUUUUUUUUAAUUUAAAAUUUAAACCAAAAUAUUUUUUUUCUAUUUAAAAUUUAAAUUAAUUUAUUUUAAAAAUUUUUUUACCUUUUUCUAGGACACGACGUGGGCACGUCAUAAGGGUAAUAACCCUUCUAAUGAAGAUAUAUUGAAUUGAAAGUUACCACGUGUCCUGUGCCCGUUGACCCGGGCAGAUCAUGAGGGUUGGAACCCUUUUGAUGAGGAUUUCAAGAAUUGCUCAUUACCACAUGUCUUGUUGAUGCGGGCACAUCAUGUUAGUCAGUCCACUCUAGGAUCGAAAAAAGAACUCUCUAGGCGACUUGACGCGGGCACGUCAUGAGGGUAGCAACCCUUCUGAAGAAGAGUUUGGAAAUUGCACAUUACCACGUGCCCUAUUGAUGCGAACACGUCAUGUCGGGGGGACAUCUACUAAUCAUCAAAAAUGAAAAAUUAAACCAAAAAUUUGUGAAAAUUCUAAGAAAACAUAUUGAACUAUCAAAUAGAAUUGAACAAACAACUAAAACAAAUUGGGUUGCCUCUUAAUAAGUGCCUUUUUUUAACGUCUUCGGCUAGACUUUAUCAAUCGCUCCUAAUGCUCGUGGGAUGGAUCUUCGAGAUGCAUCAUCUCUACCUCUUCUACUAGAAAUCCUUCAUAAUAAUGUUUAAGAUGGUAUCCAUUGACAACAAACUUCUUCUCGGUCUUUAAACUUUGUAUUUCUACUGCACCAUAGUGGAAAAUAUUAGUAACUAUAAAAGGACCAAUCCAACGAGAACGUAAUUUACCUGGAAAUAACUUAAGCCUCGAUUACUAGAGAAGAACUUUUUGGCCAACGACAAAAGUCUUCCUAGAAAUUUGCUGAUCAUGAAAAGCUUUAUUCUUUUCCUUAUAGAUGUUCGCGUUCUCAUAGGCUUCGUUCCGAAUUUCUUCUAACUCCUGUAAUUCCAACUUCCGAUGAACCCCUGCUUCUACUAGAUCCAUGUUGUACUAUUUUACUGUCCAAAACACCCUGUGUUUAAACUCUACUGAUAGGUGGCAUGGUUUCCCAAACACCAAUCUAUAGGGAGACAUCCCUAUAGGUGUCUUAUACACUAUCUGAUAGGCGCCCAAAGUACGUCUUCCAACCUUUGACUUCAAUCCUUCCUAUCGGGUCACACCAUUUUUCCAAGAUAGACUUUAUUUCUUUAUUCGAAACCUCGACUUGGCCAUUUGUUUGAGGAUGAUAUAACGUAGAGAUCUUGUGAAGGACACCAUACUUCCGAAAUAAUGCCGCUAUCGUUUUGUUAUAGAAGUGUGUUUCCCUGUCACUAACAAUGGCCCUUGGCAUUCCAAAAUAUAUGAAAAUAUUAGACUUAACAAAAUCUGAGACCACUCUCGAAUCAUUAGUAUGGGUGGUUUUAGUUUCCACCCAUUUGGAAACAUAAUCAACUAUCAAUAUUAUAUAAAGGAAUGCAAACGACAUGGGGAGAGGACCCAUAAAGUCGAUCCCCCAAACAUCAAAAAUUUCAAUAAAGAACAUGGGAGUUUGAGACAUCUAAUCUCUCUAUAAGAAAUGUUACCUACUUUUUGACGUCUUUUACAGGAUUUACAGAAUAUGUAGGCAUCUUUGAACAGUGAAGGCCAGUAGGACCCAUUCUCUAGCACCUUACAAGCCGUCCUCUUUGCUCCAAAGUGACCUCCACAAGCAAAAGAGUGACAAAAAGUUAGGAUUGAAUGAUAUUCAUUUUCACUUAUGUAUCUUCACAUUAUUUGAUCCACACAAUCCUUCUACAGGUACGGGUCAUCCCAUAUGUAAUAUUUGGCGUCACUCCUUAGCUUGCUCCUCUUCGCUUUAGGCCAACCUGCAGGUAAUUUGCCAGUUACUAGGUAAUUGACUAAAUUAGCAUACCAAGAUAAUUUAGAAUUUAGAGAAAAUAAUUGUUCAUCAGGGAAAGUAUCCCUCAAUGGCACAUUCUCGUCUUCAACUGGUAUGCGAAUCAAAUGGUCAGCUACCAAAUUCUCCGAUUCUAUUUUAUCCCUGAUUUCUAGGUCAAAUUCUUGUAAGAGCAAUAUCCAUUUUAUUAGCCUCAGUUUUGCGUCUUUUUUCAUCAUCAAGUAUCUCAGAGCUGCAUGAUCAAAAUAUACAAUGACUUUAGUUCCUAGCAAAUACGAUCUAAAUUUUUCUAAAGCAAAGGCAAUUGCUAAAAGCUCAUUCUCUGUGGUAGAGUAAUUCAGUUGAGCUCCAUUCAAAGCCCUUGAUGUAUAGUAGAUUGCAUGGGCUGCUUUUUCUACUUUCUGCCCCAACACUGUUCCUACUGUAUGGUCACUGGUAUCACACAUGAUCUCGAAUGGAAGAUUCCAAUCCGGAGGUUGAAUAAUGGGGGAUGAAGUCAAGAGUUCUUUCAAUUUGUCGAAUGUCUCCUUGCAAUCUUCAUUGAACUCAAAUGUCACAUCCUUUUGCAAUAGUCUGAAUAGAGGUGCUCCAAUUUUUGAGAAGUCUUUGAUGAACCUACGAUAGAAGCCGGCAUGUGCAAGAAAAGAGCGUACUUCCCGCACACUUGUGGGAUAAGGUAAAGCAGAAACAAUAUCUAUUUUAACAAUAAAAGGGGCAUUCUAAUCCAGGUUUUUUUUGAAGCUAUUGCAAUAUGUCACAUGGAUACCUGCCAAUGGAACCAUGAUCACCUUUCCUUCCGAGUGGUUGGUAUCGAACCGGGCACUGCCCCUGUUUGCCAUCUCUUCCCGGCAGAGAACUUUGUAUUGGUCCCAUCUACUUCUUCAAUCUAGUAAUAUCCAAGAGCUCAAGUGCUUUCGGCAUUUUAGUUUUUUAGCUUAAGUCACCUUGUCUGAAUGUGUACUAGAAAUCACUAAAUUCGUAUGCCUCAUGUUUGAUUAUCUGUAUUCGAAUAAAACUCCGUGGAGUAGUAGCGCUACUUUUGACAAUCAAAGUUUUAUAUGUUUCAAUUUCUUAGAGCAUCUCGAACACGUAUGUUACUAGAUUGCAGCCUACAAUUUUUUUCCCUAUUUUCUGCAUUAUCCCCUAAUGUACUAUUUAUUUUUCUUGGGGCGGAGGUUUGUUAGGAGAGUAUCAAUUCAAACAAUUUACUUAGAGGACUAAUUUUUAUGAACCUGGAUUAGAAUGUUAUUUUUAUUUGGUGAACAGGUGCUUAUCUCUUCCUAAUUAGUCACUUUAAGUAAGUCCUGGGAGGAUGUUGGAACAAUUGAUAACUCUUCGUUAUAAUUAUGAGUCACAAAAAAAAAAUUUCUAAUGAAAAUCUCGCUUGUUAAGAAUAGUAUAUUAAUUCUUGUCUUCUCAACCUAUCUUGCAAAUUCAACAUCAAAAGGGUUACUACAUGUCAUCCACAAAAAGACAAUGAUUAAGAAUAGAAAAAUAGUAAAAAUAACAAGCAUGUGAACCUUUUGGAAAUGAUAACAUUGUGGACGAUACAAAAAUGAAUAACACUUUUAGUGGGAUGAUAGAAGUAAAAAUUUAAUUUUGUGAUCGGCAUAGCUCUUAUUUUGAGUUAAAUAUACAUUGAUUCCACCAAUAAUGUAUCCUCUUAAAAGUAAACAGUUUAUUCUCACUAUGGUAAAAUGGCAAACAUCCGUGUAUGCAUUGAUUGAUAUGUAGACAAUUUUUGGGACUAAUACACAGCAGAGUUUUGAACUUCAAGCUGAGACAUCGACUCAAUCCAAUUUAGGGUCAGGAGUCAAGAGGUUAAAGUGAGUAAUGUGAGUAUGAAUCCUUAGUAUCAUGCUCAUACACGUGUGGUUAUGUGAGUAAUGAAUCCUUAGUGUCGUGAUUUUUUUUAAAAAAUUUUGGCAAGGAACAUGUUAAAAAAAUUUUAAAAAAAAAUUGGUCACUUCUCCUAAAUGUGCUCCAAAUUUAAAAUAUUAGGGACCAGAUUUACUUUGACUUAACCUUUGAAGACUAAAAUCGCUCUUGUACUAAAUUUUAGAGACCAAAAUUGCAUUUUCUUUUUCCUAUUUUGUGAGACAAGAUUUGGAGAGCUAGCUGGAAAACUUUGAUUUAUUAACUCUAUGAUUAUCCGUCUACUAGGGCUGCACUCAUUUUAUUAUGCAUAAUAAUGGCUUCUGGAUAUCGAUUUUUACAUUUCUUCUGACCUCUGAUUUGCCUCUUACGUGGUAUGCAUAUUUAAUUGACUUCAUAUUUCGUACCCCACAGAUAAUCAAAGAUAUAACUUGGUAAUUCGUACCGACAGAUGAUUCGCGAGUUCGUAGGGUGUUUCUAAAUGAUAGUUGCACCUCUUCAUCACAUGAUUCUGGUUGCUGAUCAGAAUCCAAUCUUCUUCCAGUAGCUUCGUUUGGUUCAGAUUGUGUCUUUCUUGUGCCUUUCAAUCUUUACAAUUCAAUAAUUGUUUCUUAGAUUAAUAAUCGUCUUUCUGACACCAUUUUGUUGAAAAAGUGGUACCAAGAAAGACAAACAGAUAAUACAGUAAACUAAAGCUCAAGAUAAAAUUUUCUUUACUCAAGUACCAAUUAAAAGAAACAUCCAAAUUUACUCUGUAGAUGUAUGUUGUCAAUAUAAAAAAAAAAACACUGUAUACUUUCAAAGAAAUGAAAAAAGAAAAACACACACACACGCACGUGUUACUGCCUUGCUGAGGCUUCAGAUCAAUAGUAAGGCUCCAAAAGACCUAGAUUUUGGAUAGAGUGCAAGAAGAUAUGGUACUCUAUUAUAUAUCUGAUAAUAACAACGGAAUUGAUAGGGUCUUAAUUUGGCCAGGUCACGUGAAACCACAAUGUUUUGAUUUUCAAGUACAUGUCUUGUGAGACUAUGAGCUGGUUCAGAUUGUAAUUUUUGGGAACUUUUACAGAAAAAUAUAAUCGUACCAACAAAAACAAAUUAAUCAAAGAUAUAACUGGUGAUUCAUGAGUGGAUAAAAGAAUUCAGUGUUUCCUAGUUGAUAGAGUUUUUCUUAUGUAGUAGCUGCACUUCUUGAGCGCAUGAUUGUGGUUGUUGAUCUCUUUGAUUUGGAUUCCAAUCUUAUUCAAAUAUUUUUUAUUCUUUCAGAUUAUGACUUUCUUGUGCAUUUCAAUCUUUGCAAUUUAAUAAUUAUUUUUUAGAUUGGAUUUUGAUUCUUUUAGAUUAUGUUUUUUUUGUGCAUUUCAAUCUUUGCAAUUUAAUAAUUGUUUUUAGAUUGCAUUUACAUGUUUAGUUCUGAAGAGGCCCCCUGAUCUCGAUUCAAGGCCUAACAAGUUGUAUUUCUACUCGAUUUCAAGUAUUCAGUAAUUUCAUAUUUUAUUACACCAUUGUUUCUUAGAUUGGAUUUUGAUUAUUUUAGAUUAUAUCUUUCUUCUGCAUUUCAAUCUUUGCAAUUUAAUAAUUGUUUCUUAGAUUGGAUUUACAUGUUUAGUUCUACAGAGGCCCCUUGACAAGUUGUAUUUCUACUCAAUUUCAUGUAUUUAGUAAUUUCAUAUUUUAUUACACCAUUGUUUCUUAGAUUGUAUUUUGAUUCUUUUAGAUUAUAUCUUUCUUGUGGAUUUCAAUCUUUGCAAUUUAAUAAUUAUUUCUUAGAUUGGAUUUACAUGUUUCGUUUUGGAGAAGCCCCUGAACUCGAUUGGAGGCCUGACAAGUUGUAUUCUACUCGAUUUCAGGCAAUUAGUAAUUUCAUAUUUUAUUACCCCAUUUUUCAACUCAAUCACAUCAUAUUUCAACCAUUGUUGCAAUUGUUACACUAUUUUCCAACUCAAUUACAUUAAAAGGCAAGCUUGUGAGACCCCAUCAACCGUUGAUCCUAUUAAUAUUACACACGCAGAUUAUAUUACAAUAAAAGAAAAAUUGCUGAAUUGGUCCCUUAAAUUUUUUGUAAAAACAUUUUUAGCCCAUCACAAUUAGAAUUAAUCAAAAUAGUCCAUCAAAUAUAAAAUGGAAAGCGCCCUUUUAGUCCGCGAGCUCAUUUUUUGAUUGGUUUUCUAGCCAAAAAGUGCGUGCCUUUCUUAGGUACCCACAAUUUAAAUAGUAAAAUGGGAACACAAGUUAUUUUCUUCCAAAAAACACAUGACAAUCAUAUGACCAUCUCCUGAAUUGGGAAUCCUAAUUAUUAUCCACCAAAUUCAUAAUCAAAGAAAGAGUAAACUAUAGGUGACCUUUACACUUUCUUGCUUGAUUAUGGAUCUGGUUAAAAUGAAAUAAGGUUCCUUUGUUAGAGGAGUGGUUAUGUGAUUGUCAUUUUUGUUUUCAAGAGAAACUAAUUGUGUUUCCAUUUUUGCCAUUGAUAUUGUGGGAACCAGAGAGAUGGUGCACUUUUUGGCUUAAAAAUUGAUUGAAAGUGAGUUUUGGGACUAAAGGGGCACAUUUUUUAUAACUAAUUUGAUGUUUCUAUAUGAAUUUACACUAAAUGUAUUAAAAAUUAUACAAACUGAUUUGAACUAGAUGGAAUUUAACUUGCUAUAUAAGACAAUUUAUUAUGCACGAUAAUGGUUUCUGGAUAUCGAUUCUUACAUUUCUUCCGAGCUUUGAUUUGCAUCUUAUGUGACUGAUACAUUGAAUUGACUUCAUAACUCGUACCGACAGAUAAUCAAUAAUGCAACUGGGUGAUUCAUGAGUUGAUAAAGAAUUCAGUGCUCUUAAGUGGUAGUUGUACCUUUGAUCACAUGAUUCUGGCUGUUGAUCUCUUCGAUUUGGACUCCAAUAUUUUUUCAAUAGUUUUGAUUAUUUCAGAUUAUGUCUUUCGUGUGCCUUUCAAUUUUUGCAAUUUAAUAAUUGUUUCUUAGAUUAAUAACUGUCUUUUUGAUGCCAUCGUGCUGAAAAGGAGGUACCAAUAAAGACAGACUUAAGAGUAAAUCAUAAUUGAGGACAAAAUUUUACUUCCUCAAGUACCAAUUCAAAUAAAAACAUUCAAAUUCACUUAGUAGAUGUAUGCUUUCAAACAAAAAAACUGUAUACCUUUAAAGCAAAAAAAAAAAAAAAACACGUGCAACUGCCUGGCUGAGGCUUUAGAUCAUUAGUAAAGCUCCGAAAGACCUAACUUAGAUCAGUGUGUUUGGAUUGUAGAUUAUAUGGAAUAAUUUUUUAGAAAAAAAUACUGUAAUACUUGUUUAGAUGUGAUAUAUGUGAGAUAAAAAGUUGAUUGAAAAAUAUGUCGAUGAUGCAAGUAAAUAAAAUUUGGCAAAUAAUUUACUAUCCAAACAAAUAUUAAUUUGAUGAUACCAAUGGAAUUUAUUGGGUCUUAAUUUAGCCAAGUCACAUUAAACCACUACAUUUUCAAUUUCAACUAUAUAUUUAGUGAGACUAAGGCCUUGUUUGAUAACCCGAUUUAGUACUUAAAUUUAAUGGAUUUAAAUCUCAAUAAAUUUAAACCAUUUGAUAAUGAAAAAUUGAACAUUUGAAUUAAUUAAAUGGCACUGAAUGUUUUAAGCAAAACUUGCUUCCAAAAUUAUGUGAUAAGUUAUUCACUUAUUGCUGAAUAUGAUAUGCAAUUAGAUUUAAUACUUAAUAAUUCAAUAACUUAAUGGAUUCAGACUUCAGUUUUAUCAAACGCAUCCUAAGAGUCGGUUUUGUUGAGUUUGUCUUUGUAUCCCAUAUUGAAAGUUUUACAAAGAAAUAUCUUCUCUUGGUAGUUAUAAAUAUAGUGGAUUUAAGUGAGUUUAAUUGUGUUAAGGACACCAGGCCAAGUGCCGUAUGCACCAGCCCAAAAGAGUUUUAGGGGCUUACGCCCGAGUCUGAGAGAAGUUUUGGUUAAACAUCAAACCAAAAGAGCAAGUUAUGAGUCUUUGGGCCAUUAAACAUUUUGUUCUAUUUAGACUCUUUUGUGUUUUUAGUGUUAGGUACCUUUUGGGCCUAGAAAUUAUUCCUAGGGUUUUAUGCUCUCUCGUUUGUACUCUAUUUUUGUUAUAGUAAAUCUGCUACUCCUUCGCCUGUGGACAUAGGUCUCUGUUUGAUUUAUUUGUUUUUGUUAUUGUAAUUAUUGAAUUGUUAAGAACCUUAUUAUUCUCGUUGGUCAAUUUUUUGGGACCAGUCCUAACAGAUAUACUGUAGUACUUUUUAAAAGAUGUAUAUUAUAAUUUUUUAGAGUUUUUAUAUAAAAAUAUAUUAUAAUACUUUUCUUAAAAUGUAAUUUAUAUAAAGUAAAAAUGUAAUUAGAAUAUAUAAUAAAAAAAUUCUCACGAAAAUUCACAAAAGUAUUCUGCAAAAAAUGCAAUCUAAGCAAGGCCCUAGAUUUAGUGAGCUAGCGUUGGAUGCGUCGACACUGGAACUCUAUGAUUGUCCGUCUACUUACUUUUAUAAUUAAGGUUUUCGGCUAAAAAUAAAAUAAUGUCUUAGUUACAACGUUGGUUUCUUGAGAUUGAUUCCGCAGCAACCAUAUAUUUCUUCUGAGCUCUAAGUUGGCUCGCAUGUGAUGGGUACUGUUUCCGCAUAGAGCAAUUUGUCAUGUGCAAUAAUGGUUUCUGGAUAUAGAUUCUUACAUUUCUUUUGAGUUUUGAUUUGCCUCUUACAUGAUGGACACACCCAAUUGACCUCAUAGUUCAUACCUGCAGAAAAUAAUCAAAGAUAUAAUUGGUGAUUCACGUGUGGAUAAAGAUUUGAGUGUUUUUCUAAUUAGGGUAAAAUACAAGGAAUCCCCUUAUGGUUUCGCGAAAAGACACCUAACCCCCUAUCGUUUAGAAACCUCCACAUAAACACCCUAAAUUUCAUAACUAAAGUGGAAAUUGACCUAUAACCGGAUGUGCGACCUAGUGAUGAUGGGUAUGUGAGGUUCUUUUGAAAAGAUCUUGAGUUUCAUUCCCAAACUGCCCUUCAUUUGCUAUAUUGAAGCGACAUAAAUACAAUGCCUGCUCUUCUCUACACUUUUGGCUAGCUUCUCAACCAUGUUUGGACAGAAUUUGCCUUCAUAUUCUAUUGCUGUCAAUCCCUGCUUCAUGUCUUCAUCAUUUUCCAUGUUAUCAAAUGUAAAACUUGGCUUUGCCAUGAAAUUAAAUUCAAAACGACCUUAUUUGCUGUAACCACACUCAUUGCAUAAAAAGGAAUCAAGAUUCUCAUAAUUAAUAUUUCGGCAUUGUCUACACUGGUAAGCAUUCUCAUGAUAGUUACUGCAAAUACCGUGCUUGUCUGUCACAGGUCAACUACAACGUGGACACUGCAAUGGCUAAAGAGAUAAAGCUUGAAGAUUUUCACAAAAAGAAUCCAACUCAAUCAUGAAAUUGCAAGCAGUAACUGGUAUAGGGAAAUCAACUUUUAGCUCUGUCUGAUUAAAACCAAGAUGACAGGUUUUUGCACGCUUCCACAGUGACCAGAUAGUAUCCAUCAAAUUCCACCAAACCACUUAAUGUGUUGUAUAUUCGAGAAUUCGGGUGAUUAGCCAACAGCUCAUUCUGUGAACGAAGUGUCUCAAACAUGCACUUUAUCACUUCAGGAGUCAAGCAUCUGUCUAUAAUUUCAAUCAUCACCAACUUAAAAAUUCUCAUUUAACGACUCAAUGGCAAAGCUGAUAAAGAUGAAGGCUAUGAUCAGUAGACGAGGACGUCGAGUGGCUCAUGAUGGAUGGGGAAGAAUCGCGUGUGAUGAGCAGCAACAACAGCAAUCGAUGGGCAACGGUGGAAUUUGAGAUCAUAGGGUUGCGAUCUUGCGUCCUUCCCUAGGACAAGAUGUGGGCACGUCAUGAUAGUAGGAACCCUUCCGAUGAUGACUCAUUGAAUUGAAAGUUACCACGUGCCCUGUUGACGCGGGUACACCAUGUCGAUCAGUCUGGUCCAAAAUCGAAAUAAGAGCCUUCCAGACAAGUUGGCUUGGGCACGUCAUGAUAGUAGGAACCUUUCUGAUGAGAAACUUGAGAAUGUGCACAUUACUACGUGCCCUGUUGACGCGGACACGUCAUGUCAGAAAGACGUCUACUAAUCAUCAAAAACAAAAAAUUAAACCAAAAAAUUAUGAAAAAUCUAAGAGAAAUUUAUUGAAACAAAUAAUAGAAUUUAACAAACAACUAAAAUAAAUGGAUUGCGUCCCAACAAGCUCCUUUCUUUAAUGUCUUUGACUAGACAUUGUCAUGUUUGUUCAGGGGGGAUAAAAUCUUGUGUUCAGUUAUUCAUCUUCUAUAUAAUCCUGAUAACUCUCGUAAAUAGAAUAAUCCUUGAGUACACGUGGUAUUUUCUUCCAUUGACUAGUAAAUGGCGCCAAAAAAAGUCAACAAUAAUCUUAAUUCUUCAUUCACUCCUCCAUCACACGCAUUUAUUGGUUCAAGAUAUUUUGCCAUCGCUACUCAAAAUCUUCUGGUAUAAUAAAGUUAAUCUUGCUAACAAGAAUUAAAGAAUAAGAAUCAGGAAAAUGUUGAUUAAGGAAUGAAGGAGAUGUCAUCGUAUUUGGAGAUUGUUCACUGGAUUCAUUCACUUGAACAUUUAGGGAUUGGAGUUUUAUUUCUUCAUUCUCAACUUCCUUUUCAACUGCAUCUGUAGAUCCUUCUCCUUGAAAAUCUUGCAGUUUCUCAUUACUUGUCAGGAUAGUUGCACUCUCAUCUUCCUUAAAGUCAAUAAUAGUUUGUGAGGGCAAUUCUUCACACAUUUGAGAAGCCAAUUGCGUCACUCUAGAUGCUAUCGGCACAAUUGAUUUCUUAUGUAACGAAUGUUCAUUUCUGUCUCCUGGUGAAAUUGAUAUGUUUUAGCAACUAGUGAUUUUAUUAUUUUUUCAAGAGACAUACCUGACGUAAGUGAUAGUUGUUACUGUUGAUAUUGAUGUUGAAAAUCGAUUGGCUCUGGUGCAUAAUUAAAGUUCGAUUUAUCCCAUCAUCUUUGAUCAUACCCGUUUGAAUAAGGGUCAUACCACGUUCGAGAUUGGGGUGAAAAAUCUCCAAAAUAUUGAUUGGACCAUUCAAGUAAUCUGAAAAUACGAGACACAUAGAGGUUGAAUGAUCUGUGGCAUAACAAAUUUCAUAGGUUUCAACAGCCAAUUGAUCAUUAUAAAAAAUACGAGCCUUAUUACCCCUUCUAGAAAUAAAAUCCAGUUUAUCACCAAAAUACGGAAUGUUAGUGGCCAUAAACUAAAAACAAAAGAGAAAAAUAAAAAAUAAAAACAAGAUGAAUUAAAAAAGAAACAAAUUAAUCAGGCACCAAUCCCUGGCAACGACGCCAAAAAUUGAUAGGUUGUCAAGCCUGUGCAAUAAUAAUUACCUACUCAAGAUAAAUACAAAUUUUAUAUAUAGUGGUGAGUAGGGUCGAAUCCACAGGGAUUGGAAAUCAUUUAUUUCUUUUAGAAACUAGAGAUGGGGGAUUUUUAUAAAAAUAACGAAUUAACUAAAUAAAAACAACUCAUGAAAAUAAACAAGAAUUAAUCAAUAAGAGAUACGACUCUAGCUAAAGGUGAAACUUUUCAGACACGGUCCAUUCAACUGAUCAUCGAUACAGAGAUAAUUCAACUACUCAUUAAUAGAUUGGUUAUAGUUGCCAUACAUGUGAUAAACAACCAACCUUUCCUUACUUUUCGAUAGUCAAGGUACGACCAUUAGCUAUUUCCUUAAUUAAGAAAUAACCUUAGGUAUGACCGUAGGAUUUAAUUCCUCGAUUAUAUUAAGAAUUAGAAAACCCCAACCCUAACCAACAACACGCUACAAGAGUUUGUUUAAAUUAGAUCAUACGUUUUUCUAACAUGGGACCAAUCAUGCUAGUCGCUACUGGUAUUAACCAAUCAAACAAUUACGGAUUUAAUCGAUAAAUUUGGCGGUAGAUUAUUAGGUUAAUUCGAAUAUCGAGCUCUUGACAUUCAAAUAACAAAACAAUCAUAAGAAGUUAAACCAGAAAACGUAUAAAUACCAAUGAAUAAAAGAAAUAAAUAAAAUUAAUUCGAUCUCACCGAUGUUUGGAAUCGAAUCUUCAAAUUGACCUUCGACUAGAAAAGAAAAUUAGUUACUCUCCGUUGAGAGUAACUCACGCAAUUCCAUUGAAGGAAAUUGCAUCAACGUUUGACAAUAGAAAAAAAAAAGAACUAAGAAGAAAAAGAAAAUUCAGUGGCUAUCGUCCUUUUAUAACAAAAAAAAUAAGGAAACGACUAAAGAAAAAUGCUACUAACUAGACUCCUACUACUACUAAACUACUACUACCUAAAUGAAACCAAAUUCCAAUUGGUCCCAAAAUAGUCACGGUAAUUGUUGGCUCCUUCGAGUAUUAAUCACACAGGCCCUGGCCGUCCUUUCCUUUUUCAAAUUUUUAGCUUUUUGAAACCAAAUAAACUUCCUCCUCGAAUAAGGGAACCCUUCAGAGAUAAUGUCAAUCGUUUCCUACAUAAAAAUAUCUAAGAAAAAUGGUAAUUUCCUAAUCUUCACUUGACAUCCCAUGUAGAUUCCUUCUUGGUUUUGAAAACUCGUGCCUGAUGAUCAAUUUCACAAAAAUUAUCCCUUUUAAACACUUUUCGCUCCAACACCCUAUAAUUGACAUGAAACACCAAAUAUAAGUAAAAUCCAACACUCAAAAUAAUAUUUGGCAAGAGUAAAGGGGAAAUCAAUCAUAAAUUUAAUAACAAAUUGCAACCUAUAACAGAUCGUGAGCGAAUAUAGGGUAUUAAGGGUCGAAUCCAUAGGAAAAAUUUUCAAUUACCGAUAUUUUUCAAAUUUCUUUAUUAUUUAGACUAUCACAGGUACAAGAAAUUAAACCUACACUAUAAAAAUAACAAAAAUACAAUAAAAAACUCCUAAAGGCAUGUAAUUCCUUACUACUCUUGCAAAUGACAUUACCGGUUAAGUGAAUACUAUUAUUUUGGCUAGUUAUGGCAUAAUUUCCUAAUUAUGUGAAAUCUACUCUCGUAGUGAAUCAGCUAUACUUGUAAUUAAGCCAUACCUACUCUCGUGGUUAUGAAAUUAAAUACAAGCUCAUUUCUUCUAUGAAAUUACAUGAAACAAGUCGCUAAAGCCACAAAAGUGCUCCUCUACACUCGUGAUUGAACUCUCUAGAUUUAUCACUUCCUUGAACUAGUGUUAAAUUUCAAUUCUCAUUGCAAACUUAACACCUUAAGAUUAUCACAAUUAUUGGCCGGUUAAUCAUGAUUAGAAAAGAAAAAGUGAUAAAUAACUUGAUCAAAAUAAUAUCAUCAAAUAACCAAAUAAAUAUCACAAACAAGAUAUAGAAAGUUCAUCCAUACUCUAGGUUUAAACUUUAACUACACAUGUUAAAAACACAAAUCCAAACUUGUAUCAUAGUUAAACGUGAAAUCAAAUACAAGAGAGAAAGUAGUAGAAGAGAUAUCACCCUUGUCACAUGAGAUCAAUCUCUCCAUCUUUACUCCUAAAUUUUCAUCCAAAUCUAACUAUAAAUAUAAGAAGGAAAAACUACACUAACUAUACUAUACUACUCUAACUAAUGAAUUAAGAAAAUUUUAGUGAAGACUACAUUUUUGUGGAGUUUCUCUAACCUCCCAAAAUUGUCAAAAUGGUUGUUGGCAUAUCAAACCAGUAAAAAUAAAAAUUUCUACUAUAAUGAUAUGAAUUCGAGUGUAGCGGUAAGUAGGGUCGAUCCACAGGGACUGGGUGAUUUAUUUCUUUGUGAAGACAAUAAAUAAAAAGGGAGAUUAUGAGAAAUUAACUAAAUACCUCAUUUGAAUAAAAAUAAAAACAGUGGCACAAAAUUAAAUAAAACUAAACCAAUAAAAGGCAAUACUCUAGUCGAAGGUCUAAUCUUUACUUUGGUUCAUUUAAUUGAUCAUCGAUGCAAAGGUGAAAUCACUUAUUCAUAAAUAAACUGGUUAUGGUUGUCAACAAGUUCUGACAACGUGCCUCUCCUUACUGUUUCGAUAACCACAAUAGGUUCUGUGACUAUUUCUCUUGCCAAUUAAGCAACCCUAAACAAACUCUUAGGAUUUAACCUAUUGACAGCAUUAAUAAUUAUAGAAGGACAUGGCAAGUGCAAUCCCAUGAGUUCCAUCUUUCACCUUGGUCAUAUCGCGUGCCCACGUCUUAUAGAAUGUAGUCUUCUGAAAAUUUCAUAUUUAACGGACCUUUUAUUCUCUUUUUAGAACAAAUUCCUAGAAACAACACCAAAAAUCAAAUAUGAGUAAAAUCUAUUAAUUAACACCAUAUUUUAGCACAAUAAGGGGAAAUUAUUUACAAAUUAUGUGCACAAUUAGUCAUCUAACAAUGGUCUCCAAAGACUCCAAAUGAGCUGUUUCUAGUUGUCAUUUUUGACUCUUGAAGUUUCAUGAGUUGUUUCUUCAACUUUUCAUACUCUUCUUGAUCAAAUACAUCCAAAAUUAUUAGCUGGAAGUGAGCUGAAAAAGUUGUGUGAAAGUACGGCAAGUUGAUGAGCAAGUUACAGAAAAUAGAAGAGAAUAUGUGAUCUCAGGAAUGCGCGACUUACGUUUGGAUAAGUUCAAUCAAGCUGCGUAAUCAUGAUGAUCCACCAGAAUCUUGAAGGAUGUAAAACAGUUGGGAUAGGUUCAAUCAAGCUGCGUAAUCAUAAUGAUCCACCAGAAUCUUGAUCGAUGUUCGGUACAUGCCGAAUUCGAAGAAGAAUCUCAUUUCUUUGAGAGUCUUGGAGUCAAAAGGCCUGAUUGUGAUGAUGCGAGAUGGAAUUCUUAAAGUAAUUUCGGGAAGACUUGUGAUAUUGAAAAGUGUGAGGAAGAAUAAUCUGUAUUGCUACCAAAGUAAUACAGUUGUUGGAACAGCAGCAGCAGCAAUGUCUUCCAGUAGUAAGAAGGAUGCGGAGGCAACAAAGUUGUAACACAAGCAGUUGGGACAUGCUGGUGAAAAAUUCUUGCAAAAUCUUGUCAAACAAGGAUUGUUGAAAGGUACAAAAUCUUGUAAAUUAGAUUUUUAUGAGUAUUGUGUUAUGGGAAAAUAGAGAAGAGUGAAAUUUGGCACUAGCAUCCAUAAUACCAAGGGUAUUUUGGAUUAUGCGCAUUCAGAUGUGUGGGGACCUACCAAGAUUCCAUCUUUUGGAGGCAGGUACUAUUUUGUCACUUUUGUUGAUAAUUUUUUCAGAAGAAUUUGGAUGUUUACUACGAAGAAAAAUAAUGAUGUGUUAGGGAUUUUCCUUAAAUGGAAAGCUCAGGUCGAAAAUCAGACGGAAAUAAAAAUCAAGGUUCUCCAAACAGACAACAGUGGAGAAUAUAAGAGUGAUCCCUUCCAAGAGAUAUGCCAAAAGUGUGGUAUAGUUUGACACUUCACAGUUAAAAGAACACCACAGUAGAAUGGGGUGUCAGAACGUAUGAACAAGACACUAAUGAAAAAAUUUUGUUGCAUGCUGUCUAAUGCUAGGUUAGGCAAACAGUUUUGAGCUGAGAUUGUGACAUACGCUCAACAUCUAAUCAAUCGCUUGCCAUCAUCUGCAAUAGGUGACAAAACUCCGUUAGAGGUAUGGUCUAGAAAAUCUACAAUAGACUAUGAUUCUUUGCAUAUCUUUAGUUCUACUGCAUAUUAUUAUGUAAAUGAAUCAAAGUUGGAUCCACAUGCAAAGAAGUCUCUCUUUAUGGAUUUUAAUACUGGAGUUAAGGGAUAUCGUUUGUGGUGUCUAGAAGUAAAGAAAACCAUUAUCAGUAGGGAUGUUAAUUUUGAUAAAUCUGCCACGUUGAAUAAGGUAGCACAAGAUAGGACCAGUGGUACUCCGCAAUAGGUGGAGUGUACGCCGAAACAAAUGGAGUUUGAGCAGAUAAUGGUGAGCCCAGCAAACAUCACCAUAAUGGCAGAAGAGGAGCCAGAUGAGGAAGAGGUUUCAACCCAAAAACCUCAACAGCAGCAAGAGUCAAUUGCCGUCAAUAGGCCAAGAUGAGAAAUUCAAAAACCUACUCGUUUUGCUGAUAUGGUAGCCUAUGCAUUUCCAGUUGUUGAUGUUUCAUUCACAUUUUCUGAAGCAGUUCGAAGUACAGAGAAUGGUAGAUGGAAAGAUACUACGGAAGAGGAGAUGCAAUCUCUUCAGAAGAACAAGACAUGAAAGUUGACACAACUACCGAAGGGCAAGAAGGCAAUUGGAUGCAAAUUGAUAUUUGCAAAGAAAGAAAGAUUUUCUGACAAGAAUGAUGUUCGCUACAAGGCAAAAUUGGUGGUUAAAGGCUACGUUCAAAAGGAGGGAGUUGAUUAUAAUGAAGUAUUUUCUCCAGUUGUUAAACAUUCCUCUAUUAGAAUCUGCUGGCCUUGGUAGCAUAGUUGAAUUUGGAAUUAGCUCAACUCGAUGUGAAGACCACGUUCCUUCACGGUGACUUGAAGAAAGAAAUCUAUAUGUCUCAGUCAGAUGAAUUCAAAGUUGCUGGUAAAAAGAAUUAGGUUCGUAAGUUGAGCAAAUCAUUGUACGGAUUAAAACAAUCACCGAGGCAAUAGUACAAAUGAUUUGACCAGUUCAUGAUGGGCCAAAAGUACACAAGAAACAAAUACGAUCAAUAUGUCUAUUUGCGCAAGUUACGAGAUGAGUCCUACAUCUACUUUCUCUUGCAUGUUGAUGAUAUGUUGAUAGCAUCAAAGAGCCAAGUUGAAAUUGACAAAUUGAAAGCUCAGUUGAGUAAAGAGUUUGAGAUGAAGGAUUUAGGAGAAGCCAAAAAGAUUCUUGGUAUGGAGAUAAGUAUGCAUAGAAUGAGAUGCAAACUUUAUCUCACACAGAAGCAGUAUUUGGAGAAGGUACUACAACGGUUUGGUAUAAAUGGAGAUUCAAAACCUGUAAGCACUCCGCUUGCUCCUCAUUUGAAACUUAGUAGUCUAUUAUCUCCAGAGACGGAUGAAGAGCGAGCAUACAUGGUGAAAGUCACGUAUCCUAAUGUAGUUGAUAGCUUGAUGUACGCAAUGGUGUGUACGAGACCCGACAUUUCACAAGCAAUUAGUGUGGUAAGCAGGUUCAUGCAUGAUCUGGGCAAGGUUCAUUGGCAGGCUGUGAAAUGGAUUUUACGGUAUAUCCAAGAUACUGUAGAUAUUGGAUUAGUAUUUGAGUAGGAUGAAUCACUUGGUCAAUGUGUAGUUGGAUAUUGUGAUUCUGACGAUGCAGGUGACUAGGAUAAACGACGCUCUACAACUAGUUACUUGUUCACACUUGCCAAGGCGCCAGUUAGUUGGAAAUCUACUUUACAGUCAACGGUGGCUUUAUCUACAACAGAGGCAGAGUAUAUGGUGAUUACCGAAACUGUGAAGGAGGCAAUUUGGCUUCAAGGGUUGCUUGAAGACUUAGGAGUUGGUCAAAAACACAUUGACGUAUUUUGUGACAAUCAGAGUGCUAAAUGAAGAAUCAGGUCUUGCACGCAAGAACGAAACACAUUGAUGUUUACUAUCAUUUCGUGCGGAAAAUUCUCGAAGAAGAGGAGAUUUUUCAUCAAAAGAUUCGGACUACGGAGAAUCCUGCAGAUAUGCUGACCAAGGUGGUUACAAGAUCCAAGUUUGAAAAUUGUUUAGACUUGGUCAACAUCCUGCAUAUUUAAAUUGGCGCCUGAGGGCGCAAAUUUGAAAGUACCGCAAGGAUCAUUUGUUAUUUUGUUUGAGUGAGAAGGUUUGUAUUUGUGGUAGGACUAGAAAUAUGUCAAGGUAGAGAUUUGUUGACUUUUUUGGCAUAAUUUUCUGUCCCACAUCAAUGGGAUAGGUCUUGGGGAGAGUGUUUGUGAGUUAUAAAUUAACACUCUCCCCUCCCAAUUGGGAUACACAAAAACUUUUGUAUUCUUUCUGUUGAUCUUGAUCCCUAUCUUUUGAUAUUUACAAAACAAAUGGAUGAUACUAAUAUUUCUUCAAGAUAUACUUUCAGUUUUGAAGUUGUUUGAUUCCAUGAACAAGUGCAAUUGAAAGGCAAAGUUUGCUGAAACUGUCGGACGUUCAAGAAGUCAGGAUCGGACGUCCGAAAGGAUGAAGAACAUCAAGAAGGAAACUCUGUCGGACGCUCGUGAGGAAGCAUCGGACGUCCGGAAGGAUCGGACGCACGCCUCGGACGCACAUCAAUCGCAUCGGACGUCCGAGAAAUUUCGCAAAGAUUUGAUGACUCUCUGACGACGUUCGGACGCAGGGUUCGGACGUCCGACAGGUGGUUCGGACGUCCGACAGUCCAACGGCUAGUUUUGACAGCAUUUAAUAUUUGACCGUUGGAGAGACUUUUGGAGCCAUUUCUCACCUUCUAUAAACACCCCAAAGCACAAGAAGACAGAAGACUUUUGCCAACACAAAAUACAAGCUUACAAGUGAGAUUUUUGAGUAGAAAGAUUCUUUGUUGGUUGUAUAAGGGGUUGGGAAAGUUGGGUUGUGAGGUUGCUCAAGUGAAGGUUACUCUCUAGGAGGAGUAAAACCUUGGUGAAGGUGAACCUAUCACUCGGAGUGGUAAAACCUUGGUGAAGGUUGCCUCAUUUGUAUAAAAUAGUUCUUAAUUGGGUGAGUGAUCUUUCAAGUGUAGGUUGUUGAGGGUUAAUUAGAAUAGUUGUAAAACUCCUUGGCUCAACAAAAGAGUGUUUGGGGUGAGGAAGGAGUGAGCCUUCACUUAUACAUCUUGGUUAGCAUCGCCAUCAAUUGAAGAGGCUAUUGGUUUGAUAUUUGGUUUGCAUUUCUUAUCUUUUCUCUUUAAUUAAGUUUUCUUUAUUGUGCUUAAAUUUGAUUUAUCUUUGUGCAUCAUUGUGAAUUUGUUUGUACUCAUUGGGUUGCACCGGGACCUUACAAUUGGUACCAGAGCUUGGUCUCCUAGAGAUUAAGUUUAACCGCUUAGAGUAAAGAUCAUGGCAAUCAUAAAAGUUUCCUUUUUAGAAGGGCAAUCUAUUGAUAGACCACCUAUGUUUAAUGGUUCUCAUUUUAGCAUGUGGAAACAAAGAAUGAUGAUUUUCUUACAAUCCAUUUAUAUUGAAUUAUGGUAUGUGGUAGAAGAUGGUCCUUAUGAAGAUAGAAUAGUUGACUCUACCACUAAUUUGAGUAGAUUAAAGACUAGACAAGAAUUGAAUGAAAAAGACAAGAGAUACCUUUCCUUGAAUGCCAAGGCCAUGUAUAUAUUGUACAAUGCAUUAGAUGUAAAUGAAUCUAGUAGAAUUAAAGGUUGUAAAUCAGCUAAAUAUAUUUGGGAUAAAUUGUGUGUAUUUCAUGAAGGUAACCAAGAUAUUAAAGAACAAAAGAAAUCUUUGCUUGUUUCUCAAUAUGAAUUUUUUAAAAUGCAUCCUCUUGAAAAUGUUGAUAAGAUGUGUAGUAGAUUUUGUGACAUUAUUCAAGAUCUUAAAUUACUUGGAAAAGAAUAUUCUUUGGGUGAGAAAAAUAGAAAGAUUUUGAAUGACUUGCCAAAAGAAUGGGAAAACAAAAUAAAUGCUAUAGAAGAGGCAAAGGAUUUAAAUUCUAUGUCCAUUGAAUCUCUUGUGAAUUCCCUAACCUCUUAUGAAUUAAAGCUGAAAUUCAAAGUGCAAGAGGAAGAAAAUGCAAGAAUAUAUAAGAGAGGCAUAGCUUUUAAAGCAUCUCAAGUGGGGGAUAACCCAUCCUUCAUGGGUAAUGAAAUCAUGGAAGUGGACAAUGAUAUAACUCCUCACAUCAAAAGUUUCAAGAAGAUCUUCAACAAGAGAUGUUCAAGAGGAGAUUGCAAAAUUACAUGGGAUGAAUGCAAUUCAAAAAGAGAAAAAGAAGAGUUGGCCCAAAUGGCACUAAUGGCCGUUGGAGAAGAUGAGGUAAGUUCUUAUCACUCUUCUAGUGAUGAAGAUAAUGAAGAUAAUGAUGUGCAAAUUCUUAUGAUUAAAAUGCAUAAAAGUUUGAAAGAAUCUUAUGCUAGAAACAAGGAGUUAAAACAGAAAAUUAGUUUUUUGCUUCGAGAUAAUGCAAAUCUUUUUCAACAAAAUAAAACGUUGAAAGCUGAAAAUGAUUAUUUCAAGAAGAGUGAGACUGCUUUACAUUUUGAACUUGAUAGAAAAACAAAACUUUGUGAUUUGUUCAAAAAGGAACAAGGUGAUUUGAAAAGAAGAAUGGAUGGUCUAAAUGAAUUGCUUAAACACAAGAAACAAGUCUGUUUUCAAAAGAAUAGGUUGAAUUCUAAUUCCAACGAAUUUGCUAUCCAUAGGAGAAGACAAGUAAGAUUUAUUAAACCUGUUCAUAUAGAUAACUCUUUGGUUAUGUGUAAUUUUUGUUGUCAAAAAGGUCACAUGAAAAGUGAUUGUUAUGUGAGAAAGAAUAUGAGAAGAGGCAUGAAAUGCAUGUGGAUAGUUAAACAUGAUGCUAACUUUAACAAAUAGGAGAUUUUGUUAAUCAUUGCAGUGAUUCUUGUUCACAAUUUUUUUUGAUAUUUCUGAUACUUUGAUCUGAGUUUUCGCUGAUAUUUUGAAUACUACUGAAUUUGUAUGAUGACAAAAAGGGAGAGAAAUGGAUACUAUGUGUUAGGGGGAGUUAUUCUGAAAUUAUAAGUUUGGUUGCAAUGAGUGAGGGGGAGUCUAUGCUCAUAUGCUCAAUCUUUUUCCUUCCUUCCAUCCAUUGUUUUGUCAUCAUCAAAAAGGGGGAGAAUAUUGAUCUUGAUCCCUAUCUUUUGAUAUUUACAAAACAAAUGGAUGAUACUAAUAUUUCUUCAAGAUAUACUUUCAGUUUUGAAGUUGUUUGAUUCCAUGAACAAGUGCAAUUGAAAGGCAAAGUUUGCUGAAGCUAUCGGACGUUCAAGAAGUCAGGAUCGGACGUCCGAAAGGAUGAAGAACAUCAAGAAGGAAACUCUGUCGGACGCUCGUGAGGAAGCAUCGGACGUCCGGAAGGAUCGGACGCACGCCUCGAACGCACAUCAAUCGCAUCGGACGUCCGAGAAAUUUCGCAAAGAUUUGAUGACUCUCUGACGACGUUCGGACGCAGGGUUCGGACGUCCGACAGGUGGUUUGGACGCAGGGUUCGGACGUCCGACAGGUGGUUUGGACGCAGGGUUCGGACGUCCGACAGGUGGUUCGGACGUCCGACAGGCCAACGGCUAGUUUUGACAGCAUUUAAUAUUUGACCGUUGGAGAGUCUUUUGGAGCCAUUUCUCACCUUCUAUAAACACCCCAAAGCACAAGAAGACAGAAGACUUUUGCCAACACAAAAUACAAGCUUACAAGUGAGAUUUUUGAGUAGAAAGAUUCUUUGUUGGUUGUAUAAGGGGUUGGAAAAGUUGGGUUGUGAGGUUGCUCAAGUGAAGGUUACUCUCUAGGAGGAGUAAAACCUUGGUGAAGGUGAACCUAUCACUCGGAGUGGUAAAACCUUGGUGAAGGUUGCCUCAUUUGUAUAAAAUAGUUCUUAAUUGGGUGAGUGGUCUUUCAAGUGUAGGUUGUUGAGGGUUAACUAGAAUAGUUGUAAAACUCCUUGGCUCAACCAAAGAGUGUUUGGGGUGAGGAAGGAGUGAGCCUUCACUUGUACAUCUUGGUUAGCAUCGCCAUCAAUUGAAGAGGCUAUUGGUUUGAUAUUUGGUUUGCAUUUCUUAUCUUUUCUCUUUAAUUAAGUUUUCUUUAUUGUGCUUAAAUUUGAUAUAUUUUUGUGCAUCAUUGUGAAUUUGUUUGUACUCGUUGGGUUGCACCGGGACCUUACACUUUCUUCUUCCAAAUUAAUAAGAGCAGGUUGUUUAAGCAAUGUUCGGAGAUUAGACACAUUUGGCCGAACUCCAUUAUCAAUUUCGAGGGUGUUCUUUUCUGAUCUCUUUUAUUACACAUUUAUUUGGUAGUUGUAAUUCUUGAAUGGAAAAUUAACCGGUUUCCGCAACAGAGCAAUUAACGGAUUUAAGUGUGUCUAACAAGCAAAGAAUUAUCUCUUAUGAAUUCAAAUAGAGUACUGAUGUUUGAGAAAUCUUACCAUGGCAAUUGAGAAGAAUGCAAUGAGAGCAACAGAUGAACGCAUCCUGUCUUUGAAGUUUGAAUAGCUCAAAAUGAAACUUUGAUGGUAUAAAAACUCUUAGGGCUAAGGCUAUUUAUACAGAGGAUAGCAAAGUGAAGCUAGUAAGACAAUAGCAUGGAUCACGUGGAUGGUUGGUUCGAUUUCAGAAGUUGCUGCCUUGUACACCUGAUAAGUGACUAAUUUACGUAAUAAUUGUAUGACAUUUUAUAUUAUUUUUAGUCACUUUGGGUAUAUUAUUAGAAGAAAAUGAAUCAUUUUGGCUAUAAUUGGUGAAAAAUGCUUUUAAGUGGUUAAAUGAGAUUUUUAUCAUUUUUUACUUGGAUUUUGUGUAUUUUGACAGUUUUGACACAUUUUCGUAUUUUAGCUAUAACUUGAGUUACAGUGAUCGGACUGAGAUGAUUAUUAAACCAAUUUGAAGAUAAGAGAUAGAUCUACAACUUUGGUGAAGACAUCUAAAUCCAGUUUGAAGGUUUUUCAGGUCAAAAAGCCGAAUUACAGUAGCUAAUUUCCAUUUGUCGAAGCUGAAAUAGGGCAGUGAGCAGUCAAGGGGUUUUUUAUUAUUUCUCAGCUUACACAGAUCCAAAUGAGGUGAUUCUUGAUACAUUGGAAAGCUAACUCAAAGAGAUACAAUUUUUAUGUUUCGGUCAAGAGUUAAAUCAGCUUCUAUCAUCAAGAAAAGUUUAGUUGAAAUUGAGGCAAAAUCGGAGCAGCAGUGAAUGUUGAACCGAAAGUGCACAAAAUGUCAUUGUAGAAAUCCGGCCGGAACUUGGCCGGAUUUAUAGCUGGAUUUCUGGCCGGAUUGUGGUCAGAGAAGACUGCUCUUUACGCAAAAAACUCAAUUUCACCUCUACUAAGUCACAUGCAAUGCUAGACAUGUGAGAAACAUCACCAGCUAUAAAAGGAAGGUGGAGGCCUCAUUUCUUGACCACCUUUCAUCUUUGUAUAGCCAAGAUUUGCAAGAUUGAAGGGAGAAUAGAGAGACAUACGGGAGAGAACUUGGACUGCAAAAAUGCAGCUCUUCCAUUUUUCUUAGUGUAGGACUAGACAUACGGGAGAGAACUUGGACUGCAAAAAUGCAGCUCUUCCAUUUUUCUUAGUGUAGGAUAGUAGUUUAGACAGUUCAUCCAAUCUUGUUUAUUAGCUAGGCAAAGAUGAAGAUGGAGGAUAAAGAAGGCAAAGAGAUGAACUCAUGUGACAAGGGUUACAUUCCUUCCAAACUCUUUAUCUUUUGUACUUGAUUUAAAGUUUAGUUAAUAUACAAGUUCUAGAUUUUAUGUUUAAUAUGUAUCUUUAAAGUUUACGUCUUGGGUUUGGUUGAACUUUCUAUGAUUGUUAGUGUUUAUUAUUUGGUUAUUUGAUUGCUAUGAUUUGAGCAAGUUAUUUAGCACUUUGGCUCUUUAAAUCAUGAUUAAUCUGGUACCAUUAAUUGUGAUUAUCUAAGGUGUUGUUUCUGUAAUGAAAAUUGAGAUUUAACACUGGUUCAAGAAGUGCUAAACAUAGGGAGUACACUCACGAGAGUAGAGGUGCACCUAUGUGAUUUUAGUGAUUCAUUUCAUGUAAUUUCAUUGAAGAAAUGAACUUCUAACUAAUUUCAUAACCAUGAGAAUAGGUAUGGAUUAGUUAUGAGUAUAAUUGAUUCACUACGAAAGUAGGUUUCAUAUGCAUGAGGAAAUUACACCAUAACUAACCUAGAUAGUAGUAUUCAAUGAUCCAAAUAUAGCACUUGCAUGAGUAGUUAGGGAUACCACAACCUAAGGAGCUUUCAUUUGUUAUUUUCUUGCACAAGUUCUGUAGGUUUCAUUUCUUAUAAUACAUUGAUAGUCUAAAUAAUAGAGAAACUUUAGCAGUACCGGUAAUUGCAAUCUUCCUUGUGGGAUCGACCCUUAAUACCCUAUACUCGCUCACGAUUCGUAUACUUGUGAUAAAUCGCGUGUGGGGUAUUUAGGAGUUUAUAAAUGUAAAACUUGAUUAGGAUGAGGUUAAUGUUAUAUGUAUACCCUACGCACGUCAACACCAAUCCACAAAUUACCAAAAGUUUUGCAUUUUUACUGAAAGGCCAAAAUUUCCUAAAAUCAUCCGUCGAUUUCAAAUAACAGUACAUUGCUAGUGUUUUAAAGACUCAAUGUAGUUCAUAGAGACAUUCACAAUGUAAUGAUGAAUGAAAACUUUUCAACCCUCCCAUUUUGCACUUCCGUCUCAUAGAAACUAUUCCAUGGAAAAUUUAAAAAAAAAAGACUAAAAAAUGACUAAAAAAAGACAUAACUGAGUGAAUAUUUUGAAAAUUUACAAGUUAUUAUUUUGGUAUAAAUGUGUAGCCCGAUUUUAUUCAAUUGAAUUAACAGAAGAAUCCUAAUAGAGAGGGUUUUAUCAUGACCAACAUUCAAUUUUCGUAUAGGUUCUCUAAAGUGUUUACAAAUCGAUUUCAUUUUUGCUUGCUGGCUCAUGAAUUUUACAGUAAUGGAUAUUGAUUAAUCUGAAUAUUUUCUUUGAGAACUUUUUUGAAAUUCUCAAAACAAAAAUUCCCUUUCACGUAACAAAAACAUAACCAAUUCACUGCAAUUUGAGAAAAGAUGCAAGAUUGAUUUGGACAGAAUAUAACUGUAACAAUAUGAACUUAAAUUCCUUCAUUUCAUUUUUCUUUCUUUUUCUUUUCCCAUGAAAUUUCAUGAUUUGAUUUUUCCUUCUUUUUUCUUUUCCCAUAUAAAAUUUGAUUGGAAAAGGUUUGGCUUUUUUUCAAAACCUCCAAAUUACGAUAAAUAUGGUACGUUAAAUUGUGCUUAACCAAGGUUAAGAUGCUAGUUAUAAGCAAAAGAAAUCCUGCACAUUGAAUUCACAUUGAACACAUGUCAAAAUGGUAAUGCUAUAUCGAGGAGAACUAGAGAAAAUAAGUAACGAAAAGGAGCAGGAUCCGCUUGACAAUGACUCGUAUCCUAUCCUAUCAAAUCUUUCCUGUCCAAGAUUCAAAAAAAUUGAUUUAGGAUUUGAUAAGGUCUUGAAAUUUAUUUGGUGGCGUGUAAAUUAGUAUGUUCUGUUUUUUAAGUACACAAUUUGUGAGACAAGAUUUGGGGACAGGCAGGCUUGUAUCUUUCAUAAGAGAAGAUUGUCAAAUUGCUAUAACUAUAUCGAUAUAUCCUUUAUGCAUUAAAAACGUAUACACUCGCGGGUCUAGAUGCACACCAUCUUUAUAAAUUUUGAUAUUCAAGUUCAAAUUUAAAUGAUGUGGUUAUGUCCAACCCCAUCAACAUAUAUACUCACAGUGUAAGAAAGAUUAAGAUUUUGUCUAGUUGAUUCCACAAGCUUAACUAGAGUAAUACAACUAGUAUUGCAACCCGUGCUAUGUAGGAAUUUAUAUUUAAUAUAAUAAUAAUAGGAAAUGAAUUAUUUAUAUUAGUUACAUGAAAAAGGUUAAAAAAAUUAAAAGAGUGCUAUUUUAGUAUCUAAUUUAUGUUGUAUUUAUGUAUCUUAUCUAAAACCUUAACGUACAUUAAAAAAUAUGAACAAAUGUCACAAAAAUAUCUAAAGAAAUAUUAAAAGUACACCAAGCACAAAUUAUUACCCCUUCCUUUGAUGUUCUCUUUUUUGGCACCAUUUUCCGUUAACAUUCCUCUACUCUUCGUUACUCUAUUCCUCACCUAACCCAAACUUUCCACAUCCCUCCAAAUCUUCUCUUUCCAACAAACUCUACCUUUUGUUCACUCUACCCUACUUCUAUCAAAUUAUGCAAUCCCUUAUCCAAUUUCGCAACCUAUUUACCACCUAUCAUGUUACUCUUCAUAUAUAGUUGUAAAUAAUGACCAAUUUUUCAACUUGCUAUUCAACAAAUGAGUAUGGGUAGGCAAUUUUAUUAACUUUAAAUGGGUAACUGAUAAGUCGCACUUUUGUCGUCUAUUUUAUAAUUAAUUCCCUCCUAUUAUCUUACCGGAUGUGCAUUAAUUGGCGGAUUCUACUCACUUUUGGGAAUUUGUAUUGAUCGUAGGGAAUUGGAACAAAAUGUGGUUAAAAGGUGCAAAUUCUCCACUACAAUUGCUAUUUGGCAUAGGCGCGUCAAGUCAGAUCUUAACGUGUCCAGAAAAUGCGGGAUAGGCGCGAGACACCAAUUGCCAAUUGGAAGUACAACGUGGGACCACAAAUAUUCCAUUAGCUGAUUGUUAGAUUUGAAUUGGAAAAGGUAGUCUAGCAAAAAUAGGAAACGAGCCAAUUAGGAGAUUUCCUACUUUUUUGGCUUCAGUUGAAUAGGAGAUAGAAGUCAAUUGAGAUUAGGACUCUCUUUUCCUAUUACUCAUUGGAGUAGCCGUAUAGGAGUAGACAAUUAGGUAGGAAAUAGAUAGGAAUUGGAGAAAAGUAGCAGACAUUCUUGACUACUUUGGAUUUUGACUUUUGCAUCUUAUUCUUGUGACUUGUUCCAUCGGAUUGUUCCUCUCAAUUGAGAAACGAUGUAUGCAACAAUUAAUUCUACAAUUUCACGUGGGUUUUCCUCAACAAAGAUAAACUAAUCUCUUUUUUCUACUCAAGGAACAACGGAGGUCUCGAUUCAUCUAAAAAUUGUGAAAUCGAACUAAUUUUAUUUAUUUCUCUUAUUUACUAGUAUUUGCAUACUCUCUGUUUAUAGUGCUUAUGGUUGUUUUGUUGGUUAAAUAUCCUGGGCCUGGAUGUUGAAUUAAUUUAGCAACUUAAUGUCAAUUGGAGCGUUGAAUCCGUAAUUGUUCAAUUGAUCUAAAAUAGUGGCAACUGGCAUGAUUAGAUUCGUAUCAGGGGAAUACGCAGGCUAAUCUAAAAUAACCCUGAUAGUGUAUUAUUUGGUUAGAAUAGGGAUCCUCUAAUACGUCAGGCAAUUGGGAAAUUAAAUCUUAUGGGCAUAUUUAGGAUUGUUUCUCGAUUAGAGUAGCGAUUAACGUGCGUACCUUAAUCACCGACACAGUAAGGAGGAGUUGACUGUCAUCGCAUGUUUGGCAAUUAUAACUUAUUUAUUAGUUAAUAAUUGGAACCACCCUUGCUUCGAUGGUCAAUUCGAUGAAUCAUUGCCGAAGUUGCUUCUCGACUAGAGCUGUCCAAUAUUAUUUGAGUUUUUACCUUAUUGUUAUUUAAUUCUUGUUUAACUGCAAUAUUUGAUUAGUAUAGUUUAUUGUUAAUUUCGUUAAAAUCCUCCCAUAACUUGAACUUUAGUUGAAACGAAUUACUCCCACUUCCUGUGGAUUUGACCCUACUUGUCCUAUAUACAAAUUAACAAGUUCUCGUGAAUAAAUUCUGGUAUAUCAGAUUUAGCAAACUCUUCAGAGUCAAAGUGAAUCUAGUAACCCAUUACACAUCCAGAAUCCCUGCUCCAAUACUAGAAUUGACUAGAAACUGCUUUUGUUAGCAACUAAAAUUAUCAUUAUUAUUAUUGCAUAGGCACCGACAAGCUGUCAAUUUUUGGCACCAUUGCCGGGGACUGGCGUUAGUUAAUUUGUUUCUUUUUAAGUUCAUUUUCAUGUUAAUUUUUUGGUAUUUUUCUAGUUUAUGCUUCGGUGUUCUCGUACAGGCUAAUUGAUUUUUUACCCUGAAAUAGAGAAGACCGCGCGUUGAACGCGAAAAGAGACCAGACAGCUCAGAGAAGAACAAUCUUGUGCUACAUCUCAGAGAUCUGAUCCAGAAGUUGAAUCAACAAGUUCGCUUAGCGAUACUUCGAGUGAUCCGGAUCGAGAAGAAGUCUCUAUGGCUAAUGCAUAGAUAUUACGAGAGUUGGUUGCUCCUAAAUUAAAUCAACAGCCCUUAUGCAUCACUUUUCCAAAUUUAAAUGAUAACACUCCAUUUGAGUUAAAAUCUGAUCAAAUCAGUCUUUUACCAUCUUUUCAUGGUUUACCAGGUGAGGAGCUGUAUAAGCACUUGCAAGAGUUCAAUAUUGUUUGCAAUAGUAUGAAACCCCCCGAGAAUUACGGAAGAACAAAUAAAAAUGAGGGCAUUCCCCUUCGCUCUCAAGGACUCAGCAAAAAACUGGUUGUACUAUCUACUUCCAAGUAGUAUCACCACUUGGGAGUAGUUGAAGAAAAAAUUCUUAGAAAAAUAUUUUCCUUCAUCUCAAGUUACAAGUCUGAGGAAGAAGAUAUGUGGUAUCAAACAACAUCCAAGAGAGUCGUUUUAUGAUUACUGGGAAAGAUUCAAGAAAUUAUGCUUCAAACGCACUCAACAUCAAAUAAGUGAGCAACUGCUUAUCCAGUAUUUUUACGAGGGGCUACUUUUCAGAGAUAGGAGUAUUAUUGAUGCUGUAAGUGGAGGGACGCUGCUGAACAAGACUCCUCGAGAAGCGUGGAAGUUGAUUGAAAGGAUGGCUGAGAACUCGCAGCAAUUCGGUACAAGGGAGGAUGUCCCGAUACGCAGAGUGAAUGAGGUAGAAACAUCCUUUAUCCAACAGCAGUUGUCUGAGUUAACGUCCUUUGUUAGGCAAUUGGCUGUAAGAAAUGUACCACAAGUCAAGGUGUGUGGAAUUUGUACUGUCAUGGGUUAUUCUAUAGAGAUGUGCCCGAUGAUUCAAGAAGAGAGUGCGGAGCAAGUAAACAUAGCUGGUCAUGCGCCCGCGCCAAGAAAGCCAUAUGAUCCCCUACUCGAAUACGUACAAUUCAGGUUGGAGAGAUUACCCUAACCUUAGAUAUGGGGGAAAUAGACAAUUAAAUUUUGCACUGAAUAGACCACAUGAGUAUCAACAAUAGUACCAACCUUGGCAGCCACCACCUCCUCCGAAUUCAAGCCCGUCUUUAGAAGAAAUGAUGAAGCAACUAAUUGCUAGUCAACAAAAUACGGAAUCUAACUUGCAAAGUCAAAUUGGUCAGAUGCAAGCAAUGCAAAGUUAGAUAAGUCAAAUAGCAAUAACAAUCAACCGUCUGGAAUCCCAAGUUCAUGAAAAAUUGUCAUCUCAACCUGAACUGAACCCGAAAAAUGUAAGUGCAACGACUUUAAGGAGCGAGAAGAAAAUUCAGAGACCCAAACUCAUGAUUUCGAAGGAUAAAAAUAAAGAUCGAAUUCAAAAAGAGCUUAAGGAGGAAGGAAUGAGAAACGCAAAUCCAAAGGUAAUUCCUGAUUCUAUAAUUAAAGUUAGAACUAAUUCACCGCCUUUUCCGAGCAAGUUAGAGAAACCAAAGAAGCAAACUAAGGAAAAGAAAAUUCUAGAGGUGUUUCGAAAGGUGGCAAUCAAUAACCCUUUGUUGGACGCAAUCAGACAAGUGCUGAAAUAUGCUAAAUUCUUAAAAAACUUGUGCGUCAAUAAGAAGAAGUUGAGGGGGGGAUGAGCAGAUUGUGGUAGGUGAGAACGUUUCAGCGAUUUUACAAAGGAAACUACCACCUAAAUGUGGGGAUUCAGAUAUAUUUACUAUCCUCUAUAAGAUUGGACAUUCUAAUAUCAAAAAUGCCAUGCUAGAUUGAGGAGCUUCUAUUAACGUGAUGCCUAAAUCAAUUUAUGAUUCCCUAAAUUUAGGACAUUUGAAAAAAACAUGAAUAAUAAUUCAAUUGACUGAUCGUAUGUUUUCUUAUUUGGAUGGGGUAAUUGAGGAUGUUUUAGUUCAAGUAGAUGAAUUAAUUUUUCCUACUGAUUUUAAUGUGCUUUAUAUGGAUGAUAGAAGUGCAUCAAAUCCAUCACCUAUUAUAUUAGGAAGGUACUUCUAGAGUACUGUCCAAACUAAAAUUGAUGUUAGUAAGGGUACUCUCACAAUAAAAUUUGAUGGAGAAAUAGUUCACUUUAAUAUUUUUGAUACAAUGAAACAUCUUAUUAACUCUGAUUCUGUGUUUGCCAAUCAUACUACUAAUCCUUCUAUACAAGAUUUUCUGAAUUUGAUUGUAGGGGCAAAUGUAAAUUUGCUGCGAACAAGUAUUAUGGGAUGAAAACAAUUUAUGAGGUGAAAAUGAGUAGAAAAUUAAAGAAGAUUGUUGCACUAAAUAGCUAUUUGAAUCUUGGAGGAAUGCUACCGAUUGUAAGAAAAUUUGAAUUACAUCCAAAUUGAGAAGUGAUGCUUAACAACUAGCCAAAGACGUUAAAGAAAAGCGCUUAUUGGGAGGCAACCCAAUUUCUUUUAGUUGUUUGUUCAAGUUUUAGUUGAUCGCUUCAAUGAGUUUUCUUAAAGUUUUCCCAAAUUCUUGGUUUAAUUUUUCAUUUUCUGAUGAUUAGUAGGUGUUUUCCCGACAUAACGCACCUGCGUCAAUAAGGCGCCUGGUAACGUGCAAUUUCCAGGUGCUUUAUCAGAAGGUUUCAACCCUCAUGAUGUGCUCGUGUCGAGUCGCCUAGAGAGCUCUUCAUUUGAUCCUGUUGAUUGACAUGAUGUGCCCGCGUCAACAAGGCGCGUGGUAACUUUUAAUUCAACAAUUCCUCAUCAGAAGGGUUCUUGCCCUCAUGACGUGCGCAAUUUCCAGGUGCUUUAUCAGAAGGUUUCAACCCUCAUGAUGUGCUCGUGUCGAGUCGCCUAGAGAGCUCUUCAUUUGAUCCUGGAGCAGAUUGAUUGACAUGAUGUGCCCGCGUCAACAAGGCGGUGGUAACUUUUAAUUCAACAAUUCCUCAUCAAAAGGGUUCUUGCCCUCAUGACGUGCCCGCGUCACCUGGGCACGUGGUAAUGUGCAAUUUUUAAAAUCUUCAUCAGAAUGGUUUCCAUUCUUAUGACGCGCCUACGUCAACCAGGCACGUGGUAACUUUGAACUCAACGGACAUUCAUCAGAAGGGUUCUUGCCUUCUUGACAUGCCCACAUCAUAUGUUUGAGGGAAAUGUAUGUAAAAAAACGCUACUUUUUCCUUCUUUCUUUCUUUUUCUUUCUUUCUUCCUUUCUUUUUCUUUCUUUUUCUUUUCUUCCUUUUCUCCUCCCCUGUUUUUCCCUUCUUCCCCUUCGGUGGCCACCCAACGCGCGCCGUCGCUCCUGCACGAAGCGCUGCAACCUCACGGCUGCUCCACCACCGUUCACAACUGUCUUCCUCGCCUCGACGUGCGCCGCCACUGUCAUCCAUGCUCAUCCGCCGUAUUCUAGCCGCCGCCUCUCCCUAGGCCUUUUCGUGCAUUGCUGCUGCCCUCCUACUGCCGUCGUUGCUUGCUGCUUCACCGAGCGCCUGCACACCACUACAGCUCAGCUGCAUCUCUCUCUUUCUAUCUCCUUCUCUCCCUCACGUAGCUCCCCCGUUCCCACCUAUUCCGUAGCCGAUCGACAUCCUCCAUCACGUAUUCGGGGAAGUUUCAUUAUCCUAUGUGCUUUUUUUGCUUUUUGAUCUCCAUUGAGAACAAUGUCGGAUUUAGGUGUUGGGGAGGAAGGGAGAGAGCUGUGGUACAGCUAAUAUUUUUAGUUUUUAGUUUUUAGCUAUUUUUCUUUUAUUUCUUGUUAUUUGUUCUAUUUUUCUUUUAUUUUCUUUUAACUUUUAUUAGUGAUCAGCACUUCUAUGACUACCAAGGAUUGAUGAUGGUUGUUUGACUCCAAUUCUACUAUUGUCAAGUUUUAGCAAUAAAAGUGUAUCAAGUUAAGCCGGCUGAGUCCAAAAUAUCUCUUUGAUGAAUAUGAAUGAUUUUGUGACUGUUAUAAUUUUUGGUUAACUUUUCUAGACAUAGCGAAUAACUAGUUGGCAUUUUCAUGUGAAUUGAUCCAAUUAUUAACUUUAGUUCUCCAUGUUUGAAGAAAUGAGGCUAGCUGCUGUUAUUUUAUGUGACAUUUUGAGUUAUUUUAUUGCAUGGCUGUGCAUAAAAGUUGGUUGUACUCCACUAGUUAUUACUGCUGAGUAACUAGGGAUCUUCACCAAAAGUGUCGAUUCUUGCGUCAAAAAGUAGUAAUGCCUAUGAGUAUAUAGUCUUAUAGCGAUAGGAGCUGAGUAACCGGGCUCCUUCAUCUGACAAAUAUUGGAGUUCGUAUCAAAAGACUGUAAUGGCUAGAGACUAAGUCUAUCAUUACUAUUGAAAAGAAAAAAAGAGAAAAAUAGAAAAGCAUGAUUAAAGGGUGUGAAAGUUGUAUAGAUAUGUGCUUAAAGUCAGUUUGCCAAUCUAUGGAUUUAAUAUUGAGAUUUUAGUUAAUAGUUGGACCAUUUGUUGAUCGACCAUUCCUUUUUCUUACAAUAAUUAGCCAUAAAUUAGAAGAGCAUGCAGUUAAAAGCUAACCGAAGUGAUGUUUCUGGGACUUUGACCAUUGAUGCUUGAUAGGUGUUUUUCUUGGUAUCUUGGCAAUAAGAUAGAUGGAGUGAUAGCCAUUAUCAGGAAUUGGUAUUUGUUUGCUGUUCUCAUGCUUGAGAACAAGCAUGGUUUAGGUGUGGGGGGAAUUGAUAAGUCGCACUUUUUUUUGUCAUCUAUUUUAUAAUUAAUUCCCUCAUAUUAUCUUACCGAAUAUGCAUUAAUUGGCGGAUUCUACUCACUUUUGAGAAUUUGUAUUGAUUGCAGGGAGUUGGAAUAAAAUGUGGUUAAAAGGUGCAAAUUCUCCACUACAAUUGCUAUUUGGCGUAGGCACGUCAAGUCAGAUCUUAACGUGUCCAGAAAAUGCGGGACAGGCGCGAGACACCAAUUGCCAAUUGGAAGUACAACGUGGGACCGCAAAUAUUCCAUUAGUUGAUUGUUAGAUUUGAAUUGGAAAAGGUAGUCUAGCAAAAAUAGGAAACGGGCCAAUUAUGAGACUUCCUAUUUUUUUGGCUUCAGUUGAAUAGGAGAUAGAAGUCAAUUGAGAUUAGGACUCUCUUUUCCUAUUACUCAUUGGAGUAGCCAUAUAGGAGUAGACAAUUAGGUAGGAAAUAGAUAGGAAUUGGAGAAAAAGUAGUAGACAUUCUUGACUACUUUGGAUUUUAACUUUUGCAUCUUAUUCUUGUGACUUGUUCCAUCGGAUGCUCCUCUCAAUUGAGAGACGAUGUAUGCACAAUUAAUUCUACAAUUUCGCGUGGGUUUUCCUCAACAGAGAUGAACUAAUCUCUUUUUUCUAGUCAAGGAACAAUGGAGGUCUCGAUUCAUCUAAAAAUUGUGAAAUUGAACUAAUUUUAUUUAUUUCUCUUAUUUGCUAGUAUUUGCAUACUCUCUGUUUAUAGUGCUUAUGGUUGUUCUGUUAGUUAAAUAUCCUGGGCCCGGAUGUUGAAUUAAUUUAGCAACUUAAUGUCAAUUGGAGCGUUGAAUCCGUAAUUAUUCAAUUGAUCUAAAAUAGUGGCAACUGACAUGAUUAGAUUCGUAUCAGGGGAAUACGCAGGCUAAUCUAAAAUAACCCUAGUAGUGUAUUAUUUGGUUAGAAUAGGGAUCCUCUAAUACGUCAGGCAAUUGGGAAAUUAAAUCUUGUGGGCGUAUUUAGGAUUGUUUCUCGAUUAGAGUGGCGAUUAACGUGCGUACCUUAAUCACCGACACAGUAAGGAGGAGUUGACUAUCAUCGCGUGUUUGGCAGUUAUAACUUAUUUAUUAGUUAAUAAUUGGAACCACCCUUGCAUCGAUGGUCAAUUCGAUGAAUCAUUGCCGAAAUUGCUUCUCGACUAGAGCUGUCCAAUACUAUUUGAGUUUUUACCUUAUUGUUAUUUAAUUCUUAUUUAACUGCAAUGUUUGAUUAGUAUAGUUUAUUGUUAAUUUCGCUAAAAUCCUCCCAUAACUUGAACUUUAGUUGAAACGAAUUACUCCCACUUCCUGUGGAUUUGACCCUACUUGUCCUAUAUACAAAUUAACAAGUUCUCGUGAAUAAAUUUUGGUAUAUCAGAUUUAGCAAACUCUUCAGAGUCAAAGUGAAUCUAGUAACCCAUUACACAUCCAGAAUCCCUGCUCCAAUACUAGAAUUGACUAGAAACUGCUUUUGUUAGCAACUAAAAUUAUCAUUAUUAUUAUUGCAUAGGCACCGACAAGCUGUCAAUUUUUGGCACCAUUGCCGGGGACUGGCGUUAGUUAAUUUGUUUCUUUUUAAGUUCAUUUUCAUGUUAAUUUUUUGGUAUUUUUCUAGUUUAUGCUUCGGUGUUCUCGUACAGGCUAAUUGAUUUUUUACCCUGAAAUAGAGAAGACCGCGCGUUGAACGCGAAAAGAGACCAGACAGCUCAGAGAAGAACAAUCUUGUGCUACAUCUCAGAGAUCUGAUCCAGAAGUUGAAUCAACAAGUUCGCUUAGCGAUACUUCGAGUGAUCCGGAUCGAGAAGAAGUCACUAUGGCUAAUGCACAGAUAUUGCGAGAGUUGGCUGUUCCUAAAUUAAAUCAGCAGCCCUUAUGCAUCACUUUUUCAAAUUUAAAUGAUAACACCCCAUUUGAGUUAAAAUCUGACCAAAUCAGUCUUUUACUCCCAAUCCCUGUAGAUUCGACCCUACUUGUCCUAUAUGCAAAUUAACAUGUUCUCGUAAAUAAAUUAUGGUAUAUCGAAUUUAGUAAACUCUUCGGAACUAUGGUUAAUCUAAUAACUCAUUGCACAUCCAAAGUCCCUGCUCCAGUACCAGAAUUGACUCGAAACUGCUUUUGUUGGUAACUAGGAUUAUCAUUAUUAUUAUUGCACAAGCAUCGACAACCUGUCAGUAGCCCAAUUAAUCUCAUUAAUUAGUGGCUAUUAAAUGGAUAGAUUGGAACUACCUAUUUAGACCGAAUUAAAUUGGACAUGGAUUCAAAUUCAUUAGUAUGUAAAUUUAAAUCACUACAAAUUCAAUAAUAAUAUUCUACUUUUUGCAAAGGCAUAUUUAACAUUCUUUUCCUAUUCAUUAAUUUUUAUUUUUCUAAUUUUUGUUAAAUUUUAUCCUACUUUCUCCCUCCCUUCCAUCAAAGUUUUAAUUUACUCAUUUAGUGUAAAUUGAUUUCUUGCAUUCACACCUAAAUUAUUUUGCGAUUCUUGCAGAGUGACAAAAUUAAAACUCCUUAUGAUCGCCACUAUUAGUUUUCUGUGUAAUUUUUUAGGUAAAAAUUUAUUUAUUAAUGCAAUGUGUUCUUAGUUUUGUUGAUUACAAUGAUAUAUUAUUUUGUUGCUCAAAGAAUAUGGGAGAAAAAUAAAUAAAGUUUGUAAUGGAUUGUAAAUGGGUAGCAUAACCAAAACCAUGUAAAACUAUAUCCAUUUAACCAACAUAAGUCAUCCAUUUUCAUAGUUUCAAUAUAACCCACAACUACAUUUUCCUUGACUUUCCUAUCUUUAUAUUCCUUUUACUAUUUACGAUUCAUUACCUUACUUUUACCCUUCCCGGCCCUAUAGUUCAAUCUUUAUAUUCCUUUUAGCAUUUAGGAUUCAUUACCUCACUUUUCGAAUUUUUUUUUUCAAAUAAAGAGUUAGAAUUAUAGUCGUGAAGGAAAAGUAAUUGGGUAUAACUUUGGUGAAAUAAUACUAUUUUUUGUGAUGAUCACCCAAGAUAAUCGUUUAAACAAAUAUUGUUUUAAAAUUUUUUUGAUAAACACUCAAAAAAAAUCAUCUAAAUGCCCCUUUUAUUAAUUUAAAAUUCAUAUCAAAAUUUUAUUUUAUGUGCACUUUCUGAUGUACGCGUUAUAUGUAAAAUUAUCUAGAUGAAGUUUUGUGCAGGUAAAAAAUUAUCUAGAUGACGUUGUAUGUCAAAAUGUUUAUUUCAUUGGUUGGAAUCAUCGUCUAAUAGAAUAAGUUUACAGCUAAAAAAAUUAAUUUGGAUGCAAAAGGUAAAAUGGUUAAAGAAUGGUUAUAAUUGGAUAUGUUAUCUAUAUAUUUGACAAAUCUAUGUAUAUAUCUAGAAGGAAAGUGCUAAAAAUAUUACUAUAUAAAUGAUUAAAAAAUAAGACUAAUCACAUUAUUCCUCAGAUUUGACAAAUCAAUCUUAUUAAUCAAGGAAUAAAAUGGGCUAAAGUGAUAAAGUUAUAAUGGGGUGAAUGAUUUUAACAUGGGACUAAUCAAACUAUCAAAAUUUAUUUUCUUUAUUUAUGGAAGGAAAAAAAGGGUUAAAGUUUGAAAACAAACUAUAAACGAUUUAUUAAGCACUCAUUUUAAGUGGGAGAGAAAGUUUUAAAUUUUAAAUUUUAAAUUUGAAUUGUCAUAGGAUUAGUAGGAAAUCACACUAUUUCAAACUUUUUAAUUGAAUUUAUGUAUUGAAAUAAAUGAAAAAUCUAAAAAAAAUGUAUGAGAAAUUUGGAAGUCAUCUAGGAGCCUCCACUAAAACCUCCCCCACAAUACAUAUAGAUAUAGAUAUAUAUAUCUAUAUAUAGAUAUAUAUAUAUAUCUAUAUAUAGAUAUUUGAUUUAUUUCUUGUCCCUAUUUGGCAUCUUGCCCACUUUGAUGCAAUCUUAACUGAUCCAAACAAGGUUAACAUGAAGCUUUCUCCACAUCAAUUCUUUAGCACCCAUAAUUUUUUUUCGAGCUCUGAGUUGGCUGAGUUGGUGGGUACUGCCUAGAAAUACCCAAGAGGAUUGAGGACCUAAUACAAAUUUGUUAUUGGGUAUUUUUACGUGGUAGUUGCAGUUGUUGAUCACAUGUUUUCUUUUUUUCUAAUGUAAGUGGGGGUUUCGAAGUCCGGACACUUUACUUAAACUUCUUUUCCCAAAUCACCCAAUCAAUCCCUCUCUUUUAAUCACAUGGUUCUGAUAUCUUUCACGUGCAUGGAUAUUUAAUCUGGAUAUCUUGGAACGGGAUUCCGAUCUUUGGUAGUAGUUGAAAAGUUAUCAGAUUUGCGGAGGCCCCGUCCUGGGCCUGGACACGUGGCAGCCCGGGAAGGUCGGAGCUGGGCCUGGACUCCAGGCCCCUGACAGCCGUCAUGGGGCAAACCGCUACUAGGGUUCCGAGAAGCCCUGGGAAACAAUCCCGCAGAGGGCGGGGAGAAUCCCCCUCGGCGGGGGAUUGAGAUUAUUUUGGGCAGGUCCCGAAACGUACGGAGAUCGGACUUACCAGCAGGUAUAAAUGGUGCCGCAUAUCCACCGCACAAGGUACGCUCACUAUUGACAUAUUACUCCUAACGGCUUUGUUUCCCGUGAACUUCACUCACCGGAGAACUAACUUGACCGUCGGAGUGCCCUCGGGGACGACCUCGGGGCCCCCUUUUCAGACCACUCUCUUGUUUGUUUUGCAGGCUUGGGACACGCUCACCUCAUCAGCACGCCGAGCUCAUCAGGUUAGCUCGGUCCGGGGAAGUUCAGUGCUUCUUCAGUUGGCGCCGUCUGUGGGAACCGAGUAGUUGUGUUGAUGGCGAGAACGCGUUCCAAGCAAACCGUGGAGAACACCGAUCCCGGGGCCGGCGAGGGGUCCCGGCGAAUGGGGACUGAAGCGGUCCGGGGCGCCGGGGGCUCAGCCCUUUCAGGGGAACGGAGACAGCAGAUCUUUCAGUUCGUGACGGAGAACCUUCCCAUGCUAGAGGACAUAAUUCGACAAGCAAAGGAAGGGGGUGAAGUAGGGGGUGCACCAAGGCGAAGGGGAAGGAGAGGGAAUCACCUCCCGUUCCCUCCGAGGAUGAGUCACGGGACCAGCCCCCCAGGAGGAAACGGCCACGGACUCCCCCUCGGCCGCGGGCCUCUGUGGUCGGGGAUAGCGAGAGGUACUCUCGUAACCGGUCCGUUGGGGGCCGACCAAGGAAUCCCUCCUCGUGGAAGCUUGCGCGGAACGAGCCUGAGCGUUCCCCCGCCCAAUUCAUCAAGAGCCGGACGCGGGACCCCCCCAGUGGAAGCCUGUCCGGGACGAGCUUGAGCAGAUCUUGCGGCCGCGGUUGUACGAGGACAACUACACCACCUCGCCCUUUACCCGGGAGAUAGAGGACUACCCACUACUCCGGAGGUUCAAGAUCCCGAACAUCGAGUUGUACGACGCCUCGAUCGACCCGGAAGACCACCUCUCGGUCUUUCUGACGCACAUGGGUCUGCAAACCGCUGCGGAUGAAGUCCGCUGCAAAACCUUCCCCAUGUUUCUGAAGGGGAAGGCCCAGCUCUGGUUCCAGGGUCUGGCACCGGGAUCCAUCCGGAGUUUUCCCGAGCUGGCCAGACAGUUCGCCUCCCAGUUCGUCUCCUCGAAGACUUACUCGAAAAAUGCGGCUCACUUCAUGGCAAUCAAGCAGAAGCCGAACGAGUCCCAGAGGAAUUUCAUGACCCGCUUCAACACGGAGAGCUUGCAGAUCAGGGACAAGGACGAAAAGGUGGUCAUGGCCGCCUUUAUGAACGGGCUCAGGGCGGAGGAGCUAUUCUACAAACUCGUCGAGAAGCCUCCUGGAGACCUGGAGGAGCUCUUGACCAGGGCGCACGCAGCCGCUAAUGCGGAGGAGGCUGCUCGCCUGAAGAGAGAGUCAGAUCGGGAGAUCGGAAAUCGGAGAGGACGGGGAAACCCCCCCCGAGACCAAGGACGGCCGGCCCAAGAAGAAUGUUUUCGACCGACUCUCAAAGGAGAAAGCCCCCGCUCCGCCGCCGCUCCCGGAGAAAGGCUACACCCCCCUGACUCUGCCUAGGGCCCAGAUCCUGGCCGUCAUGGAGGCAGAGGGUCUAGGGGAACGACCACCUAAGAUGGGAACCCCCCGGAACAAGAGGAAUCAGGACCGGUAUUGUGCCUUUCAUCGUGAUGUCGGGCACGACACGGAGGGGUGCUGGGCCUUGCGGAAGGAGAUCGAGGAUCUGAUCCAGCGCGGCUUCCAGGGACGAUUCGUGCGGCAAGGUCGGCAGGGCCAAGAGCCCGGAGGCACCUACCGCGGAGACCGGGGAGAGGGCCAGCGUCGCGACCGCCUUGAGCGGCGUGACGUGCUUCGGGGACACUCCCCCGACCAGGACACCCAGAACUUAGCAGGGGUGAUAAACACCAUCGCUGGGGGCCCCACGGGGGGACAGCCAUGCAGCUCGGAAGAACCGGCGGCCUCCCCCCGAGGGGGAUGAUUCCCUGAAGCGCUUGCGCAUGGAUGAGGAGAUCACCUUCGGACCAAGGGAUGCGGUUCCCCUGGCGUCUGGAAACCACGAGGCCAUCGUGAUAGACGUCGUGACCGAUAACUAUCGGGUGAAAAAAGUGUACGUCGACCAGGGGAGCGCAGUGGACAUCCUGUUUUACCGGUUGUUCAAAGAGCUCGGUUUGGAGGAUGGACAGCUAACACCGGUACGGACACCCCUGGUGGGCUUCACCGGACUGCCCAUCAAUCCGGAGGGGAUGAUCACCCUGAUGGUCACGGUAGGGCAGGCGCCCAAAUGUCGGACCAUCCCCGUCGACUUUGUGGUGGUCAAGCAACAAUCUACUUACAAUGUGUUCCUGGGUUGGCCCGCCUUGAACGCCCUCCGAGCUAUCCCCUCUUCGCUCCACCUCAGCGUCAAAUUUCCCACCCCGAGGGGAAUCGCCGAAGUGCAUAGAGAUCCGGAAAUGGCCAGAGCCUACUACUUGGCCAUGCUCCGGGGACCGGAGAAGGUGGUCGCCCAGACAACCAGCUUGAAGCCCUACAUCCCGGGGGAGGAGGCCCGACGGCUGGACACCCAGGACGAGAUCGAGGAAUUCCCCUUGAGGGAAGACCGGCCCGACCAGGUGCUCCGCACCGGUGCGCUGCUACCCACCAAGGAGAAGAAGGGCUUGAAGGCCCUGUUAAGGGAGUACUCCCAAGUUUUCGCAUGGACGGUGGAGGACAUACCGGGGAUCCCGACCGAUCUGGCCGUCCACCACCUCAACGUAGAUCCCCGCUUCAAGCCGGUGAAGCAGAAGAAGAGGAGUUUCGCCCCCGAAAGGAACGAGGUGAUCAAAAAGGAGGUGCAACUUGGACAUGCUGGAGGCCAAGCGUGAGGAAGCGGCGAUACGGAUGGCUAAGAAUAAAAGUCAGCUCGCCCGCUAUCAUAACGCGAAGGUGAGGAAUACGCAGUACCAGCCAGGAGACCUCGUCCUAAGAAAGAACUCAGUCAGCCGAGCUCAUAGCUCCAACAAGCUUGAUCCAAACUGAGAGGGGCCGUACAAGGUCUUAGAGACAAACCGGGUUGGGUACUGUAAGAUUGCGAAAUUAGACGGAGUAGAGGUACCCCGCACUUGGCACUUCUCGAAUUUACGGUUGUUCGUAGGAUAGAUUGGUCCAGGGUAUCUUAUUGUAUUCUCCGGAAUCCUCAUACAAGUUCAUCAUUAAAUAAAUGGUCGGCUUUCAUGUUUUAAGUCCAUUCUCAUUAUCAAUGCCGUUUAACUUUCCACUUCUACACUAGCACAUUCAGAUAAUGCUAAGUGUCCUAGUGAGGGGCCCUGAGUGGAGAUGAAUGGUAACGGAUGGAACGCCUUUCAAGUCUGAGAGAUCGACGCUCGACCCAGGAGGUCGGCAUGAUUAUCUUUAAAAUUUUGACGCUCGACCCAUGAGGUCGGCGGCUAGGGGACAAAUUAAGAUAAUGAAUCAAUGGAAUGCCUUUAAAGUUCGAGAAUUGACGCUCGACCCUGGAGGUCGGCACGACUGACUUUAAAAUUUUGCCGCUCGACCUAGGAGGUCGGCGCAACUCAAAAAACCUUAGGGUCCGAUGCUCGGCCCAAGAGGUCAGCAAGCCGCCCAAGUUGUUGGAAUUUGGUGGUUAACUUAGUUUGAUCAUCUGAUGGGACCCCCCGAUUUUCGUCCUUUGACAAUUUGGUUGUUGGCUUGUAGUUUGGCGGAUGCUCGGCCCAAGAGGCCGGCACGCUGCCUCAGUAAGUCAGGUUUGACGUUCGACCCAGGAGGUCGGCGUAAUUUAAAGCCCAGAGGUUUGGUGUUCGGCCCAGGAGGCCGGCGCGUCGCUCCGAUUACUAGAAUUCGAUUGCUAAAUCAGCCUGAUAGUUUGAUGGUUUGGUGUCCCUGACAACUUAGUUGUUAGCUUAAAGUGUGAUAGAUGCUCGACCCAAGAGGCCGGCACGCUGCCUUGGUGGAUCUAUUUGGUGCUCGACUUGGGAGGUCGGUGUGCCUUUUCGGUCGCUAGAGUUCGACGCUAGCAAGGAUUGAAGGCCAAAAUCAGAUAGUUUCAUUCAAGCAUCGUUUCAUAUGUGCAUUCAGACCCUAUCUAUUACAAAGCUUACCGAGCUAUAAAAGGAAAGGAAAACCUAGCUAUGCCUUCUUCUUGCUGGCGACCUGCUUGAAGCGGGAGCUGAUGGUACACCUUAAACAUGCUGAGAGGCGUAUGGUGAAGGCUAUUCAAAAAGAUAUCUAUGGAGAUCAUGAACUUCGGGGUAUGGCCACAUCCUUAUAAGAAGAUGAAAACGGUUUCUAGAGUGGCCGCUACCCUAAGCCACCGGCUCCUUCCCGGAAGCCCUGCCGGGAGCCUCGUCCUCCCCCAAGGGAACCUCCGCCAGCUCGGACCCCACAUCACUCUUGCCCACCAGGUCCUUCAGGGCAUGCCUUUUGCAAUACACGUCGAAGAGCCAGUCAAGCUUCUCUUCGGCUGUGGGGUUGUAAUCCUUGAAGUCAGCCAAGUUGAAGCCAGGCAGGUUGAGGCCCUUCACCUGGUCCAGGGCUCGCGUAAAGCCGACCUGGAGGAUGGGCUGGUUGAGGAGAGCCACGUCCUCGGCAAACUGUUCGGAGGAGAUGAACUCCCGAACAGCCUUCUUGCACUCCCGGCUGACGGUGCCGGAAAUCUCAAUGGCGUGGUCCUCUCUCAGUUUCGCCACGCCCUUCUUCUCCUGGUCCAGCUCGGACCGGGUGGAGGCGAGCUGGACCUGGGCCGCCUCCAGCUCCUUCUCGGAUUUGCCCAACUUGGCCUUAAGGGAGUCCGCCCCGUUAAGGGCCUGGGUCAGCUUCUACUCGAUCUCCCGAUUCUUCUUCUGUAACUUCUCCAGAUCGGGAGACAGCUCGGAGAAACGGGUCACCAGAGCAGCACCGGUGGCAUUGACCUGGGGAAGGGAAAGUAAAAAUUAGCACAUCACCAACUCCAUCAAGGGAAGGAACAGGGACCCAAGUGGCCUAAGCGGAAGAGGGCUUACUUGGACUUGGGCGGUAUAGUACAUGUCCUGGAGCUCGAACGGGCUGGCCAGCUCCAUCCACCUCCUGUCGCAUGGAAGGACUGAGCCCGCAACCAACUCGCGAGCCACUUCGGGGAACUGGGCUCGGUCAUUGACGGAGAGGCCCCAGAACGGGCAGAAGUGACGGGGAUCAUGCAUGGUGGGGGCCUGACCCGAUUUCGCGGGGGUCACAUGGCGGAAGUGCCACAAGUUCGGGGGAGGCAUCUCCCGGGCAUGGUCCUCCGCGGAGCCAACACCCAGGUGGACAGGGCCCCCCUCCUGUUGACGUCGGGGGGAGGCUGUGCUGGCGCGAGUUUCUUCGCGGGCUGGCAGGGCUCGUCCCCUCGGCCCCUCUUCUGCCCUGUCGCCUUCUUUUUGCUGGCGACCUGCUUGGAGGGGAACUGAGAUUGAGAGGCCUCCUUCUGGGGAGUCGAGCUGCCCCCAGGAGGUGGAGAGGCCACGGAGGCCUCCUUCGCCGCCUCUGGCUGCGUGGUGGGAGUGACCUGCUCGGGUGGCGCGCCCAGUAGUUUGGAAAGCUUCCGCACUGCAGCAAACACCACCAGGUCAGUAAAAGCAGGUUAGUGAAAGGGAAAAUAAAGUGACAGACUACAAGGGCACAGAAGCGGCAUUACGGGUGUCAUCGUUGGCCGGGGCAGGCACCACCUUUCCAGGGGACCCGGACAACGUCCCCAUCAGUCCGGCCGCGGAAAUCUGCUCAGUGAAGAACCUGGCAGCAUAAAGCUUCACCUUGGAGCUUACCAUCUGGCUGAGGGCUUCGGAGUCCAGGUCCUCCGGGUAGGGGUCGGACUCGACCUCCCCAACCUUCCACACAUUGGGAGGGAAAUGCGCGGAUUUGACAAAGAAGAAGUCCCCUUUCCAGUUCUUUAUGGAAGAGGGGACCCCGAAGAGCAGAUCCUGGGUGCCCUUCCCACCCCGAACUUUGCCAACAGUUCGGCGGGAGAUGUAGUACCACCCAGGAAGGGAGAGUUUGAGGGUAUAGGAGGCUCGGAAGAGGGAAAGAGAGUAGGAGAUGGAGCAGACCCGACAAUAGAUCAGGAAUCCAAUGAUGAUCCUGAUCGAGUUGGGGUGAACCUGGGUGAUUCUGAGCCCCCAGUAGCUCAGGAUCUCAGCCAGGGCUGGAGGAAUGGGGAGCCGGAGCCCUGCGACCAACUGCUCCCUAUAGAUGGAUACGAAGUCGGGAGGAGGUCGGCAAGCUCGGUCGCUGGGCCCGGCAGCCCUCGGCUCGAAAGCCGGAAGGAUAGAAAAGGACUCGGCCAACUCGGCCACCGCCCCGGGGGAGAGGGUGACCUCCUGCUGGUCAGGUUGACCGUAGUCGAUCUCGGGAUCAUCCCCCUGCGCAGGGGCAGGGGUCCCCUCGGGGGAGUCCCUAUCCUCGCCUGUCCCCCCCUGGGCUCCGCCCGGAGAGUCAUGCGGGGACUCAGGGGAAGGAACGGAAGUGGCCUGCUGAUCAAUGAAAACAUCGAGCUCGGCCACCUCUUCCAGGAUAUGGGCGGAAAGAGAAUGGGCAGAUGGAGAGCUCAUGAUAUCAAUGGGCUCGAAUAGGUCGGGAAUGUGGAAGUUGGGAUUAGAAGCAGAGGAAGAAGAGAGGAGAGGGAGAGGAUGAAGAUGAAGAUGAGGACGAAGACGAGGAGGAAAUGAGAAUUUUGAGGGCUCUACGAUGGGCCGGAGUUUGGGAUGCGGCGGAGGUAACGCCGGAACGAUCCGACAUAAAAUGCAGAGGGUGGCAAAGAAGGAAAAGAAAGUGCGAAGGAGGAGGAAAAAGAACUUACUGAUGAACAGAGGUGAAAAGAUGGUGGAAUCGCCGGAAUCUGGGUAUUUUGAGCCGGGAGUCCUGUCGCUGGAAAUUGAAAAUGUACGAAGGAAGGAGAAAAUGGCAAAUAGAGUCCAAUGAAAUCUGAUGACCCCCAUUUAUAGGGGGAGAAAUUGGGGGAAACGGUUGCUUGAAUUUGAACCGUCCCAUGUGAACGCAUUUAAUAACGGUACGGAGACCGAAAGGACGCGACAACUGAAAGGACAUGGGCGCAGCUUUUUCAGUAACAGCACUGUACCAGAGGUGAUCCCGACAGAGCAGUGCGCGGCGCUGGUCUCCCACGUGGCAGGGGUAUAGAUUAGAUCUGCCUGGAAGCCCUACCUAAUCUAGGGGGCUGGUGCGGAGGCUCCGUCCUGGGCCUGGACACGUGGCAGCCCGGGAAGGUCGGAGUUGGGACUGGACCCCAGGCCCCUGACAGCCGUCCUGGGGCAAACCGCUACUAGGGCUCCGAGAAGCCCUGGGAAACAAUCCCGCAGAGGGCGGGGAGAAUCCCUCUCGGCGCGGGAUUGAGACCAUUCUGGGCAAGUCCCGAAACGUACGGAGGUCGGACUUACCAGCAGGUAUAAAUGGUGCCGCACAUCCACCGCACAAGGUACGCUCACUAUUGGCAUAUUACUCCUAACGGCUUUGCUUCCCGUGAACUUCACUCACCGGAGAACUAACUUGACCGUCGGAGUGCCCUCGGGGACGACCUCGAGGCCCCCUUUUCAGACGACUCUCUUGUUUGUUUUGCAGGCUUGGGACACGCUCACCUCAUCAGCACGCCGAGCUCAUCAGGUCAGAUCGGUCCGGGGAAGUUCAGUGCUUCUUCAAGAUUGUACCCAAAAAAAAGGUUAAAAUAUGCAAAACACUUGAGAUUAAUUUGGUUCUUCCAAUUUCUUUCGUUUUAACUCUUCUUUUUCUUUUCCAUUUCCUUUUUCCUAUUUUUUUUAAAGAGUCCUUCUCUAUGUACUUUGAGGUGAAGUAACCAGAACGCAGCAAUGGUGUCGUGCCACCAAGCCCUCACCCGCAACUGCUGGCCACUACCAUUAGGUCCCCAAACUUAUGAAAAAUUUCAGGAUAAAAUAUUCUUUUUGUGUACAUUGCGACUUUGGAGUCCAAUUUGGCCUCCGAAGUUAAUCUAGCCUCUUUUUCUGCAUAAAUCACUGGCAGUCGUAAAAUUAACAAAAGGACAAUCCUACGCAUCAACGACUUCUUUUCCUCUCUGCUUUUUCUCUUUUCUAAUUUCUCUCUAUUUUUCUUCUCUUCACAAAGACCUCCUCUUAGGGAGGAAGACCACACCAUGAUCUCCCUAUCAAGAAUUUUGUUUCAUUUUAUUUUUCUAAUAAAAUAUCUUCUAAAUUUUUUUAUUGAGAGUUUUAUGUUUCUCUUAGGGGUUGCUAGUGAGAAUUUUCUAUUCUUCUAGGGAUUCAUAUGUAGAUUUUUAUAUUUUUUUGUUGUUAGAACUAAAUUUAUUUCAAAUCUGAAUAUUUUAUCUAAAUUUUUUUUUGUAUCUUGGAUUUAUUUAGACAAAUCUCAUCAUAAUUAUUGGAGAUUCAAACUGUUGAUUAGUAAAUAUGGUGAUUGCAACAUGCACAGAAAGGAGCUACAGUGGUUUAUCUUAUUCGAAGAUAAUUUUAAAAUUUCUUAUAUUUUUCAAUUGUUCAUAAUUUUUCAGAUCUAUUAUAUGUAUAUAUUAAAUUGCAUAUCUAUAAUUUUCAAUGCAUGUUUGACUUGGUAUUAGGACAGUAUUAUACAUCCAAUCAUACUGAAUGAUUUCUAACAAUUCGUUAAUGAAAUAUAUUUUUUAUCCAAAAAAAAAAACACAAGGACAAUCCUGGGAAGUCAUAGAACAUUUCUGUAGUAUCAAUUUAACAAGGUAAAGCAUAGAUAAGCAUGAAUUUAAGACAAAAUUGACAUUCAUUUGAGAACCUCCAUUACCUCCUUUGACCCUCAAACGCCUCAAAAUUUUAGGCUAGGAAAUCAUCUUUAAGGUGUACAUUGACUAGAUUCGUGUCUAAAUUGGACUAGAAUCCUUUUGACUUGCGUGGGGUAUACAUAUACAAUAAGUUCAUCCACAAUCAAGUUUUACAUUUGCAAUUCCUAAAUACCCCACAUGCGAUUUAUUGCAAGUAUACGAAUCGUGAGCGAGUAUAAGGUAUUAAGGGUCGAUCCCACAGAGAAGAUUGCAAUUACCGGUGUUUUUCGAACUCUUUUAUUAUCUGGACUACCAUAAAUAUAAAAUUAAUGAAAAUAACACUAGAAAACUCCUAGAGAUAUGGAAUUCCUUUCUACUCUUGCAAGUGAAGUUACCGGUUAAGUGAAUGCUAUUAUCUUGGCUAGUUAUGGCGUAAUUUCCUAAUGUAUGUGAAACCUACUCUCGUAGUGAAUCAACUAUACUUGUAACUAAAUCAUACCUACUCUCAUGGUUAUGAAUUAAUUACAAGUUCAUUUCUUCUAUGAAGUUACAUGAAACAAGUCACUAAAGCCACAUAGGUGCACCUCUAUUCUCGUGAGUGUACUCCCUAGGUUUAUCAUUUCUUUGAAUUAGUGUUAAAUUCCAAUUUUCAUUGCAAACUUAAUACCUUUAGAUAAUCACAACUAAUGGCCGGUUAAUCAUGAUUAGAAAAGCAAAAGUGAUAAAUAACUUGUUCAAAAUAAUAUCACCAAAUAACUAAGUAAACAUUAUAAACAAGAUAUAGAAAGUUCAUCCACACUCUAGGCAUGAACUUUAGAAAAACAUGAAGAAAAACAAAGCCAAACUUGUAUUAUAGCUAAACAUGAAAUCAAAUACAAAAGAGAAAGUGAUAGGAGAGAUGUCACCCUUGUCACAUGAGCUCUAACUCUCCAUCUUUGCUCCUCCAAUCUUCAUCCAAAUCUAGAUACAAAUACAAGAAGGAAAAACUACUCUACCUAUACUACACUAAUGAACCAAGAAAAACUAAUGAAGACUGCAUUUUUUGUGGAGUUCUUUCUAGCCUUCCAAAGUUAUCAAAAUGGUUUCCAAAGGCUGCCAUUUAUAGAGAAUUCAAGAGGAGUUGUUUCUGGUUGGCAAAAUUAACUCUUGAAACUCUCUUGAAUUGUCUUUCCAACUUUCCAACUUGUUUUUUGUCAGAUACAACCGAAAUUAAUGGUUGGAAUUGAGUUGGAAGAGUUGUGUGAAACAAUGCACAUUGGUCAGCAAUUUGUAGUUAUCAUAUACGUUUUCAACUGCUUUUUUCUCAAUGUUGGAGGCCGACAUAGCUCUUCUAUAAAACACAAAAGUUGUAGAUAUUUGACUUAGCUUUCCAAAGCAUUAAGAAUCAUCCAAUUUAGAGCUCUGAGGACCAAGAUAUACUCAAAAUACCACUGACUGGUCAGAGCUCUAUUGUCAACUUUCGACAGCAGACUUUGACUUAUGUAUUUCGACUUUUUGACUAGGAAUACGGCUGAACUGGACUUUGAUGUCUUCAUACCAAAUGUAGAUCUGUAUCUUAGCUUCAAAAUUCAAGAAUCAUCUUAAUCCAAUGUGUGUAACUCAAGAUAUAGCUGAAAUACCACAGGUUGCCAAAACUGACUUUUCUUGCAUUCUUUUGUUCUUAAUUGCAUUUUCUCUUUUACACUUCAUAUUUUAUUUUUAUCACUUUAAACCAUCAUCAAUCAUCCAAUUAUCUUCUCAAUGCACUCCAUUUGAUGAUUGAAUCAUUAAACCUACAAAAAUAUGAAGUUUUUACCAUAAAAAUCCAUAAAAUGCAAUUUUUGCACUUUAACCAUAAAAGUUAUAUUUUCACUAGAAUCCUAGUUUAUUAGCUAUAAAACUAAAUAAAACAUACCAAAACUAACUAAUAAAACACACUAAAAAUACGUAAAAUAUCUACUUGUCACCUCUAUAUUGAAUUGGAGAAAAGUUGUCUCCAUUACAUCACCACAAAUUUAAUUCAAAAAUUAUUUUCAAAAAUUAAUAUCGUUUAUGAUAUAUUUCAUAACCUAUAUUAGUUAUACUUAAAAUUUUGUAUGAAAUUAACAAAGUUUUGUCAUUUGAUUAGUCAUUACUAAUUUUCUUCCAAUUUUAGCCCAUUUUCAACAUUCAAAAUGUUUCAUGCAAAUUGAAUGCCAAAAUAUUCCCAAAAGAAUAUCAUUUUUUAAUAUAUUGAUCUAGAGAUCCAAAGAAAAGUAAUGACAUAAUCAAAUGAUUUUAUAAAAUUACGGUAACUUAGAUAUAAAUAAAUAAAGGGAUCAAUAUCAAGAGAUUCGACGGAAAGGGUCCUAACCCGUCUAAAUUGGCCAAACAACAAACCAAAAUCACAUACAAAAUCAAAUUCCUCUCUUUUUUUUCACCUGGGUUUUUUCCUUUCUUCUUUGGGAUAUGGUGAUGGCAAACAAAAAUGAAGAUGGUGGUCACGACAAAGAUUGUUAAGGAAGUCAAGGAGGCAGCGGUGGUUAUGGAAAUUUUUUUUAAAAAAAAAUUAAGUUGCGGUGGAAAUCGCUAGUUGUGAGUUGCCGUAUUGAGGGGAUCGGUGAAGAUGAUCCGGUUAAAGGAAAGAAAUUUUCAAAAUUAUAAUUCUACCCUUCAACUUCCUUUUUUCUUUAAUAAAGAAUAUAAAUUUUUUUUGAAAUUAUAAUUAAGCCCCUUAAUUAACCUUUUUUUAACCUAAAAGUAAAGGUAGUAUGGGAAUUUCAAACUUUUCUCUAUAUCAAUAUAGAUGGUUUUCAUCCACCUUACCUAUCAGUUUAAACCAAUAAAGUCUUUUGGAUAUUUUUGAAUGAGAAGGGGGUUCAAUAACGUGCAAAUCAGAGGAAAUUUUUGUGCAUUUUUCUCAAAAAGAAUAAAUUCCAUAUUGUCUAUAUAUAUAUAUAUAUAUAAAAAAGAAAAGAUUGAUCCAUAUUGAAUGCGCGCGGAUCCAUAUUGAGGCUGUGGAAUUGAUGCAAUGACUCAUAGGUGUACCAGUUGCAAAAUUAUCUUUCUUGCGGGGGGAGGGGAGGGAGAAAGAAGGGGAUUAAGGAGGAGGAAGGAGGGAAGGGGAAGGAAUGGUGGUGGUGGUGAAGAAAGGGAAGUGGUGGUGGCAGCGUGUGGUAGUGAUCGGUAGUGAAUGGAGGAAGAAAGGGCCGGUAGUUUUUUUUUUUUUUGUUAGCUAUAUUUGAGAUGUGUACUUUUAGUGAUUUUGGGAGUAUUUUUGGAGUUUGUUAUUAUAGAUUCCAAAUAUAAAAACUAGUUUUCCAAAAAAACUCAUUUUAAAAACAUAGGCCAAGAUGCGAUAUUACAUUAGAAAAUCAAGAUGUAAUUUUCCAGGGGUAAAAUUGUAAUUAUAAUAUGUUAAAGAAGAAUCAGUUCCUCGAGCACGCUUCAUUGUAUCCAUAUAUAUGUAUUAUUUGCUUCUUGUCUUGUGAAAACCUUCAAAAGAGGACUUGCAAGGGAAAUAAUACCUACCAACUGAUGGAUUCCAAAGCACUUGUUUCUUGUGUUCUCCUCCUUCAUCUGUUGAUUGUCCUGGUAAGUUACUUUGACAAUAAAUUGUUUUUUGUGAUUUAUAUGCUGUGGACUUAAUUCUCGCUGUCUUACAACACUAUACAACCUGUACAGGGAGCCUGUGAUAUCAUACCCAAGGCCAAGGAUAGUGGUACUAAUGCAAUCAGGCUCCAGGGCAUGGAUGCUAAUAAUCCUCAUCGAAAUGAUAAGACACAUCAUGUUGCUCACGUCCAUGAAAAGAAGUCAAUGCACGAUCCUUCUCUUUCCUCAUCCCACAUGAUGCAUCAGAUGGAUCCAAGAGCAACCGUGUUUUUCGUUUUAGAUGAUCUCAAGUUAGGCAAAACAUUGAGUAUCCUUUUCCCUGACGGAGAUCCUAGUCCUUUGUCCUCUCCUUAAUUCAUGGUUCGAAGUCUCGGCCGAGACCGAGACGACUCGGCCGAGUCGUCACCGUCUCGGCCCCUACCGAUACGAUACCGUGACGAAACGAUACCGAGAUACUUGACUCGCCGAGAAAUCGGCCGAGACGUCACCGCGACGGAUUGACUCGGCCGAGUUACACCGAGUCACUCCGAGUUAUCCCGAGUCAAGACGAGAAAUCGGCCGAGUUACACCGUGACGGAUUGACUUAGCCAUUUCUUUUGCUAUUUUUUAUUAUUUUUGUUUAGCAUACUUUUUUUAUAUUAUUAAUAAUUUUUAGAAUAUUAAAUAUUUUAAAAUUUGCGUCUCACCGAGACCGCGACCGAUAUGCCGAAACCGAUGUGGAACGUUCCAGGCCGCGACCGUGACCGCGACCACGACUUUGAACCAUGCUCCUUAUCUCUGGCCUAGAGAACAAGCCGAUGCUAUCCCCUUUUCCUUGGCAAAACUCCCACAGAUUCUUCAACACUUUUCAUUCCCUCAAGGAUCUCGCAAGGCCCAAGUGAUGGAACAUGCACUCCGAGCAUGCGAGACUAAGCCUAUGAAGGGAGAACCCAAGGCUUGUGCCACAUCCUACGAGUCAUUGGUAGAUUUUGCACGAAAGAUCUUGGGAUUGAAUACCGACAUUGAAGUUUUAUCAACGCAUCGCCUCGCAAAGUCUAAUGCUGCAAGAUUACAGAACUAUACAAUCACAGAAGCUCCUGAACGAAUUUCAACUCUAAAGAUGGUUGGCUGUCACACCAUGCCAUAUCCUUACAUAGUUUUCUAUUGCCACUAUCAGCAGGGUGAUAAUCGUUUAUACAGGACUGUUCUAUCUGGAGAGAAUGGUGAUAGGGUUGAAGCUAUUGCAAUAUGUCACAUGGAUACCUCCCAAUGGAGCCAUGAUCACGUUUCCUUCCGAGUGCUUGGUAUCGAACCGGGCACUGCCCCUGUUUGCCAUUUCUUCCCAGCAGAGGACUUUGUAUUGGUUCCAUCUA
rnacentral:lncRNA from 1 species